GGAAAUAAUUUUUCUGGGGAGAUGGCAAAUGUUGAUGUCUCCAUUUCUGAGUUUCCAACUUCACUAAGGGAAAUCAAUCUCGGAAAUAACAAGUUUUAUGGAAACCUCCCAAGAUUGAUAGGGAAUGUGCCAUUUUUGGAGAAAUUAGCUUUGUCUGAAAAUGGUUUCGAGGGUUCUAUUCCGAUGGAAUUUUGCAACUUGAAUUACUUGGAAUUUUUGGAUCUCUCUGAAAACAAUUUAUUUGGCUCUAUACCGACCUGCUUUAAUCCCCCAGACAUAAAGCAUGUACACCUGCACGGGAAUAGACUAAGUGGCCCACUACCAAUUGCUUUUUAUAAUAGCUCUUCACUGGUUACAUUAGAUCUUGGAGGAAACUGUUGGUGUUUAAAGGCAGUAGCAAGCUGCUUUGUUCUUGCUUGGAUAGCAAGGCUCGAGACUUGCAGAAGAAACAAGUGAACAAAAACAGAAAUUUGCAAGUGAAAAACAGAAAUGAAAGAGAAAUUUUUUUAAUGAAAAACCAGCUGAAUUCUUCAUUAACAAAAAGAAUAAGGCAUUAAGCCAUUACAUAUACAAGUCAACUUGUAAAGCUAACAAGUUAUCACCUAAUCAACUACCUAACACCACUAAAAUUACAUUGGAAAUUGUUAAUCAGCUUGCUUAAGUUACUUUGCUGAUUUUUCAGUCAAUCAAUCAACAAAAUUACAUCAAAAGUUUACCAACUAAAUUCUACAAGAACUGAAUUACAAAAUACAAACUUAAUUCAACACAACUAGUUGAAUUUGAACAGCAUUGUCGAGUUCAAGUUGCUGCCUUCAAGUGCUGCUUCUUUCCUGCAUGUGACUUGCAUGGAAGCUAACUUCAUCAGAAUCAAUUUGAUUGGUAGUAUUCCAAAAUGGAUUGGCACACUUUCUUCAUUGAGUGUCCUUCUCUUGAAAGCUAGUAAUUUACAUGGUAGAAUUCCAGUUCAAUUAUGCAAGUUGUAUUCCUUGAGCAUGAUAGAUCUAUCUCAUAAUAUGUUUUAUGGUUUUAUACCUUCUUGUUUGGGAAAUUUAACUCUUAAAACGAAAUACCAGAAGACUUUGACAUCAUAUUCUGAGGCAAGUGAUGUAUUGGAAGACAUAUUACCAUACCAUAAGGAAACACGGUGGCGUGGGGAUGACUUACAAGAGUAUCCUGAAACCUACAUGGAAGAAUGGGUACAGUUCACAACAAAGAGUAGGUCCUACUCAUAUGGGGGUCUCAUCCUUGAGGACAUGACAGGGAUUGAUUUAUCUUGCAACAAGUUAACUGGACAAAUCCCACCUGAACUAGGAAACUUGAGUCAAAUCCAUUAACUGUCGUACAAUAACUUAACAGGAGUUAUACCCUCAUCAUUCUCAAACCUUAAGCAGAUUGAGAGUUUGGACCUUUCUUACAAUAGCUUGAGUGGUGAAAUCCCUAAUCAAUUGGUAGAAUUGAAUUCUUUAGAGGUUUUCAGUGUGGCACGAAACAAUUUGUCAGGUAGUAUUCCAGAACCAAAAGCUCAAUUCGGAACCUUUAUUGAAAGCAGUUAUGAGGGAAACCCUUUUCUCUGUGGUGCUAUACUGCAUAAAAGUUGCUCCAGAAUCAAUUCGCCAUCAACAAUAUCAACUAUAUCAGAUGAUAAAGGAGAAGAUGGUUUGUUUGAUACUUAUGAUUUUUGUGUGAGUUUUUUUAUUUCUUAUGUAGUUGUGUUGUUGACGAUUUUUGCGGUCCUUUACAUAAAUCCAUAUUGGCGAAGAUCUUGGUUUUCUUUUGUCGGAAAAUGUAUCACCACCUGUCGUUUCUCAAUUGGAGGCAGCUUUCUUGCGUAUUACAUCUUCAAGCGAUGUGUUUAACUAUCAUGAAGAUUUAUGCAAAGUUUGUUCAUGUUGUCUUCGGAAAAAAAUUCUGCUAUGAUCUUUUAUAUCAGGUGAGCACCUGAUUGUUUUUGGUGCUAAGACGGAUUUUGUUUAUUUUAUAUUUUGAUUAAAGCUUUUAUCUUUGUGUGAAGGAAGCUUAUAACCUUUGUCUUGUCGGUUAUUGUGGUAGACAUGUAGUCAAUUAAUUAUAUUCACUCUUCUAUCCAUCUCCAAGUUAUUUGGUAUUAAAUAUCUUUUUUAAAUUAUAUUCUGCUUUAUUAAAAAAAAUUCAAUAUAAAAACCAAGUUUAUAUCUUUUUCAAAUGCUUCUCUCUAUGCAUUUAUGACAUGUUUUUCGAUAUAAAAGUUAUAUACACAAGCAGAUAUUCCUUGGGUUAAAACAUGUAGCGGUCCUACUCUUUAGAUUUGCUAGGCACCCAUGCAUACAUAUGUAGAAGUAUUUGCUUUGGGAUGUAAGGUGGUGAGACUAUCAUCACAGCUUUGCUUAAGACUAAUAUUGUGAAAGAAUUAGAUUCUUGGAUCCAACAGUAAACAGAGCGGAUCAACUUAAGUUAAUCCUACUCUUCAUUUUUAUAUCUAAUCAUUUACGAACAUGGAUAUGAGAAUAUAACUGAGUCCAAGUAACAUUGUUUUUAAUCAAGGGGGGUUGGGUUUGAGUGGUGGACCCAUUUUUUAGAUGUAAGAUGAGUUUAUCAUUUUCAAAUUUGUUGAUAAUCCUUCAUUUAAUCUGCAGUGAAGUUGAUAGAUAGUCUUAAGAUACUGCCCCAAGAAACUAGAUAUAGUAAAUGUUGGUGUUGGCUUUGGGAUUAAAAGGUUGCCCCCUCAACCUUGCCAUAGAAGAAGGCUUAAAGUCUUCACUUGAGAAGCAGCCCAAAUUUGAUCUCCCACUUGAUUUGUAUACAAUUAUUUACUUUGGAAAAGUCUUUUAAUUGAGGGUUUCAUUAAUUUGUAAAUCUUAUCAUACGGCGUUGAUGUCGGAGAAUGUAGGCAUUCUGUUAAACCUCUUAAAUUUAGUGUGUGUUUUCCUUUAUUAUUUUAUUUGUAUUUAUCGGUUGUUCUGUUACGUUUUAAUAUUCAAUUAUGAUUUGGUGGGUUAAUCCGUUGUGUUGAGUAGUUUCAAUUUACUUUUGGUUCAUUAUUGAAGUUACAUUCUGCCUUAUGUUGCUAACAUUAUUAAUUCUCUAAUAUUUAAAAAUAAAAAUAAAAAUUAUGUGGUUAUUAAAAUUAUAAUACUAAAUUGAGAAACACAAAUUAAUACUUAAUUAUAAAAAAAAAAUGAAACCCACAAGAGUAUACGUAUUAAUUUAUUUUUCUCAAUUUAGCAUCAUAAUUUUAAUAACCACAUAAUUUUAAUUUUUAAAUGUUAGAGAAUUAAUCAUGUUAGUUAUUUUAAUAAAUCCAUAAAAGGAACAAAAUAUAUCAAAUUAAAUAAUAAAAACUAAAAUUUUAAUUCAAUUGAGUAAGACUAGGGAUUAAAACUGUAAAUUGAUGUAUAAUAAUUUUUCAGGCAUUAAUUAUGAGAUUAUUUCCGUGAGGGGGGCCUAUAUAAGCUCAAGGUUGAUGUAAAAGUCAAUAGUCAACAUUUGAAAGUUAAUACAAUGAAUUAUGUGACUGUUGAUAUAUGUAAUAAUAAUUUCUUAACAAUUUCCUCCAAUUUUCAUUAUUAUUCAUUAUUUGUUUUACUCAUUAAUGAAAUUUGGUGUGAAUACAUUAAAUUGAAGGUCAUUCAAGGAAAUGGUAAUGUCCAUUUUCCACGCGACAAAAACUUUCUUGGUCAAACAAGUUGGAUUUGGCUUCUCCAAUAACUUAAUAAUCUGUACUAAAAUUUUCCACACAAUAGAAUACGAACUCGUUCUCGUAAAUAUUUUGAAAAAUAAAAUAAUAUUAUGAGUUAACGAAUUAUCAAUUUAAUUAAAAAAUUAAAAGAUACAUUUUUAAAAUUUUAUGAAAUUAUAUGUUAAUAUAAUUAUAAAAUUAUAGUUCUAACUUUAUAAAAUUUAUUUUUUAUCUUUAAUCCUGAAGAGAGACAAAUUAAGAUAACUAUUCUUGGGGCCAUAACGACGACUAGGAUUAUGAUUGCACAUUUUCUAAGUCUUCAUUUUUAUUAAUUAGGAAAGAUGAUGGGCAUCUCCACUAAAUUUCCACCCACAAGAAUAUACAUAUUAAUUUGUUUUUCUCAAUUUCCAUGAGGGGGACCUAUAUAAGCUCAAAGUUGACGCAGAAGUCAAUAGUUAACAUUUGAAAGUUAAUGCAAUGAAUUAUGCGAAUGUUGAUAUAUGUAAUGAUAUUUUCUUAACAAUUUCCUCCAACUAUUUUGUAGACGGUGCUAUAUUACAUCACAAUGGGUGACCAAAUAUAUAUAAUUGAGAUUUUUAAGCAAAUAUUAUAUUUUAUCUUUAUCCAUGAAUAGUAUAAUAAUUAGGAUUAAUAUUUGGUACAUUGUUAGUGGAGUUUUUAAAUUCCAUAAGGAGAGUUAAAGGAUUGACACGUAUCCUAUAGAGGUGUAGUAUAUAAUAUUAAAAAAAUAGAUAUUUUUAAAAAAAUAGACACAUGCCAAUUUUUUAAUGUUGCUUGUGGGGUGCACUUGAAUUGUGGUUCAUAGAAGGAAAUUAUUAUAUAAAGGUUUAAUUCUACAAUAGUUCUUGUACUUUACUGAAGUUGUAGAUUUAAUUCCUAGACUUUAAUUUGAUAUUUUAGAUAUUUCUUAAAUUCAUUAAGUAUUUGUUAAAUUCAUUAAGUUCUACUAUUUCAAAAUUUGGUGUGACAAACAUAUUAUCAUAUGUGUAAUAUCACUAAAAUUCAAAACAAUGAGAAAUUUGUACAUAUUAUCAGAUGUCAAUAUCAAGUUGAACAUUUCAAAAUUUAAAGUAAUGGUGCAAGUCUUUAUCUUUCCAACAAACCAGAAUUUUCUACAUGAUGGCUUUUUUUUUUUCUUUUUUUUUCUUUUUGCUAUUAGUUAAGAGGAUUUUUUUAAAAAAUAACCCAAUUUAAUUAACUAAUUACAAAAAUGAUUCAAGUAAAACUCAAGUCAUAUUAAAAAUAAUUAUUUAUAAAUUUUAUGUUUCAAAAACUAAUGAAUGUUCAAAGAAUAGUGAAUUAUUAAAGAGAAGUUAUAUGAUAAUUGAUAGUUUUAAAGUAGUGGUCUAGUAGAAAUAAAUAGUUUUUUAUAAAAAAAUAUUAUAUAAAUAAUUAAAUUUUAUAGUUACUCCUAUUUUUUAAAAAAUAGUGAAUGUAAUAUUUUUUUAAAAUGUUAAAUUAACUCAUGAUAUUAAUUAAAUCAAGAAAUUUUAUAAUAAUAGAGAUGAAAAAAACUAAAUUUUCAAAAUCAAAACCUAAAAUGUGCAAGAAUAAAAGCAAAAUCAAAAUCAAAGAAGUAAAAUUUCCAUGAAUGAAACCAAAAAUGAAGACCUAAAUUUUCCAUUAAUAAAGCCAAGUCAAGACUAAGUUUGUAUAUGUGUAAGAAGGGUAUAAAUGAAGCUCACAAGAAAGCCACAUGAAGACUUUUGCAACCCCAACCACAAGAUUUUAUGUCCACCUCUCACUUUUCAUAUUUUUUUGGCCAUUCGUUUUUCAAGAUUAACAUCAACAUUCUUGUGGUCCAUUCAUCCUUUCCUAGCGAAUUUCCACCAGGAGUUUUUGCAAUAAGGAAUUUACGUAAAUAAAAAGCCUAGAUUUUGAUCCAAUUUUUGAGGAAUUAAUUAAUUAUAUAUUAUUUUUACAUUAUAGUGAAUUAGUGGGAUCCAGUAUGUUCUGCUUGUAUAUAAAUAAGAAGGUUAGGCUGCUUUAGAUUAUUUACAUAUAGAAGUUAACAAAAAGUAACAUAUAACUGAGAGAGAAGUGAAAACAGAGAGAUGAUGAUGAUGGAGUGGAAAUGGUUAAGGCUUAUUAGGAUGGCAGUAAUGUUGUUGGUGUUAGAAGGAUGCAGAUGGUGUACUACUGAUGCUUGUUUGGAGCAUGAGAGAAUCGCUCUCUUGCAUCUCAAGCCUUUCUUCAAUUAUGGUAAUCAAUUGCAAAGUUGGGUUGAGGUGAAGGGUUCAGAUUGUUGUAAAUGGAAAAGAGUUGAGUGUAACACCACCACUAGGAGACUCAUAAAACUCUCCCUUAAUUCUACAAGAUGGUUUGACAAUAUGGGAUACGACAUGGAUAAUGGGAAUCUCAAUGCCUGGUAUCUCAAUACCUCUAUGUUUCUUCCCUUUGAGGAAUUGAAGAGUCUUUAUUUGUCAGGAAACGCCAUAGGUGGUGACCUUGAAAAUGAAGGUCGUGCCUUUAACUUUCCAUUAAUUACAUCUUUUAUUAUUCCACUACUCUCACCAUUGUUAAUUUGCAAUUACUUAUAUUUUAUUUUAUUUUAUUGAAGAAAAGUCACUAACUGCUUGUAUAUAUUUAAAAGAACACUUCUACAGGCUUUGGAAAACUAUCAUCCACAUUGAGUAAUUUGGAGAUCCUUGACUUAAGUUUCAAUUACUUGAAUGAUAGCAUUUUGUUAUCUUUGAGUGAGCUUUCCUCUCUCCGGUAUUUAGACCUAUCAUACAACCAAUUUGAAGGAUCAAGUCAUCCAAGAGGUAAAUUAAAUUUGGUCUGGUGUAAGUUUUUAUUUGUAUAGUAGAGUUUGAGGAUGGUCUUCUAGGCUUGGUACCUAGUUUUCCAUUCUUUUUAUCCGUUGUAAUUCCACUUUUGCUUUAGUAAAAUUUUCAUAUAGCUAAGAAAGAAAAAAACAAUUAACAAGUAAUUAUGUAUAUAUAUCAGGUUUUCAAUUGCUUUCAAGACUCAAUAACUUGGAAACUCUUGAUUUAAGUUGGAAUUCUUUGAAGAAUAGCAUUUUGUUCCAUAUGAGAAAUCUUUCAUCCUUGAAGACUUUAAGAUUGAGACGUAAUCAGUUGAAAGGAAGGCUGGAUCAUAUUCAAGGUAGACUGAUUUUACCUGUUUCUUUUCAACUUUAAAAAUCAAUAUGUAUAUUCAAGUUUGAUUUCAUCAUACGAUCAAUAUAUAACUAAUCAAUACUUGGGAUUGAAUUUUAGGGUUGAAUAAUUUGACAAACUUGAAAUACUUGGAUUUAAGUGACAACAGCAUUGAAAGCAUCUCAAACCAAGGUAUAAGUACAGUAUUUAUAUGUCAAUUCAUAUUAAAGGUAGACUGGUUUUAUAUGUUUCUUUUUUACUUUAAAACCAAUUUUUGUUUAAGGGACAGUUAAUGUUGCAAUAUUUCAAAAUAGAGUAAAUUAAGUAGGAAGGUAUCUCAAACAAAGUAUUUAUAUGUUGAAUCAAUUAAGUUUUACUUGUAAAAUGUAGCUUAUCAAUUCAUGGGAAAGCUUGUAAAUUGGCUCUUCCUUCUCAAACAAACAUUUUUCCUAGCUAUUUAUAUAUUGAAUGAUAUUAACUAUACUAAUUAUUUUCUUCCAAUGAUAGAUGGAACACAAUGGAGGCUAACAAACUUAGAGGAACUUGAUUUAAGUAAUAAUCUCUUUCGGAACAACACAAUUUCCUUUCCUCAGGGGCUUUCAAGCCUAAAGUACAACAACAGUUUGCAAGGCUCAUUAGAUACUAAAGGUACUAAAGCUAUAACUUUGUUUUUCUUGAUAAUUCUUUCUAGAACCUUUUAAAAUUAAUUGUUUCAAAUUUGAGCAUUCAGAUUUCACGUUUGAGGUUUUUCAUCUUCACUUCAAGUUUUAGAUAUACUUUUUUUUUAUUUCAUUAAAAUAUUAAGUAGAAAUUAAAAUUAUUAACAUAAUGAUUUUUUGAAUUGGACAUGGAUAUGUAUAGGAUUGAGAAAUUUAACAAAUUUGAAGAAACUCGAUUUACGUUGGAAUCAAAUUGAAAGCUUUCAAUCCUUUAAAGGUAUGCAUUUAUAUUUAACCAAUUACCUAAAUUCUUACAUAUAAUUAAAUUUUAUGCCAAUUCAUUUUAGUGAUGAAAUUAUAUAAAUCUUUUGUAGAUGGUGGUUCAAAAUUGGAGUUGACCCACUUGGAAGAGCUUAAUUUAGAUGCAAAUCUCUUCAAUACUAGUGUAUUUGCAUCCCUUAACAAGCUUUCAAAUUUGAAAUCUUUGAGCAUAAAGUUACAAUGAAUUGAAAGGAUCAAUAGAUACGAAAGGUAAAAAUAUUAGUUUUUUAACAAGAAUAUAAUAAUGUUUUAAGAGAAUAUAAUGAAGUUGAUUUGUUAAUUUUGUUUUCCUAGAUUUGGAUGCAUUUAUCAAGUUAAGGGAACUAUAUUUGAGCGACUAAUGAAUUGAAAGAUUUGGUGAUCCACCAAGGUAUCAUUUAAUUAAACUUCUUUUUUUUUCUAAUUUAGAAAUUUAGUUUUUAUCUCAGAUAUUAUAAUAACGGUUAUUGUCAUAAAUAUUAAUAAAGUUAUAUCAUAUCAUACUUGAAAGUAAAAUAUGAGUUUGGUGAAACAUUUUCUAAAUCCUCCAUUAUAAUGUGUUUCAACUUUAGUUUGAAAUUAAAAUUCUUUAAAAUUUUCUUAAUUUUAAAAUAUUAAUGUUUAUAAUUAUUUUGUUUGUAAAAAUAUAUUUUUUAAAAUAAUUUUUUUAAUUUUUAUGAGAUAAAAAAUAAUUAUAACAAUAAAAACAAUGAUAUUACAAAUAAAUAAAAACAUAUAUUUAUGAGAAAAUAUGUAAUAUAACUAUAUUUUAAUUUCAUAUUUUUUUAAUAGUAUAAAACAUAAAAAUACAUAUUAGAGUUACAUAAAUCACAUUUUUUUUGCCAAAAAUAAAUAAAUAUGAAUUUUGAAUAAUUUAAAAAAAUCUUCAAUUUUAUGAAAUUUAAACAUACAUUUAGAGGUGCUUAAACUUCCAUCGCAAACUUUUUAUAAAUUUCAAAAUGCACAUGAUAUUAACAUAUGUCUACAUACUCUUUAUAAAUUUGUAAUUUAAUUCUUAUACUUUUAUUUUUAGGAAUUUAGUCCCUCUAUUUUAAAAAAAAAAUUCAAAAUCCAAGUUCAAUAGUUAAAAUUGUUAAUUUUUUUUAAAAAUAAUUAGUUGGUGUGACAUUUUGAAAUAAAAAAACUUUGGUAGCAAUGUAACUAAAAAAUGACAUAAUGAAAAUGGAUUUAAUAAAACAAUUUUAACAGUAUUAAUAAUUAGACUUGAAUUUUGAAAUUGAGUAAAAUAAAUGGCAUAAAACAUAAAAAUACACGUUAGAGUUAAUUAAAUGGCAUUUUUUGGCCAAAAAUAAAUAAAUGUCAAUUUUGAAUAAUUUAAAAAAAACUUCAAUUUUAUGAAAUUUAAACAUACAUUUUGAGGUGCUUAAAAAUUUUUUUCCAAACUUUUUAUAAAUUUCAAAAUGCACAUGUUAUUAACUUUUUGGUUUAAAAAAUGUGAUAGGUCUACGUACUCUUUACGAAUUUGUAAUUUAAUUCUUGUAUUUCUAUUUUCGUCAAUUUCCCUCUAUUUUUUAAAAUUUAAAAUCCAAGUUCAAUUGUUAACAUUGUUAUUUUUUUAAAUUAAUUUAUUGGUGUUGACAUUUUGAAAUAAAAAAACCUUGGUAGCAAUGUAACUAAAAGAUGACGUAAUGAACAUGGAUUUAAUAAAAUAAUUUCAAUAGUAUUAAUAGUUAGACCUGAAUUUUGAAAAUUUAUUUUUGUAAAGAGAAAAAUAUGCACAUUAGAUUUAAAUAAAAAUAAUAUUUUUUUAGUUUAAAAUUUUCUAUUUUAUAAUAGAACCAUGAUUUAAAUAAAUGAAAUUUUGAAGAGUUGCCAAAAAAAACUAUGUAGGUGAAAUUUAAAUAGAGAAUUUGAGAAGCUGAAAGUCUCUUUCGGAAUUUAUAAAUUUUAAAAUUCAAAAGGAUGUAUUUUGACAAUUUUAGGGCAAUGAUUUAGUGCUUUAAAAUUUUGAUUUAAUAUGGAGAAUUUAAUUAAAAAUUUAUUUAUUAGAUUGUAAAAUAUUUCUUAACAUUUAUAAUUGAGUACAAAGUAAAUUAAGUUUAAGGGAAAAUAUUAGGUACUAUUAAUGAAACUCUUUUCUUUUAUCAAAUUUUUUUUAAAAAAAUCUGGUUUUUAAAAAAAAUCGGGGUGGUACUAUUAAUGAAAUUCUAAACUUGAUAAGUAGGAUUGAGAUAAUAACAAAUAUAUUAUAUGGUAUAAUAAAAUAUUAAAAAAAGAAAUAUUUAAAAGAAAUAGGUUACUGGCCAUUUUUUAACUUCACUUGUAGAGUUAAAAAACUCCAUUACUAGUACCAAAUACUAAUAUUAAGGAAUUAAAUGCUAAAUUAAUUUCAAACAUAUUUAAAUCUGAUAUGAAUCAAGAAAAAAUUUAUUUUGAAAUUAUAUUUUAUCUUAGAAUGCUAAAAAAGGAUUAGUUUAAUUAAUAAAAUGAAUAAAUAGUUAUGUUAAGAUUUGGACAUUCUCUAUUAAAAUUUUAUUUUAUUGAUGAAAACAAAUAUUUAUAUAUUUCUUUCACUUACAGAAAAUAAGGGAUUGAGAAAUUUGAAAGUUUUGUUUCUUUAUCACGCUUUCACCGAUGGAAGCAUUCCAUUACAAAAUUUAGUGGAGUCUUUCUCAUCAGUUAAAGCCUUUCAUCUACAAUACAAUUAUCUGAACAUGACUCUGGCUACUCAAGGUAAGUGAAAGUCAUUAUGUUCUUUUCCAAAACAGCUUACGUUUAUUAACAUCUAAUACCUCUUCCCAUCCUAUAGAAUUAAAUGUGUCGAGCAAUGUGGAGGAAUUAUAUUUUGACGGAUCUACUCUCAACACCAACAUUUUGCAAAGCAUUGGAGUAUUCGCUUCUCUUAAAACAUUGUCUUUACAUGAUUGUGGACUUAUCGGUCCCUUACCUAAUCAUGGUAAAUAAAUUUAUGGGUCAAAUUGACUUCUUUAUGAGCCUUCUGGGAUAUAAUAUCUCCUAUUCUGUUUAAUAGAUCAAAUUUAAUUAAAAUUUCUUCAAUGAAUUUAUAAAUUUUUCAGGAUGGUGUGAUCUAAGGAACCUUGAAGUGUUGGAUGUGAGUGGGAAUGCACUUGAGGGGAUGCUUCCUCAUUGUUUCAGUAACUUGACAUCUCUUCGUGAGUUACAUAUUUCAGCAAACCGUUUUCAAAUUCCACUAUCAUUCGCACCAUUUGCAAACCUUUCAAACCUCAAAGUCCUUUCCGGUGAUGAAAACAAGAUGGUAAUGGAACCUUCCUUUUAUACCUCAGUCCCAAAGUUUCAAUUGACCAGCAUCAGUUUGUCAAAGUGCAUUACAUCUCAACAACUCAAUCUUGAACUUCCUACCUUCCUUUACUACCAAUAUGACUUGAGAUAUGUGGAUCUUUCUCAUAACAAUUUCAGCGGAACAGUCCCAACUUGGUUGUUAGAAAACAACACAAAGUUAGAAGUUCUCAUCUUGAUGGGUAAUUCCUUUACUGGUCCUCUCUCAUUUUCGUCAGCUCUUAUUUCUAAUGUAUCUUCAAUUGACAUAUCUGAAAACAAAUUACAAGGUCAAAUUCCGACUAGUAUAUGUUCAACUUUUCCACAUUUGUGGCGGUUAUUCUUAUCCAAGAAUGCUUUUGAAGGUAAUAUCCCACUUUGUUUAAGUGUCAUGAAGGACUUAUCAUUUUUAGAUCUAUCAAACAAUCAAUUGUAUGGAAAAGUACCAGAAGAGUUGAUCGCGAAAGGCUCACUGACCAUUUUGAGACUAUCAAAUAACAAGCUCAGUGGAAAUGUAGUUCCUGUGGUUCUCAACUCAAAUGGGGUGCAGAAUUUAUAUUUGGAUGGAAACAAUUUUUCAGGAGAGAUGACAAAUGUUGAUUUGUCUACUUUUGAGUUUCCAAAUUCAAUAAGGGAAAUUGAUCUUAGUAACAACAAGUUGCAUGGAAAGCUCCCAAGAUGGAUAGGGAAUGCAUCGUUUUUGGAGAGAUUAGCUUUGUCCAACAGCGGUUUCGAGGGUUCUAUUCCAAUGGAAUUUUGCAAGUUGAAUAGGUUGGAAUUUUUGGAUCUUUCCCAAAAUCAUUUAUCUGGAUCUAUACCGUCAUGUUUUAAUCCACCAAACAUAGAGCAUGUCCACCUCCACGAGAAUAGACUGAGAGGUCCACUAUCACUUGCUUUUUAUAAUAGCUCCUCUCUAGUGACUUUAGAUCUUAGAGGAAACAAUUUGACAGGUAAUAUUCCAAAAUGGAUUGACACAUUUUCUUCUUUGAGUGUUCUUCUCUUGAAAGAUAAUCAUUUUCACGGUAAAGUUCCAAUUCAGUUAUGCAAGUUGCAUUCUUUAAGCAUCAUAGAUCUUUCUCAAAAUAUGUUUUCUGGUCCUAUACCUUCUUGUUUGGGAAAUUUAUCUCUUCCAAUGCAAACGAAGAAGAUUCUAGACAUUGGGAUCUAUAGGCAAUCUACAGAAGAGGAUGAAUCAACACGCAUUAUGAUAGCAAAUCUGGGACUGGAUUCUUACUACCCUUACAGCUACUUUGAAGAAGUAAUAGAGUUCACAACAAAGAGUGGGUUCUAUUCGUACAAGGGCGACAUCCUUUCAUAUAUGACUGGGAUUGAUUUAUCUUGCAACAACUUAACUGGUCAUAUCCCACCAGAAUUAGGGAACUUGAGUGAAAUCCAUUCUUUAAACCUUUCACACAAUAAGUUGACCGGAGUUAUACCCUCGUCAUUCUCAAAACUUCAUCAAAUUGAGAGUUUGGACCUUUCUUACAACAACUUGAGUGGUGAAAUCCCCAAUCAAUUGGUAGAGUUGAACUCUUUGGAGGUUUUCAGCGUGGCAUUUAACAACUUUUCAGGUAGUAUUCCCGAACCAAAAGCUCAAUUUGGGACCUUUAUUGAAAAUAGUUAUGAGGGAAAUCCGUUUCUUUGUGGAGUUAUAUUGCAUAAAAGUUGUUCCAAAACCGAUUCACCAUCAACGAUAUCAACUGUAUCAGAAGAUAAAUGAGAAGAUGGUUUGAUAGAUACUUAUGAUUUUUGUGUGAGCUUUUUGGUUUCUUAUGUAGUUGUGUUGUUGACAAUUUUUGUUGUCCUCUACAUAAAUCCAUAUUGGCGAAGAGCUUGGUUUUCUCUAGUUGGGAAAUGCAUUACCACCUGUCACUACUCAAAUGUGGGCAAUUCUUACUUAUCACAUUUUCAAGCGAUGUGUUUAGCUACUCAAAUUGCGAUUUGAUUUCCACACCUAAAUGUUUAAUUAUGCUAAGUUGAGCGAUAAUGAAUAUUUUGUUGAUUUUUGCAUUUUGAAUAAAAGCUCUUUUACCUUAUGGUUUUAUCAUUUUCAACCAACUAUUUCUUUUUUCUUCUAUGAAAUUUAAUGUAAAAUCAUAAUCCAUUAUUAUGUAUAUGUAAUAUCUCUUUAAAUUAAAUUAAAUUAAAUUAACUGCCAAGCGUUCACUAGUGCAUACUAAAAAGGAAAUCUAAUGUAAAAUUAAAUAACAUACUAGAAAAUUGAAUCUAAAACUGGAAUAUUUUAAAACCUCACAAAUAAUGCAAUUCUUUAUUCCUCUUUUCCUCUCAAGUUAUUUUGUAUCAUGUUAUAUUUUACAUAAUUAUUCGUAUCAUUGAAUUUUAAAAAAAAUUUAAUAUUUUGAUAUCAUGUUCAUAUUAUGCUUUAAUUCACAAUAUAUUUUGUAUAAUAUGUUAUAACAAUUCAAUUUAAAAAACAAGCAAUUAUCUUAUUUUUGCAUACCGUAAUAUACAUUUACAUGUUAAUAAUUCUUUGUACAUAAAUUUUGACAUGUUCGUAUAUUCGAGUCAUUAUAAUUUUAUUAUUUGUAAUAUGACAUGUUUUACUUACCCUUAAUAUUGUGUCAUGAUAAUUAUAACUCGAUUGGCAGUGUACCAAAUAUUUUUCUAAUAAAAAAUAGUAUUUUAUUCUAUUUACCAAAUCUUUAUCAACUUUAUAUUCUCACCAACAAAACAUACAUUCAAAGUUCAAAUAAGUUCCACACCCAUUUAUGCUCAUCAUCAGAAAGCUGAAAUAUUCCACUCUAAUUAACAUUAUGAUUCUGUAAACAACAAAAAAGUGUGAUCUUUUUUUAAAGCUCUUUUUUUUCUUUAAUGAAAUGGGAUUGGUAAAAAAUCCGCACAUGUGUCGUGUGUGAAGAAGGUCAGGUUGUCUAUUCAUUCUCUAAUAAGUAGCUAAUUAUAGUUGAUCCUACAAAAUCAAAAUUAAUUCAGGUAUCUAUAUAUUCUGAAGACUGGACAGACCUUAGAAGCUCCUUCAAAUUUGCAAGAACAUGUCGUGGUCCUAAACUCUUUACACCGAUGAAAUUCAAAAGUUGCUCUAUAUCCUGCAAUCACAGUAAAGAUUAUGCAAGCUUUUCAGAACGAAUAACAUAACAAGCAAAAGGCAAUCAAAAUACUGUGAUCUCGAUAAUGUUCUUUGCCGAAAAGGAACAUAAACAUAACCUGAAAACAUCAGUGAAGGCUCAUCAGAUUUGCUUAGCAACCUUACAUACACAUGUAAAAAGCUUUGCUUUUGGAUGUAAGGUGUGACUAUCAUCACAGUCUUUCCUAAUUAGCUGAUAACCCUAUAUCUAACAUUAAUCAUGGCUAAGCAAAUUAACAUACAUAAUGUAAAGGAAUUUGACUAUAAGAUCCAACAUAAAACUUAAUAAAAGAUAAUCAACAUAGAAAGUUAAAAGGCAAUGCAAACUUAUUACAAUGAUGCAAGUGGAUCAAAAGAAAGCACUCUAUAAGGAAUUUGCAUUUAAGGCAUUGUAAACAGAAAAAAAAAAUAAAACUUUUUGGAAAGUAUUUUCAAAGAGGAGACAAACAGGGUAGAAAAAAUGUUUGGUCCUUCCUUUUUCUAUUUCUACUGUGGUGAAAAAGCCUUUUUGGGUUAAAAGUGUUUUUACACUGCAGAAGUGUUUUUCCACUGCAGAAGUGACGAAGAACACAUAGCUUUUGUAGUCAAAAACCUACUGCUUUUGGCUUUUGCAUUUCGAAGUGAAAAUUAUAAAAAUACUCUUAGAUUAAUUUAUAUUUUAUAUAUUAUUAUAUUAAUUGUUUAAAUCUUAUUUAUUAUUAUAUUUAAUUUUUUUCAAAAUAUUUUAUAUAUCAUCAAUUUUAUAAAUAAUUUAAAUUAAUUACUUAAAAGGUAUUUAAAAGUUAUAUUUCAUGUAUCAUUAUAUUAAAUUAUUUAAAUAUCAUAUAACUUGACUAAUUUUUUUCUUUCUACCAUCAUGUCUAAAAAAGACAUUUUAACUUUCAACUGCAAUUUUUGGCAGCAAUGAACAACACUAAAAACUAACAAACACACUUUUCCGCACCACAUUUCAACAACACUUUUUUCUAAACGCACUUUUGAACUAGUCCUUAGUCUAUCAUGCAUCAACUCUUCAUUUUUCUUUAACUACCCAUGUCCGACUUCGAACAUGGAUAUGGAGAUAUGACCAAGUCACAGUGACAUAGUUUUUAGUUAUGGGGAAUGGGAUUCGAGUGCUGGACCUCCUUUUAGAUGCAUGGUGGGACUUCAUCACAUUUUUCAAAUUUGUUGAUAAUCCUUCACCUAAUCUGCCGGUGAAGUUUAUAGAUAGUCUUAAGUGUCUAUCACAAGAACCUAGAUAUUGUAAAUCCAAUAUCUUCCAAACAAUUCAACCAUGAUAUUAAUGAUGAUGGAAGCAAGAUUAUCCACUAUCAAUGACAUAAAAUGAGCUGUAAAUGCUGACGAACAAACAUGCACUGUUUUUCCAACCUGUGGAUUGAAGAGCAUUGACAAGCUAACUUUGCAGACCAUUUGAAUCCAAUACUAUACAUAAAAAUGCCAAAGGAGAAUAAUUCAUCUUGGAAAAAGAAUUACUAAUAUGCAAAAGCUUACCUUGUUUAACAAGAAAACAGCAUAUGCUGCUCUUGUCGUGUCUUGACCUUCUAAAAACAGCGGAAAUUCUGCCAGCUUUACAUUUGCUGAAAGUGUUGUAUCCAAUGACAAAUCAGAAGAUGCAGGGUCUAUUGAAGACGCAUGGUCAUUAAUAUAUGAGCGAGAACCACCCAAGCGCAGAGGAUAACGCAAGGGAACUUGUAAAUAGGAUGCAAUUAGUGAAACAGCCUGCAAAUGAUGAAAUAACAGGAAACAAGAAACAAUAAUAGGUAUGAUUAAAAUUAUAGCCUCAGCAUGAGAAACAAACAAUCAAGAUGCAACCCACUAUACCAUAUUACCAUCCUAGCAAUUAAAAAUUACUACAGCAUCUUCAAGCAACAAGGGAUUGUAGGUGGUAGGUCAAAAAACUUGAUAUCCACAGCUUGAUAUUAUCAGAAAAAACAAAUUCAGUAAUAAAUGAUAACUUCACAGAAGAAAUAGAACGCACAUGUGCAACAUAUCCCAAGGCAGUUGCAGAUCUCUGAACCUCCUUUUUGUCAGUGAAAAAACUCAUCUUUGUAAAAGGAAGCAAGGUGAGAUUCAGACCUAAAAUUGUCAACGAUCCUUGAUUGACGGGCUUUGAUGCAGAAGGAUUCCCUAUUGAAGACAGGAACAAAGGAACUUCAUAUCAGUACAUCACCAGACACCACCUCUUUGUGAAAGUCAAAAGAAAAUUCAAAAAAAUAUCAUCAUGAAAGUAAGAGAUAUGUAAAAAGCUCAUAAUAUUCAAGAGCAAAAAAAAAUUGUUUUGAUAUGAGGAGAAUUGAAUAGUAGAUUGCUAAAAGAGGAAUAACUGAAUACAACCAUUAUAACCAAAAGAAGAGUCAAGUGAUAGGUAAUGGUACUCCCUAAGCUGUUUAGGAAUCAUAAAAGACUUGUCCAGUCGACAAAAAUAACUCAUUUUAUUCUCCCCUAGUAAAACAUCAUAUUGGACCAACCAUAUUUGAUAUCAAAGGAUAUGCAUAUCCAGGCAUGCCAUUUAUAGAUAUUCCCAGUGUUACAAGAAGGAAUUGUUCAAGAGAAAGAAGCUGCUAUUGUUGGUAAAGUUUUCCUCAAACCAUUUUGAACAUCCAAAAUCUCAAGAACAAAAAAGAAAACGUAGGAGGAAAUAUAACAAGCAUCACAACGGGUUCUCGAUGAUAUAAGUGAGAGGAUAAAUGUUAAUUAAGAUUAUAAAAAUAAACCACAAACUAAACAGGAAAGACAUGGAUUUCAAAACGAGGAGACUGGCUGCUAAUUAAAACCAUAUGCGGCGUUGUCUAGGGCGCAAGGCACAUUCUAGGUGCUAACCUUUAUAUUGCCUCAAGCACAAGGCACAAAAGGAAGCGCUAGCCUGAGUGCAGUAAAGCGCAAUACGUAUAUGUGAGAGUUUUUGCAAGUCUGUGUGUCUAUAACAUAAAAGUUUUAAGAUAUAUGGUAAACUCUAAAGUGUGGUCUGGUUUAUCCACAAAACUUGCAAAAUUUUUAUAGGUGAAUACUUAAAUAUUGAGAAUUAUAGAGUUUGAUAUUAUCCCUUUCUUAUUAGUAAAGGUGUAUCAAAUGAAAACAGUAGAAAAUAAAAUAAAAUAUUGAGAAAUUCAACAAGGCAGGCUUUUUCUAAUGCCCAUUGCCUUACAAAAAAAGUGUGCCUAGGUGCACCAGGCAUACGCUUGAUCAAAUGGACCUCACCUGGAAGGGUCCAAGGCGUUUUGUUGUAUAAAACUAAGGCGUAGGCACGCCUAGGCGCAUGCCUUGACAACACUGACCAUAUGUUGGCUUUAUUGCAAAGCAUUAGCAAUCCAAAACUACUAGCACAUUACCUAAUCUACUACUGCUAGAAUAGGACUCAAGUUCUUGCUCCUGUGCAGGUCCAACCAAGAUCUUUACAGGAUACAAUAAUGAAACUUGUGAUAUCAUAUAUUGUUGCCUUGCUCGAAGCUUCCUUUGCACAUUUUUAAGUUUAACACAACCCCUUUCUUCAGUGAGUAAUCUAUUUGCUUCCUGUGAUAAAAACAACAUAUAAUCAAUCAUGCCACGCAUGCAAGACUACCAACCAACUAUCUAAUAAAAGAGACAAAGAAGUAGGAGAGCAAGAAGGGGAUAACCCUUGACUAUGCAAAGGAAUUCAUAGAAUGAGAAUCAUCUCAUCUAAGCCCCUCAACCACCUUCACAGGGGGUGGAGGUGCAAAGAGAGAGGUCUUAUUGAUCCGAGAGGAGAAUAUAUAACAUCUAAAGCUGAAUAAGAAGAAACCUUCAAAUAUAUCAUAAAUUCAGAAUUCAUGAUAAUAUAAAAAUGAAAUUCCAAAGCUAAUUUAAGCUAGAAUAAAAAUGCUUCACCUGUAAUCGCUUCCUUGCUACAGAAAGAGAGGUACCAGCAACCAACAAUGAUCUUACUUCAGUACUCAGCAUUUCCUCCUGUUUUUUAGCAUCCUCUGUUGCAACUUUGCAACGAGUUGACAUGUUUGCCAUAACUACUUUCCUUGCCUCUAGUCUCUCACGCAUUUCCUCAAGCUCGUUCAGUUUAUUCAAAGACUCAUUUUUUACCUGCACAGCAUGUUCCCACCCAUUAAUCAGUGGGCCAAUUAAUUAGGUCACAGAAGACAAAACUAAAUUAUCACUCACCAGGUCCCCUUGAAGUGUCAUAUGGCUUUAACAAUUCAACGUGCAAUAUCUAGUAAAAGUGAAAUAAACAUAGAAGAAUGCAAAUGCAAUUCUUAAACGCCUUUAAAUGGACAACAUGAAACAGUUUAAGAGCCCUAUAAAACAGAAAAGUGGAAAAAAAAUCUGAAAAGGAAAAAAAAUGAAUUGAAACAAUAAAUCCAUCUGGUACAAACAGCAACAAAUCUCGAAAUAAGCCUUGGCUUUAGCCCAUUAAAGCCCGGGCAUCCGGCCGAAUAAACAGUGACUGCCAUGUCAACUUUUUGAGACGGUAGAAAAGAGCUCAAAAAUCUCAAUUUCCAAAAUUAAGGACAUAAGAAGGAAAACAAUGUACUUAUUCUUACAGUAGAAGAGCAAAAUGAAACUAAAUGAAGGAUAAGGGAACUGAUGCGAAUUGACAUUGUUAUUUUUGGGACUAAAAAGAAUACGCAGAUUGAAUAUUUAAGAUUUUGUAAGGGAAAAGUUCCAUUCACCAACACAAUUAUCAUCGCCCUUUAUCCCAGUAAAGCUUAAUUGACAAUUUUUCUGUCUCGUGUUCUUGCUAAAGCAUUUGAGCAACCCAACAGAAAUCAUUAUAUGUCAAACUGAAAUGAUUGGCUUUAUCAAUUUCACAACCUAUACUGCCCAACCUAGUAAGUAAUUUAGGUGCAGACACCAGAAAUCUAUUUUCUUUGCACUCUACAACCAAAUAGCCUACCACUUAUCAAUCAAACACAGCUGAAAACUUCAGUGAGGAAACAUUAUGUAAACUGAAAAAACUAUAACUUCAACUUGAUUCAUAGCUCGGUAAGUUCAGGGAACUUGGACUUCUACCACCAUGAUCCAGUUCGAUGUGAAACAGUGAUCCAUAUCACGCAUAUCAGUUCCCGCAACAAGAGGUAAAACAGCAAAUUAGGUAAACAAUGAUCCAACUAUAUUUCAGAAUAGCAACAUUGAGCAUGAAAGCUAAAAUUAUAGCAUAUUAUGGGUCCUUGCUCCCUACAACUACAUAUAAAAUUACUAAACAAUAUUACUACAUUAAGGAUCCAGAAAAACUUGGUUUCAAUUGUUGAUCACUUGAUCCAACUAUUUUAGAAAGUUUAUUCUUCUUUUUCCUUUCCCUUAUUUUCUAAAUCAGGAAAAACAGUAGCAUAUAAACUGGAUUACUACUCCAAUUAAGUUUCUAAAAUUUCAGCAAUAUCCCUUUAACCUUUUCACUCAAGUCACUACCCCCCCCCCCCAAUUAACAAAUAUAUUCCCAGUUUCCCUUUCACUUCAAACCCCCCCCCUUUUUUUUUUCUCUACCCAAAUUCAGCUUACGUUCAAAAACCCAAAAUUGGUUUGCUAAAAAAACAUAAUUUUCAAACCCAAAGGUAACCUAAUUUUAAUCAGAAAAAAAAAAGAAGCAUUACCUGAAUUAGUGAAUGGAGUUUCUCUUGAAGACUUUAUUUUAAAAUUAUCUUAUACUAUUUGCUUUAAAUCGAUUUUUAUUAGUUAUUUGAAACUCGUUUUCAUGUACUAUUUAUUUUUUUAUCACUUAUUUAAAUUGUUUUACAUAUCUAUUUUUUAAACCCUAUUUUAUUAUAUUUUACUUAUUUUAACUUUUUUACAUAUUUCAUUAUAAAUAUUAUUAAUUAUCUAUAUUGAGUUUUUCAUUUAUGUAUUACUUAUUUAGAUAAAUAUAUACUAUUUUGUGUAUUACUUAUUUUGAUUUUCUUCUUAUACAAUAUUACUUUAAAAUUCAUUUAGAUAUUAUUAUUUCACAUAGUAUUUAUUUUUAUCUUCAUUUUUGAUCUAUUUCAAACUCAUAUAUAUUGUUUAUUUUGAAAUUUUAUGCACAUGAUUUAUUGUUUAUAUUGAUGAUUUUAAAUUUCCUUUCUUGUAUUUUUAUUUAUUUAUUUUAAAACUUGUUAUACUUUAUUUGUGUUAAUUUGCUUAGUUUUUCUUUCAAAAUUAACUUAUAAUUCAUUAGCUUUUAAUGUUAGUAUUUGCAUAAUAUGUGAUAUAAGAUUAUUGCUCUCAUGUAUUGCUUAUCUGUAUAUAUUGAUUAUUUGUCAUUCAUUAGUAUAUAUUUUGUUUUACGAAUUAUCACUUCUCGCGUUGUACAUUAUCAUUUCCAUCGCGUUUUAUUUGCUCAAAAAUUAUGUUUAAUAUGGCUUAAGUUUUGAAAUCAUUUUAUCCAAAAGCUUCCAAUAUAGCAUAACACUCGGUGUUUGGGAUUUUUGAAAAGAUCGUACUCUAACUUACGAGGUCUCGAUUUUUUGAUAAUUUCAAAUAUACGAACCUUUUUAAAAAAAAAAACAAGACACAUUUACUUAAAAAUUAUCUCAAGAAUCAAAAAAAGAUCGUGUCCCAACUUACCGGAUAUGAUUUAUUAUCUGAAACCGAUAUGAUCAAGAUUUUUAAAAAUAAAUAAAUUUUGGUGUUUAUUCUCGUUUCGGGAUUUAAGAUAUUGUGUCCUAACUCACGGGAUAUAAUUUUUUUCUCGAUUAACGAGAAAUACACCCUUCUUUAAAUUUUAACAAAAUGGUCAUUUUUUUAAAUUUCUUUUCGAAAUUUUAAUUUUUCGACAUUAAGACAUUAAUUAAUCGAUUAGGUACUAAUUUUGGGCAUGACGGGGUGCUAAUCCUUCCUCGCAUGUAACUGACUCUCGAACCCGUUUUUCUUAAAUUCCAUUGACCAAAAUCAUUGUUUUAAUAAAAUCAAAAUGUUUUAUCAAAACGAUUGAAUUGCAAGGUGAUCCAAUCACACAUAAAAAAAAUGUCGGUAGCGACUCCCUUUUUUUCAUUUUCAAAAUAAAAGUCAACACUAUUUUUGUUUUCAAAAAGUGGUUUCGACAAAAUUGUUUAAAUCUUACUUAUUAUUAUAUUUAAUUGUUUUUCAAAAUAUUUUAUAUAUCAUCAAUUUUACAAAUAAUUUAUAUUAAUUACUUAAAAGGUAUUUAAAAGUUAUAUUUCAUGUAUCAUUAUAUUAAAUUAUUUAAAUAUCAUAUAACUUGACUAAUUUUUUAAUUUCUACUAUCAUGUUUAAAAAGAACAUUUUAACUUUCAACUGCGAUUUUUAGUAGCAAUGAACAACACUAAAAACUAACAAACACACUUUUCAGCACCCCUUUUCAACAACACUUUUUUCUUAAAGUACUUUUGAACUAGUCCUUAGUCUAUCAUGCAUCGACUCUUCAUUUUUCUUUAACUACCCAUGUCCGACUUCAAACAUGGAUAUGGAGAUAUGACCAAGUCAGAGUGACAUAGUUUUUAGUUAUGGGGAAAAGGAUUCGAGUGUUGGACCUCCUUUUAGAUGCAUAGUGGGACUUUCAUCACAUUUUUCAAAUUUGUUGAUAAUCCUUCAUCUAAUCUGCCGGUGAAGUUUAUAGAUGGUCCUAAGUGUCUAUCACAAGAACCUAGAUAUUGUAAAUCCAAUAUCUUCCAAACAAUUCAACCAUGAUAUUAUUAAUAAUGAUGAAAGCAAGAUUAUCCACUAUCAAUGACAUAAAAUGAGCUGUAAAUGCUGACGAACAAACAUGCACUGUUUUUCCAACCUGUGGAUUGAAGAGCAUUGACAAGCUAACUUUGCAGACCAUUUGAAUCCAAUAAUAUACAUAAAAAUGCCAAAGGAGAAUAAUUCAUCUUGGAAAAAGAAUUACUAAUAUGCAAAAGCUUACCUUGUUUAACAAGAACACAGCAUAUACUGCUCUUGUCGUGUCUUGACCUUCUAAAAACAGCGGAAAUUCUGCCGGCUUUACAUUUGCUGAAACUGUUGUAUCCAAUGACAAAUCAGAAGAUGCAGGGUCUAUUGAAGCUGCAUGGUCAUUAAUAUAUGAGCGAGAACCACCCAAGCGCAGAAGAUAGCGCAAGGGAACUUGUAAAUAGGAUGCAAUUAGUGAAACAGCCUGCAAAUGAUGAAAUAGCAGGACAUUAGAAACAAUAAUAGGUAUGAUAAAAUUAUAGCCUAAGCAUGAGAAACAAACAAUCAAGAUGCAGCCCACUAUACCAUAUUACCAUCCUAGCAAUACCUGCAAAACUUUCAUCAAAACGGUAAUAACACUUUUGGACAAUGUGUCCUAUUUUACCACACAACUGGCAUUGGGGCCGAUUGUUUGAAAAACCACCCUCACGGCCUCAUCCUCGAUGGAAACCUCUAUUGCAUUGAAAACCACCUCUAUGUGCCUGUUUGUUCCCUUGAUAGCCACUGUUAUAAUCAUAACACUUGGUCCGAUCACCCUCAUCACAAUCUUGUUUACUAGCUAUGUUAGCUUGUUCGAGAACACUAUUCAAGAACUCAAGUUCUCGAGCUUCACAAUCAAGCAGCAUCUCAAUCAACAGACCAAGCGACACAGCAGUAGCUGAAGCUACUACCCGUACUGAUUCACACUCAACUGGCAACCUUGCAAGAAUGAUGCUAACCAUUUCUUGAUUUGAAAUCAAACAACUCGUUGCAACCAACAUAUCACACAUGGACUUGAUCUUAGACAAAUAUUCUUUAACAAACAGAUGACCCUUUUUCUGUGAAUACAACACAUGAUGCAUACUGGACAAUUUUACCGUCGACUUAGUCGCAAGCCUUUUUUUCAAUAGUUUCCCAAAUAUAAUAACUAGUACGAGCACUAGUAAGAUAGGCUAGAAUUUCAUCACUAUCAGUUGAAAGUAACCAAGAAGCCAAUAGCUUAUCUUGUUGCACAUGUAAAACAGAAUCAGAAUCUUCUACUAAUCUCCCAUAUUUAUCCACUACAAACUGUGCUAGUACACUAAUAGCACCCAAAACAAACUCAUGCAGACCGUAUCAUUCAAGGAUCAACAUAAUUUGGAGCUUCCAUAAAACAAAAUUAUACUCACCAAGCUUUAUUGUAUCGUGCUUAGGAAAUUGUUGAAGACAUCUACAACUGUUGAGGUGGGUUUUCUUUAAACAUACUCAUUCCAACAAAAAAAAAAUCUACGUUAGUAUGAUUAAUUAGAAAGUGAUUAAUUCAUUAUUUAGUUAGAAGUGAUGGCCUUAAGAAAAAAAAUGACAUUAUUUUAUUUGGCAUUGUUAAAAGUGUUAGUUACUGAAAUAAUUAAUGAGAUUAUAAAAGUGAAAGAAUCAAAUUAUGUCAAAAGUAAAGUAGAGGGUUUUAAUCCUAAAUUUGGGUAUAAUAAAGGGACUAACACCAAAUAAUUAUAAAAUUUUCAAAUAUUUUAAAAUUAAUUUUAAAUAUUAAUUAAAUACAAAUUAUAAAAAAAUAAAAUAAAAAUCCCCAGCGCAGUGAGGGACAUAUUCGAUAUCAAUAAUUAUAAAAUCUGUAGUUGUAAUAUUUAAUUGAUAUAAUAUAUAAAAUUUGAGGGUUAAAUUUGUUAUUAUACAAUUUUUUUAACUGCCGUGUCACUUUGCAAUUUUUUAUUUUAAGGAGUCAUCAAAAUAACUAAACUAUGUAAUGUGAGUGCUUAAAUUACAAAAUUUUUACUUUAAUGUGAGUGCUUAAAUUACAAAAUUUUUACUUUAAGUGUUUAAAUUUUUAAAAAAAAUUAUAAUUAAAUAACAAUCUAUAUGUAGUUUGCCCAAAAAUUUUAUAACCCAAACUACACAAUUUUAUGGCCAUCUCCCACUUUUGAUAUCUCUUUGGCCAUUAGUUAAGAUGGGAGGGGAAUGACUUAUUCAAGAUUAGUGUCAACAUUAGAUUUAAAACCUACGGAAGUCAUGUUUCAAUUUUUUUAUAUAAUAAUAUAACAUUUAAAAUUAUAUUAUAUCUAUAAAAGAACUCAUUGGAUUAGGGUUUUUUUUUUUAAUUAACUUUCCAUUUGUUAUUAGAAAACAAAACUAAAAAUGCAUCAAACAGGGCUCUGAUAAAAAAUUAAAAAAAAACCAAAAUGUUUAGGUUUGGUAUCGUUUUACUUUUACUUUAAAAUCAGUCUAAUCUGUAUCAUGCUCACACCAAACAUAUGAAGAAAAAAAAAAGUGAAAUAGUAAGGAUAUUAUUAAUUUCAUUCCAAGACAAAUUUUAGCAUACCCAAUUAGGUCCUUGGGUUAAUCUUAUGUUUUUUGUUUAGGCAUUCAGCAUUCUUGGCGUUUAGUUUAGUUAGAAUUUUAAAUUAUGAUAGAUCUGAAACUUUGGUAUUUUUGUGCAAAACUCAACCUCAAAGCUUUAUUUGUUGUCUAAAUUAUUUUAUUGAAGCCUAGGAAUUGUUGUUAUUGUUUCGGCUAAUUGACCUUAAAGCAUCAAAUGCCUUUUUUUGGAUGGUCAUAUUCCUUCCAAGGGCUGAAUUACUAAAAGCCCAUGAAGUAUCCUUCUUUUUCUUAAGUGAGCCUCUGUUUCAAUGCCGCCAAAAUUUUCUUUAUCCACAUGGAAGCUGACCUGCCAUGAUGAUGUGGUAAAAAAAUGAACAAUUUGUAUUUUUUGAAAAAUAUAACACUUAAGAACUUUCUUUCUUCUUGCCUCCCAAUUCUCACCACCAAUUCCUUAGCCCAAAUCAGUUUUGGCCUCCGACAUUGAUCAUAACAAAAGUAAACUUUCUAUUAGAAAUAAUUUCUUUUAUGUACAAAUUAAAGGGUAAGAUAUUGUUUGGGUACAAAAAAAGCAUAUGAGCUUACUUUAGAAAAGUGACAACGUUGGGCUCUUUUAGUAUUCUAUCCUCCCACCAACUUUGUCCAAUGUUUUUUGCCUUAUCACCAGACAGUAAAAGGGCCUUUGACCUUUUCAGGCUAAGCGCUGCCUGGUGCAUGUAGGGGGAAAAGGCCUUCUAAUUGAAGUUCUCUUUAAUAUCUCUUUAAUUGUUUCUUAAUUGUAACAAAGGGAUAAUAUCGAACUCUCUAUUUCUCAAUAUUUGAGUAUUCAACACCAGGCAUGGGAUCAUAUGGAAAUAUGCAUAUGGUUGACAAAAGAAAGAAAAUUUGGAAAUGUUUAUUUAAGUAGUAACUGCUGGUUUUCUUGGAUGCUUUCUUGUUAAUGACUACUGUUUGGGCAUGUUUAUUUAAGAAUUGCCCCCAAGUAGUUUCUUGAAUCAUCUAAAAUUGGAAAAAAUAGUCUUAUGGUAACUCAUUAAAGUAUUUGAAAGUAUGCACAAGCUAAUAACAUUUUAGAAAUUAAAAUUGAAGAUCGGUUUUUAGGGUAUCAUGUCCAUAUUAAGCAUCAUCUUUCCAGAUUACUGUUCUCUCUCUCUCUCCCUCUCUGUGUGAUAUAUUUCUCAAGUGAAAGGUAACCUUCUUCACUUGAUUUUGACUUAAUUUUGCAGUCACCACGAUUGUAUAAUGUGUACAAGCAAAUGGGAAUUGUAAAAUCUUUUCAGAAUAUUCUGGACAAUGUUUUCAUUCCACUAUUUGAAGUUACAGUUGAUCCGAAUUCUCAUCCUCAACUACACGUGUUCCUAAAAAUGGUGAGUUCUAUGUUCAUCGGAGAACAUACUGUGCUAUAAUAAGAGAUUUCGGAAAAUAUAGUUAAAAAAUGCUUCUUUAUUGGAAUGACCUGCAUUAUAGCAAGCUGAAUAAAUGAUGCCUUAACUUUAUUCAUUGUGUUCUCAUAAUUCUUUAAAACCAUUCGAAAAUUCUAUUGAGCCACAUUAUAUGGUUAAUUUUUGGGUCUGUACUGCAUACUGAACAUGUGUACAUCCUUGCGAUUUUAGAUGGAUGGAGUUGGACAGCAAAGCAAUUGAAAAAAACCCAAUUUAUGGUUUCUAAAUGUUAGAUCAUUUAUGGUUUCUAGUUUCAAUUUAAAAAAAAAAAAUCCAAAUCAGCCAACUAAUGAAAUUUUCAACGAUGUUAGUUAUUUUAACUAAUCCAUAACAUGUUUGCUUCUUCUUCUUUUUUUUAGCCUAGCAGCAAUGUUAGCCUCUGGACUAGUUACCGCCCUCCUUUUUCCCCUCCCUAUUAACCCUUUUUAUUUUUCUUCUCAUUCACUCCAUGAGUCUUCGUUCUUUUCAGUUUACAGAUUUAUUUUGUGAGUAUUUUUGUUGUCUUUACAAGUUGUAAUGGACAGUUGACAAUGGCUAUCAUCAUUGAAACACCACCGACCACCAACACUUUCUUUUAGAAAGUGGGUACCUCUUCGUUGACUACUUAAUUUGUUUAUAUUUUGAGAGUUUCAAAAUAAUAAAUGAUUUCAUGACUCGGUUUAGACUCAUGUUUUUUUUCCAUUGUUCAAUAAGUUUUUACUUUUAAAAGUUUUUUUCUACUCUUAUAGUAAGCUUUUUAGUCUUGCUUUUGCGAGUAAUUUUAGGGUUGGUUUUGUCGCCAUCCCCUCUAGUUUGGUGGAUGCUCAGUUCUUUUGCUGAUUUAUGCCCGCCGCUUUGGACCAUCCGGGGUUGAUUUUCUUACUAUAUUAAGUGCUUGUAAUCACUUCUGAUAUGUUGUGCUUGAGUUGUGAUAGAGCUGAUUUCAACAUGCCAUAAUGUUCUAUUAAUGUUGAAGCUAAAGCUUUUGUUAUAUUGAUGGAGCUUGUCCUUUAGCGAGUACAACAAGUGUUUGUUAUUUCCUCCCCCCCCCCGAAUUGUAUGGUAUUAUUCAUUGAAUAAAUUAAUGAAGUUGUCUUAAAAAAAACUAAUCCAUAACAUUAACAUUAAUAAGAGAACAAAAUAUAUCAAAUUAAAAAAGAAAAACUGAAUCUUUAAUUCAAUUGAGAAAUUAUAGGGAUUAAAACUAUAAAUUGAUCUAUAAUAAUUUCUCAGGCAUUAAUUGUAAGAUUAAUUCCAUAACCUAAAUUAUUGUAGGGGCUAUAUAAGCUCAAGGUUGACGCAAAAGUCAAUAGUCAGCGUCUGAAAGUUAAUGCAAUUAAUUAUGUCAUUGUUGAUAUAUUUAACGCAAAUAUAUUAUCAUAUGUGUAAUGUCAUACCAUCUUAUUAUUUCCAUAUGUUACUAAAAAUCUAGUUAACGGACUAAGGAUUGUCAUUUGUAUCAAGACUGAAAUUUUAAAUUUUGAAAAAUAUAGGUACUUAGAAUAAUCCAAUUAGAGAGUAUGGACUAAAUCAACAAUUAUACGCAUAAUAUAGGACUAGUAAUUGGUUUUAAUUAAAUUGAUUUAACUCUAUUGUUUGGAUCACAACUAAAAUUUUAAAAUUCAAAAUGUAUAGGGAUUAAAAUUGAUCAAAUUGAAGUAAAUAGACUAAAUUUACAACUUUCACAAAGAACAGUGACCAACAGCAGAAUUUAACCAAAUAAGCUCACCAAAGUCAAUAGUCAAUCUUUGAAAAGUAAUGCAAUUAAUUAUGUCAUUGUAGGAACGCUUUCCUGACAUAAAAUUCCACCAACUAAGCCUUUUGCGUAAAUAUUAGCUAUGAAAAUUCAACCAUUGAUAUUAAAUUCAAGACCCCACAAAUGACAGACAUAUAUGUUGGAAAAAUCUUUGUGUGAACAUUUCUUUCGGUCAUACUCAUGUCGUAUAAGUUAGAGGAGCACAAGUCUAGAUUCAUCCAAUUUUUGAGGAAUUAAUUAAUUAUAUAUUAGUUUAAAAUUAUAGUGAAUUAGUGAGACGCCAUAGGUCUUGCUUGCAUAUAAAUAAGAAGCUUAGGCUUCUUCAGAUUAUUUACAUAUAAAAGUUUAAAAAGUAACAUAUAGCUAAGAGAGAAGAGGAAAACAGAAAGAUGAUGAUGAUAAUGAUGGAGUGGAAAUGGUUAUGGUUUAUAAGGAUGGCAGUAAUGUUGUUGGUGUUAGAAGGGUGCAGGUGGUGUACUGCUGAUGCUUGUUUGGAGCAUGAGUCGCCUUCUUGCAUCUCAAACCUUUCUUCAAUUAUGAUAAUCAAUUGAAAAGUUGGAUUGAGGUGAAGGGUUCAGAUUGUUGUAAAUGGAAAAGAGUUGAGUGCAACACCAUCACUAGGAGAGUCAUACAACUCUCCCUUAAUCAUACAUCAUCCAAUAUAUAAAUGAAUUAAUGAAUUUACCUUUCAAAAGAGAAAAAAAGAAUUCAUAAAUUUUGAAAUACAAAAUGAACGUGUUUUGAUAUUUUUAGGGCAAUGGUUUAGUGGUUCAAAAUUUUGAUUUAAUAUGGUGAAUUUAAUUAUAAUUUUUUAUAUAUUAGAUAGUAGAAUAUAUUUUACCAUUUAUAAUUAAGUACAAUUAAGUUUAGGUUAAAAUAUUUUAUUAAAUUUUUGUACUUUUCACAAAUUUUAAAUUUAAUCUGUUUACUUUUAUUCUAGAAUUUAAUCUCUCUGCAUGUAAAGGAGGUUAUUAUGGCAAGGGGAAUUACCAUGGCAGAGGUAGCCGAGGCUGACGAAGAGAUGCUGGAUAUGCUGAAGAAAGAUAGAUGGCUGAGAAACAGAAAAACUUUAGGAACAAUAUUCAGUGUUAGAAGUAUGGGGAUGUGAAGGCAGAUUGUUGGAAAAGGGGAAACAAGCAAAUUUUGCGGAAGAUGAUGAAGAGAUUUAAAUUAUUUAUGAGCUGUCUAGAUGACACUAUAGCUUCAACUAACAUUUGGUUUCAAGGGCGUAUAUCUCAUGAUGAAGAGAUCGUCUCUCUUCUUUUUUCUCAUAACAUAUUACACGCCAUGAUAAUAAAUAUUGAUAUGCCUAUAAAUUUGAGUUUCUAUUAUUUGUAGUCAUGAUUUGGUUCACUCCAUAAGUUACAUAAAUUUAUUAUAAUAAUUCAAUUAAUUUUAGAUUAAUUUUACAUUUUUGCCCGAACUUUAGUUUUUAAUAAUUCAAUCAUCCCACCAUUAUAUUCAAUUAAAAGUGUAAUACGAUUUUGCGUCAUCCAACCAUUAUUCUUAGUGUAAUUUUUGGUAGUGAGCAUAGAAGGACAGCGAGAACAAAGAAAGAAUGUAUCCAAUAACCCACUCCCCUUAUAGUCAAUGCUUAAAAUGAAUAAGAAAAUAGAAAACAAACGUGGCAAUGCCAGCUAAUUUGUUAUUACUAUUCACCGUAUAACUAAGGACAUUACGCACCGUUUUAAUUAAAACAAACUCACCGUUUAAGACCGUUACUUCUAUGCAUCGUUUUAAUCAUAUGCGUCAGUUCGAACAAAUAGGUGAACAUGAAAGCUUUUCGCAAAGUUUAGAUGUGUGCUUAAAACUCAAACUUUGUGUUCUGUAAAAAUAUUGAUUUUGUUGUAAUUGUAGGUUGAACUUUGUGAGUCCAAUUACUUUCUUUGGCAUCGGAUAUUUCGUGGAACUUUCGUAUGAGAUAUUUACUUCAUAAAUAGAAGAUUACAAAAUUUGGAUAUUAAUAUAUUUUUCAUGAUUUAAUUUUCUUUUCCUUUUUUGGGCUAAAAUAAUUAAUAACGAAAACACGUCUUUUGCUAGCACCUAUAAAUGCCUUAAAAAUGUAAAUUAAUAUUCCACAAUAAUUAUUAAGAUGAAAAGAAUUUUAUAAUCUAAACUUACGAUUUCAUGUGAAUUUAAUGUUUAGUUAUAGUUUUAAUUACAAAGUUAAAUUGGUAUCUUUGUUAUUGCAAUAAUUAAAAAAAGAUGAGUCCAAAUGACGUUGAUUUUCUGUUUUUUAAAAGUGAAUGCAAGAUGGGACGGCUGGAAUUUUUUUUAUUAAACAGUAAGUAUGAAACAGUUAUGGUAAUUGCUUGCUCCAUCUCACUCCACUCCACUAUAUAAAAUUAUCAUUUCAUUCUUUUAUAUAUAGAAAAAAAUUAAAUAUUUUAUGAAAAUAAUCAUGUUUAAAUUUCCAAGAAUAAAAGCAAACUGAAGACUUAAAAUUUCCAUUAAUAAAACCAAAAUCAAAGAAGUAAAUUUCCCAUGAAUAAAACAAAAAAUGAAGAUCUAAAUUUUCCAUUAAUAAAGCCAAGUCAAGACUAAGUUUGUAUAAGUGUAAGAAGGGUAUAAAUGAAACUCACAAGAAAGCCACAUGAAGAAUUUUAUAACCCCAAACUACACGAUUUUAUGUCCACCUCUCACUUUUCAUAUUUUUUUGGCCAUUCGUUUUUCAAGAUUAACAUCAGCAUUCUUGUGGUCCGUUCAUCCUUUUCUAAUGAAUUUCCACCAAGAGUUUUAUUUUUCAAAAUGUUAAAUUAACUCAUGAUAUUAAUUAAAUCAAGAAAUUUUAUAAUAAUAGAGAUGAAAAAACUAAAUUUUCAAAAUCAAAACCUAAAAUGUGCAAGAAUAAAAGCAAACUGAAGACUUAAAAUCUCCAUUAAAAAAAUCAAAAUCAAAGAAGUAAAAUUUCCAUGAAUAAAACGAAAAAUGAAGACCUAAAAUUUCCAUUAAUAAAUCCAAGUCAAGACUAAGUUUGUAUAAGCGUAAGAAGGGUAUAAAUGAAACUCACAAGAAAGCCACAUUAAGAAUUUUAUAACCCCAACUACACGAUUUUAUGUCCACCUCUCACUUUUCAGUUUUUUUGGUCAUUAGUUAUUCUAAGAUUUAACAUCAACAUUUGAUUUCAAAUCAACGUUAAACCAUGUUUAAACUCUUUUUCUUAUAUAAUAAUUAUAUUAUAUUUAAAAUUGAAAAAACUAACCAGCCAAAUAUAUAUUAAUUAAUUAAUAGAAUUUUUUUUGCUCAUCGAUUAAAAUAAAUCAAGAAAGACGUUGGAACCACCAACCUCUCUUUAAGAACAACAGGAAUACAAGAACCUAUGCACAACAAGUACUAAAAUGUAUUAAGUAAAUUCAUCACCAGGCCUUAAAAAAAGAAGAUCUCGAUAUACCUGCUUUUGCCAAAGCAUCUGCCAUACCAUUACUUUGCCAGUGAAUAAUUCUGAACUGAAACUUAGCCAAUUGAGUGAUAUUAAUUAUAGAAAUGGUUCUUCUUGCAACCAUAGAUGAAACACCACUGAGACUAACAAACUUGGAGAAACUUGAUUAAAUCAAACUUAUGCAAAUUUCUUGAAUAUUUAAGUUAAGAGUUAACGUCAAAGUCAAGAGUUGAUAAGGAUUUUGUGGUCCAUUCAUAUCUUUAUUACAAUAUAUAUAUAUUCAAGAAAUUUGCAGCAAGUUGGAGUUUUGCAAUAAGGAAUUUCCACCAAGAGUUUUGGAAUAAGGAAUUUCCUCCAAGAAUUUUGCAGGAAUCAUAUCUCUAACAAAAGAAAGACCUUCAUUUGACUAAAUUUUUUAGUAUUUAUUUUAACUUCCAUUUUAUUAAAAAAAAACAGAGGUAAAAAAUAUGCCGAACAGGGUCUUUAGGUUACUUUUCUUAGAACUAUAUUAUGUUAUAGUACCGUAUAAGUUAGAGGAGCACAAGUUUAGAUUCAUCCAAUUUUUGAGGAAUUAAUUAAAUAUAUAUUAUUUUAAUAUUAUAGUAUACAGAGGCAAUGUUAGAAAAAAAUUUUGUGGAGUCGAAAUUAAAUUAUAGUUUUAAAAGCAUAUAUCUUUAUAAUUUUUAAAGAAUUAAAUCAAAUUUUUAUCAAUUUUAGGGGGUCAAUGUGCAAUUUUAUCUUUACUAAUUUAAAAUUUUAAAACAUUUAAAGGACCUAAAUAGGAAUUUUUCUAUUUUAGAGGCGUCUGAGACGCCUGUCUAGCUAUGCCCCUGAUAGUGAAUUAGUGGGAUGCCAUAGGUCCUGCUUGUAUAUAAAUAAGAAGGUUAGGCUUCUUCAGAUUAUAUACAUAUAGAAGUUAAAAAUUAACAGACAACUGAGAGAGAAGAGAAAACAGAAAGAUGAUGAUGAUGAUGAUGAUGAUGGAGUGGAAAUGGUUAUGGUUUAUUAGGAUGGCAGUAAUGUUGUUGGUGUUCGAAGGAUGCAGGUGGUGUACUAUUGAUGCUUGUUUGGAGCACGAGAGGAUUGCUCUCUUGCAUCUCAAACCUUUCUUCAAUUCUCGUGAUGAAUUGAAAAGUUGGGUUGAGGUGAAGGGUUCAGAUUGCUGUAAAUGGGAAAGAGUUGAGUGCAACACCACCACUAGGAGACUCAUACAACUUUCCCUUAAUUAUACACAAUGGGAAUUCAACGUGGAAUAUUGGUAUCUCAAUGCCUCUAUGUUUCUUCCCUUCGAGGAAUUGAGGAGUCUUUAUUUGUCAGAUAAUGCCAUAGCUGGUUGCAUUGAAAAUGAAGGUCGUGCCUUUAAUUUUCCCUCAGUUACAUCUUUUAUUAUUACACUAUUCUCACCCUUGUUAAUUUGCAAUUACUUAUAAUUUAUUUUAUUUUAUUGAAGAAAGGUCACUAAAUGUUUGUGUAUAUAUUUAAAAGAACACUCUUACAGGUUUUGGAAAGCUAUCAUCCACAUUGAGUAAUUUGGAGAUUCUUGACUUAAGUUACAAUUACUUGAAUGAUAGCAUUUUGUUAUCUUUGAGUGAGCUUUCAUCUCUCCGAUAUUUGGAUCUAUCAUACAACCGAUUUGAAAGAUCAAGUCAUCCAAGAGGUAAAUUAAGUUUAGUCUGGUGUUAGUUUUUAUUUGUAUUGGGGAGUUUGACAGUGGUUUUCCAUUGUUUUAUUCCCUCUAACUUAGUUUUUGCUUUUAUGGUUGAGAGGAAAAAGAAACAAACAAGUACUUACUCAAAUUAACUAAACAAUGGAUUAUUUUUUUUAUGUUUUGCAGUAACUAAUUCUAUGGUAUAUAAAUCAGGUUUUCAGUGGCUUUCAAGGCUCACUAAAUUGGAAACUCUUCAUCUAAGUGGGAAUUCUUUGAAGAAUAGCAUUUUUUUACAGAUGAGAAAUCUUUCAUCUUUGAAGACUUUAAGUUUGGGUGACAAUCAGUUGGGAGGAAAACUGCUUCAUAUUCAAGGUAGACUGAUUUUACACUUUUCUUGUUAACUUUAAAAUAAAUUCAGUAUGUGAUUUGAUUUUAUCAUAUCAUGAAUAUAACUGAUCAAUAUUUGAGAUUGAAUUUCAGAAUUGAAUCAUUUGGCAAACUUGAAGUACUUGGAUUUAAGUAGGAACAGAAUUGAAAGCAUCUCAAACAAAGGUAUAAGUAAUAAUUUGUGCAUGACUUUCCUGACAGACUUCAAAUGUAUUUUCUUUGUUUUUUUCCUUUUCAUAUGGUUGAGAGGAAAAAAGAUCCUUAUAAUCUUAAAGAGUUGAUAUUGAGAGUUGGUCAUGAGAGAAUGGGUCCUUAAAAUCCUUAAGACCAGGGAGUUUGUGUCCACAGUUGAGUAUUCCAUUUGAAAACUGAAAAUUAAAUAUUCUAUUGCUUUAUUUCUUUUAAAAGAAAGAUUGAGUUUGGAUCUCCGACUGCUUUAUUUUUUUCAAAGAAAGAAAUAUGUUUAUACUUUUGCGCAGAAGAUAUGAAGAAGUCUUAUUUUGUUCUCGCUUUUGUGCAAGUGAAACUUAGUUAUCUCAAAUAUAUAUAUAUAUAUAUAUAUUGUAGUUAUCAGUUCACUACACAAUAGCAUGUAAACCAGUUCCCCCUUUUCAAAUUUAUGAGUGGGAGUUGUCCAUGAUUUUCUUUGUGAUUUUCUUUUCACGUUUUAGGAUUUUCAUCUUCACUUCAAGUUUUAGAUUUACUUUUUUUCAUUUUUAUUUCAUUAACUUAAAAAAGGAAUGCUGGAUCAUAUUCAAGGUAGAUUGAUUUUACAUGUUUCUUUUUAACUUAAAAAAUCAAUAUAUGUUCAAGUUUAAGUGACAACAACAUUGAAAGCAUCUCAAACCAAGGUAUAAGUAUUUGUGCGUAGUAACUUUCUUGACUGACUAUUAUUCCAAAAGGCAAUGACAGACUUCAAAUGUAUUUUCUUUAGUGAAUUUUUAUUGCAAAAAUGGAGUAUUAUUAUUUAUUUAAGUUUUGUAGUAACUAAUUAUAUAAUAUAUAAAUGAGGUUUUCAAUGGCUCAUUAAAUUGGAAAUUAUUGAUAUAAGUUGGAAUUAUUUGAAGAAUAGCAUUCUUUAAAAUAAAUUCAUGUUGAAGGAAAAGUUGUUGCAAUAAGUCAUUUGAUUUUAUCAUAUCAUGAAUAUAUAUAACUAAUCAAUAUUUGGGAUUGAAUUUCAAAAUUGAGUAAUUUAAGUAGGAAGGUAUCUCAAACAAAGUAUUUAUAUAUUGAAUCAAUUCAUCGGAAAGCUUGUAAAUUGGCUCUUCCUUCUCAAACAAACAUUUUUCCUAACUAUUUAUAUAUUGAAUGAUGUUAACUAUACUAAUUACUUUCUUCCAAUGAUAGAUGGAACACAAUUGAGGCUAACAAACUUAGAGGAACUUGAUUUGAGUGGUAAUCUCUUUCGGAACAACACAAUUUCCUUUCCUCAAGGGCUUUCAAGCCUAAAGUCUUUGACUUUGUACAACAACCAUUUGCAAGGCUCAUUAGAUACUAAAGGUACUAAAGCUAUAACUUUGUUUUUCUUGAUAAUUCUUUCUAGAACCUUUUAAAAUUAAUUGUUUCAAUUUUGAACAUUCACAUUUCACGUUUGAGGAUUUUCAUCUUCACUUCAAGUUUUAGAUUUACUUUUUUUUUCAUUUUUAUUUCAUUAAAAUAUUAAGUAGAAAUUAAAAUUAUUAACAUAAUGAUUUUUUGAAUUGGACGUGGAUAUGUAUAGGAUUGAGCAAUUUAACAAAUUUGAAGAAACUCGAUUUAAGUGUGAAUCAGAUUGAAAGCUUUCAAUCCUUUAAAGGUAUGCAUUUAUAUUUAACCAAUUACCUAAAUUCUUACAUAUAAUUAAAUUUUAUGCCAAUUCAUUUCAGUGAUGAAAUUAUAUAAAUCUUUUGUAGAUGGUGGUAGAAAAUUGGAGUUGACCCACUUGGAAGAGCUUUAUUUAGAUUACAAUCAGUUCAAUACUAGUGUAUUUGCAUCCCUUAACAAGCUUUCAAAUUUGAAAUCUUUGAGCAUAUGGGACAAUGGAUUGAAAGGAUCAAUAGAUAUGAAAGGUAAAUAUAUUAGUUUUUUUAACUAGAAUAUAAUCAUGUUUGAAGAGAAUAUAAUGAAGUUGAUUUGUUGUUUUUGUUUUCCUAGAUUUGGAAGCAUUUAUCAACUUAAGGGAACUAGAUAUGAACUAUAAUGAAUUGAAAGAUUUGGUGAUCCACCAAGGUAUCAUUUAAUUAAACUUCCUUUUUUUUUUAAUUUAGAAAUUUAGUUUUGAUCUCAUAUAUUAUAAUAACGGUUAUUGUCAUAAAUAUUAAUAAAGUUAUAUCAUAUCAUACUUGAAAGUAAAAGUUUGGUGAAACAUUUUCUAAAUCAUCCAUUAUAAUGUGUUUGGACUUUGGUUUGAAACUAAAAUUCUUUAAAAUUUUCAUCAUUUUAAAAUAUUAAUGUUUAUAAUUAUUUUGUUUGUAUAAAUAUAUUUUUUAAAAUAAUUUAUUGAAUUUUUAUGAGAUAAAAAAUAAUUAUAACAAUAAAAAAUGAUAUUAUAAAUAAAUAAAAACAUAUAUUUAUGAGAAAAUAUGUAAUAUAACUAUAUUUUAAUUUCAUAUAUUUUUAAUAGUAUAAAACAUAAAAAUACAUAUUAGCGUUAAAUAAAUGGCAUUUUUUGGCAAAAAUAAAUAAAUGUCAAUUUUGAAUAAUUUAAAAAAAAUCUUUAAUUUUGUGAAAUUUAAACAUACAUUGAGAGGUGCUUAAACUUCCAUUGCAAUCUUUUUAUAAAUUUCAAAGUGCAUAUGUUUUUAACUUUUUGGUUUAAAAAAAUAUGAUAGGUCUACGUACUCUUUACUAAUUUGUAAUUUAAUUCUUAUACUUUUAUUUUCAAGAAUUUAAUCCCUGUUUUUUUAUAAAAAAAUCAAAAUCCUAGUUCAAUUGUUAAAAUUGUUAAAAUUUUAAAAUAGUUUGUUGGUGUGACAUUUUGAAAUAAAAAAAAACUUAGUAGUAAUGUAACUAAAAAAUGACGUAAUGAACAUGGAUUUAAUAAAAUAAUUUUAACAAUAUUAAUAAAAUAAUUUUGAAUUUUGAAUUUUAACUUAACUCUAUUUUUGGGCCAAGAUUUAAUGCUUUAAAAUUUUCAUUUAAUCCGCUGAGUUUACUUAUAAUUCUUUUGAGUUUUAUUUAUUGGUGAGUAAAAUACCUAUUUGAUUUUUUUAUAUACUAUUGGCAUCUUUAAAGGUAAUAUAAUAAUUUUAGUGUAGACGUGUUUUAUUUUAUAAAUAUUAUUUAUAGUGUAGACAUGUGAAUUUUGAAUAAUUUAAAAAUAUCUUCAAUUUUAUGAAAUUUAAACAUACAUUUAGUGUAGACAUGUUUUAUUUUAUAAAUAUUAUUUAUAGUGUUGUUGAUUGGAGUUUGAAAAUUAUACAACUUAGCUAUAUCAGUUAAUUACUUAUAUUAAAAAAUAAUAUAAGAAAAUACUAAAAAGAAAAAAAAUAGUAUAAUUAAUAAAAUGGAUGAAGAGUUAUAUUAAAGUUUCAACAUCUUCUCUCUAUCAAAAUUUAUCUCGGAUAAAUCAUGAAUAAUCUAACUCAUAAAAAAAUAUAUAUAUAUUUAUAUACUUCAUUUCAUUCACAGAAAAUAAAGCAUUCCACUUAAUAGAGGCUUUCUAUAAUGCCGUUAUCUAAUACCUCUUGACAUUGCUUAGAUUCAAAUGUGUCGAGCAGUUUGGAGGAAAUAUAUCUUGACUAUUCUACUCUCAACACCAACAUUUUGCAAAGCAUUGGAGUAUUCGCUUCUCUUAAAAUAUUGUCUUUAUCUAAUUGUGGACUUAUUGGUCCCUUACCUAAUCAAGGUAAACAAUUUUAUGGCUCAAUUUGAUUUCUUUAUGAACUUUCUGUAAUAUAUUAUCUCCUAUUCUGUUUUAUAAAGCAAAAUUUAAUUGAAACUUCUUCCAUGAAUUUAUUUAUAAAAUUUUCAGGAUGGUGUGAUCUAAGGAACCUUGAAGUGUUGGAUGUGAGUAGAAAUGCACUUGAGGGGAUGCUUCCUCAUUGUUUUAGUAACUUGACAUCUCUUCGUGAGUUAGAUAUUUCAAGAAACCAUUUUCAAAUUCCGCUGUCAUUUGCACCAUUUGCAAACCUUUCAAACCUCAAAGCCCUUUUGAUUAAUGAAAACAAGAUGGUAAUGGAACCUUCCUUUUAUACCUCAAUCCCAAAGUUCCAAUUGGAAGUCAUCAGUUUGUCAAAGUGCAUAACAUCUCAACAACUCAGUCUUAAACUUUGUACCUUCCUUUACUACCAAUAUGACUUGAGAUAUGUGGAUCUUUCGCAUAACAAUCUCAGUGGAACUGUACCAACUUGGUUGCUAGAAAACAACACAAAGUUAGAAGAUCUCAUCUUGAAGGGUAAUUCAUUUACAGGUCCUCUCUCACUUUCGUCGGCUCUUAUUUCUAAUGUAUCUACAAUUGACAUAUCUGAAAACAAAUUACAAGGUCAAAUUCCAACUGGUAUAUGUUCAACUUUUCCACAUUUGAGGCAGUUAUUCUUAUCCAAGAAUGCUUUUGAAGGUAAUAUCCCACUUUGUUUAAGUGGCAUGAAGGACUUAUCAUUUUUAGAUCUAUCAGACAAUCAUUUGUAUGGAAAAGUACCAGAAGAGUUGAUCACGAAAGGCUUACUAAUCAUUUUGAGACUAUCAAAUAACAACCUCAGUGGAAAUGUAGUUCCUGUGAUUCUCAGCGCAAAUGGGGUGCAGCAUUUAUAUUUGGAUGGAAAUAAUUUUUCAGGAGAGAUGACAAAUGUUGAUGUGUCUACUUUUGAGUUUCCAAAUUCACUAAGCGAAAUUGAUCUCAGUAACAACACUUUGCAUGGAAAGCUCCCAAGAUGGAUAGGGAAUGCAUCAUUUUUGGGGAGAUUAGAUUUGUCCAACAAUGGUUUUGAAGGUUCUAUUCCAAUGGAAUUUUGCAAGUUGAAUAGGUUGGAAUUUUUGGAUCUUUCUCAAAAUAAUUUAUCUGGCUCUAUACCGUCAUGUUUUAAUCCACCAUACAUACAGCAUGUCCACCUCCACGGGAAUAGACUGAGAGGCCCACUAUCACUUGCUUUUUAUAAUAGCUCUUCAAUAGUGACUUUAGAUCUUGGAGGAAACAAUUUGACGGGUAGUAUUCCAAAAUGGAUUUACACGCUUUCUUCUUUGAGUUUUUUUCUCUUGAAAGAUAAUCAUUUUCAUGGUAAAGUUCCUAUUGAGUUAUGCAAGUUGCAUUCUUUAAGCAUCAUAGAUCUUUCUCAAAAUAUGUUUUCUGGUCCUAUACCUUCUUGUUUGGGAAAUUUAUCUCUUCCAAUGCAAAGGAAGAAGAUUCUAGAACCUGGUUUCUAUGGGCCACCUAUAGAAGAGGAUGAAACAACACGCAGUACGAAACUAAAUUUGGGAAUGUAUUCUUACUAUCCUAAUAGCUACUUCGAAGAAGUAAUAGAGUUCACAACAAAGAGUGGGUUCUAUUCAUACAAGGGCUACAUCCUUUCAUAUAUGAAUGGGAUUGAUUUAUCUUGCAACAACUUAACUGGUCAUAUCCCACCAGAAUUAGGGAACUUGAGUGAAAUCCAUUCUUUAAACCUUUCACACAAUAAGUUGACCGGAGUUAUACCCUCGUCACUCUCAAAACUACAUCAAAUUGAGAGUUUGGACCUUUCUUACAACAACUUAAGUGGUGAAAUCCCCAAUCAAUUGGUAGAGUUAAACUCUUUGGAGGUUUUCAGCGUGGCAUUUAACAACUUGUCAGGUAGUAUUCCCGAACCAAAAGCUCAAUUUGGGACCUUUAUUGAAAAUAGUUAUCAGGGAAAUCCGUUUCUUUGUGGAGUUAUAUUGCAUAAAAGUUGUUCCAAAACCGAUUCACCAUCAACGAUAUCAAUUGUAUCAGAAGAUAAAGGAGAAGAUGGUUUGAUAGAUACUUAUGAUUUUUGUGUGAGCUUUUUGGUUUCUUAUGUAGUUGUGUUGUUGACAAUUUUUGUUGUCCUCUACAUAAAUCCAUACUGGCGAAGAGCUUGGUUUUCUCUUGUUGGGAAAUGCAUUACCACCUGUCGCUACUCAAAUGUGGGCAAUUUUCUUACUUAUCACAUUUUCAAGCGAUGUGUUUAGCUACUCAAAUUGUGAUUUGAUUUCCACACCUAAAUGUUUAAUUAUGCUAAGUUGAGCGAUAAUGAAUAUUUUGUUGAUUUUUGCAUUUUGAAUAAAAGCUCUUUUAUCUUAUGGUUUUAUCAUUUUCAACCAUCUAUUUCUUUUUUCUUCUAUGAAAUUUAAUAUAAAAUCAUAAUCCAUUAUUAUGUAUAUGCAAUAUCUCUUUAAAUUAAAUUAAAUUAAAUUAACUGCCAAGCGUUCACUAGUGCAUACUAAAAAGGAAAUCUAAUGUAAAAUUAAAUCAAACAUACUACAGAAUUGAAUCUAAAACUGGAAUAUUUUAAAACCUCACAAACAAUGCAAUUCUUUAUUCCUCUUUUCCUCUCAAGUUAUUUUGUAUCAUGUUAUAUUUUACAUAAUUAAUCGUAUCAUCAAAUUUUAAAAAAAUUUUAAUAUUUUGAUAUCAUGUUCAUAUUAUGCUUUAAUUCACAAUGUAUUUUGUAUAAUAUGUUAUAACAAUUCAAUUUAAAAAACAAACAAUUAUCUUAUUUUUGCAUACCGUAAUAUACAUUUACAUGUUAAUAAUUCUUUGUACAUAAAUUUUGACAUGUUCGUAUAUUCGAGUCAUUAUAAUUUUAUUAUUUGUAAUAUGACAUGUUUUACUUACCCUUAAUAUUGUGUCAUGAUAAUUAUAACUCGAUUGGCAGUGUACCAAAUAUUUUUCUAAUAAAAAAUAGUAUUUUAUUCUAUUUACCAAAUCUUUAUCAACUUUAUUUUCUCACCAACAAAACAUACAUUCAAAGUUCAAAUAAGUUCCACACCCAUUUUUUUACUGCAAUACUCAAGAAUAUGCUCAUCAUCAGAAAUCUGAAAUAUUCCACUCUAAUUAACAUUAUGAUUCUGUAAACAACAAAAAAGUGUGAUACUUUUUUAAAGCUCUUUUUUUUUCUUUAAUGAAAUGGGAUUGGUAAAAAAUCCGCACAUGUGUCGUGUGUGAAGGUGGUCAGGUUGUCUAUUCAUACUGUAAUAAGUAGCUAAUUAUAGUUGAUCCUACAAAAUCAAAAUUAAUUCAGGUAUCUAUAUAUUCUGAAGACUGGACAGACCUUAGAAGCUCCUUCAAAUUUGCAAGAACAUGUCGUGGUCCUAAACUCUUUACACCGAUGAAAUUCAAAAGUUGCUCUAUAUCCUGCAAUCACAGUAAAGAUUAUGCAAGCUUUUCAGAACGAAUAACAUAACAAGCAAAAGGCAAUCAAAAUACUGUGAUCUCGAUAAUGUUCUUUGCCGAAAAGGAACAUAAACAUAACCUGAAAACAUCAGUGAAGGCUCAUCAGAUUUGCUUAGCAACCUUACAUACACAUGUAAAAAGCUUUGCUUUUGGAUGUAUGGUGUGACUAUCAUCACAGUCUUUCCUAAUUAGCUGAUAACCCUAUAUCUAACAUUUAUCAGGGCUAAGCAAAUUAACAUACAUAAUGUAAAGGAAUUUGACCAUAAGAUCCAACAGAAAACUUAAUAAAAGAUAAUCAACAUAGAAAGUUAAAAGGCAAUGCAAACUUAUUACAAUGAUGCAAGUGGAUCAAAAGAAAGCACUCUAUAAGGAAUUUGUAUUUAAGGCAUUGUAAACAGAAAAAAAAUAAUAAAACUUUUCGGAAAGUAUUUUCAAAGAGGAGACAAAAACAGGGUAGAAAAAAUGUUUGGUCCUUCCUUUUUCUAUUUCUACUGUGGUGAAAAAGCCUUUUUGGGUUAAAAGUGUUUUUACACUGCAGAAGUGUUUUUCCACUGCAGAAGUGAUGAAGAACACAUAGCUUUGUAGUCAAAAACCUACUGCUUUUGGCUUUUGCAUUUCGAAGUGAAAAUUAUAAAAAUACUCUUAGAUUAAUUUAUAUUUUAUAUAUUAUUAUAUUAAAUUGUUAAAUCUUAUUUAUUAUUAUAUUUAAUUUUUUUCAAAAUAUUUUAUACAUCAUCAAUUUUACAAAUAAUUUAUAUUAAUUACUUUUAAAAGUUAUAUUUCAUGUAUCAUUAUAUUAAAUUAUUUAAAUAUCAUAUAACAUCACUAAUUUUCUACUUUCUACCAUCAUGUCUAAAAUAGACAUUUUAACUUUCAACCGCAAUUUUUGGCAGCAAUGAACAACACUAAAAACUAACAAACACACUUUUCCGCACCACAUUUCAAAAACACUUUUUUCUAAACGCACUUUUGAACUAGUCCUUAGUCUAUCAUGCAUCAACUCUUCAUUUUUCUUUAACUACCCAUGUCCGACUUCGAACAUGGAUAUGGAGAUAUGACCAAGUCACAGUGACAUAGUUUUUAGUUAUGGGGAAUGGGAUUCGAGUGCUGGACCUCCUUCUAGAUGCAUGGUGGGACUUCAUCACAUUUUUCAAAUUUGUUGAUAAUCCUUCACCUAAUCUGCCGGUGAAGUUUAUAGAUAGUUGUUGACACCAUUUUUUUGAUGAAAACGGGAUCGACUUGGAUUUUGAAAAAAGAAUGAAAACGGGAGUCGCCACCAAUCCUUUUUGACGAGGUGUGAUCGGGUCACCUCAAAAUGUGGUUGUUUUUAAUAAAUGAUUUAAUUUUAUUAAAACAACGAUUUUGGUCUACGAAAUUCAGAAAAAUGAGUUCGGGAGUCGGUUACACACGAGGAAGGAUUAGCACCCUCGAUACGCCCAAAAUUGGUACCUAGUUGAUUAAUUAGUGUCUUAGUGUCGAAAAUUGAAAAUUUGAAGAGUUUUAAAAAUACGAUCCUUAAAAGAAAUUCUGAUAACGUGAAUUGAAAUAUAAGAUUCUCUUGUUCCGAAGGAAUAUCACAUCCAGCACGUUAGGACACGAUACUCUAAACCAUCGAAACCAAGAUCAUCUUAUAGUUUAAUGAAACCACACUUUGAAGCUUUAAGAGGAUAUUUGGCUAUUUAGUCGAACGAGAAAUCGAAACCCAGCACGUUAGGGCACGUUUUCUCGAUUUUCCAAACGCGAAAUAUCGCCUUAUUUAGAAAAAUUUUCCUUUUGAUGUUUGGUGUUAAUGCUUGACAAAACAAUAACGAAUACGACAAGGUGAGCAAAGUAAAGUGAGUAACAACAAUACAAUAGGCAAAAUGAAAUGACGAGGCGAUUACAUAAACAAAGCAUACAAAUAAAUAAAUAGAACUAACAUUUAAAAAAAAGCAUAAGUGUACACGAAUAAAUAAACAAACACCAAAUAACAAUGAUGACAAUAAAUACAAUUAUGUAAAAAUGUAUAUACAUGUAUAAUUUUAAGCCAUGAAAUAAGAAACGCAUAUAAAUUAUAGAAUAUGAAAACAUAGAUAAAUAUAUACAUAUGUGUAAAAAAUAAUAUUAUAAAAAGGGUACGUAUAUAUGUAUAAAAAAAUAAAUGUAUUAACAAUGAAUAUAAUAAGGGUAAGAAAACAAGUAUAUACACAAUAUAUAUGUAACGUGGUACUAAGGAUAUAUAUAUACAAUACAGUAUUUAAAAUAAUAUUUACGUAAUAUAAAAUAUAAUAUUAAAAGGUAUAUGUACAUACGUAAUAUAUAAAUACAUAUAUAAUAUAAUGUUAAAAUAUUUACAUAAUACUAAAAUAUUUAGGUAAUAUAUGCGUAUAUUGAAAACUAGUAAUAAUAUUAUCGAGGUAUAUACAAAUAUAUCAAGUAUAUACACGUAUUAUAAAUAUAUAAAUAUAUGACAAAGCAUAAACUAAUAAAAAUAAUAAGAAUAAUAAUAAUGAUAACAUUGGAAUAUAAAAGAAACAAACAUAACAUUAAUAAAAUAUUAAAAUAAAGUGAAAUAAAAAUAUUAAAUAUGAGAAUAUAUAUAGGUAUACACGUACAUAAUAAAAAUAUAUACUAAUACAUAAUAAUAAUAAUGGUAAUACUAAUAAUACUAAUAAUAUAAAAAUAACAAGGAUAUUUAAUAAAGAUAUAAAAAUCAACAAAAAAGGACUAAAAUUGAAUUGAAAGCAAAGUUGUGGGGCCAAUUUGAAAUGAAAACAAAGAAAAAGGACUUAAUUGUAACACGCAUGCAACUUGGAGGGUCAAAAGCGCAAUAAACCCAAGUAUUAAAAACGCUGCGCAGCGUGGGGGACCAGAAUGAAUUCGGGGCAACACCAUGGAGCCAAAUUAAAAAUAAAAAAACCUUGAUUGUAAACUCCCAGAAAGGCGGAAGGGCUAAAAGUGCAAUUAGCCCUUCCAAAGAAAAAAACACGCGGAUCUUCCUUGGUGCAGGUCGGGUCGACCCGACCCGUGUUCAAAACGACGUCGUUUCAUUUAUUUAAACCGGGGGUCCAAAACGGUGCGUUUUGACCCCCUAUAAAAGUCAAAAAAACUUCAAAAAAAAAUCAUUUGUAACGCUGAGGGAAAAAAAAGAAAAGGGAGAGAGGAGAGGGGAGCCCGGAGCGAUUUCCGGCCAAGGGAGGGGUCACCGGACGGCCACCGGAGGCUCGCCGGCGUCAGCGCCGGCCACCGCACGCGGUGGCCGGAAAGGUAAAAUUUUUUAUAUUUUUUUUAUAUUUUUUUUGUUAUUUAUUCUUGGUCUUAGAAUGUAUAGAUUUUAGGUUUAUAUUAAUAAAAAAGGUAUAGAUAUGUAUAUAGAAAUCGAAAGAAAAUGGAUGAAAACAAAAAGGUAACCUUUUCCGUUUGCCUUUCCUUUUUCCCGAAUGCUUGCUAUCUCAGUACUGAGAUCUAUGUAUUUUUUUUAAAAUUUUAGCUUCUGUUUUUUUGUAUUAAAAUGCCAAAAAACAAACAAAAAGAAGAAAGAAAAAAAACCCCCUGAUACAAUUUUUGAUUCGGGUUUUUAUAACCCAUUUUCAUCUAAUUUCCUAUUGUUUCUGUUUUGUCUCUUUGCAUGGGAUGGGCACGAUGGAGGUGACAGAGGCAUGGUGGUACAGAGGAGCAGGUGGCCGACAUGGUGGCAUGGAGAGCUGGGCGUGGCAGACAAGGAGGCCACGCGAGGCAUGCGGCGCUAGGGUUUGGGGGGCAUCUUUCUUCCGAAAAUGUUAAUGUUGUCUGGGCUGGGUUUUUAAUUUUUGUUUCGGGCCAUGGGCUACAUUGGGCUUGUUAUUUUCCUUUGUAAUUGGACUGUUGUUUAUCUUGUUUUAAUAUUCGGGCCUGGGCAUAAAAUUGGGCCUUACAGCUGCCCCUCUUUGCUUGUUAUCGUGUAACGAGAACAGAGCAAAGACUAAAAAAGGCCAAUUUGGCCCGGGCUCACCGAGUUUUGACUUCUUUUGGUGCUUCCUUUCUUCAAGCCUCAUUCUAGUCCACUGCGUCUUAUGAUUCUUCGAUCUGCUCUACUGCAACUUCAGAUACGCCUUAUAGCUUCAAUCUACUCUGCUACGACUCCAUGGGGAUGAGAUUUGUGUUUUUAGUCUGCUUCACUACUACUUAGGGAGAUAAGACUGUGGUUUCGUCUGCUCCGCUACUGCUUAGGGAGAUAAGACUGUAAUCUCCGAUCUAUUCCACUGUCAAAUACAGGGAGAUAGAGUUAUCAGCUUCAAUGUACUCCACUGUAGUCACAGGGAGGUAAAAUCUGCCAUCUUUGAUCUUCAAUCUAUUCCACUGCCAAAUACAGGGAGAUAGAGUUAUCGGCUUCAAUGUACUCCACUGUAGUCAGGGAGGUAAAAUCUGCCAUCUUCGAUCUGUUUCGCUGCCAAAUACAGGAAGGCAAGAUCUGCAAUCUUCGAUCUACUUCACGCCAAUACAUGAAGAUAAGAUCUGCUUUCUUCGAUCUACUUUGCCACCAGUAUGGGAAGACAAGAUCUGCAUCGUCGAUCCACUUCCUACCAAUAUAGGAAGACAGGACCUGCUAUCUUCGAUCUACUUCACGCCAAUACAUGAAGACAAGAUCUGCUUUCUGCGAUCUACUUCGCCACCAAUAUGGGAAGACAAGAUCUGUAUCUUCGAUCCACUUUCUACCAAUAUAGGAAGAUAGGAUCUGCUACCUUCGAUCUACUUCACGCCAAUACAUGAAGACAAGAUCUGCUUUCUGCGAUCUACUUCGCCACCAAUAUAGGAAGACAAGAUCUGCAUCUUCGAUCCACUUCCUACCAAUAUAGGAAGAUAGGAUCUGUUAUCUUUGAUUUACUUCACGCCUAUACAUGAAGACAAGAUCUGCUCUCUGCGAUCUACUUCGCCACCAAUAUGGGAAGACAAGAUCUGCAUCUUUGAUCCACUUCCUACCAAUAUAGGAAGAUAGGACCUAUUUACGCCUAGUGUUUAGGAUGACAUGAUCAGAAUGAAUCAAAUGCUCCUAACUAGAUGCGUAUGUAUUAUAUUUGUAGAAUGUCAUGAGAAUGAUCCAUUUUUAAUGCUUAGGUUGUCAUUCUUCAUUGUUCAUCAAGGUUCUAUCACUGAUGCCUUCUUGUUCAGCCAGUACCUUUGACAGAAAACCUAAAGAAAUAGACGCUAUUUAGACUAUCAUUUCUCAAAUGUUUCCAACCCUUAGGUUUGGUUAGUUCUAAACAAUAGUCCUGUUUCAGGUCAUCGUAUUAUUUAGAAACUUUCAGAGUAAUAUGCAGAACUCCUUCUGCAUGUGUAUUGUCAGUCCAUUAAUCGUUAUUUCAAUGAAAAAUGCUUGAAAAAGAUUAUCAAAAUGGACAAAAUGGAAUUUUGUUGAGAGCAAAGCUCUAAACAAACAAAUCAAGAUAGCAAAUUUGCUGAGAUACGAGAUGAAUAAGAUGAAAAAGAUUAUCACAACGGAUAAGAUGAAAAUUUGCUGAGAGCAAAGCUCUGAAUGAACAAAUUAAUCAAGAUAGCAAAUGUUGCUAGAAUACAAAACGAGAAUAAAUUAAUCAAGAUGAUGUAUUUUGUCAAAAAUACAGAAAAUGAAUAAAAUGGAAAUAAGUGCCCCAGAUAUCGUAGCAUGAGCUUCUCUGCCCCAAACUUCUUAAGGACCCUUUUGAACUUGAUAUGUGUUUAGAAGUCCUAGAAGGCUUUGUUGAUGCCCCAUCUUUGAUCGAAAACUACUUUAUGCCUCAUCCUUGAUCGAAAAUUUGAAUUGCCCGUUCCUGGGUUUUCAAUUCAAAACCCCUUUGGUCUCAAGGUGCCCUUUGCGGGUUUUCGCCUUGGCCUCUCCUCUUUUUUUUUUUUAGGCAAAGUACCUCUUCACUGAAUCCGAAUUCACAGGAUUGGGCAAGCUUUUGCCAUCCAUCCUAGUUAAAAUUAAUGCCCCUCCUGAAAAGGCCUUUUUUACUACAUAAGGUCCCUCCCAGUUUGACAUCCACUUUCCUCUGAAGUCUUUUUGUAUGGGAAGGAUCUUCUUCAGUACCAAGUCCCCUUCAUGGAAGUUUCUAGGACGAACUUUCUUAUUGUAAGCUCGCAUCAUUCGUUUCUGGUAUAUUUGACCAUGACGGAUAGCUCUUAACCUCCUUUCCUCAAUCAAGUUCAGCUGAUCAUAUCGGGAUUAGACCCAUUCUGCUUCGUCUAACUUUAGUUCUGAAAAAACUCAGAGGGAGGGAAUUUCAACCUCAAUUGGUAGCACUGCCUCCAUUCCAUAAACCAAAGAGAAUGGUGUUGCCCCGGUAGAAGUCUUGACGGACGUUCGAUAAGCAUAGAGGGCGAAUGGCAACUUCUCGUGCCAAUCUCUAUAGGUCUCAGUCAUUUUCCCCACAAUCAUUUUGAUAUUUUUAUUGGCUGCCUCCACCGCACCAUUCAUCUUUGGACGGUAUGGCGAUGAGUUGUGGUGCUUGAUAUUGAAUUGACUACAAACUUCUGCUAUCGUGCUAUUAUUCAAAUUUAAUGCGUUGUCAGAUAUAAUCCUUUCGGGCAUUCCAUACCGACAUAUGAUUUCCUUCUUUAAAAACUUGCUGACAGCUGCCUUUGUGACGUUGGUGUAAGAAGUAGCCCCUACCCACUUAGUAAAGUAGUCAAUCACUACAAAAAUGAAACGAUGUUCGUUUGAAGCCUUUGGCGAUAUCGGCCCAAUGACGUCCAUGCCCCACAUGGAGAAAGGCCAUGGGGAAGUCAUGACGUGAAGAGGUGAUAGAGGCAUAUGGAUUUUGUCUCCGUAAAUCUGGCAUUUAUGGCACUUCUUAGCAUAUUUGAUGCAGUCUCCUUCCAUGGUAGACCAAUAAUAUCCAAAUCUCAUGAUUUGUCUGGCCAUUGUGAAACCGUUAGCGUGUGUUCCACAAAUACCAUCAUGGACUUCUUCCAAGAUCUGUUUGGCCUCCAUAGCGUCCACACAUCUUAACAGCACCUGAUCUUUUCCUCUUUUGUACAGGAUCUCUCCAUCUAAGACGUAAUCACUGGCCAGCCUCCUCAACAUUCUCUUGUCAUUCUCAGUUGCUUGGUUUGGGUAUUCACGAUUUUUUACGUAUCGCAAUAUAUCCUGAUACCAAGGGUUUUCGUCCUUUUCUUCUUCUUCGUCAAUGUUACAACAGUGGGCUGGAGCAUCAUAAAUGCUCAUUUGGAUAGGCUUCACAUCCUCUGGUCUAUUUACUUUGAUAAUGGAAGCCAAUGUAGCUAAAGCGUCGGCCAUCUGAUUCUCGUCUCGUGGAAGAUAACAAAAAGUGAUGUCGUCAAACUCCUCAAUCAAUUCUAGGACUAUCCUUCGGUAACUAAUCAACUUAGGUUCUCUUGUUUCCCAUUCGCCUUUGAGCUGAUAAAUUACCAAUGCCGAAUCCCCAUAUACCUCAAGUACCUUGAUUUUGCGUUCUAUAGCCGCGCGGAUUCCCAUGAUACAUGCUUCAUAUUCCGUCAUGUUAUUUGUGCAAUCAAAAUCUAGUUUACUGGUGAAAGGAUAAUGAUCACCGUUUGGAGAUACCAAGACUGCCCCAAUCCCGUUGCCCAUGGCAUUUGAGGCUCCGUCAAAAUUUAAUUUCCAAGUAUUGCCUUCUUGUGUGCUUGCUUCAGUAGUUGCCACAUACAUCAGAUCCUCAUUUGGAAAAUCAAAGUUCAAAGGCUCAUAAUCGUCCAGGGCUCUACUUGCUAGAAAAUCUGCUAUCGCGCUCCCUUUUACAGCCUUUCGAUUCACAUAGGUUAUGUCAAAUUCAGAUAGUAGAAUUUACCAUCGGGCCAUCCUUCCGUUUAGAGCAGUUGACUCCAUCAUGUAUUUCAGAGGGUCUACCUUUGAGAUUAACCAAGUCGUAUGGUACAACAUGUAUUGUCUCAAUCUUCGAGUAGUCCAAACCAAUGCGCAACAUAAUUUUUCAAUUGGCGAAUACCUCGUUUCGCAUUCAGUGAACUUUUUACUGAGAUAAUAGAUCGCUCUUUCCUUUCGUCCUGACUCAUCAUGUUGGCCGAGCACGCACCCCAUGGAAUUCUCAAAUACUGCCAAGUAUAGUAUCAAUGGUUUGUCAGGGCAAGGUGGUAUCAGUACUGGGGCGUUGGACAAGUAAUGUUUAACUCUUUCGAAAGUUUUCUGGCACUCUUCAUCCCAUACACCUGGAUUGUGUUUCCUAAGAAGACGGAAUAUGGGGUCACAUUUCUCGGUUAAUUGUGAAAUGAAUCGAGCGAUGUAAUUUAGUCUUCCUAGGAAACCCCGAACUUCUUUUUGAGUACUUGGCGGAGGUAAUUCUUAUAUGGCCUUAACUUUGUCUGGGUCAAUUUCAAUUCCCUUUUCGCUGACUAAAAAUCCUAGCAAUUUUCCUGAUCUAGCCCCGAAAGUACACUUGGCUGGGUUAAGUUUUAGCUGGAACUUCCUUAACCUCAGAAACAGUUUUCUCAGAACUUGCACGUGUUCCCUUUCUGUUCUGGAUUUUGCGAUCAUGUCAUCAACAUAAACUUCUAUCUCUUUAUGCAUCAUAUCAUGGAAUAAUGCUACCAUGGCUCUCUGAUACGUUGCUCCCGCAUUUUUCAAUCCAAAAGGCAUCACUUUAUAACAAAACGUCCCCCACAUCGUUAUGAAUGUGGUCUUCUCCCUGUCUUCAGAAAGCAUCUUAAUUUGGUUGUACCCGGAGAAACCAUCCAUGAAAGAGAGCAGUGAGUAUCCGGCCGUGUUGUCUACCAAGGUAUCGAUAUGAGGAAGUGGGAAAUUAUCUUUUGGGCUGGCUUUGUUCAAGUCUCUGUAGUCCACACACAUUCGCACCUUCCCAUCUUUCUUAGGAACAGGGACUAUAUUGGCUACCCAUUCUGAGUACUUGACCACCUGUAAGAAACCAGCAUCAAAUUGCUUCUUAACUUCUUACUUUAUUUUUAGCAAGACAUCAGGCCUCAUCCUUCGGAGCUUUUGUUGGACUGGUUUGCAUUCUUCCUUUAUAGGCAAUCGGUGUACCACGAUAUCAGUACUUAACCCUGGCAUAUCUUGGUAGGACCACGCGAAGACAUCUUUAAACUCUUGAAGCAACUCAACAAGGUCUUGCCUUGUUUCCUUGGCAAUGCAAGCGCCAAUUUUUACCUCUCUGCUCUCUUCUAAGGUCACAACUUCUACUGAUUCCUUAUAGGGUAUAAUUUGUUUUUCUUCUUCUUUCAUCAUUCUUAACAAAUUCGGAGAUAAAACGCUGUCUUGGUCACCUUUAAAAUCUUGAGGAUCAUCUAUACUCAUGUCUUGCUCAAAUAGAGACUCUGAAUUAGUAACAGAGUCGCUCAUCUCGUUGAUAUUUGAAGACCUGUUAUUGGAACAAAUGGAGGCCCAAAUAAAAGGAUCUAAGAAUACUUGUAUGCAUAUUAUGAUUAUAAAGGGAAUGAAAAGAAUGAAAGAAUACUUGCUCAAGAUGAAACUGAAUGAUAAGUUUUCACUGAAAUUAGAUUUUGAACAUGUGCAUUUUACAAAAGAUUCUUAUCACCCCCAGGCUUAGGGCAACAAGUGUUCUGAAUAUUACUCUGAAUUAGUUCUAAAUGUUACAGGGAUCUCUUCUGCAGUCCAGUUAUUCGGAACACUUCCAGGUUCGUAAGGACGAAUGCCCGAUAAAUUCCUUUCCACCCUUUCUUCCGCGGAUAUGGCAUUGAUGUCCAACCUCUCAAUCCUUCCUUCUGUAACCUCAUCCUUCUCUUCAGGGUGGACAAUUCCCCCUGAAACAAAAGUCUUAGAUAUAUGAGGAAAGGUUAUCGGUCCCCACUUGGCUUCUAUCCCGCCCAAAUGUGCUCUUCUCCUUUCUUGUCUUUUCUCCAUCUCCUUCCUCCUUUCCCUCGCAAUAGGCUUAUAUCCCAAACCAUAACGGUCCUGUUUGUUAACUAGGAUCGGUACUCCGACCCUUCCCUGGAGGUAUUUUCCAAAUCCUCUUCCAGGCAAUGCUCCCUUUCCCACCGUUAAGUUCAUUGACGUAGCUUUGGAUAUCUUAGGCUCUGGGAUUUUGCUCAUCUCAAUGACAAAUAUGGCAUUUACGAAUUCCAAUGAUCGGAAUGAACAUUCUAUCGCUUCACUAUCAGCCUCUAUGUAUGGCAUAUCAUCGGUGACUGAUGCAAUGAUGUCUUCUUCUGCACCUAUAGUCACCAAUCUACCCUCUACCACCAAUUUUAACUUUUGGUGAAGUGACGAUGGUACAGCCCCUGCAGAAUGGAUCCAAGGCCUCCCUAAUAGGCAAUUGUAAGAUGGUUUAAUAUCCAUUACCAAAAAGUCUACCUCGUAUGUAUUUGGACCAAUCAAUAGAGGUAUCUCGAUUCUUCCCAUCACUUUUCUCUCAGUGCCAUCAAAUGCUCUCACUAUAUUUUGGCAUAAUUUCAUGUGAGAACUAUCCACAGGUAGCCUGUUUAAUGUGGACAGGGGUAAAACAUUCAGGGCCGAUCCAUUGUCAACGAGUACCGCCGGUAGUAUACACCCCUUGCAACGGGCAGUGAUGUGCAAGGCCUUGGUAGAUCCCAUACCGCCUGGCGAGAUCUCAUCAUCGUUGAAGAAGAUGAAGUUAUCGGCAUUUAUAUUGUUAACCAGGCAAUCCAAUUUGUCCACUGAGAUAUCUUUAGCGACAUAAGUUUCAUUUAGCACUUUUACUAACGUAUUACGAUGUAUCUCUGAACUUAGAAGUAACUCGAGCACUGAGAUGCGAGCCGGUUACUUAUGCAGUUGUUCCACCACGCUAUACUCGCUAUGCUUCAAGAAUUUUAAGAAUUCUCUAGCCUCAUUUUCAGUCACCGGUGUAUUAAUAUGCGGUUCAAUUCCGGUCUUCGUUUUAUCUUGUUCAACCGCCAAGGCUUUUCCUUUUAUAGGCCCCCUUUUUGUAUUUCCCGGGUCGCAACGUUUUCCACUACGCGUAUAAAAGCCUGUGUCAUUACCCUCUUCUGAAGCAUUUAUCGGGUUCUCCUCUCCCGUGAUCAUCACAUUGCAGUCAUAAUUCUAAGGAACCUUUUUACUAUCCUUGUAAGGAAAGGCUACAGGUUUUUGGAUUAUGACCCUUGGCGCCAGUUGUAUUCCAGAUCCUGUGCUUGUUGGCCUUGAAAUAAUCACCACCGGGUGAUUUUGGGCCUUUCUCGUAGGCCCCUCCUCUGAGGCAUAAACUUCUCCUUUCUCAAGUCCUUUGAUCUCUUCAUAAAAUUCUAACUCUUUGUUGUUCAUCAGAUUUUGUAACAUGGCCUUGAAAUCAGUGCAAUUUUGAAUGUCAUGGUCUUCUUCAGCAUGAAACUCGCAGUACGUCUUCGUUCCUUCGGGCCUUUCUUUUGAAUCUUGUUUGAUGAGACCUCCUUCUAUCAUUUGUCUCCAAACCCAACUCAAUGGGGUUUUUAUCUCUGCAAUGUCGGUUUUGAUUCUCUUUCUCCCACCUUCGAUUAUUGCGUUUACCCCUUUAUCAGCAUGAUCGGGUAACGGAUUCGCUGCUACAUUUGGUCCUAAUGGGUUGUCAAACUUCACAAUCCCCAUCUUAAUGAACCUUUCCACCGCCUUUUUAAACCCAGUGCAGUUCUCAAUUGAGUGCCCCGGUAUCCCUGCAUGGUAUUCACAUUGGGCAUUCGCGUCAUACCAUUUGGGAUACGGAGGUUGCAUGGGCUCUAGAUAAAAUGGAGAUACUAUGUGUGCAUCAAAUAACUUCUGAUACAGUUCCCCGUAUGUUAUUGGAAUGGGCGUGAAUUAAAGUCUCUCUGUGUUAGUCCUUGUGUUAGGCCUCGUGUUGGGUUCCUGCCUUGAGGGGGCUUGGUGACUAGUGGUUAUCAUUUUUGGAGGGCCAACAGUAAUCAGUUUUGAAUGGCUCUUGCUAUAUGUGCAUACGUUGUUUACUUCGCCCUCUUUUUUUCUUCGGGCUGGUCUUUUGAAGUUUUCCCCAGUGUCAAUUUUACCGCUCCUUACCGCGUUCUCAAUCAUUUCACCAGACAUUACCAUAUCCGAGAAACUCUUGGUAGCACUCCCCAACAUGUGGUUGAUGAACAGGGCUUUCAAAGUGUUGAUAAACAACAUGGUGACCUCUUUUUCCAAAAGGGGUGGCUGGACUUGUGUUGCCACUUCUCUCCAUCGUUGGGCGUAUUGCCUGAAAUUCUCGCUAGGCUUUUUUUCCAUGUUUUGUAACGUAAUUCGAUCGGGUGUUAUAUCCAUUACAUGACUGUAUUGCUUCAUAAAAGCUUGCGCCAAGUCUCUCCAUGAACUAACUUUAGCACGACUCAGUUGGUUGUACCAUUUGGCUGCAGAUCCGAUCAAACUGUCCUGGAAGCAGUGGAUUAACAGCUGAUCAUUGUUGACGUAUCCUGUCAUUCUUCGACAGAACAUAGUUAUAUGAGCUUCAGGACAACUAGUCCCAUUAUAUUUUUCGAAUUCUGACAUUUUGAACUUAGGUGGGAGUACUAAACCAGGGACCAAACUCAGAUCAUUGACGUCAACCCCGCGAUGACAGUCGAUGUUCUCCAUGGCUCUAAAUUUUUCCUCUAACCAUCUACAUCGGUCCUCCAGUUGUUUUGGCAGGUUCAUUCUUGUUUUUUCUGUUUCUGCCACGUCAUCGAGGUCCGGGACCACCAGAUUAGUGGGAUUAUCCCCGGGAUUAAAACCCGAGCCCAUUUGAAAAUGCACUGGUACCGAGGUACCAGCCAGAUAUUGAGGUCCUAUGGUAACUGGUACCCUCUGUGGGUACACCUCUGGUUGUGCUUGGAUGUUAGUUGGGGUGAAACCUGGAGGAUAAACAGGGUCAUCGUGAUCCUCCCCAGCAUCAAUUACGGGGUCUUUUCCUUUGUUAUUCCCUCCAGCCAAUAACUGCUUUAAUUGGUUCAUCACGGUGUUCUGGGAUUCUAACAUGUCCUGCUGGAUUUUUUCCAGUCGUUCAUGCAUCUGAUCUUGCAUCUCUCGUUGCAACUGUUCCAAUCUUUCCAACCUUUGAUCCAUUGCUUUUGUUUGGCGACGAGUACCGUAGUGAUAUUUGAUUAGAUUUUUGUUGGUUUCCAGGGUAACUGUCAUAAUUUAAUUUUAUUAGGGUCAUUUUAUGAGAUGUAAUGCAAAUGUAUGAGAUGAAUGCAAAAAAAAGAGGCAUUGAUUCGAAUUCAAUUUCAUUAGAAAACUCAACUAGAAAGCAAAUUUCUUUACAUAAAAUAAAUUACAUAUACGGCUUCGCCUUUAUACCCAAAGCCUUAACCUUCCUAAGAAGCCAACUAAAUCUCGACCUCGGCUUGAUUCUGACUCAUAUUUUAAACUCAAUACAUCGGCCUGAAUUGCUAAUGUUUGCAGAUGAUCAGCCACUUCCCGCACUUGAGUCACAGCUUCGCCCAUAACGUAAUCUCUAUCUCUAAUCUGACUUUGAGAAUGAUGGAAUUGCUCUUGCCAUUGAUCAUUACUCCUCUCAAGAAGCUCCAUUCGUAGCUCAGAAUUGUGUAAUGCGUCCUCAAGCUCCUCUACCUUUCCUUUCAGUUCUUCGAUCUUAUUUAAGCUUGCUCUUAAUUCGAUCAUGGAGUUGCGACUACGGUACGAGUGAAGUGACUUUUCUAGCUCUGCCACCUUGGCCUUUAAUCCUGCCUUCUCAUUUCGGCACUCUAACAAACUCCUUUCCAAAGCGUUUUCUCGAGCUCAAGCAUCUUGAAAUUUCUUUUCCCACUGAUCGGCCCUAUUCUUUUCCUCAUUGAUCUCUUGUCGCCAUUGCUCUGACGUUUUACCCAGACCGACAGUUCUCAUUGACAAUCGCAGCUUCUUGUAAUCUAUUUUUAGACUAUCCAAAUCCUCUUCAGCCUUGUUCUUUCCCUUCUUUAAUUUCUCGGCUUCUAGCUUGUGGAUAUCGAUGUCUAAUCCCAAAUGCACUCUUUCUUCUUCUAGCUGUUCUAUCCUCUUUCCCAACUCAGAAUUUCUUUUCUCAAAGUCUCGUUUGAUGAUCUCUAAUUCUGACGGAACUACUUGUAGAUGCUCCUCUAUAGACUGAACGCAAUCUUCCCUCGGCUUAGGGAUGUUGUCAUUGACUCUUUUACUCCACCACCCAUAAUAUUCUGAAGUUGUCAUCGCUCCUACGGUAAAUCUUUUCAUUCGGUGAACCUGUUUCCAAGCGUUAGAUAUUUCUCGAGUUUUUCUCUUGUAGUUUUCAUCCUUAUAAGAAAACUCACAUUGAGCCAGCCCUUGUGUUGCUGGUAUGAACUGUCUCGAUCUAUAUUGUCUUAAUACGAGUAAAGGGGCAUAACCGACAGCUCCCCAAAUUUCGAGUAAAGGGACCCAGUCGAAAUCCCCACAUCGAUACAGGAUCUCGUCGGGUACCAUCCAAGGAGCUUUCCAUUCAACGUCAUCCUCCUGAAGAUUUUGGAGAAUCGUCAUCCACUUCUCUUCCGUGAUGUCGUCUCGUCUUGGUGUAGCAACUUGUUCCUUCAAUGGGGAAUAGUCUUCUGAGAAGACUCGAUAGGAGACAUUUUCCACCUUCCAAAAGUGACUAUGGAACCACACUAAUAGUAGCUGUGCGCAUCCGAUGAACCUUCCCUCCCCUGCUCUUCGACAUGCACUUAGAAAUCUGAAGGUUUCUGCUAAGAUUGCCGGGAUGGGCGUGACUCCUUUACUAAGCCGAUCGAACAAAUCAGAGACGGCCUCAUCUACGUGCCCUAAAGCUCUAGGGAAAAUUACCAAUCCAUAGAUACCUAGAGCGAAGACAUCCACUCUUUUCUUCACAUCAGGGUGUGCUAAUACUAAAUCUCGCAAGCUUUUCCAAGGAACGCAUUUACUGUCUCCUUUCUGUUGGAUUCGGGCAGCGACCCACUGUUCGCUCAUCCCUGUAAUGCUCAUCAAUUUUUUUAAUAAUGUCGGGACACUAGCAGCUCUAGAAUAGGCCUUGUCAAUUUGAAUCUUUGGACACCGAAGCAAGGUCGUAUAUUCUUCCAUGGUGGGCACCAAGUCCACUUUUCCAAAAGUGAAACAACUGUAAGCAGGAUUCUAAAACUGGGCUAGGGCUCGGAAUAAAUGCUUGUCCACUUUGACACCAAGUAGGUAAGGCAAGUCCCCGUAGUCACAGUAAAACAUCUGCUUGGUCCCAUCGUCCCAUUGAUCCCAUAUUUCCUUCAUUUCUCGAAGAUCAUUUUGGAUUACGCUGAUACGGGUGAAGUCCCAUAACUCUGAUACGUACCCUUCUGCAAGACUAUCGCCUUUCUCUCUCCACAUCGUCUCAGCCCACACUCGUACAGCUGCAUUGUCUUCUACUUUAUCAAGAAACCUCUUUUCCAUGAUAAGCUUUCUAUCUAUACUGAACGUGAAUCGACACCUUUUGAAAUGAAAAUGCCAUGCAAUCAUAAACAAAGCAAAUCAGAGCUAGGAUUUAAAGUAAACAAUAAUAAAUAAAGCAUCUAUUCGGUAAGCGCUAGGGUUUGGAAUAGCUCUAUCUCGGUGGGUUCUUACGGCUCGCUAUAUGUGGUUUAGUUCUAAAGUAAGGGUACCUGAACCAGCAGAUUCCUCGAUCCUCACCCAUUAUAGGCUCAUGGACCGAGUUCAGUUCAGGGGAAUACAUUUCCCUAUGGCCAUGCGGAGAUGAAAAUCUCACGAAGACAUAGGUACGGAUGUAUCCCGGAAGCGAUUCACUAUCCCAUGCGGAGGUGAAAACCUCACGAAGGCGUAGUUUCUCACUCCCACUUAAAAAGGUAUGACCAGCGAUCAUGCAAUUCAAUGUGCAGAGGUAUAAAAUAAAAUACAGAACACGAUAAAAAAUAUAACUCAAAACAAAAGAGAUGCAAUGAAAGGAUCGUAAAUUUAAAUCAAAUUUUCCACUUUCAACAAAAAGACAAGAAAUAAUCAACACGUGGCUUGACUCUCUUUCGUUCCCCAGUGGAGUCGCCAAGCUGUUGACACCAUUUUUUUGAUGAAAACGGGGUCGACUUGGAUUUUGAAAAAAGAAUGAAAACGGGAGUCGCCACCAAUCCUUUUUGACGAGGUGUGAUCGGGUCACCUCAAAAUGUGGUUGUUUUUAAUAAAUGAUUUAAUUUUAUUAAAACAACGAUUUUGGUCUACGAAAUUCAGAAAAAUGAGUUCGGGAGUCGGUUACGCACGAGGAAGGAUUAGCACCCUCGAUACGCCCAAAAUUGGUACCUAGUUGAUUAAUUAGUGUCUUAGUGUCGAAAAUUGAAAAUUUGAAGAGUUUUAAAAAUACGAUCCUUAAAAGAAAUUCUGAUAACGUGAAUUGAAAUAUAAGAUUCUCUUGUUCCGAAGGAAUAUCACAUCCAGCACGUUAGGACACGAUACUCUAAACCAUCGAAACCAAGAUCAUCUUAUAGUUUAAUGAAACCACACUUUGAAGCUUUAAGAGGAUAUUUGGCUAUUUAGUCGAACGAGAAAUCGAAACCCAGCACGUUAGGGCACGUUUUCUCGAUUUUCCAAACGCGAAAUAUCGCCUUAUUUAGAAAAAUUUUCCUUUUGAUGUUUGGUGUUAAUGCUUGACAAAACAAUAACGAAUACGACAAGGUGAGCAAAGUAAAGUGAGUAACAACAAUACAAUAGGCAAAAUGAAAUGACGAGGCGAUUACAUAAACAAAGCAUACAAAUAAAUAAAUAGAACUAACAUUUAAAAAAAAGCAUAAGUGUACACGAAUAAAUAAACAAACACCAAAUAACAAUGAUGACAAUAAAUACAAUUAUGUAAAAAUGUAUAUACAUGUAUAAUUUUAAGCCAUGAAAUAAGAAACGCAUAUAAAUUAUAGAAUAUGAAAACAUAGAUAAAUAUAUACAUAUGUGUAAAAAAUAAUAUUAUAAAAAGGGUACGUAUAUAUGUAUAAAAAAUAAAUGUAUUAACAAUGAAUAUAAUAAGGGUAAGAAAACAAGUAUAUACACAAUAUAUAUGUAACGUAGGUACUAAGGAUAUAUAUAUACAAUACAGUAUUUAAAAUAAUAUUUACGUAAUAUAAAAUAUAAUAUUAAAAGGUAUAUGUACAUACGUAAUAUAUAAAUACAUAUAUAAUAUAAUGUUAAAAUAUUUACAUAAUACUAAAAUAUUUAGGUAAUAUAUGCGUAUAUUGAAAACUAGUAAUAAUAUUACCGAGGUAUAUACAAAUAUAUCAAGUAUAUACACGUAUUAUAAAUAUAUAAAUAUAUGACAAAGCAUAAACUAAUAAAAAUAAUAAGAAUAAUAAUAAUGAUAACAUUGGAAUAUAAAAGAAACAAACAUAACAUUAAUAAAAUAUUAAAAUAAAGUGAAAUAAAAAUAUUAAAUAUGAGAAUAUAUAUAGGUAUACACGUACAUAAUAAAAAUAUAUACUAAUACAUAAUAAUAAUAAUGGUAAUACUAAUAAUACUAAUAAUAUAAAAAUAACAAGGAUAUUUAAUAAAGAUAUAAAAAUCAACAAAAAAGGACUAAAAUUGAAUUGAAAGCAAAGUUGUGGGGCCAAUUUGAAAUGAAAACAAAGAAAAAGGACUUAAUUGUAACACGCAUGCAACUUGGAGGGUCAAAAGUGCAAUAAACCCAAGUAUUAAAAACGCUGCGCAGCGUGGGGGACCAGAAUGAAUUCGGGGCAACACCAUGGAGCCAAAUUAAAAAUAAAAAAACCUUGAUUGUAAACUCCCAGAAAGGCGGAAGGGCUAAAAGUGCAAUUAGCCCUUCCAAAGAAAAAAACACGCGGAUCUUCCUUGGUGCAGGUCGGGUCGACCCGACCCGUGUUCAAAACGACGUCGUUUCAUUUAUUUAAACCGGGGGUCCAAAACGGUGCGUUUUGACCCCCUAUAAAAGUCAAAAAAACUUCAAAAAAAAAUCAUUUGUAACGCUGAGGGAAAAAAAAGAAAAGGGAGAGAGGAGAGGGGAGCCCGGAGCGAUUUCCGGCCAAGGGAGGGGUCACCGGACGGCCACCGGAGGCUCGCCGGCGUCAGCGCCGGCCACCGCACGCCGUGGCCGGAAAGGUAAAAUUUUUUAUAUUUUUUUUAUAUUUUUUUGUUAUUUAUUCUUGGUCUUAGAAUGUAUAGAUUUUAGGUUUAUAUUAAUAAAAAAGGUAUAGAUAUGUAUAUAGAAAUCGAAAGAAAAUGGAUGAAAACAAAAAGGUAACCUUUUCCGUUUGCCUUUUCUUUUUCCCGAAUGCUUGCUAUCUCAGUACUGAGAUCUAUGUAUUUUUUUUAAAAUUCUAGCUUCUGUUUUUUUGUAUUAAAAUGCCAAAAAACAAACAAAAAGAAGAAAGAAAAAAAACCCCUGACACAAUUUUUUAUUCGGGUUUUUAUAACCCAUUUUCAUCUAAUUUCCUAUUGUUUCUGUUUUGUCUCUUUGCAUGGGAUGGGCACGAUGGAGGUGACAGAGGCAUGGUGGUACAGAGGAGCAGGUGGCCGACAUGGUGGCAUGGAGAGCUGGGCGUGGCAGACGAGGAGGCCACGCGAGGCAUGCAGCGCUAGGGCUUGGGGGGCAUCUUUCUGCCGAAAAUGUUAAUGUUGUCUGGGCUGGGUUUUUGAUUUUUGUUUCGGGCCAUGGGCUACAUUGGGCUUGUUAUUUUCCUUUGUAAUUGGACUGUUGUUUAUCUUGUUUUAAUAUUCGGGCCUGGGCAUAAAAUUGGGCCUUACAAUAGUCUUAAGUGUCUAUCACAAGAACCUAGAUAUUGUAAAUCCAAUAUCUUCCAAACAAUUCAACCAUGAUAUUAAUGAUGAUGGAAGCAAGAUUAUCCACUAUCAAUGACAUAAAAUGAGCUGUAAAUGCUGACGAACAAACAUGCACUGUUUUUCCAACCUGUGGAUUGAAGAGCAUUGACAAGCUAACUUUGCAGACCAUUUGAAUCCAAUACUAUACAUAAAAAUGCCAAAGGAGAAUAAUUCAUCUUGGAAAAAGAAUUACUAAUAUGCAAAAGCUUACCUUGUUUAACAAGAACACAGCAUAUGCUGCUCUUGUCGUGUCUUGACCUUCUAAAAACAGCGGAAAUUCUGCCAGCUUUACAUUUGCUGAAAGUGUUGUAUCCAAUGACAAAUCAGAAGAUGCAGGGUCUAUUGAAGACGCAUGGUCAUUAAUAUAUGAGCGAGAACCACCCAAGCGCAGAGGAUAACGCAAGGGAACUUGUAAAUAGGAUGCAAUUAGUGAAACAGCCUGCAAAUGAUGAAAUAACAGGAAACAAGAAACAAUAAUAGGUAUGAUUAAAAUUAUAGCCUCAGCAUGAGAAACAAGCAAUCAAGAUGCAGCCCACUAUACCAUAUUACCAUCCUAGCAAUUAAAAAUUACUACAGCAUCUUCAAGCAACAAGGGAUUGUAGGUGGUAGGUCAAAAAACUUGAUAUCCACAGCUUGAUAUUAUCAGAAAAAACAAAUUCAGUAAUAAAUGAUAACUUCACAGAAGAAAUAGAACGCACAUGUGCAACAUAUCCCAAGGCAGUUGCAGAUCUCUGAACCUCCUUUUUGUCAGUGAAAAAACUCAUCUUUGUAAAAGGAAGCAAGGUGAGAUUCAGACCUAAAAUUGUCAACGAUCCUUGAUUGACGGGCUUUGAUGCAGAAGGAUUCCCUAGUGAAGACAGGAACAAAGGAACUUCAUAUCAAUACAUCACCAGACACCACCUCUUUGUGAAAGUCAAAACAAAAUUCAAAAAAAUAUAAUCAUGAAAGUAAGAGAUAUGUAAAAAGUUCAUAAUAUUCAAGAGCAAAAAAAAAUUGUUUUGAUAUGAGGAGAAUUGAAUAGUAGAUUGCUAAAAGAGGAAUAACUGAAUACAGCCAUCAUAACCAAAAGAAGAGUCAAGUGAUAGGUAAUGGUACUCCCUAAGCUGUUUAGGAAUCAUAAAAGACUUGUCCAGUUGACAAAAAUAACUCAUUUUAUUCUCCCCUAGUAAAACAUCAUAUUGGACCAACCAUAUUUGAUAUCAAAGGAUAUGGAUAUCCAGGCAUGCCAUUUAUAGAUAUUCCCAGUGUUGCAAGAAGGAAUUGUUCAAGAGAAAGAAGCUGCUAUUGUUGGUAAAGUUUUCCUCAAACCAUUUUGAACAUCCAAAAUCUCAAGAACAAAAAAGAAAACGUAGGAGGAAAUAUAACAAGCAUCACAACGGGUUCUCGAUGAUAUAAGUGAGAGGAUAAAUGUUAAUUAAGAUUAUAAAAAUAAACCACAAACUAAACAGGAAAGACAUGGAUUUCAAAACGAGGAGACUGGCUGCUAAUUAAAACCAUAUGCGGUGUUGUCUAGGGCGCAAGGCGCAUUCUAGGUGCUAACCUUUAUAUUGCCUCAAGCACAAGGCACAAAAGGAAGCGCUAGCCUGAGUGCAGUAAAGCGCAAUACAUAUAUGUGAGAGUUUUUGCAAGUCUGUGUGUCUACAACAUAAAAGUUUUAAGAUAUAUAGUAAACUCUAAAGUGUGGUCUGGUUUAUCCACAAAACUUGCAAAAUUUUUAUAGGUGAAUGCUCAAAUAUUGAGAAUUAUAGAGUUUGAUAUUAUCCCUUUCUUAUUAGUAAAGGUGUAUCAAAUGAAAACAGUAAAAAAUAAAAUAAAAUAUUGAGAAAUUCAACAAGGCAGGCUUUUUCUAAUGCCCAUUGCCUUACAAAAAAAGUGUGCCUAGGUGCACCAGGCAUACGCUUGAUCAAAUGGACCUCACCUGGAAGGGUCCAAGGCGUUUGGUUGUAUAAAACUAAGGCGUAGGCAUGCCUAGGCGCAUGCCUUGACGACACUGACCAUAUGUUGGCUUUAUUGCAAAGCAUUAGCAAUCCAAAACUACUAGCACAUUACCUAAUCUACUACUGCUAGAAUAGGACUCAAGUUCUUGCUCCUGUGCAGGUCCAACCAAGAUCUUUACAGGAUACAAUAAUGAAACUUGUGAUAUCAUAUAUUGUUGCCUUGCUCGAAGCUUCCUUUGCACAUUUUUAAGUUUAACACAACCCCUUUCUUCAGUGAGUAAUCUAUUUGCUUCCUGUGAUAAAAACAACAUAUAAUCAAUCAUGCCACGCAUGCAAGACUACCAACCAACUAUCUAACAAAAGAUACAAAGAAGUAGGAGAGCAAGAAGGGGAUAACCCUUGACUAUGCAAAGGAAUUCAUAGAAUGAGAAUCAUCUCAUCUAAGCCCCUCAACCACCUUCACAGGGGGUGGAGGUGCAAAGAGAGAGGUCUUAUUGAUCCGAGAGGAGAAUAUAUAACAUCUAAAGCUGAAUAAGAAGAAACCUUGAAAUAUAUCAUAAAUUCAGAAUUCAUGAUAAUAUAAAAAUGAAAUUCCAAAGCUAAUUUAAGCUAGAAUAAAAAUGCUUCACCUGUAAUCACUUCCUUGCUACAGAAAGAGAGGUACCAGCAACCAACAAUGAUCUUACUUCAGUACUAAGCAUUUCCUCCUGUUUUUUAGCAUCCUCUGUUGCAACUUUGCAAUGAGUUGACAUGUUUGCCAUAACUACUUUCCUUGCCUCGAGUCUCUCACGCAUUUCCUCAAGCUCGUUCAGUUUAUUCAAAGACUCAUUUUUUACCUGCACAGCAUGUUCCCACCCAUUAAUCAGUGGGCCAAUUAAUUAGGUCACAGAAGACAAAACUAAAUUAUCACUCACCAGGUCCCCUUGAAGUGUCAUAUGGCUUUAACAAUUCAACGUGCAAUAUCUAGUAAAAGUAAAAUAAACAUAGAAGAAUGCAAAUGCAAUUCUUAAACGCCUUUAAAUGGACAACAUGAAACACUUUAAGAGCCCUAUAAAACAGAAAACUGGAAAAAAAAUCUGAAAAGGAAAAAAAAAUGAAUUGAAACAAUAAAUCCAUCUGGUACAAACAGCAACAAAUCUCGAAAUAAGCUUUGGCUUUAGCCCAUUAAAGCCCGGGCAUCCGGCCAAAUAAACAGUGACUGCCAUGUCAACUUUUUGAGACGGUAGAAAAGAGCUCAAAAAUCUCAAUUUCCAAAAAUAAGGACAUAAGAAGGAAAACAAUUUACUUAUUCUUACAGUAGAAGAGCAAAAUGAAACUAAAUGAAGGAUAAGGGAACUGAUGCGAAUUGACAUUGUUAUUUUUGGGACUAAAAAGAAUACGCAGAUUGAAUAUUUAAGAUUUUGUAAGGGAAAAGUUCCAUUCACCGACACAAUUAUCAUCGCCCUUUAUCCCAGUAAAGCUUAAUUGACAAUUUUUCUGUCUCGUGUUCUUGCUAAAGCAUUUGAGCAACCCAACAGAAAUCAUUAUAUUUCAAACUGAAAUGAUUGGCUUUAACAAUUUCACAACCUAUACCGCCCAACCUAGUAAGUAAUUUAGGUGCAGACACCAGAAAUCUAUUUUCUUUGCACUCUACAACUAAAUAGCAUACCACUUAUCAAUCAAACACAGCUGAAAACUUCAGUGAGGGAACAUUAUGUAAAAUGAAAAAACUAUAACUUCAACUUGAUUCAUAGCUCGGCAAGUUCAGGGAAUUGGGACUUCUACCACGAUGAUCCAGUUCAAUGUGAAACAGUGAUCCAUAUCAUGCAUAUCGGUUCCCGGAACAAGAGGUAAAACCAGCAAAUUAGGUAAACAAUAAUCCUACUAUAUUUCAGAAUAGCAACAUUGAGCAUGAAAGCUAAAAUUAUAGCAUAUUACGGGUCCUUGCUCUCUACAACUACAUAUAAAAUUAGUAAACAAUAUUACUACAUUAAGGAUCCAGAAAAACUUUGUUUCAAUUGUUGAUCACUUGAUCCAACUAUUUUAGAAAGUUUAUUCUUCUUUUUCCUUUCCCUUAUUUUCUAAAUCAGGAAAAACAGUAGCAUAUAAAUUGGAUUACUACUCCAAGUUUCUGAAAUUUCAACAAUAUCCCUUUUACCUUUUCACUCAAGUCAUUACCCCCCAAUUAACAAAUAUAUUCCCAGUUUCCCUUUCCCUUCAAACACCCCUUUUUUUUUCCUCUACCCAAAUUCAGCUUAUGUUCAAAAACCCAAAAUUGGUUUGCUAAAAUAACAUAAUUUUCAAACACAAAGAUAACCUAAUUUUAAUCAGAAAAAAAAAGCAUUACCUGAAUUAGUGACUGGAGUUUCUCUUGAAGACUUUGUUUCUUCUCAUUAGCUUCCUUAAGGGCAGAAGUUAAACUCCACAAUCUAGCUAGCUCGUUGUCGAAAUCUUCCCAUUCAAUUAGUUGCACAUUUUCAUGUGCAGCAUUGAUUUUCUUCGGGUCGGUAAUUAGGGUUUUGACUCGGGCUUGUUCUCGAUUUUCCAUGAAAUAAUUGAAGAGGAAAGCUUUCGAUUCUGUAAGUUUAAAAAGGGAUCAUAGAUCGACCUCAUGGUACUGGAUCUCGCCCGGUUAGAGUGUUCUUUUUCACGCCGAUCGAAUCAUUUUCUCGGGAAACUUUGCUAGCUAGGGGUAAUUUUCUCGGGAAAAUGGAGGGAAAAACAGAUUCGGGAGUUUUUAUUUGGGGGAGUCUAAGGUAUAACGGAGAAUGACAGGUGGCGGUUAACGGAGGAAUCUCACGAUUCAUGUCAUUUUCACUUUUUCGAUUUAGAAAUUGCUUAAAUACUUUUAAAAAUAGAUAAUAAGAUAAACUUUCUUUUUGAAUAAGAUAAAACUUUCAUUGAAAAUAAAUAAAUAAAUUAAAAAAUAUUUGAUGAUUUUUAAGUUGGUAAUUUUUUUUUAUAAAAAUUUGGUAACUUCUUUGAAAGUUGAUAUAAAAUGUAUCACGACCCGACUUGAGAUUUAAUUUGUCCUCGUCAGAAGUCCGACCCAAACAAGGGAAUAUGACUUGCCACUCACCAAUUUUUUAACCUUCCAACUUGCCAGCUUUAUGGAGUAACUCGGCACCUUGCGACACUACCUAACAUACCGUGAGAUUUAAGUACAAAUAUCUCUAAGGGUAUGUGUCAAGCUUAAGAGAAAUAACAUAUUAUUAUACAUAUUAUUUAGUUACCCCUAACAUGUCACGUCAAAAAAUCAUACUAUAAAAAAUAGUCCUCACAAGAUAGGAUAGAAAAAAAAAGUCAUCAACAAAAGUAAUUAAGUAACCUUUUUAUAAAACAAAAAGAUUUAUUUUAUUUUGAAAUAAAUUAAUUCUCUAACUUAUAUAAGAAAUUAAGUAAAAUCUUUUUAAAUAAUAAGACAUAAUUUCUCGAAAAAAAAUAAUCAAAUGAGAGCUAAUCAAAAUAAUUUAUUUUUUUAGGCCAAACAAUUUUACUUCAACUAUUUAUAAACACUUUUUAAUCAAUUUUAUUUUAACUCCCAUUAUAAAUUUUAUAAAAAGGAUAAUAUAUUAAAAAUACCCUUAAAUUAUUAGAUUUUGUAUAAAUAAACUCUUAUUUUUUUUAGUUAAAUAAACUCCUAAAUUAUUAAUUUAGUCAUGAAAAUGUUGAUAUAAAAGUAUGAGAAUAAUUUAUUAAAUAAAAAAUUAAUUAUUUUAAAAUAUUUAAAAUAUUUAUAUACAUAAUAAACUUAAUUAAAUUCUCUAGAAAAAAAAUUUAUAUUCUUUUAAAUUUUAUGUUGAUAUAUUAUUUCUAUUUGUCUAAUAAAGUGCAUAACGAGGCAAUAACUAUUUUUUAUGUAUAAAUUAAACAAUACUACAACUUCCGAAGUUAAUAAGAUUAUAUCUAUACUCACCAUCACAAUUAGAGACAGGGGUGAGUAUUCGAUCGAAUUGAGUUAAAAAAUUUUGAAUUAGUCGAGUUAACAAAUCUUAUUUUAGCAAUCGAAAUCAAUUUAAAUUUUUUUAAAUCAAAUCGAAUCGAGUCAAAAAAUUUCAAGUCGAAUUAACGAAUCCUAUUAUUUAUACUCAAUAUUGCGUUUAUAUGGGCUGAUUAUUUAACUGGUAGACGAAGUACAAGAUUAUUUAACUAUAUAAACAAUAUAAUGGUUUUGCAUUGUAACUUAAUAGGUAAACAUUUAUCAAAACGAAAUAAUUUUACCUUUUAAGUUAAUGGUUUUGACUUUUAACUUUUAACUUUAAAAAAUAUAAACAUUUAUCAAUACGACGUAAAUUUACAUUUUCGUAUUCGGAUUUUCGAAUAACUCGAAACGUGUAAUUCAUAUUCGAGUUAAACUAAAAAUUUUAAUUUUUUUAUUUGAGUUAAUCUGAAUAACUUGAUUAAAUCGAAUAACUCGAAUUGUUUAAUUUGAAAUUUGAUUUUUUUAUCGAAUUUUUCAAAUCAAAUCAAAAUUUACUCACCCUUAAUUAGUCAUCAUAACUAAAUUAAAGUUGCCCCAUUAUGCAAUUGCAAGUCUUCAAAGCCUAAAAGUUGUAACAAUUCAAAAUUUCAAUGGAAAUUAAAAUUAAUAUUUUUAUCAUAUAUUAGUCAAAGUUUAUUGCAUCAACAAUAAGUUAAGAUAAAAACCUCAAAUUUUAAAAUAUUUUUACCUCAAUAUAAAAUUUAAGAGCUUUCAUGUAUAAAAACUAAAGGUUAGAGCUUUCAUGUUUAAGGGCUUAUUUAUACUUCAUCUUUAUAAAAAAACACUUAAAUAGUAGUUUAAAUUAUAUAGUUAAUCACUCAAUUUUAGUAAAUUUUCAUUUUAGUCACUCGUUGUUAAUUUGGCUAAUGUAAAUAUUACAUUACACUGAUUUUAGUCACCUAAUUUUCAUAAGAUAGAAUUAAUUUUAUUUUUCGGUAAAAAAGAAAAGAAAAACUCAAAAUUUUACAAGCAAGUACCUAGGUUUUUAUAGAAAAAACUUGGAGUUUUAUAUGAAAAACCUACGUUUUUAUUGGAAUAGUCAUAUUAUCUUUUUUUAUUUCAUUUAUUUUUUUCAUUUAUAAAAUUAAUUUUAGCUUUUUCAAUGAAAAGAAAACCUAAUUUUUUACUAAGAAAAUCAUUUUAUCUUUUUAAUUUCUUUUACUUUCAUAUUUAGAAUUAAUUUUAAUUUUUUUUCCAAUAACAAUGAAAAAAAACUUGGAUUUUUACAAUGAGUUUGUUGGGUUUCCACGAGAAUUGCUUGAGUUUUAUGAAUAACUCAAUUCCUUAAAAAAUUCUAAAAAAAAUUAGAAAAAUAAGAUUAAUUAAAAAAAAUGGAGCAAAAUGAAAAUUUACUAAAAUUAGAUGGCUAAAAUGAAUAUACAAUUGCAUUUUCGUUAGCCAAAUUAACAUGUGAUCAAAAUGAAAUAUUAUUAAAAUUGAGUGAUUAAAAUGAAAAAACUAUUUGAUUUAUUUACACCCUGAUUUUAUGAGCAAAUUCCCCAGCACAAAGCCUAUUUUGACAAUAACAGUUCAAAUGAAAAGUCUUCGCUUACUCUUUGAACGAAACUCUUCUCCCGCUAAAACCACCUCUUCUUCCUCCAAAUUCAAACGCCCAAAGCUUUCUUCCAUCUCUAAUGGCUCUGAUUCAUCACAAUCAUCAUCAUCUCAAGAUCCCCUUAAAACCCAUUUCUCCUCUCUCAUCAAAUCCUCCGAAACCACCCUACAACUCCGGCAAAUCCACGCUCAAAUCCUGCGCCGCCACCUCUCUUCCAGUGCCAAUCUCACCACCCUCUUAAUCUCCGUUUCUUCUUCCUUCAAAUCCAUACCUUACGCGCUCUCUAUUUUCAACUAUUCUCACCACAAAAGCUUAUUCCUUUUCAAUGCUUUGAUUCGUGGCUUGACGGAGAAUUCCCAUUUCCAAUCCUCAGUUUCACAUUUUCUUCUCAUGUUGAGACAUAGAGUUCGCCCUGAUUAACUUACAUACCCUUUCGUGCUCAAGUCUAUUGCGGGAUUGGGUCUUCAUUUCCUUGGUCUGAUCCUUCAUGGGAGAAUCAUAAAAUCUGGGGUUGAGUUCGAUUCGUUCGUUCGGGUUUCGUUAGUGGAAAUGUAUGUGAAGCUCGAGGAAAUGGGUUUUGCGUUGCAAGUGUUUGAUGAAAGUCCUGAGAGAAACAAGAGUGAGAGUAUAUUGUUGUGGAAUGUGUUGAUUAAUGGGUGUUGUAAAGUGGGGGAUUUGGAGAAAGCUAUGGAGUUUUUCGAGGCUAUGCCUGAAAGGAAUAUUGGGUCUUGGAAUAGUUUUAUAAAUGGGCUAAUGAAAAAUGGGGAUUUGAACAAAGCAAUGCAGCUUUUUGAUGAAAUGAAGGAGAAGGAUGUGGUUUCUUGGACUACAAUUGUUAAUGGGCUUUCACAGAAUGGAGAUCAUCAGAAGGCGUUAUCCAUGUUCUUUAAGAUGUUGGAGGUCGGUUUAAGGUCGAAUGAUCUUACUCUUGUUUCAGCUCUUUUCGCUUGCGCUAAAAUUGGUGCACUUGAAGUUGGAGUCCAUAUCCAUAACUAUUUUGUGGAAAAUGGGCUUCGGUUGAAUAAAGCAACUGCUGCUGCUUUGGUUGAUAUGUAUGCAAAGUGUGGGAAUAUCCUAUCUGCUAGUAAGGUUUUUGAAGUAACUGUUGCGCGGAAGCGUGUGAAAGAGUAAAAUUAUUGUACUGAAAAAUCACACUAAGUUCAAUUCCCAGGAAAGAGAGGUGGAUCACGAGGAUCGCUUACAUACCAGAUCUUUCCUAGCCAGAAUAUCCCUCUAUCGUAAUUUAAUAGCACAAUAAAUCACUACAAUGACACUUGCAAAAUAUGCAGAACAAAAAAUAAAGAACACUAGAAUUUUAACGAGGUUCAGCAAAUUUUGCCUACGUCCUCGGGCACUACCAAAUAUAUUUCACUCCAAAAAAUACAAGUGAAAGUUUACAAAUAGGGAGAGAGAACAAUUGCCUUAAGUAGAGAUUGGCAAGUGUGGGAUGAAGAAAGUAAGAAAUGGUUAGGCCUAUUUAUAGUUGAGGUUCAAGGAUCAACUUGCAAUGUCCCUAUACAAUUAGGGACCAAAAUUGCAAUUAUCUCAUGCCAACUUUUAACCCAACUUGCCAACCAAUUUUACUUUCUACUUUCGGUGACCACCCUUUUUGACUUUUCAAACAAUGGGUGGGUUCCAAUAAUCUCCACCUUGAAGAUUUGAUUAGGCUAAUCUUAUCUUCACACAAUUCUUUCUGCCUUUGACAACAAUACUUGAUAGUGCCUUCUUCAACUGUUAAACUUGCAGGAUAUUAAUCAAGUUCAAACAAUGUUCGAACUUGGUUGAUGUUACCACCUUGCUCAUCAUAUCUGCGGGAUUAUCUGCAGUCUUGAUCUUCUGAAGACAAAUUUUCCCCUCUUCAAUAAUUUCCCGCACAAAAUGGAAUCGUACGUCGAUAUGUUUUGUACGUGCAUGAUAGACUUGAUUCUUUGCUAAAUGAAUAGCACUUUGACUAUCACGAUACACGUUAAUAUGCUCCUGAACCAACCCCAAGGUUUUAGCCAUACCUUGUAACCAAAUAGCCUCCUUUACAGCCUCUGUUACAGCCAUGUACUCGGCUUCUGUGGUUGACAAUGCAACUGUAGACUGUAGUGUAGACUUCCAACUUAUUGGUCAUCCAGCAAGUGUAAACACAUAACCAGUGGUUGAUCUUCGAUUGUCCAAAUCACCGGCAUAGUCAGAAUCAACGUACCCAAUAACACCUUUACCAAGUGUAUUAUCCUGCUUGAACAGUAAUCCAACAUCCACGGUCUUCUGAAUAUACCGUAGAAUCCAUUUCACAGCUUGCCAAUGUCCUUUUCCAGGAUUAUGCAUAUACCUGCUCACUAUACUAACUGCCUGUGAAAUGUCAGGUCUUGUACACACCAUUGCAUACAUCAAGCUACCCACUGCAUUAGAAUACGGAACUUGCAACAUGUAUUCUCGUUCCGUAUUCGUCGAAGGAGAUAGUUGUGUAAAAAGCUUGAAAUGAGAAGCCAACGGGGUACUUACAGGUUUUGUCUGCUCGUUCAUGCCAAACUGCUGUAGUACCUUUUUCAAAUACUGCUUCUGAGACAAGCUAACUCUAUCAUGAGCUCUAUCUCUCCAUAUUUCCAUGCCGAGAAUCCUUUUAGCUUCUCCUAGAUCUUUCAUCUCAAACUCGAGAUUGAGUUGAGUCUUCAAUCUUUCAAUUUCAACUUUGCUCUUAGAUGCUAUUAGCAUAUCAUCAACAUAUAAGAGCAAGUAUAUGAAAGUUCCUUCUUGUAGCUUCUGAAAAUACACGCAAUGAUCAAAUUUACUUCUUGUGUACCUUUACCCUUUCAUAAACUGAUCAAAUCGCUUGUACCACUGCCUCGGAGAUUGCUUCAAUCCAUAAAGCGACUUUGUCAGUUUGCAAACCCAAUUUUCUUUUCCAGCAACCUUGAAUCCAUCUGGCUGAGUCAUAUAGAUUUCCUCUUCCAAAUCACCGUGUAAAAACGCGGUCUUCACAUCAAGCUGAACUAGUUCAAGAUCAUAUUGCGCAACCAAGGCUAGCAAAAUCUGAAUAGACGAAUGCUUCACAACUGGAGAAAACACUUCAUUGUAGUCUAUUCCUUCUUUCUGAGCGUAACCCUUUGUUACUAAUCUAGCCUUGUAUCGAAUUUCAUUUUUAUCAGGAAAUCCUUCCUUCUUUGCAUAUACCCAUUUGCAUCCAAUUGCCUUCUUUCCCUUGGGUAGUGUCACCAACUCCCAGGUCUUAUUUUUCUGAAGAGACUGCAUUUCUUCAUUCAUUGCUUGCUUCCACUUUACACCAUCAGGGUUACUUAUUACUUCUGUGUAAGUAGAAGGAACAUCAUCAUCUGUAUUUGGAAAUGCAUAGGCCACUAUAUCAUCAAAGCGAGCAGGCUUACGAAUCUCUCUUCUUGGCCUUCUAUAUGCAAUUGAAUCUUGUUGCUGUAGAGAUUCUUGGGUAGGAACCUCUUCAUCAUUUGUCCCUUCAAUAUUAGCUGGAUCAUCGUUAACCUUUUCAAGCUCCACAUGCUGCAAAGUACUAACGGUUUUGUCAUCCUUUUGUGAAUCCUUGUACUUCAACAUGGUUGAUUCAUCAAAAGUCACAUCUCUACUGAAAACAAUCUUCAUUGUAUCAGAACACCAGAGACGAUAUCCUUUUACUCCAUCAGUUAUACCCAAGAAUAAUGCUUUCUUUGCUCUUGGGUCUAACUUAGAUUCUUUUACAUGAUAAUAUGCAGUGGAACCAAAUACAUGCAAAGAAUCAUAAUCAGUAGCAGAUUUACCAGUCCACAUCUCUAUAGGAGUUUUUCCAUUUAUUGCAGCUGAUGGCAAACGGUUAAUUAGAUGGCACGCAUAUGUAACUGCCUCAGCCCAAAAUUCUUUGCCCAAUCCAGCAUUGGACAACAUACAUCGAACUUUCUCCAGUAUAGUUCGAUUCAUUCGUUCUGCCACCCCAUUUUGCUGUGGUGUAUCCCGAACAGUGAAGUGUCGCACAAUGCCCUCAUCUUGGCAUACUUGUAGAAAUGGAUCGUUUUUGUACUCAGUACCAUUAUCUGAUCGAAGUCGUUUGACCUUUCGACCAGUCUGAGUCUCCACCAUCUUCUUCCAUUUCAGAAAUGCAUCCAAAACUUCACUUUUUCUUUUCAUUAGAUACACCCAUACUUUUCUUGAAUAAUCAUCAACAAAAGUAACAAAAUAGUGCAUACCUCCCAAAGAAGCUACUUUGGUAGGUCCCCACACAUCACUGUGAACGUAGUCCAGAAUUCCUUUCGUAUUGUGAAUUGCUGGACCAAAUUUUACCCUCUUCUGCUUGCCCAGAACACAAUGUUCACAGAAUUCCAUUUUGCAAGAAUUUGCACUUUUCAAUAAGCCUUGCUUCACCAAUGUCUGCAAAGCUUUUUCACCAGCAUGUCCCAAUCGCAUAUGCCAUAAUCUGGUAGCCUCUGAAUCUACAUCUUUUGUAGAAACUGUUGAUGUUGAUCCAAUAACUGUACUUCCAUUUAAAAAAUACAAGUUAUUUCUUCUUGUGCCUUUCAUCACCGUCAGUUGCCCAGCUACUACUUUUAGUAAUCCAUCUCUCAAAGUGAUUGUGAGCCCUUUAGAUUCUAGGGCACCUAAUAAGAUGAGAUUUUUCUUCAGGCUAGGUACGUAGCAAACAUCUGUCAAGACUUGGAUUGAGCCGUCGUGAUUCUUCAAUUGGACUGUACCCACUCCCAUUGUCUUACAAGCACUAUCAUUGCCCAUAAGAACAAUUCCACCUUCUAGCUCUUUAAGACUAGAAAACCAGUCCUUAUUAGGACACAUAUGGUAAGUACAUCCUGAAUCCAAAAUCCACUCAUCCGUUUGACAUGCCAUUGCCAUGCCAACCAAGCUAAAGUCUGACUCCUCAUCAUGCUCCGCUACACAUGCAUUAGAAAUAGCCUUGCCCUUUUGUAGCUUAGGACAAUUCUUUUUCCAAUGCCCUUUUUCACGGCAAAAGGCACAUUUAUCUUUGGCGGGUCUCCCUUUGGACUUUCCUCUUCUACCAGAUUUGCUGCUGUGUGAACGACCUCUUACUGUUAAGACUUCUGCGGUUGUAUCUCUGUGAUCUCUUUUAUCUUUCUUUCGAGUCUCAGAUCUAUACAACGCACUACAGACUGCAUCAAAUGUGAUCGUGUCCUUCCCAUGAAGCAAUGUGGUGGUAAGAUGAUCAUAUUCAUCAGGAAGGGAAUUCAACAACAAUAAUGCAUUGUCUUCAUCUUCAAAUUUCUCAUCCAAAUUUAGCAAGUCUGCUAAAAUUUUAUUGAAUGAGUUCACAUGGUCAUUCAUCGACAUACCGGGUGCAUACGUGAAUCGAUAAAGUUUCUUUUUCAUAUAAAGCCUAUUUUCAAGACUUUUCGUUAGAAACUUUUCUUCCAGUGUAUCCCAUAACUUCUUCGCUGAUGUCUCCCUCAUGACAGAGUACUUCUGCUCUUUGGCCAAACAUAGGCGGAUUGUACCACACGCCUGUCUAUUGAUUUUGGCCCACUCCAUGUCAUCCAUCUUGUCAGGUUUUUCUUCAAAUGCUAUAUCUAGCUCUUGCUGACAUAAGACAUCCAGGAUCUCACAUUGCCACAUACCAAAAUUAUUGGUACCGUCAAAUUUCUCUACUUCAAAUUUUGCAUUUGUCACAGUAGUCCUUGCUGAUGACGAUGCUGCUGCCAUUUUUCUCCUCAAUCCCAACUACUGUAUACGUGAACAGUACUGUAUACGUGAAUAGUACCGUAUACGUGAAUAGUGCCGUAUACGUGAAUAGUACUGUAUAUGUAAAUAGUACCGUAUACGUGAAUAGUGCCGUAUACGUGAAUAGUACUGUAAACGGUCGUAUUCCCCAAGUACGAACCUGGCUCUGAUACCAAUUGUUGCGCGGAAGCGUGUGAAAGAGUAAAAUUAUUGUACUAAAAAAUCACACUAAGUUCAAUUCCCAAGAAAGAGAGGUGGAUCACGAGGAUCGCUUACAUACCAGAUCUUUCCUAGCCAGAAUAUCCCUAUAUCGUAAUUUAAUAGCACAAUAAAUCACUACAAUGACACUUGCAAAAUAUGCAGAACAAAAAAUAAAGAACACUAGAAUUUUAACGAGGUUCAGCAAAUUUUGCCUACGUCCUCGGGCACUACCAAAUAUAUUUCACUCCAAAAAAUACAAGUGAAAGUUUACAAAUAGGGAGAGAGAACAAUUGCCUUAAGUAGAGAAUGGCAAGUGUGGGAUGAAGAAAGUAAGAAAUGGUUAGGCCUAUUUAUAGUUGAGGUUCAAGGAUCAACUUGCAAUGUCCCUAUACAAUUAGGGACCAAAAUUGCAAUUAUCCCAUGCCAACUUUUAACCCAACUUGCCAACCAAUUUUACUUUCUACUUUCGGUGCCCACCCUUUUUGACUUUUCAAACAAUGAGUGGGUUCCAAUAGUAACAAAAGAGAAGGACAUUCGUACCUGGAGUGUCAUGAUAUGGGGUUGGGCAACCCAUGGGUUUUAUGGACAAGCUAUCCGAUGCUUCAAAAAGAUGAUGUUUUCAGGUGUGGACUUAGUAGUUUUCAUUGAGCUCAACCCUUUAUUCUAAUCUUUCUGAAUAAACUCAAGUUUGUCGUAUUUGCAGGAAUAAAACCCGAUGCGGUGGUCUUUCUUACCCUCCUGACUGCAUGCUCACAUUCUGGACAAGUAGAUCUUGGGCUUAACUUCUUUGAUAGCAUGAGGUUUGAUUACUCCAUUGAGCCAACCAUGAAGCAUUAUACGUUGGUCGUUGAUUUGUUAGGCAGGGCAGGCCGACUGGAUGAAGCAAUGAAGUUCAUACAAAGGAUGCCUAUAAGUCCUGAUUUUGUGGCAUGGGGAGCACUUUUUGUGCUUGCAGAGCUCACAAAAAUAUUAAAAUGGCAGAACUAGUGUCAGAAAAGCUCCUUCAGCUUGAACCUAAACAUCCUGGGAGCUAUGUUUUCUUGUCAAAUGUUUAUGCAGCAGUUGGUAGAUGGGAAGAUGUGGAGAGGGUAAGAAUGUUGAUGCAGAAUCAAGCUGUUGGCAAAGAUCCGGAGUGGAGUUAUAUUGAAGUCAAUGGACAAGUGCAUAGUUUUGUAGCUGGUGAUCAUGAUCAUAAGCGUGCAAGAGAAAUAUACUUGAAAUUAGAGGAAAUAGUGUCUGGUGCAAGAGAGCAAGGAUAUAUGCCUGAAACUGGGUGGGUUCUUCAUAAUAUUGAGGAAGAAGAGAAGGAAGAUGCAUUAGGAAGUCACAGUGAGAAAUUGGCGCUUGCCUUUGCCUUAAUGAACACUCCUCCGGGGACAACUAUUAGGAUAGUGAAGAACUUAAGAGUAUGUGGAGAUUGCCAUUCUUUGAUGAAAUGUGCUAGUAAGAUGAGCCAAAGAGAAAUCAUAUUGAGAGAUAUAAAGAGAUUCCACCAUUUCAAGUAUGGGGUCUGCUCAUGUGGAGAUUAUUGGUAAAAUGGUAAGUAACAGCAACAUUAAUUUGCUUUGCUGUUAAUAGCACAUGAUUAGUGCUUCUACUUGGUUUAUUUAGAAUAAUGCUUUUAGUUAAAACAUGGAUGUAGCUACAGCAACACAAGUUUUUUUGUUUGAUAAUUGGUAGCAAGUACAUUAAAUUUCUCCAAUGGACCUUUCUGCACAUAUAUAUUAAACUUGAAACUCAUUAGUUAAGUUUGUACUUUAUUUAGGUAUCUAAUUAACGUUGUUAGAUUUUUUCAAUUUCAACUUAUCAUCUUGUGCCACUUCUUUCUCUUCCCUUUAGUGAAAUUUAGCACUUUAAAAGAUGGGUUGCAUUUUGCUCCCUCUGUCAAAAAAAAUGGACAGAUUAAGCUAUACACGUUAGAUCAAAGAGCAAAUAGGUCUUUUUGUUUAAAAAUCCAUCAAUUUUUGUUGUUAAAAAUCAAUCCAUUUACAUCAACAUAAAAUAUAUAACUGUUUGGGUAUCUCAUCAUCCAUGUUAGUUUUUAGCAAUACAAAUGGAUAGAAUUUUUAACAAAAAAAACCAGUUUAUUGUUUGAUCUAACAUACAAUGACUAAUUUGUCAAUUUUUUAAGUAAAUAAAGCAUAAUGCUAAUUGACUCUUAGUAUAAUAUCUCUAUGGUACUUUUAUCAAUACUAUCUCUAUUUAUGAAAUUAAAAAUACUUAAAUAAUUAGAUUUAUUGUAUAUUGUGAUAAAAAAUUAUGUAAGAAAUGCAUUUAUUAAAAAUCCAUAUAAAAUCUAAAUGAUGAUUGUAAAGUUAAAUGUUCUGGUGCAAGAGAGCAAGGAUAUAUGCCUGAAACUGGGUGGGUUCUUCAUAAUAUUGAGGAAGAAGAGAAGGAAGAUGCAUUAGGAAGUCACAGUGAGAAAUUGGCGCUUGCCUUUGCCUUAAUGAACACUUCUCCGGGGACAACUAUCAGGAUAGUGAAGAACUUAAGAGUAUGUGGAGAUUGCCAUUCUUUGAUGAAAUGUGCUAGUAAGAUGAGCCAAAGGGAGAUCAUAUUGAGAGAUAUAAAGAGAUUCCACCAUUUUAGGUAUGGGGUCUGCUCAUGUGGAGAUUAUUGGUAAAAUGGUAAGUAACAACAACAUUAAUUUGCUUUGCUGUUAAUAACACAUGAUUAGUGUUUCUACUUGGUUUAUUUAGAAUAAUGCUUUUAGUUAAAACAUGGAUGUAGCUACAGCAACACAAGUUUUUUUGUUUGAAAAUUGGUAGCAAGUACAUUAAAUUUCUCCAAUGGACCUUUCUGCACAAAUGAUAUAUGUCCCCAUAAAGAACUUGGUGCUCACGGUAUUGCAUGACAGGUAGCCAUAGGUUAUUCGCUCUCUUGAUUGGUAUCUUACAUUCCUCAAGGUCCAAAAGUUGUUCCUUCUUUUUGUCUGAAGUCCAAACCUAAGAAAAGCAUUGAUGGGCCUUUAAAACUUUGCUCAUUUCACUACAUGAACUAUUGGAUGUUUUGUGUUCAAAUUAGUUUAUGCCAGUAGUGAAAGUACAUCUCUUUCUCCUUAUCCAGUUAUUCUUUUCAGUUGUCAUCAUCUUUCUGUGUCUUGCCUUCUGAAGUGUUUAGAUGACUGCAUUUCUCAAUAUAAUUUUCAUUUGACCUAAAUAGUUGAAAUUAAAGUCCCUUAUCAUGCCAUUCAUUACUUUGCUUCUAUAUGGUAGUUAUUCUUCAAUGUCCAUGAAUUGACAUAUAUCACUGGAAGCAUAAUCUUACUUCUAAGCAUGGGAUUGACCUUCUUUAAUGCAGGUUCUUCUGUAAGACUCAAACCAUAGAUGGGCAAGGCUUGAGAAAAUAAAGUUGUAAGUGUUGAACCAGGAAGGACGAUGUUGGCCAUGUUAUAAACAUUCCUCCAGAAUGACUAAACAUCGAGGAAAAGGUUCAACCAUGAGUGGUCCACUGAAACGUGCUUGGUCGAACACGUGCCAAUUAUCAGCUACGUAUCAAAUCCCACAAUUAUAAAUGUAGAUUGGGUUCCAUGCUCUGGUUAAUCCAUUAGAUGACACGGUCCAUUGAAAAGGUACUAAAUUACUGAUGUUUGGUCCAUAUAUGAAUCUGUUUAUUUAAUGGCCAGCAUUAAUUGUUAAUUCUCUUGUUUGCGGGUGACUUUUCCUCUAGCAUGCCUUAUGGAAAGAAGUGUCAGUGACAACCUUUUAAUCAACAGCAACUUACCCUACUAAUGAGCAUUUGGAGCAUUUCAUAGCUCGUUCAGUUUAUUCAAAGACUCAUUUUUACCUGCACAGCAUGUUCCCGCCCAGUAAUCAGUGGGCCAAUUAAUGAAGGAGAGGAUAGUUUGCUAGACACAUGUUUUUUGUGUGAGCUUUCUGGUCUUUUAUGUAGUUGUGGUGUUGACAAUUUUUGUUGUUCUUUACAUAAAUUCUUAUUGGCUAAGCGCUUGGUUUUCUUUUAUUGGAAAGUGCAUCACAACCUGUCGUUACUCAACAAUGGCCAAUUUUCUUGCAUAUCACAUCUUCAGGCAAUGUGAUUAUGUUGAAAAUUGGCCUACCAUGCUUGCUGUAAUACUUCCGGAUGAAGUACGUGCUAGCAAUUGUUCAUGCUGCAGCACGUAUGCUUGCUGUAACAGCAAGAUUUUUGUUUUAGUUUCACUGUAAUCAGCCUAGUUGGAAAUGAACAAGCUGAUGACAGCUUGAUAUGUUUAGGUGUUGAAUGACUAAUUUAGGUGGCUUGUUUCUGUGUACAAGCAAUGUUUUUAAAGUUAGUAGGCUACUUAGUGGUAGUAGGUAGUAAUAACUGAUGUAGUUGGCUAUAAAUGUAUUGUUUUUUUAUUGAAAAAUUAAGCAUAUCAGUGGUUAAAACAGAUUGCUUCCUUGCUGCACGUUUGUGAGCAAGUAAAUUAUUCUUGCAGCUUGCUUCAUUGUCUUGUUCUGUUCUCUGUUUUCUUCCUCUGCUGUCAAAAAACCCAACAGAUUAGCUAUCGUGAAGAUUUCAACAAAGUCGGUUCGUGUUGAUUCAAGGAAAAAAAGAUAUUACGAUUUGAUUUCCUCACCUAAUUGUUUUACUAUGCGAAGUUGGAUUGUGAGGAAUAUUUUGUUGAUUUCUGCAUUUUGAAUAAAGAGCUCUUAGGUUUGUGUGGCCGACGUUUAUAGUUUUAUCUUUCGAUUUUAUCUUUUUUUUUGUAUGAAAUUUAAAGUUUAAUCAAAACUAAUUGUUAUGUGUAUGUAAUAGCUAUUUGAAUUAAAUUAAAUUGACAAAUCAACGUACACUAGUGCAUACUAAAAAAAAUGUAAUAUAAAAUUAAACCAAAAUUGAAUCUAAAACUUAAAUAUUUUAAAACCUCAAACAUAUGGCAACUCUUCACUCCUCUUUCCCUCUGAAGUUAUUUUAAUUUAAAAUAUAUUUUGUAUAAUGUGUUAUAACAAUUCAACUAAACAAAGUGAUUCUCUUUGCAUAACAUAUUAUAUGCUUAUAUAAACUUUUACACAAUUUGUUAUAGAUACAUUUUUAAUAAUUGAAUGAUGACUCCAUUAAAAAUGCAAUAUCAUAAUAAUUCUACAUUUCUUGCAUUAAUAUAAAAUUUUCCUUUUUUUUUCCUCCAAGCCUUGUUUAUUAUCUUUUGUUUUGCCAAAUGGCAGUGCCAGCUUUCAGGCUAGCUAUCGCCCGCCUUUUUCUCCCUCCCAUUAAUCCUUUUUUUCUUUUUUCUUCUCAUUCACUCCACAUGUCUUCUUUCUUUUCAGUUUGUAGAUCUAUUUUAUGAGAAUCUUUAUUUUCUUCACAAGUUGUGAUAGACAGAUGACGACGCCUAUGUUCGUUAAAACUUCAUCGGCCACCAAUAAUUUUUCAGAAUAAUAAAUAAUUUCAUGAGUCGAUUUGGAUUCUUGUUAUCAUAAGUUUUAUAUAUUUUUUAGUUUGUUUUUCAUUGUUUAAUAGGUUUUUAGUUUUAGAAGUUUUUGUCUACUCUUGUAACACGUUUUUUAGUCUUGCUUAUGCAUGUAACCUUAGUUUUACAAGUGAUUUUAGAGAUGGUUUUGUUACCGUCUUCUCUAGUUUGGUGAAUGCUCAAUUCUUUUGUCCAUUUUUGCUCGUCACUUUGGACCAUUCGAGGCUGAUUUUCUUUAUCGCAUUAAGUGCUUGCGAUCACUCCAAAUAUAUCGUGCUUAAGUUGUGAUAAAGCCUGUACAAGCCCAAUUUUUAUGCCCGGGCCCAAUUGACCCAACAAAACCGAACGGCCCAACAGACUAAGGCCCAAACCCAACAAAGACUAGGGUUUCAGAACCCUAGCCCCUCCAUCAGCGCCGCAUGCUAGGGUCUCUGACUUCUGCCCCGUCGGCGCAAACGGCGCACCUACCCCGUCCGUGUCACGUCUCCUCCAUCGCCCUACACCUGCAAACAAUAAAGAGAGAAGCAGACAACACAAAACAGGGGAAAGAUUGAAUCUUUUUUUUUUGUUCUUUCGGUUAUAAAGCCGAACGUAUCAAAUAAGAAAAAGGGGGGAUUUUUUGCAAAAAAAGAAAAUCACAUCAGAAAUAAGAAAAGGAACAAAGGUUGCUGUGUUCUUCAUUUUAUUCUUUUUUGAUUCGUUUACUUUCAUUUAUUUUUAAACAAAUCCGUUAAAAAAUAUAUCAAUAAAAAGGAAAAGAAAAAAAGGAGCGCACCUGAAUCGCUCUCUGGCUCCGUCGACGGAGGUUCUCUCGCCGUUGUCGGCCCGGAUCUGAAGGAGGGAUUCAGAGCCCUUGUCUCGGCGCUCGUAGGGGUUCAAGGACCCGAUUUUCAAAUCGCCCGAAGGCCAGGCUUUUUAAAAACCCUUUGUUGCGCUUCGUUGGCCGCCGUUUCGGUGGCGGUGCGACGGACAGACGGACGAUGGUGAAAAGCCAAUCGUCGGAGGGCAUGAAGAGAGAGUGGGGGAAAGAGUUCUGAAUUUUUUUUUUUAAAAGAGGGAUGAAAUGAUUUUUUUAGGGGUUUUGAUUUAUAUAAGGAUCCAAAACGGCGCCGUUUUGGAAGGGUCAGAAAGCCCCUAAAACGACGCCGUUUUUGCAUAAGACCCGAGACCCAACCCGUCUGCCUUAGGGGAUCCGCGUGUUUUUUACGGAAGGGCUAAUUUCACGUUUAAUCCUUCCGCUUUUUAAUUAUUUUAAAAUUAGGUUCUUUUGAUCUUUUUAAUUUUACCCGGAAAUUGUUUUCGUUUUCAAUUUGAUCCUUACCCAAACUACGUCGUUUUAAAGAAAGGGCCAUUUCUUUGUUGGUCCCUCCAUGUUUUAUGCUUGUUUAGAGCAGUCCUUCCCUUUUCGUUUAUUUGCGUUUUGAACCCCCCGAAUUUUGUUUUAAUGUUUAAUCUAAUCCUUCUGCUAUUUUGUUUAUUUUCUUAACAAAUUUAUUAUUAUUAUUAUUAUUACAUAUUCAUUUAUAACAUCUAAUUUUAGAUUUAAUCAUAUAUAUAAAUAUACGUCCAUGAUAUAUACCUACUUUUUAUAUAUACUUUAUAAUUUAUAUAUACAUAUACACAUUUUAAUUUAUGUACAUAUCUACACAUAUUUUUCAUACUUUACUCAUAUAUAUAUACAUGUACUUAUACAUAUUCUUUAUAUCUUAAAAUCCAUAUUUUUCUUAUGUAUAUAUUUUAUAUUUUAUAUUUUAUAUAUAUGUGUUUAUAUAUUCUACGAUAUAUAUUUAUAUGCAUAAUAAAUACAUAUCUAUAUACGUUUCGAUUUUUAUAAACACAUAUAUAUGUAUGCAUACCUUUAUAUUUCUUAUAUUAAAUACAUAUAUAUAUAUUUAUAUAUCCCUUUAUACUUCUAAAAUCAUAUAUUUUGUAUAUAUUCUUUAUAUUUUAUGAUUCCUAUAUGUACCCACAUAUAUACUUUUUGUAUUGUAUGAUUGUUAUUUACGUAUAUGUACGUACAUACAUACUUACACCUAUUUUCAUGUAUAAUAGCCUUAUAAUAUGUGUACAUACAUGUAUUUUUCAUAUUUCCAUAUACAUACACAUAUAUCUUUUUAUUUUAUAUAAUCUUACUCAUUUUAUUUAUUUAUUUAUUUACAUGUCUAUUAUUAUUAUGCUCUAGUUUUUAUUUAUUUAUUUAUUAUUUGUUAUUGUGCUUGCUUGAUCCUUUUAUAUAUUAAUCUUAUUUUUUAUUUUUAUUUUGAUCAUGUCAUUUUACUUACAUUAUCAUCAUCAUUCCGUUACACUCAUUUUUUUGUUUAGAUUUCAAAAAAAAAAAGAAGAAAUUUUAAAAAUAAGUAACACUCGGUAUUUUGGAUCUUCGAGAGAAUCGAGUCCUAACGUAUUGGGUUCCGACUUUCUUCGUUGAAUUUAAAUAAUCGAGAUUACUCUUUUAAAAAUGAUAAAAAAGCUCGUUAUCGAGAAUUCAAUACGUUGUGUCCCAACGGAUUGGACGUAACACGGUGUUUUCUCGAGACGAGGAUUUUUCGAAAUAAACGUAAUAUUCAAUGUUUAAUCUUUUGAGAAAUUGUGCCCUAACGUAUUGGGUUGUGAUUUCUUCAUUUGAUUUAAACAAUUGAAUAUCCUUUUAAACUUUAUUACAUGGAUCUUUUCAAACUCAAGUUUUAAACAACCUCGGGAAUUAAAAGAGGAUCGUGUCCUAACUUACUGGUCGUAAUCCCUUUUUUAAUUCGAGAUCGUUAAAUAUCUUUUAAAUAAGCUUUUUUCAUUCGCGUAUUGGGAAUUCGACAUAUUGUGUCUUAACUUGCUAGAUAUGAUAUUCUGUCUCGAAUAACGUGAAAUAUGCCCCUUUUCCUGAAAAUUUUCAACGUUUUAAUACAAGGAUCGUAUUUUUAAAAUUCUUCUAAGUUAUCAAUUUUCGACACUAAGACAUUAACUAAUCAACUAGGUACCAAUUUUGGGCGUAUCGAGGGUGCUAAUCCUUCCUCGUGCGUAACCGACUCCCGAACCCGUUUUUCUGAAUUUCGUAGACCAGACUUGUUGUUUUAAUAAAAUUAAAUUGUUUAUUAAAAACAACCACUUUUCGAGGUGAUCCAAUCACCCCUCAUAAAAAAGGAUUGGUGGCGACUCCCGUUUUUUUAUUUUCGUCAAAACCCAAGUCGACCCCGUUUUUCAUCCAAAAAAAUGGUGUCAACAAAGCCAAUUGUCAACAUGUCAUAACGUUCUAUUUAUGCUAAGGCUAAAGCCUUCGUUGGGUUGUUGGAGCUUGUCAUUUACCAUCUACGACGAGUGCUUAUUUUUUUCCCUGAAUUGUAUGAUUCCAUUCAUUGAAUGAAUUAACGAAUUUACCUUUCAAAAGAAAAAAAAUUCAUAAAUUUUGAAAUACAAAAUGAAUGUGUUUUGAUAUUUUUAGGGCAAUGGUUUAGUGGUUUAAAUUUUUUUAUUUAAUAUGGUGAAUUUAAUUAUAAUUUUUUAUUUAUUAGAUAGUAGAAUAUCUCUUACCAUUUAUAAUUAAGUUUAGGUUAAAAUAUUUUAUUAAAUUUUUGGACUUUUCACAAAUUUUAAAUUUAAUCUGUUUACUUUUAUUCAAGAAUUUAAUCUCUCUGCAUAUAAAGGAGGUAAUUAUGGCAAGGGGAAUUACCAUGGCAGAGGUAGCGGAGGCUGAGGAAGAGAUGCUGGAUAUGCUGAAGAAAGAUAGAUGGCUGAGAAACAGAAAAACUUUAGGAACAAUAUUCAGUGUUAGAAGUAUGGGGAUGUGAAGGCAGAUUGUUGGAAAAGGGGAAAACAAGCAAAUUAUGCGGAAGAUGAUGAAGAGAUUUAAGUUAUUUAUGAGCUGUCUAGAUGACACCAUAGCUUCAACUAACAUUUGGCUUCAAGGGCGUAUAUCUCAUGAUGAAGAGAUUGUCUCUCUUCUUUUUUCUCAUAACAUAUUAUACGCCAUGAUAAUAAAUUUUGAUAUGCCUAUAAAUUUGAGUCUCUAUUAUUUGUAAUAUGACAUGUUUUAAUUAUUUUUUAUAUUAUGCCAUGAUUUGGUUCACUCCAUAAGUUAUAUAAAUUUAUUAUAAUAAUUCAAUUAAUUUAAUUUAGAUUAAUUUUACAUUUUUGUCCUAACUUUAGUUUUUAAUAAUUGAAUCAUCCCACCAUUAUAUUCAAUUACAAGUGUAAUACGAUUUUGCGUCAUCCCGCACCAUUAUUCUCAGUGUAAUUUUUGGUAGUGAGCAUUGAAGGGGAGAGAGAGAGAGAACAAAGAAAGAACUUACUGUAAUUUUUGGUGUAUGUAAUCGAUAACCCUCAAUGCUUAAAAUGAAAAAGAAAAUAGAAAACAAAGGUGGCAAAGUUAGUUACAAUGCCAGCUAAUUCGUUAUUGCUAUCCACAUGAAGAAUUUUAUAACCCCAACUACACGAUUUUAUGUCUACCAGCUCUCACUUUUCAUAUUUUUUGGCCAUUAGUUAUUCUAAGAUUUAACAUCACCGUUAAGCCAUGUUUAAACUCUUUUUCUUAUAUAAUAAUUAUAUUAUAUUUAAAAUUGAAAAAACUAACCAACCAAAUAUAUAUUAAUUAAUUAAUAGAAGUUUUUUGGUCAUCGAUUAAAAUAAAUCAAGAAAGACGUUGGAACCACCAACUUCUCUUUAAGAACAACACGAAUACAAGAAUCUAUGCACAACAAGUUCUAAAAUGUAUUAAGUAAAUUCAUCAUCAUGCCUUAAAAAAAGAAGAUCUCGAUAUAUCUGCUUUUGCCAAAGCAUCCGCCAUACCAUUACUUUGCCAGUGAAUAAUUGUGAACUGAAACUUAGCCAAUUGAGUGAUAUUAAUUAUAGAAAUGAUUCUUCUUGCAACCAUAGAUGAAACACCACUGAGACUAACAAACUUGGAGAAACUUGAUUUGAGUUUUAACAUCUUCAGGAACAACACAAUUUCGUUUCUUGAAGGACUUUCAAACUUAAAUUAGUCCUUGGAUAUGCAUAAUAACACUCUGCAAGGCUCAUUAAUAGAUAUUAAAGGUACUGAAGCUAUAACUUUUUUUUCUUGAUAAUUCUUUUUAAAAUAUUUCAUAAUUAAUUGUUCUGAAUUUGUACAUUCACUUCUCACAUUUCUGGGUUUUUUUUGUCCUCAACUAAAUUAAACUUAUGCAAAUUUCUUGAAUAUUUAAGUUAAGAGUUAACGUCAAAGUCAAGAGUUGAUAAGUAUUUUGUGGUCCAUUCAUAUCUUUAUUACAAAAAAAAAAUAUUCAAGAAAUUUGCAGCUAGUUGGAGUUUUGCAAUAAGGAAUUUCCACCAAGAGUUUUGGAGGAAUCAUAUCUCUAACAAAAGAAAGACCUUCAUUUGACUAAAUUUUUUAGUAUUUAUUUUAACUUCCAUUUUUAUUAAAAAAAAGGUAAAAAAAUAUGCCAAACAGGGUCUUUAGGUUACUUUUUUUAGAACUAUAUUAUGUUAUAGUACCAUAUAAGUUAGAGGAGCACAAGUUUAGAUUCAUCCAAUUUUUGAGGAAUUAAUUAAAUAUAUAUUAUUUUAAUAUUAUAGUGUAUAGGGGCAAAGUUAGAAAAAAAUUUUUGUGGAGUCGAAAUUAAAUUAUAGUUUUUACAAUAGUUAAAAAAAAUAAUUUCACUAUUUUAAAAGCAUAUAUGUUGUAAGCACUAAAUUUUUGUCCGACUAGAGUUUGUGUUUAAUUUUCAAAAUUUCAAAAAAAAAUUUUAAAAAUAAAAAUUGCAUUUUGACCCCUAAAUUUUUCCUAAAUUUCAUUUUGACCCUUAAACUUUCAUUAAAUUUCACUUAGACCCCUAAACUUUCAUUAAAUUUCAUUUUAAUCCUAAAUUUUCUAAAAAUUACAUUUAGCCCCAGAAGUUUUGCUGUAUUUGUGAUUUGGUCCUUCAGACACGUUACGUGAUUUGGGGCACCCACUUCCCAGAUUUUCAGGCCACAAUCACCCACUACCUGCAAACAAUGAGAAAGAGGACAAAAUUUGGAGCUUUUAAAAAGAAAAAAAGAGAAGAGGAAGAAAAAAAGGAGAGAAAAAAACAAGCAGAAUUUUUAGAGAAAAAUAAAAAAAGAAGCUCUCAAUCCGGCCGAUUGCCUCCACCGCCACCACGUCCGUUGCGCCACCACCAUUGUCAUCUCACCAUCGAGUCCUAAACGCAAACAAAACAAAAACAAAGAAAAAAGCAAGCAAAAGAGAAAAGGAGAAAGUGCAAAGAAGAAAAAGAAAAAGGAAAAGGGGAGAGAGCAUACCUCCGUGCACGCCAUUGUCGGCCGUCGCACCAGGCGGAGGGACAUCACCGGCGAGACAAAGGAGGUGCUGCUGAUCGGGGAGAAAGAAAGGAAGAAAAAGAAGAAGGAAAGAAGAAAAGGGGAAGAAGAAAGAAAGAAAAAAGAAAAAAAAACUAAAAAAAAUAGCAGGCCAUUUUGGUGGACCAGAUUCAGCCCAACAAGAAGCAGCCCAAACCAGUCCUUUGGCAGCCAAUAGCAACAGCCCAACAGCAAAAAAAAUAAUAAAAGGGGAGGCCCAAAAUUUAAGCCCAUAACUUUGGGCUUUUGGGUAAUUUUUUUUCUUUUUUUCUUUUUAAUCUAUUUUAUUUUAUUUUAUUUAUUUAAAUGGUGUUUUAUUUAAUUUAAAUUAGUAUGCUUUAAAACAGUUUUCAUAAAUAUUAUUAUGUCAUUUAAUUGCAUAUUUUUUUUAAAAAAUAAUAAUAUUUUAAUGCAUAAGGCAACGAACCGAUUUAGCAUCGAGUCAUCGAAUUCAUCGCUAUGUUGGAUGGAUAUCGAUAGCUCGUGUUAAAUUCGGGACACCCUUUUAAAAAUAAAAAUAUUCAAAAAUCCUCGUAUUUUAAUAAAAAUUCUCGUGUUUUAUUAGAAUCCCGAUUAAAUAUUAAAUUGAAUUGAGUUAACAUUAAUUCGAUGGUUUCAUCGCCAUAUCGGGAUGAAUAUCAUCGAUUCGUGUUAAAUACGGUAUUUUUUAAAGAAAAAUUGUGUUUCAAAAAUUUUCAUGUCUUCAAAAUUUCUCGUGUUUCGUAUUUUAUCAAAAAAUUUAUGUUUUCAAAAACAAAUUUUCUGUUUUAAAAAUUUUCGUGUUUCAAAAAGAAGAUUCGUGUUUUCAAAAAUAAAAAUAAAAAAUCUCGUGUUUUAAAUUCUUCGUGUUUUUUAAAAAAAAAUUUUGUGUUUCUAAAAUUCUUGUAUUUUAAAAUUUUCGUGUUUUCAAAAAAGAAAAAGUUGUUGCGCUUUAAAAUUCUCGUGUUCAAUCGGAUCACGACUAAUAUUAAAUUGAACUCGUAUUUUUGAAAAUGAAGACAAUGCGCGUUUAACGAGAUACCAAUUUUGGGCGUUGCGAGGGUGCUAAUACCUUCCUCGCGCGUAACCGACUCCCGGACCCUAAUUUUCUCUGGAUUUUUACGUGGACCUAAAAUUACCUCUUUUUUAGAAAAGUUUAAAAAUAAAUUUUUCUUCUAAAAAGAGAAUUUUAUAGGUGUCCGAUCACACCUAGAAAAAAUAUCGGUGGCGACUCCUUUUUCAAAUAAAAUCGAGAUUCAGUUUUCAAAUUUACAAUAAUUACUUCGACUAGCGCCCGUGCCGAAAUUUUUAGGUCGCUACAGCUGGCGACUCCGCUGGGGAACCUUUUUGAGAGUCGAGUCGAAUUAAACUCGCGUUGUCAAAAUUUUCAAAGUUUCUUGUUCAAAUUAACAUUUAGUCGUGAUCCUUAAAUUUUUUGUUUUCAAAAAAAUCAUGCAUUUGCAUCGUGUUGUAUAUAUUCUAACUUGUUUUAUCAGGUUGUUUUUCAGCUUUAAAUUUUUGCGGUUUUAGUUUUGGUUUAGUUUUUCUAAAUAAAACGUAAAGGUUUACAAGUUUCUCCCCACACACCGUGCACGUGCAUUUAUGUUGCAUAACAUGAGCUCUAUACCCGGGCUCUGUCCCUGUUAAGAGAAAGUAAAUGCUACGCCUUCGUGAGUUAACUCGUUCCUCCGCACAGGCUAGUGAAUACUUUCGGGUUACAUAUGACUUAUGCUUUCGUGAGUUAACUUGUCCCUCCGCAUAGGCAUAAGUAAAUGUAAUCCCUCGAAUUGAUCUCGUAAGCCUAUGAUGGGCCAUGACCGAGGCUCUGUACUAAUCUUAGUAGAUGACAGUGCAGACGAUUCGAGUACCCACCUAGAACCAAAACCGCAUAUAGUGAACCAUACGAGCUAUCCAAUUAGAGUCAUGCCGAACCUCUGUCCGCUUAUAGUCAUCAAAAUAAGUACACGGGGAAAAUGCCUUUUGCCUUUCAUUUACACUGUUUAUGCAAAAUAAUUGGAUUGGGUAGUUUAAUUUGUUUUUCAAAUUAUAUUUGUUGUGUUUACUAACCAAGUUUGUUUGUUUUUACUUUUAUUUUCAUCAUGCAUCAUAGGCAUCAUAUUAGGAAGGUGUUGAUUAAAAGUUGGUUGCCAAAAAACGGGUUUCUGAUGGAAGAGUCAAUUACACAAAUAACCGAGAAGAAUGCCGUGGUUCGGGACUGGUCUCUAAAAAUUCAGAGAGAAAAGAGGGAUAGUCUAGUGGAAGGGUGUGUCACUAAUUUGCCCGAACAUAUAACUGUAAAUGUUCGCCAAAAUAACUUUGAGGAUUUGGUUCAAAUUUGGAAUCAGUGGGAUUCAGACACUAGAGACAUUUUCACUCAGAGGUAUGGAGAUAUAGCUCACCUGAUCAUCAUCCAUGUAGACGAACAGUUGAUUCAAGCCAUGGUUCGGUUCUGGGACCCAGCUUAUCAGUGUUUCACCUUCAAUCAAGAAGACAUGACUCCAACCAUAGAAGAGUAUGCUGCUUUACUCCGCAUCGACAAUGUACAAUUCGGCAAAAUAUAUGUGAAGGAGCCUAAACCGAUGACCUUCAAGAAAAAGUUAGUGAGACUGACAGACAUGACUGAUGCAUGGGCCGAAAAACAGAUAAAGAAGAAGAAUGAAACCAUUUGCAUUCCAUGGUCCUCCCUACGAGAUUUGGCUCUGAACCAUCCCAACAUGCUGAAAAGGGUAAAUCUAUUCGCUUUGGCCAUUUACGGUUUGGUCAUUUUCCCAAAAGUUCUCGGACAUCUCGAAGUUGCAGUAGUUGAUUUCUUCGAAAGGUUAAAACAAGGAAUCAACCCUGUCCCGACCAUCCUAGCCGAGACCUUCAGGUCCCUGAGUAGUUGUCGAAAAAAAGGGGAGGGACGAUUUAUCAGAUGCGCGCAGUUGCUCAAUGUUUGGAUUUUGAGUCACUUCUGGAAGGUAGAGCGCACUCCGUUCCAUAUGUUUUCUAAAACAUUCUCCCCGCUAGAAGCUUACCUCAAUAAAGAAUGGCCGAAGGAAGUCACCGAGCAACAUUGGGUAUCAGUUUUUCAAAAUCUUCGCACCGAGAAUAUAACAUGGAGAGCACCCUGGAUCCGUCCUUCAGUUCUGCUAUACAAAUGUGGAAGCCAAGAUUGGGUACCUCUACUCGGGUUUUGGGGAGGAGUUGGAUAUGCUCCGCUAUUAGUCCAAAGGCAAUUUUCUUCGCGACAAUUCCUCCCCGCAACUGGAGGAUUAGCACAGUUCGAGUUCGCUUUUGCGGGUGAAGGAUAUAUGAAGAGAGUCCGAGACACUGCAAAGUAUUGGAAGGAAAUUCAUUUCAUGGAAUUAGCUUUGUAUGUUGAUACCCUUACCCAAGAUUACGACAUAUGGAGGAAGCAACGGGUAAAUAGUCAGCAAAUCUCAUCAACAAACUACACCAUCCAGAAUCCUUUCUCGGAGAAAACGCCGUCUGAGCUAGAAAUGGCAAGACAAGAAUUCGAACGAGAAAAGGCCAAGAUGUCUCGGGACCUUAGUGCCCUUCAAGAAGAAAACUAUCAACUGAAGAUUGAAGUUCAGGUUGAAAGGUCCAGGACUGAAAAGUACAAAAAGAAGCCGAGAUUGUGAGAAACGACUUAAGGGACCUUCAUUUGGAAAACAAGAAAUUAAGAAACACUAUAAAGAAUAGCGGGUUGGGUAAGUCGACAGCAGAAUGGAAGGAAGAAAUUAGCAAUAUCAAGGGAGGAAUGGAGUUUUGGAAGGGAAAAGUAAAGAAAGAGGAGGAAAAGGCUGCGCGCGCUGUGAUAGAGUUAAGAAGGAAGAACGACGAGUAUGAAAUAGUGACUGCAAAAUUUGCGAAUAGUCAGUCUGAAUAUCAAGAAUUAAAAAGGAAAGCACGAGAUCUAGAAAAUAUGCUGCAAUCUCGUCAACAACAAUUAGAUAACCUCCUGAAGGCUCUAGAGGAAAAGCAUGAUCAGUACGAUAGGGACAUUCAGGCGUAUGAAGGAACUCUCAAAGAAAAAGAAAUGCAACUCGACUUCUUGAUCAAUGAAAUUCGUAAAGCGGCUAUGCAAGUUGUUCAAUUAUCAGAUGAAGCCGAAGUUAUCAGUUGCCAAUUCCCUCCGAGCCAAAGAUCGAGCAUAUCAGAGUUUUUAGAGCAAGUGAAUAAACAAGGCAAUGUGGCUAGGAAAUUUGUGUAACUGUUGGAAAAAUGAGAACUUUGUGUAAUAGACUAUGUUGAUAAAUGAAAUGCCUAAAUAUGGGGCUAUCUUGAAAUCAACACCAAAUUCUUGCAUGUUUACUCAUAACUAACAUUUAUGCAUCAUUUAUUCUUUGGACAUUCAUCCAUUCAUAUACUCAUUCAUUCAUUCAUCACGAGUACAUAUCACCAUAAUCAUCCACCGAAACUAAAGAACCGUAUAAUCCGCAGUUGCAAGAUUUCAAAUCUGGAACCACGCAAUUCCUAUAAAACGCGCCGACAAGCUAGAGUAAUGGAGGAUGAAUUCAAUGAGAGAAUUGAAAGGAUGGAAAGGGCUCAAAAGGAAUUACAAGAGUAACUGGCCAAAUCGCAGCAAGAGACGAGAGACCUAAUGGUGAGAUCUCGAGAGGAAUCACUCGAGCAAAGAGAUCAGAUGGCUAAAAUGAUGGAGAUGAUGACAACUUUGGUCAAAGGAAAAGGACCCAUGCAGAACUCCGAUGUUAUGGAACCUCGGUCAAGAAUUCACCAUGAUCAGGAUCCACUUUAUCCCCCAGGAUUUACUCCACCUCAUGUCCACGCAAUACAACGAGGAUACCCCCAAAGGGAACCUACAGGCCUAGAACAACAUCUUGCUCCGCCCACUAAUUUGGGGCAAGGAAUGUUAGCGUCGAACCUUGGGGCUAGUCCUGCUAAUCCACUAGUUCCAGAUCUGGAUGACCUAGCAGAGGCAGCCAAGUUGAAAUUGGAUAACCAUGACGCAAAAUAUAGGAGUCUAGAGGAAAGACUCAAAGCAAUAGAAGGCACUGAAGUCUUCUCCGCACUAGGUGCCAAGGAACUCAGUUUGGUACCUGAUCUAAUUUUGCCUCCGAAGUUCAAAGUGCCUGAUUUUGAGAAAUAUGAUGGGACAAGGUGCCCAAAAGCACAUCUCAUUAUGUUCUGUCAAAAAAUAACCGGUUAUGUGAACGAGGAUAAGCUACUCAUACAUUGCUUUCAAGAUAGUCUAACAGGGUCAGCUCUUCGGUGGUACAAUCAACUUAGUAGAGAAAAGAUUCGAUCCUGGAAGGACUUGGCGUCAGCAUUUUGCGAACAGUACAAGCAUGUAUCGGAUAUGGUGCCAGACCGUAUGACCUUGCAAAUGAUGGAGAAAAAGCCAUCAGAGACCUUUAGACAGUAUGCGCAGAGAUGGAGAGACGUCUCAGCUCAAGUGGAACCCCCACUAACAAAAACGGAGAUAACCGUUCUCUUUAUCAAUACUUUAAAGGCACCGUUUUAUGACAAAUUAGUGGGAAGUGCCACGAAAGAUUUCGCGGAUAUUGUAAUAUCCGGUGAACUCAUAGAGAACGCCGUCAAGAGCGGUAGAAUGGAAGGAUCAGAAGGCUCAAGAAAAGCAGCACCCUUAAGGAAGAAAGAGCCAGAAGCCCUCAUGGUGGGAACUGGGAGUCGUUACAUUCCCAAUUCAUAUCCUAAUCAACCCCGACCUCGAGAUUAUCCACCCUCGAGUUUCCAUUAUCCCCCUCAAACCCCUUGCUACCAAGCACCACAUCCGUCCUGCCCCGUAUACGCUACGAACAACCAAAGACCCGUCACCACUUUCCCACAAAACACGGUACCCACCCAAAGCCAACCCAGAAACGAACCAAGACCAUCAAGGCAUAAUCCUGAGAGACCGCAAUUUACCCCCAUCCCUGUGUCGUAUGGGGAAUUGUACCCAAAACUUUUAGAAAAAUAGCUAAUUUCUCCCCAUUACAUGGCACCCCUUAAACCUCCAUACCCAAAGUGGUACGAUCCAAACGCUAGUUGUGCAUACCACGCAGGGAACCAAGGGCACUCUACUGAGAACUGUCUCACUUUCAAAAGGAGAGUUCAAGGACUCAUUGAUGCGGGUAUCCUACGAUUCGAUAGUGCUAGUAAAGCCACGGAGAACCCGUUCCCUAACCAUACCGAAGGGAAUGUGAGCACAGUGGGGAAAGAGGAUGAAUGGAAGGUCAGAAGAUGUGUAUCAGAAAUAAGGACGCCUCUGCAGAAAAUCUGGGAGGUAUUGGUUAAGAAAGGAUUGCUCUGUCACUCUGAUAGAAUUUUUGGAGAAGAAGGUCAAAGUUUUUGCAAUUUUCAUGGGAUUGUUGGGCACGACAUUCAGUCGUGCGAGGACUUUAAAAGGUUACUUCAAGACUGGAUGAAUAAUAAAGAGAUCAAGGUCCUUAACAAGAGUGAAGAUGCCAACGAAAGAGAAGUAUGUGUCUCUGAUAGCCAAUCACCAGGUCCCCCUUAUAGUGCUGAUCGACCGUUGGUAAUUUAUUACGACGCGAUGAGAGAGCCCUUGAAACCACAGAUGGUAAUUGAAGUACCAUCUCCUUUCCCGUAUAAGGACAACAAAACAGUACCGUGGAGAUAUGAUGUUAAUAUCGUUACACCGGAAGUUGAAAAGUCCAAAGCCAUAAUUGAAGAUGUUGGGGAGGUAGGUCAUUUUACUCGAAGUGGACGAUGUUAUUCUAAAGAAGUUGAAUCGGUAAAGAAAAGUAGCGACUCGAAGCAAAAAGGAAAAGCAGUGAUGCACAAGGUCGAAGUCGAGCAAGAAAUUCCACCCGUGCAAGAAACUAAAAAGCUUGUGAAUGAGGAAGAAGCUCAAGAAUUCUUGAAAUUUAUUAAGCACAGUGAAUAUAGUGUGGUGGAACAAUUGAGCAAGCAGCCAGCACGAAUCUCAGUUCUAUCUCUACUGUUAAAUUCAGAGCCACACCAGAACGCUUUAUUGAAGGUGUUAAAUCAAGCUUACGUGGCCAACAACAUAUCUGUCGAAAAGCUUGAUAGGUGGGUAAACAAUCUGAAUGCGGACAACUUCAUCUCUUUUAGUGAUGAUGAGAUACCGCUAAAUGGUAGAGGUUCGGUGAAAGCGCUGCAUAUCACGACCCGCUGCAAGGGCUACAUAAUACCGAACGUACUCAUCGAUAAUGGGUCAGCGUUAAAUGUUAUGCCAUUGGCUACACUUUCCAAAAUACCGAUGGAUUUGUCCUACUUAAAGCCCUGUCAUUCCAUGGUAAGGGCAUUCGACGGGACGAAGUGCAAAGUCAUGGGAAAGAUCGAAAUCCCUUUGGAAGUGGGCCCCUACAUCUAUGAGGUCGAAUUUCAAGUUAUGGACAUUACACCCUCUUAUAACUGCCUUUUGGGAAGACCUUGGAUUCAUUCUGCAGCAGCAGUCCCAUCAUCCCUCCAUCAAAAAGUGAAAUUCAUCAUGGAUGGCUGUUUGGUCACAGUCGAGGGCGAAGAAGACAUUAUCGCAUCUAUCUCUGUUGAUGCGCCAUACCUGGAAGUAAGCAAGGACGUAGUGGAAUGUUCCUUUCGAUCCCUUGAAUUCAUCAAUGCCACUUUCGUCGCUGAGGGAAAUAGAAUUUCGAUGUCAAAACUGUCGAGAAAUACCAGAAUGGGUGUCAAGUUGACCGUAGGAAGGGGAGCUUGUGCGAGAAGAGGUUUAGGGAGACAUAUGCAAGGAAUAGUGAGGGCUUUAAAGCCAGUGCACCACAAGGCCUGAUACGGUUUGGGGUUCCAGCCUGACAUGCGCCAAAGAAGAAGACAGUGGAAGAAGGAUCAAGAAAGAAGAAUUGCAAGAACUUUGGGCCGAGAACCAGAAUGGGAACCAAUAGAGUACCCUCCUUUGUCAAAAACAUUUACAUCUGCGGGAAUGAUGUACCCUGGACAAGAGGAUCCACGAAACAUGCUGGGAUUAAUUGAAAAGGAUUUUCAGAAUGUUAGUAUAAAUGUCAUUGACAAAGAAGCUGGUGCAAGUAAAGAUGUCUCGAGGAUACGCCAUUGCCCUCCUGGUUUCAUGUUGAACAAUUGGAUAGCUGAGGAGCUUCUUGUAGUUUAUAAGCCUUCAGAGUAAUGCUAAACAUCAACCUUCUAUUGUGUCCUUAGAUAUAAUAGAGUUCUUUUGUAAGAGUUUGCAUUCGCUCUUUAUCAUUUAAAUGAAUAUCAAUGAAGAUGCAUUUUGUCACGAUUUUUCGCAUUAUCACUAAUUUCAUAAUCAUUUUCUCAUUUCAUAGCCUAUCCUUACAUUUGCCUCAUUGCCAUGACAUAAAAUUUUGUUUGUUGUUUCCAAUACUUGGAUGUCCCCCGAUAGCUUCCUUUUCCAUUCAACUUUCAGGUGCUCAGAUAUUGACGACAUGAAUAAGCCCGUUACGAAUCUUGAAAUUGAUUUUGAGAAGGCUGUUUGCUUAGGAGAAUUUGAAGCCGAAGAAAAUGCUGAAGAUUAUGUCUCGUCUCUUGAAUUGUUAAGAAUGGUGGAACAAGAGGAUAAACAGGUUCUGCCUCAUGAAGAAUCUGUAGAAACAAUAAAUUUGGGCACUGAAGAGAGGAAACAAGAAGUGAAGAUUGGGACUUCUAUUUCAGAAAGUACCAGACGUAGUUUGAUCACUUUACUCCGCGAAUACAAAGAUGUUUUCGCGUGGUCAUACCAGGACAUGCCAGGGCUAGAUGAAGAUUUAGUGGUCCAUAAGCUCCCAUUAAAGCCAGAAUGCAAGCCCAUCCAGCAAAAAUUAAGACGGAUGAGGCCCGAAAUCCUGUUGAAAAUAAAAGAGGAAGUCAAGAAGCAAUUUGACGCUGGCUUCCUACAAGCCUCCAAAUAUCCAGAAUGGGUGGCUAACAUAGUCCCGGUACCAAAGAAAGAUGGAAAAGUACGAAUGUGCGUGGAUUACCGUGACCUGAAUCGAGCAAGCCCAAAAGAUAAUUUUCCCUUGCCACAUAUUGACACGUUGGUGGACAACACAGCAAAACAUUCAUUGUUUUCUUUCAUGGAUGGAUUCUCGGGGUAUAAUCAGAUCAAGAUGGCUCCUGAGGAUAUGGAGAAAACUACCUUCAUAACAAUGUGGGGAACGUUCUGCUACAAGGUGAUGCCAUUCGGGUUAAAGAAUGCUGGGGCAACAUAUCAGAGGGCUAUGGUGACAUUAUUCCAUGACAUGAUGCAUAAGGAAAUAGAGGUCUACGUCGAUGAUAUGAUUGCUAAAUCUCGAGGAGAAGAAGAGCAUGUAAUGAACCUCAAGAAGUUGUUCGAAAGGCUGAGAAAGUUUCAGCUAAAGCUUAAUCCAGCCAAAUGUACAUUCGGGGCUACCUCGGGAAAGUUGCUAGGCUUCAUUGUCAGUGAAAGAGGUAUCGAAGUUGAUCCAGAUAAAAUAAAAGGCAUCCAAGAAUUACCACAUCCGCCACGCAAAAGGAAGUUAGAGGAUUUUUAGGGAGAUUAAAUUACAUCGCCCGAUUUAUCGCUCAACUUACCAACCAAUGCGACCCAAUCUUUCGGCUUCUUCGAAAACAUAGCCCGGGAGAAUGGAACGAGGAAUGCCAAGUGACCUUUGAUAAGAUAAAACAAUAUUUGUCCAGUCCUCCAGUGCUAGUACCGCCAACUCCGGGAAGACCAUUAAUUUUGUAUCUGACAGUGUUCGAAAGUUCAAUGGGUUACGUACUGGGACAACAUGACGAGUCAGGAAAGAAAGAAAAGGCGAUCUACUACCUCAGCAAAAAGUUCACUGAAUAUGAGGCAAAAUAUUCGUCCGUUGAGAAAUAUUGUUGCGCUCUGGUUUGGGUAGCUCGGAGACUCAAACAAUAUAUGUUGUAUCACACGACAUGGCUAAUUUCAAAGCUGGACCCAAUAAAAUACAUGAUGGAAUCGCCGGCACUAUCAGGAAGAAUGGCACGAUGGUAGCUCCUCCUUUCGAAAUAUGACAUUGCCUAUGUAAGUCAGAAGUCAAUAAAAGGGAGCGCAAUAGCUGACUUCUUAACAACUCGAACGACAGAGGAAUAUGAGCCUUUAAGAUUCGAUUUCCCAGACGAAGACUUAAUGUGCAUCACAGAAAUAGAAUCCGAGUCAUCAAAAGAGAAGUCAUGGAAGAUGUUCUUUGAUGGUGCGUCAAAUGCUUUAGGGCAUGGAAUUGGAGCAAUCCUGGUAUCACCAGACGGGAAUCAUUAUCCGUUCACUGCAAGACUGAACUUCUUCUGUACCAAUAAUAUCGCAGAAUAUGAGGCCUGUAUCAUGGGGUUUCGUGCAGCUAUCGAACGAAACAUCGAGAUCUUAGAGGUGUACGGGGACUCAGCCCUAGUGAUUUACCAAAUCCGUGGAGAAUGGGAAGUGAGGGACUCAAAAUUGAUUAAGUACAGCGAUUUAGUGGCUGGAUUGAUCAAGGAAUUCAAAGAAAUAACUUUUCAUUACUUCCCACGAGAAGAGAACCAACUGGCUGAUGCCCUAGCCACUUUGGCUUCAAUGUUCAAAGCAAGUAGAGAAGCAGAAAUAAUGCCCCUCAAAAUGAGCAUAUACGAGGUCCCUGCACACUGUUGUAGCAUUAAGAAAGAAGUAGACGGACGGCCUUGGUUUCAUGAUAUCUUAGAAUAUAUCAAGAAUCAAAGGUAUCCCGAACAAGUAAAUGAGAACGAUAAAAGAACAAUUAGAAGAAUGGCAGCGGGAUUUGUUCUUGAUGGGGAUAUCCUGUAUAAAAGAGGAAAGGAUCAGAUGCUUUUGAGAUGUGUGGAUGAUGUUGAAGCCAGAAAAAUACUUGAAGAGGUCCAUGAGGGAGUUUGCGGAACGCAUGCCAAUGGUUUCAAUAUGGCCAGAAAGAUCAUGAGACUCGGUUAUUAUUGGCUGACAAUGGAAAGUGACUGCAUCAAUUUUGCCAGAAAAUGCCACAAAUGUCAAAUCUACGGCGAUAAAAUUCAUGUAGCCCCUUCACCCCUUCAUGUCAUGACUUCUCCGUGGCCUUUUUCUAUGUGGGGCAUGGAUGUCAUAGGGCCAAUUUCUCCAAAAGCUUCAAAUGGACAUCGAUUCAUUUUUGUGGUUAUCGAUUACUUCACAAAAUGGAUUGAAGCCGCUUCAUUUGCCAAUGUGACGAAGACUGCAGUGUGCAAGUUUUUGAAAAAGGAAAUCAUUUACCGAUAUGGUUUGCCUGAAAGAAUCAUCUCAGAUAAUGCCACGAAUCUGAACAAUAAGAUGAUGAAAGAAGUGUGUGAGCAGUUUCAAAUAAAGCAUCAUAAUUCCUCGCCCUAUCGCCCAAAGAUGAACGGGGCUGUUGAAGCAGCUAACAAGAACAUUAAGAGGAUCAUUGGGAAAAUGACUGAGACAUAUAAAGAUUGGCACGAGAAACUUCCAUUUGCUUUGUUUGCAUAUCGUACAUCUGUGCGAACAUCUACGGGAGCAACUCCUUUCUCUCUAGUCUAUGGAAUGGAAGCUGUGCUACCUAUCGAGGUUGAGAUCCCCUCUCUGUGAGUAUUGAUGGAAUCAAAGUUAGAAGAAGCAGAAUGGGUUCGAGCUCGAUAUGAUCAGUUGAACCUCAUUGAAGAAAAACGUCUAAGGGCAAUUUGUCAUGGGCAAAUGUACCAAAAGAGAAUGAUCGCAGCCCAUGACAAGAAGGUACGACAAAGAGAGUUCCAUGAAGGAGAACUCGUUCUGAGAAAGAUUCUCCCAAUACAAAAAGACCUGCGAGGAAAAUGGGCACCAAAUUGGGAAGGACCAUACGUUGUAAAAAAGGCAUUCUCGGGAGGAGCUUUAAUCCUUACCAAGAUGGAUGGGAAGGAGUUACCGAAUCUGGUGAAUUCGGAUGCGGUGAAGAAAUAUUAUGCUUAAGAUGAAAACCCGAAAAGGGCAUCUUAAAAAAAAAGGGUGAAAACCCGAAAAAGGUGUCUUGAUUAGUACAAAAAGAUUAGGAUGAAAACCCGAGAGGGCGUCCUAAUGAAACAAACCUGGCGGUCAAACGAUAGGUCAAGUAGUGAGACUACAGUAUUUGAAGCACUUCUGAAAGCUCGAAAUUUUCUACGCAAGAAGCCAUGCUCGAAAAGAUAAUUGAUUGAGGAACGUAGAAGAGUUCAUGUGUUGAAUAUCUAGAGCAUUAGUAUCCGUUGAAUACGACCUUUUCUUUCUUUUUGACAUUUUUACUCUCAUUGGUUAACUUUCUUUGUUUGCCACACUUGAAAUAAAGGAAUAUGAGAUAUCCUUUGUGUCCCUACCUGACCAUUUUCAUGCAUCUCAUUAUGUGUUUAUUUAAUGAUAAAUAGUGAAAUGACAUACUCUAAACAAAAGAAAUGUCAAGCAUUACCCGGAUAAGAAUUUGAUAAGUGCAAGAUCUUCAAAGCAAGAACAAAGUUUAACCAAGGGCAAAAGGGUGAUAUCUGAGAAACGUCGAUUACUCGUAAAGCUCGAAGACAGGUAUGAGGCCUGAAGAGAAGGUCGAGAAUCAAAGCAAUGAACGCAGAUCCUCAAAAAUCAUGGCAAAAAUGACAUACGACCAAUAUGCUUAAGGAGCACUGCAUAAUCAUGUAGGCAUAAAGGCAUUUAAGACAAACAUGUGCAUAUCAUGAUGACUUCAUGCAUGGCAUAUACAGGUAAUCCAGUAAAGCAAGAAAUCUUGAAUCGCACAGAAUCAAAGGAAAAGAUACCCGAGUUCUACCAAAGGACUGGUUUUGGUAUUUUGAUGUUUAAUAUUCAUGCUUUCCAAGGAAAAUCAACUCAUAUUGCGAGAAAUGAGUUGAGCCUCAAGACACGUUGAGCUAUUUUUAAUUUUUUUAAAAAUCAACUCAUAUUGCGAGAAGUGAGUUGAGCCUCGGGGCACGCCGAGGUAUUUUUAGUUUAUGUUUUAAAUUGACUCAUAUUGCGAGAGGUGAGUUAAGCCUUUUAAUUUUUGUUUCUCAAAAUUCAACUCAUAUUGCGAGAAAUGAGUUGAGCCUCAAGACACGUUGAGGUAAUUUCAAUUUUUGUUUUCAAAAUUCAACUCAUAUUGCGAGAAAUGAGUUGAGCCUCAAGACACGUUGAGGUAAUUUCAAUUUUUGUUUUCAAAAUUCAACUCAUAUUGCGAGAAAUGAGUUGAGCCUCAAGACACAUUGAGGUAUUUUCAAUUUUUGCUUUUCAAAAUUCAACUCAUAUUGCGAGAAAUGAGUUGAGCCUUAAGACACGUUGAGGUAAUUUCAAUUUUUGUUUUCAAAAUUCAACUCAUAUUGCGAGAAAUGAGUUGAGCCUCAAGACACGUUGAGGUAAUUUCAAUUUUUGUUUUCAAAAUUCAACUCAUAUUCCGAGAAAUGAGUUGAGCCUCAAGACACGUUGAGGUAAUUUCAAUUUUUGUUUUCAAAAUUCAACUCAUAUUGCGAGAAAUGAGUUGAGCCUCAAGACACAUUGAGGUAUUUUCAAUUUUUGCUUUUCAAAAUUCAACUCAUAUUGCGAGAAAUGAGUUGAGCCUCAAGACACGUUAAGGUAAUUUCAAUUUCUGUUUUUAAAAUUCAACUCAUAUUGCGAGAAAUGAGUUGAGCCUCAAGACACGUUGAGGUAAUUUUCAAUUUCUGCUUCUCAAAAUUCAACUCAUAUUGCGAGAAAUGAGUUGAGCCUCAAGACACGUUGAGGUAAUUUCAAUUUUUGUUUUCAAAAUUCAACUCAUAUUGCGAGAAAUGAGUUGAGCCUCAAGACACGUUGAGGUAAUUUCAAUUUUUGUUUUCAAAAUUCAACUCAUAUUGCGAGAAAUGAGUUGAGCCUCAAGACACGUUGAGGUAAUUUCAAUUUUUGUUUUCAAAAUUCAACUCAUAUUGCGAGAAAUGAGUUGAGCCUCAAGACACAUUGAGGUAUUUCCAAUUUUUGCUUUUCAAAAUUCAACUCAUAUUGCGAGAAAUGAGUUGAGCCUCAAGACACGUUGAGGUAAUUUCAAUUUCUGUUUUCAAAAUUCAACUCAUAUUGCGAGAAAUGAGUUGAGCCUCAAGACACGUUGAGGUAUUUUCAAUUUCUGCUUCUCAAAAUUCAAUUCAUAUUGCGAGAAAUGAGUUGAGCUUCAAGACACGCUGAGGUAAUUUCAAUUUCUGUUGUUAAAAAAAAAUCAACUCAUAUUGCGAGAAAUUAGUUGAGCCUCAGGACAUGCUGAGGUAAUUUCAAUUUCUGUUUUCAAAAUUCAACUCAUAUUGCGAGAAAUGAGUUGAGCCUCAAGACACGUUGAGGUAUUUUCAAUUUCUGCUUUUCAAAAUUCAACUCAUAUUGUGAGAAAUGAGUUGAGCCUCAAGACACGUUGAGGUAUUUUCAAUUUCUGUUUUUCAAAAAUCAACUCAUAUUGCGAGAGGUGAGUUGAGACUUUUAAUUUCUAUUUUUCUAAAACCAACUCAUAUUGCGAGAGGUGAGUUGAGCCUUUUUCUGUUUUUCAAAAAUCAACUCAUAUUGCGAGAGGUGAGUUGAGCCUUUUAAUUUCUGAUUUUCAAAAAUCAACUCAUAUUGCGAGAGGUGAGUUGAGCCUUUUAAUUUCUGUUUUUCAAAAAUUAACUCAUAUUGCGAGAGGUGAGUUGAGCCUUUUAAUUUCUAUUUUUCAAAAACCAACUCAUAUUGCGAGAGGUGAGUUGAGCCUUUUUCUAUUUUUCAAAAAUCAACUCAUAUUGCGAGAGGUAAGUUGUGCCUUUUGCAAAUUCUGUUUUCAAAAAUCAACUCAUAUUGCGAGAAGUGAGUUGAGCCUUGGCUCACGUGCUGAGCUAUUUUCAAUUUCUAUUUUUAAUGUCUAGUUUUAANNNNNNNNNNNNNNNNNNNNNNNNNNNNNNNNNNNNNNNNNNNNNNNNNNNNNNNNNNNNNNNNNNNNNNNNNNNNNNNNNNNNNNNNNNNNNNNNNNNNNNNNNNNNNNNNNNNNNNNNNNNNNNNNNNNNNNNNNNNNNNNNNNNNNNNNNNNNNNNNNNNNNNNNNNNNNNNNNNNNNNNNNNNNNNNNNNNNNNNNNNNNNNNNNNNNNNNNNNNNNNNNNNNNNNNNNNNNNNNNNNNNNNNNNNNNNNNNNNNNNNNNNNNNNNNNNNNNNNNNNNNNNNNNNNNNNNNNNNNNNNNNNNNNNNNNNNNNNNNNNNNNNNNNNNNNNNNNNNNNNNNNNNNNNNNNNNNNNNNNNNNNNNNNNNNNNNNNNNNNNNNNNNNNNNNNNNNNNNNNNNNNNNNNNNNNNNNNNNNNNNNNNNNNNNNNNNNNNNNNNNNNNNNNNNNNNNNNNNNNNNNNNNNNNNNNNNNNNNNNNNNNNNNNNNNNNNNNNNNNUAGAUAAUGUGAAUGUAUUUAGAGGUGCUUAUAUAGUAUUCAAAACUAUCAUAUAAAUUCAAUUUUCAACCAUAUAUAAUUGACAUUAUGGGAGUUGGAAAAUGAUAGGGGGCACUAUAGCAAAUGUUAUAGUUGUAUAAAAUUAGGACUUUGUGAUGGAAUAGUUUAGGGCAUAUUGUUUGAAUAUUCCAUAAACAUUAAAAAAAAAACCAAAUUUGUAAUGGAAUAUAAGAUUGGGUUUUCUUUUAUUAUCAAUUUAAAGCCAUGAGAAUCUUUAUUAUUUAAAAAUUAAUGUAAUUGUUAAAUUGAAAUUGCAGGGGAAUUUCAAAUAGGAGAAAAUAUAAAAGAAAUGGAUCCAAAAACAGUGGGAAGUAGUGUUGUAAAAUAUGGGAGGUGGAGAUUUGGAAUGACAAAGAAAGCAAUGGGGCAUUCAUUAGUUUAUAGCCAACUUUAUCCAUUUAAAGGCCUCCAAAAUUAUACCUCUGGAAUUAUUCACCAUGUUCGCCUCACUGGUAUUUCUCACCAUUUCUUCCCUUAUUUAUCUUCUGCAAAUUUGUUUUCUUACCAUUUCUUUCGCAUUAAUACUAACUUUUUUAAUUUACAAUAUGGUAGCCAAUACUGUUUCGGUAUUAGUAAUAUUAGUCGAUACAUAUCACUUUUAAGGGUGAGUUUAAAGGGAUAGGAACAAUUCCGUGUGUUGACUUAAUAGUCAGGGUGUUCACCGUUCUAGGUAUGGUUUGAGUUCAAGUUAAGUUGUGCUAGUCACGUUACUGUUAGGGUUUUGCCCUUCUCUUGUAAUUCAGCAAAAAGAAAUUAAUAUAUGGUGAAAUUGCACUUUAACUCCUCCAAAAAUGAAAAUAUUUAUAUUUAAUUCCUUCAACAAUAAUGAAAUCGUAAGUUAAUGCAAGAUAAAUGACACUUUAACUUAACAAUCUCCGCUCCCCUUAAAAAAAAAAUCCUAACUUCACCCUUAAUCAUCUUGAUUUUAGAUUGGUACCAAGUAGAUUAAAUUUUGUUCUUAUUAAAACAUUGGUGUGUUUCCUUCUGUUUCAGCUAAUACCAACUUAUACCGAUAUGUACCAAACAAUAUUGGUAGGACUGAGAAAGAAAUCAAAAAAUUGAACUAAUUUUUAUUUAUAAUUUUAUUUAUAAUUUAAAAAUAAAAAUAUAUUUAAACAGUGACAAUAACUCAAAUUUUAUAUAAAAACUAUUUAAAAAUAUUAUCAUAUAAGAGUUAUUAAUUUAUUUGAAAAUUAGUUUCUUUUAAAAAUAUUUAUGAAUAUUUUUAAAAAUUUUACAAAAUAAUAUCCAAAAUUCAUAGAAUAAUUUAUCAAGAUAAGUUCAAACACCCAAAAUUAAUAGAUCUUGAACCAAAUAAAUCCAACUAAAAUAAACCCAAAAUUAAUAGACCGAGAAUCAAAUUAUCAUAGAAGAUAUACCAUACACACUAAUACCCAUAAUUACCCAAUAAUUCUUCUCACACUUUGCAGGUUUAAAACCCAACACCUUCUAUUACUAUCAAUGUGGAGACCCUUCAAUCCCAGCAAUGAGCGAUGUUCAUUAUUCACCAUGUUCGCCUCACUGGUAUUUCUCACCAUUUCUUCUCUUAUUUAUCUUCUGCUAAUUUGUUUUCUUACCAUUUCUUUCGCAUUAAUACUAACUUUUUUAAUUUACAAUAUGCUAGUCAAUACUGUUUCGGUAUUAGUAAUAUUAGUCGAUACAUAUCACUUUUAAGGGUGAAUUUAAAGGGAUAGGAAUAAUUUCGUGCGUUGGCUUGAUAGUUAGGGUGUUCACCGUCCUAGGUGUGGUUUGAGUUCAAGUUGUGCUAUUGUAAUUCACCAAAAAGAAGUUAAUAUAUAGUGAAAUUGCACUUUAACUCCUCCAAAAAUGAAAAUAUGUAUAUUUAGUUUUCUUCAACAAUAAUGAAAUCGUAAGUUAAUGCAAGAUAAAGGACACUUUAACUUAACAAGCUACGCUCCCCUUAAAAAAAAUCCUAACUUCACCCUUAACCAUCUUGAUUUUAGAUUGGUACCAAGUAGAUUAAGUUUUGUUCUUAUUAAAACAUCAGUGUGUUUCCUUCUGUUUCAACUAAUACCAAUUUAUACUGAUAUGUACCGAAUAAUAUUGGUAGGACUGAGAAAGAAAUCAAGAAAUUGAACUAAUUUUUAUUUAUAAUUUUAUUUGUAAUUUAAAAAUAAAAAUAUAUUUAAAUAGUGACAAUAACUCAAAUUUUAUAUAAAAAUUAUUUCAAAAUAUUAUCAUAUAAGAGUUAUUAAUUUAUUUGAAAAUUAGUUUCUUUUAAAAAUAUUUAUGAAUAUUUUUAAAAACUUUACAAAAUAAUAUCCAAAAUUCGUAAAAUAAUUUAUCAAGAUAAGUUCAAAAACCCAAAAUUAAUAGAUCUUGAACCAAAUAAAUCCAACUAAAAUAAACCCAAAAUUAAUAGACCGAGAAUCAAAUUAUCAUAGAAGAUAUUUACCAAACACACUAAUACCCAUAAUUACCCAAUAAUUCUUCUCACACUUUGCAGGUUUAAAACCCAACACCUUCUAUUACUAUCAAUGUGGAGACCCUUCAAUCCCAGCAAUGAGCGAUGUUCAUUAUUUCCGAACAAUGCCGGCCUCCGGUCCAAGGAGUUAUCCGGGAAGAAUUGCAAUCAUCGGAGACUUGGGGCUCACGUAUAACACAACUUCAACAAUUGAUCACCUUAUGAGCAAUCACCCGAACCUGGUGCUGUUAAUCGGCGAUGCAAGCUAUGCCAACUUGUAUCUCACCAAUGGCACCGGUGCCGAUUGCUACUCUUGCGCUUUCUCCGACACUCCUAUUCACGAAACGUAUCAGCCUCGUUGGGAUUAUUGGGGAAGGUAAAUUUUAACGAUGUUUCAUGGAUUUAAAUAGCGGUCACAACAUGACAUUACGAUAGUAUUUGUUAUAAAUGUGCAGGUUUAUGCAGCCUUUGGUGUCCAAGGUUCCCUUGAUGAUGAUAGAAGGGAACCAUGAAAAAGAAGAACAGAUUGAGAAGAAGACAUUUGCGGCUUAUAGUGCUCGAUUUGCAUUUCCAUCGGAGGAGAGCGGAUCAUCGUCGACAUUCUAUUAUUCUUUUAAUGCAGGUGGCAUUCAUUUCGUGAUGCUCGGUGGUUACACCGACUAUAACAAAUCAGGGGAUCAAUACCAGUGGUUGAAGAAGGACCUUGCAAAAGUUGAUAGAAAAGUGACUCCAUGGUUGGUUGCAACAUGGCAUCCUCCAUGGUACAGUACAUAUACUGCACAUUAUAGAGAAGCUGAAUGUAUGAGGGUAGAAAUGGAAGAUUUAUUAUACAAAUACGGAGUUGAUAUAGUCUUCAAUGGACAUGUAAGUCGUGCUUUAUAAUGAAUUAAUUCAAUUACAUUCACUCGAAGAGCUGAUGGUCGUGUUCAUUUGGUGAUAAUCAAUAGGUUCAUGCCUACGAGAGGUCGAACCGAGUGUAUAACUACAACUUGGAUCCUUGCGGUCCUGUUCAUAUUACGAUUGGUGAUGGUGGCAACCGAGAGAAAAUGGCAAUUACACAUGCUGAUGAACCCGGAAAUUGCCCCAAACCAUCGACAACUCUGGAUAAAUUUAUGGGUGGGUUCUGUGCAUUUAACUUCACAUCAGGGCCGGCAAGUGGUAAAUUCUGCUGGGAUAGGCAGCCUGAUUAUAGUGCAUAUAGAGAAAGCAGCUUUGGACAUGGAAUCCUUGAGGUAUAUUAUGCAGAUAUUUCAUUAAGAUUAAUUUCUAUGGACCGUAAAAAGGACACAAAGGGUACUUUAAUUAUACAAAAAAAACAUUAACAGCAAGUGUUUUGCAGGUGAAAAAUGAGACUCAUGCACUGUGGACAUGGUACGGUAAUCAAGAUGCUUAUGGGACUACUGGUGAUGUGGUUUAUAUAGUUAGGCAACCUGAUAGAUGCCCUGUUGAACCCGACGUAAUUAAUUAAGAGUAAACUCCAAAGCUUAAUUAAGUUGAUUCAUCUGCAGUCACCAUUAAAAAGUGAUGCCAAGAAAGUUUAGGUUUGAAUCUCGGCAUCUGUCCUCAGACUAUGAUUUCUUUUGUACCAGUAAAUAUCUUUCAAAGCUAUAAAUACAUAUUAAACAUCAAAAUCAGACAGCUGAUAAAUCACAAAGGGAUUAUGUACGUAUGUAUGCAUGCAUGUAUGUUGGCUUCUAAAGAUUGAAAAGUAAAUAAUUAAGGAUUCAAAAGGAACAUUAUUGUGAUAUGAUUUGCAGGUUCGUAAUUUUAAUUAAAUGAAAUAAGUUUGAUGUAACUAUGCAAGUAGUACUUAGAAUCCUAAAAGUUUGAAAUAAAUAUUUGUAACUUUGUUGAAUGUUUUCAUGAGAGUUCCUUUCUCAUGGAGGUCAAUUUCUUUGUUAUAAGAUACGGUCCCAUGGUUUGACAUACUAAGAUUAAAUAGGCUCUUAUGUAGGCUAACACGUAUCCUACUUUAGGGUCAACACGUGUCUCUUGAGUAUGGGUUUGCCUGCAUGGUGGUGUGAACCCAUUAGGUGCGGACUUAUACAGACGAACUAUAUGGUUUGGUUAACUAUAUCCGAAAUAAAAGGGGUCAGAUCGGUCUUAAUCAGAAAACAAAUAAUUUAUGGCGGACACUACAACAAACUUAAUAAUCACAUUUGUUAAUAACAAAUAAUUAAUUUGUUUUGAUAACGUAAUUACAAGACAUAAUUUGAAAAUAAUAUAUGCUUGCUUAGAUACCAUUAUUCUCAGUACUCCAAGUAACAUAAAUAUUGAAAUGAAUUUGUGAGAGAGCUAAGAUGGUUGUAUUCUAAUAGAGAGAUUUCUAUUGCUGGUAAAGAAGACUUUAGCUCCACUAUCGUGCGGCCGUGACAUUAGCUUAAGCUCCUCAUUAAGCUAAUUAAAUGUGAUCUCUAGAUUAACCAACAAUGUCUUCAUAAAGUAGACAACUAAAUGAUCGAUACCACCAGCAUCCUUCCAUAAAUAGCUGCGAAAUAGGGCUUCAACUUCUAACAAAAACGCCUCUUCCUAUCAUUGGGGUCAUGCAUCAAGGUUUAAAAAGUUCCAUAUUGGAUGCAAAAUAAAUGAUAGAACAAGUAAGAGCAGGAUAGACAUUGAGCUUGUGUUGAGUGUACUAUCAAAUGAAGCUCUAGAGAGAAAUGGAGGGCUGAAUCCAGGGUAAUUGAGCCCCGGACCGCCACCUCCGCCAUUGAUCGGUGUGGUUGUCGUAGUUGGCACAUUCGGAUUGUUCCACGACCCUGUUUUUGGCAUAGCUGUCCCUCCGGAUGUGCUGGAAAUUUCAUAACUUAAGCUUUUAAAAUCAAUAAAAUAACAGUGACAAAAACUACAAAUAAUGAUGGAAUCCAAUUUGGUUGGUAAUUUUCAAAAAAUAGGCGAAAGGAGCUAUUAUUAGCUUUUGCUGGAACCCAAUAGAGGUGCUCAUGGGCCGGGCCGGGCCGGGCCCAGAAAAAAUUUCGGCCAGUGUCCUAGACCCUGGCCUGGCCGAGGCUGAAAUAUGAGCCUAAAAUUUUAUCUAGGCCAGGCCUGAAAAAAAAUUCAUAAGCCCGAGCCCAGCCCGGCCCAUUUUUUAAAUAAACACCAAAAAAAAUUUAAAAAUAAAAAAAUUUAUUUUAAAAAUAUUUUAAAAAAUAAAAAUAAAAAAUAUUUUAAAAAUAAAAAAAUAAAUAGAUUUAUUAUAUUUGGGUCGGGUCGGGCCGGGCCAAAAAAUGUUAUGUGAGGCCCGGUCCAUUUUUUAAAUGGGCCUUUUUUUUUGUCUAAUGUCAUAUUUCGGGCCUAUUUUUUACUUAAACCCUCCCAUAUUUUGGGCAGGCCAUUGGGCCGAGCCGGGCCGCCCGGCCCAUGAAGACCUCUAGAACCCAGCAAUGCGCCCAUGGAUAGAGAUGACAACAAGGUGAGACGGGACGAGUUUUUGCUCGCCUCAAUUUCGACUCGAUUUUUAUAUCCUCUACUUCGAUUUAUUCUGAGCUCGAUUUUAUUUAAAAAUGUAAAAAUAAUUAUAAAAUUAAAAAAAAAGUGUUUUAGUAAGUAAAUCAAGGCAGACAAAUCGAAUUUUCAUCUAAAUCUAAACUCGAAUUGAUCUUGAACUACCCAUGUAUGACUCCAGUAUCCAAAUAUCUAGAGUGUUUUUUGACCGUUGGAUGUCUUUCAAGAAAAGAGUACCCAUCCAACGGUUGAAAAAGUCUCACCUAAACAAGACGGUAGGAAAACAUUACAAGUAAAGAAGUGGCCAACAGACAUAAAUAAGCCUGGAAACGUAAAAGGUGUAAACCUUCACAAAGUGACGACUGCAUGUAGGAUACGAAAAUGGACGGUUAGAGAUCAUGCCGAGAAACACGUGUCAGACAUCUACUCAAUUACAGCAUCACCAUGAAAGGCUCACACCCACUUGAGAAUCAAAGGAUUAUGCAAAGUUGAUUCAUGUUAGUUAAUUAGGAUUUAAACAAUAUCUUAUUUUGCGCCUUUUUGUUUUUCUGUCUUUGAUCCUCUUACAAGCCACAAGGGUUUCAAUAAUAAAUUACACCCAACUUCAAAAAGUUAUUAAAUGAGCAAUAAAUUAUUCAAAUUUUUUUAUUUAAGUCACUAAACUAUUUAAAAGUUUUUAUUUAAUUUACUGGGCUGUUAAAUUUUUUUUUUAAAAAGGAGGUUCAGCUAGUGAACUCCAAGCAACAAUUUAACAAUCGGUAUGGUGGAUAAAUACCCGCUGACGAGUAGAUCCAAGUUGAUCUAACGGUUAGUGUCGGAGAUCGGAGAAUGAAGAGAAAAACUGUUUGGAUUUUAGUUUAUAGAUUUGUGACGUUAAAAGUUAUUUCAUAAAAAAAAAUUAAACUGUAAAAGAGAAGGGAAAUUAAAGCUUUUGAGUGUUGCAAGCAAUGCAGACAAAGAAAGCCGUACAACAGUAAUUUUAACAACCCGAUGACUUAAAUGAAAAUUUUCGAGUAGUUCAAUGAAAGAAAAUACAAAAAAUUCUCUCUGCUGCGUUGUUUUCGUCUUCUUUGCAGGUAAGGAGGCUAGCUGGCGUAAGGAGGUGGUGGAUGUGGCACAGCACACGCGGGGAAGGCCUUGGUGGCUGCGGCGCCGGAAGGAGGGCUGUUGCAGCUAGGGUUUUCUGAUUUUUUUUUUGUUUUGGGCUAGGGUUGUGUUGAUAGUUGUAUUGGGCUAGGUUUUUGGGCUGGGUGUAGUUGGACUAGAUGCAUCUGACUUUGGGUUUGUACCGGGUCACUGUAAAUGGGUUUGGUUUUUAUUGUUAUUGGGCUGUGAACUAUUUGAGUUUUAAUUAAUUUUUAUUUAUUUGGUUUUUUAUUGUGGGCUGGGCAAAUUGGGUAUUACAAUCAGCUAAUUAGGAAAGACUGUGAUGAUAGUCACACCUUACAUCCAAAAGCAAAGCUUUUUACAUGUGUAUGUGAGGUUGCUAAGCAAAUCUGAUGAGCCUUCACUGAUGUUUUAAGGUUAAGUUAAUGUUCCUUUUCGGCAAAGAACAUUAUCGAGAUCACGGUAUUUUGAUCGCCUUUUGCUUGUUAUGUUAUUUGUUCUGAAACGAUUGCAUAAUCUUUACUGUGAUUGCAGGAUAUAGAGCAACUUCUGAAUUUCAUUGGUGUAAAGAGUUGAGGACCACGACAUGUUCUUGCAAAUUUGAAGGAGCUUCUAAGGUCUGUCCGGUCUUCAGAAUAUAUAGAUACCUGAAUUAAUUUUGAUUUUGUAGGAUCAACUAUAAUUAGCUACUUAUUACACUAUGAAUAGACAACCUCACCUUCUUCACACACUACACGUGCGGAUUUUUUACCAAUCCCAUUUCAAAGGAUCACACUUUUUUGUUGUUUACAGAAUCAUAAUUAAUGUUAAUUAAAGUGGAAUAUUUCAGAUUUCUGAUGAUGAGCAUAUUCUUGAGUAUUGCAGUAAAAAAAUGGGUGUGGAACUUAUUUGAACUUUGAAUGUAUGUUCUGUUGGUGAGAAUAUAAAGUUGAUAAAGAUUUGGUAAAUAGAAUAAAAUAUUAUUUUUAUUAGAAAAAUUAUUUGGUAGACUGCCAAUCGAGUUAUAAUUAUCAUGACGUAAAACAUGUCAUAUUACAAAUAAUAAAAUUAUAAUGACUCAAAUAUACGAACAUGUCAAAAUUUACGUAAAACGAAUUAUUAACAUGUCAAUGUAUAAUACGGUACGCAAAAAUAGGAUAAUUGCUUGUUUUUUAAAUUGAAUUGUUAUAACAUAUUAUACAAAAUACAUUGUGAAUUAAAGCAUAAUAUGAACAUGAUAUCAAAAUAUUAAAUAUUUUUUAAAAUUUGAUGAUACGAAUAAUUAUGUAAAAUAUAACAUGAUACAAAAUAACUUGAGAGGAAAAGAGGAAUAAAGAAUUGCAUUGUUUGUGAGGUUUUAAAAUAUUCCAGUUUUAGAUUCAAUUUUCUAGUAUGUUUGGUUUAAUUUUACAUUAGAUUUCCUUUUUAGUAUGCACUAGUGAACGCUUGGCAGUUAAUUUAAUUUAAUUUAAUUUAAAGAGAUAUUGCAUAUACAUAAUAAUGGAUUAUGAUUUUACAUUAAACUUCAUAGAAGAAAAAAGAAAUAGACGGUUGAAAAUGAUAAAACCAUAAGAUAAAAGAGCUUUUAUUUAAAAUGCAAAAAUCAACAAAAUAUGCAUUAUCGCUCAACUUAGCAUAAUUAAACAUUUAGGUGUGGAAAUCAAAUCACAAUUUGAGUAGCUAAACAUAUCGCUUGAAAAUGUGAUAAGUAAGAAAAUUGCCCACAUUUGAGUAGCGACAGGUGGUAAUGCAUUUCCCAACAAGAGAAAACCAAGCUCUUCGCCAGUAUGGAUUUAUGUAGAGGACAACAAAAAUUGUUAACAACACAACUACAUAAGAAACCAAAAAGCUCACACAAAAAUCAUAACUAUCUAUCAAACCAUCUUCUCCUUUAUCUUCUGAUACAGUUGAUAUUGUUGAUGGUGAAUCGGUUUUGGAACAACUUUUAUGCAGUAUAGGUCCACAAAGAAAAGGGUUUCCUUCAUAACUGUUUUCAAUAAAGGUCUCAAAUUGAGCUUUUGGUUCGGGAAUACUACCUGACAAGUUGUUAAAUGCCACGCUGAAAACCUCCAAAGAGUUUAACUCUACCAAUUGAUUGGGGAUUUCACCACUUAAGUUGUUGUAAGAAAGGUCCAAACUCUCAAUUUGAUGUAGUUUUGAGAGUGACGAGGGUAUAACUCCGGUCAACUUAUUGUGUGAAAGGUUUAAAGAAUGGAUUUCACUCAAGUUCCCUAAUUCUGGUGGGAUAUGACCAGUUAAGUUGUUGCAAGAUAAAUCAAUCCCAGUCAUAUAUGAAAGGAUGUCGCCCUUGUAUGAAUAGAACCCACUCUUUGUUGUGAACUCUAUUACUUCUUCUAAGUAGCUACUAGGAUAGUAAGAAUCCAUUCCCAAAUUUAGUAUCAUACUGCGUGUUGUUUCAUCCUCUUCUAUAGAUGGCCCAUAGAACCAAGUUUCUAGAAUCUUCUUCGUUUGCAUUGGAAGAGAUAAAUUUCCCAAACAAGAAGGUAUAGGACCAGAAAACAUAUUUUGAGAAAGAUCUAUGAUGCUUAAAGAAUGCAACUUGCAUAACUCAAUAGGAACUUUACCAUGAAAAUGAUUAUCUUUCAAGAGAAGAACACUCAAAGAAGAAAGCGUGUAAAUCCAUUUUGGAAUACUACCUGUCAAAUUGUUUCCUCUAAGAUCUAAAGUCACUAUUGAAGAGCUAUUAUAAAAAGCAAGUGAUAGUGGGCCUCUCAGUCUAUUCCCGUGGAGGUGGACAUGCUCUAUGUAUGGUGGAUUAAAACAUGACGGUAUAGAGCCAGAUAAAUUAUUUUGAGAAAGAUCCAAAAAUUCCAACCUAUUCAACUUGCAAAAUUCCAUUGGAAUGGAACCUUCAAAACCAUUGUUGGACAUAGCUAAUCUCUGCAAAAACGAUGCAUUCCCUAUCCAUCUUGGGAGCUUUCCAUGCAACUUGUUGUUACUGAGAUCAAUUUCGCUUAGUGAAUUUGGAAACUCAAAAGUAGACACAUCAACAUUUGUCAUCUCUCCUGAAAAAUUAUUUCCAUCCAAAUAUAAAUGCUGCACCCCAUUUGCGCUGAGAAUCACAGGAACUACAUUUCCACUGAGGUUGUUAUUUGAUAGUCUCAAAAUGGUCAGUGAGCCUUUCGUGAUCAACUCUUCUGGUACUUUUCCAUACAAAUGAUUGUCUAAUAGAUCUAAAAAUGAUAAGUCCUUCAUGCCACUUAAACAAAGUGGGAUAUUAUCUUCAAAAGCAUUCUUGGAUAAGAAUAACCGACUCAAAUGUGGAAAAGUUGAACAUAUACCAGUUGGAAUUUGACCUUGUAAUUUGUUUUCAGAUAUGUCAAUUGAAGAUACAUCAGAAAUAAGAGCCGACGAAAGUGAGAGAGGACCUGUAAAUGAAUUACCCUUCAAGAUGAGAUCUUCUAACUUUGUGUUGUUUUCUAGCAACCAAGUUGGUACAGUUCCACUGAGAUUGUUAUGAGAAAGAUCCACAUAUCUCAAGUCAUAUUGGUAGUAAAGGAAGGUAGGAAAUUUACGAUUGAGUUGUUGAGAUGCUAUGCACUUUGGCAAUCUGAUGACUUCCAAUUGGAACUUUGGGAUUGAGGUAUAAAAGGAAGAUUCCAUUACCAUCUUGUUUUCAUUAAUCGAAAGGGCUUUGAGGUUUGAAAGGUUUGCAAAUGGUGCAAAUGACAGCGGAAUUUGAAAAUGGUUUCUUGAAACAUCUAACACACGAAGAGAUGUCAAGUUACUAAAACAACGAGGAAGCAUCCCCUCAAGUGCAUUGUUGCUCACAUCCAAUACUUCAAGGUUCUUUAGAUCACACCAUCCUGAAAAAUUUAUAAAUUCAUGGAAGAAAUUUUAAUUAAAUUUGGUCCUAUUAAAUAGAAUAGGAGAUAUUAUAUUACAAAAGCUAGUAAAGAAAUCAAUUUGAGCCAUAAAAUUAUUUACCUUGAUUAGGUAAGGGACCAAUAAGUCCACAAUGAUAUAAAGACAAUGUUUUAAGAGAAGCGAAUACUCCAAUGCUUUGCAAAAUGUUGGUGUUGAGAGUAGAAUAGUCAAGAUAUAUUUCCUCCAAACUGCUCGACACAUUUGAAUCUAAGCAAUGUCAAGAGGUAUUAGAUAACGGUAUUAUAGAAAGCCUCUACUAAGUAGAAUGCUUUAUUUUCUGUGAAUGAAAUGAAGUAUAUAAAUAUAUAUAUAUAUUUUUUAUGAGUUAGAUUAUUCAUGAUUUAUCUGAGAUAAAUUUUGAUAGAGAGAAGAUGUUGAAACUUUAAUAUAACUCUUCAUCCAUUUUAUUAAUUAUACUAUUUUUUUUCUUUUUAGUAUUUUCUUAUAUUAUUUUUUAAUAUAAGUAAUUAACUGAUAUAGCUAAGUUGUAUAAUUUUCAAACUCCAAUCAACAACACUAUAAAUAAUAUUUAUAAAAUAAAACAUGUCUACACUAAAUGUAUGUUUAAAUUUCAUAAAAUUGAAGAUAUUUUUAAAUUAUUCAAAAUUCACAUGUCUACACUAUAAAUAAUAUUUAUAAAAUAAAACAUGUCUACACUAAAAUUAUUAUAUUACCUUUAAAGAUGCCAAUAGUAUAUAAAAAAAUCAAAUAGGUAUUUUACUCAACAAUAAAUAAAACUCAAAAGAAUUAUAAGUAAACUCAGCGGAUUAAAUGAAAAUUUUAAAGCAUUAAAUCUUGGCCCAAAAAUAGAGUUAAGUUAAAAUUCAAAAUUCAAAAUUAUUUUAUUAAUAUUGUUAAAAUUAUUUUAUUAAAUCCAUGUUCAUUACGUCAUUUUUUUAGUUACAUUACUACUAAGUUUUUUUUUUAUUUCAAAAUGUCACACCAACAAGCUAUUUUAAAAUUUUAACAAUUUUAACAAUUUAACUAGGAUUUUGAUUUUUUUUUAUAAAAAAAACAGGGAUUAAAUUCUUGAAAAUAAAAGUAUAAGAAUUAAAUUACAAAUUAGUAAAGAGUACAUAGACCUAUCAUAUUUUUUAAAACCAAAAAGUUAAAAACAUAUGCACUUUGAAAUUUAUAAAAAGAUUGCAAUGGAAGUUUAAGCACCUCUCAAUGUAUGUUUAAAUUUCACAAAAUUAAAGUUUUUUUUUAAAUUAUUCAAAAUUGACAUUUAUUUAUUUUUGCCAAAAAAUGCCAUUUAUUUAACGCUAAUAUGUAUUUUUAUGUUUUAUACUAUUAAAAAUAUAUGAAAUUAAAAUAUAGUUAUAUUACAUAUUUUCUCAUAAAUAUAUGUUUUUAUUUAUUUAUAAUAUCAUUUUUUAUUGUUAUAAUUAUUUUUUAUCUCAUAAAAAUUCAAUAAAUUAUUUUAAAAAAUAUAUUUAUACAAACAAAAUAAUUAUAAACAUUAAUAUUUUAAAAUGAUGAAAAUUUUAAAGAAUUUUAGUUUCAAACCAAAGUCCAAACACAUUAUAAUGGAUGAUUUAGAAAAUGUUUCACCAAACCCAUAUUUUACUUUCAAGUAUGAUAUGAUAUAACUUUAUUAAUAUUUAUGACAAUAACCGUUAUUAUAAUAUUUGACAUCAAAACUAAAUUUCUAAAUUAAAAAAAAAAAGGAAGUUUAAUUAAAUGAUACCUUGGUGGAUCACCAAAUCUUUCAAUUCAUUAUAGCUCAUAUCUAGUUUCCUUAAGUUGAUAAAUGCUUCCAAAUCUAGGAAAACAAAAACAACAAAUCAACUUCAUUAUAUUCUCUUAAAACAUUAUUAUAUUCUUGUUAAAAAACUAAUACUUUUACCUUUCAUAUCUAUUGAUCCUUUCAAUUCAUUGCCUCUUAUGCUCAAAGAUUUCAAAUUUGAAAGCUUGUUAAGGGAUGCAAAUACACUAGUAUUGAAGUGAUUUCCAUCUAAAUUAAGCUCUUCCAAGUGGGUCAAUUCCAAUUUUCUACCAUCAUCUACAAAAGAUUUAUAUAAUUUCAUCAUCUACCAUCACUAAUUUCAUCUACCAAUUUGUUAAAUUGCUCAAUCCUAUACAUAUCCACGUACAAUUCAAAAAAUCAUUAUGUUAAUAAUUUUAAUUUCUACUUAAUAUUUUAAUGAAAUAAAAAUGAAAAAAAAAAGUAAAUCUAAAACUUGAAUUGAAGAUAAAAAUCCUCAAACGUGAAAUGUGAAUGUUCAAAUUUGAAACAAUUAAUUUUAAAAGGCUCUAGAAAGAAUUAUCAAGAAAAACAAAGUUAUAGCUUUAGUACCUUUAGUAUCUAAUGAGCCUUGCAAACGGUUGUUGAACAAAGUCAAAGACUUUAGGCUUGAAAGCCCUUGAGGAAAGGAAAUUGUGUUGUUCCGAAAGAGAUUACCACUCAAAUAAAGUUCCUCUAAGUUUGUUAGCCUCAAUUGUGUUCCAUCUAUCAUUGGAAGAAAGUAAUUAGUAUAGUUAACAUCAUUCAAGAUAUAAAUAGUUAGGAAAAAUGUUUGUUUGAGAAGGAAGAGCCAAUUUACAAGCUUUCCGAUGAAUUGAUUCAAUAUAUAAAUACUUUGUUUGAGAUACCUUCCUACUUAAAUUACUCAAUUUUGAAAUUUAAUCCCAAAUAUUGAUUACUUAUAUAUAUUCAUGAUAUGAUAAAAUCAAAUGACUUAUUGCAACAACUUUUCCUUCAACAUGAAUUUAUUUUAAAGAAUGCUAUUCUUCAAAUAAUUCCAACUUAUAUCAAUAAUUUCCAAUUUAAUGAGCCAUUGAAAACCUCAUUUAUAUAUUAUAUAAUUAGUUACUACAAAACUUAAAUAAAUAAUAAUACUCCAUUUUUGCAAUAAAAAUUCACUAAAGAAAAUACAUUUGAAGUCUGUCAUUGCCUUUUGGAAUAAGAGUCGGUCAAGAAAGUUACUAUGCAGAAAUACUUAUACCUUUGUUUGAGAUGCUUUCAAUGUCGUUCCAACUUAAAUCCAAGUACUUCAAAUUUGUCAAAUUAUUCAAUCCUGAAAUUCAAUCCCAAAUAUUGAUCAGUUAUAUAUAUAUAUUCAUGAUAUGAUAAAAGCAAAGACAUAUUGCAACAUUAACUGUCCCUUAAACAAAAAUUGGUUUUAAAGUAAAAAAGAAACAUAUAAAACCAGUCUACCUUUAAUAUGAAUUGACAUAUAAAUACUGUACUUAUACCUUUGUUUGAGAUGCUUUCAAUUCUGUUCCAACUUAAAUCCAAGUAUUUCAAGUUUGACAAAUUAUUCAAUCCUGAAAUUCAAUCCCAAAUAUUGAUUAGUUAUAUAUAUUCAUCGUAUGAUAAAAUCAAACUUGAACAUACAUUGAUUUUUAAAUCAAGGAUGAAAGAUUUCUCAUAUGAAACAAAAUGCUAUUCUUCAAAGAAUUCCCACUUAAAUCAAGAGUUUCCAAGUUAUUGAGUCUUGAAAGCAAUUGAAAACCUGAUAUAUAUAUUUACUUGUUAAUUGUUUUUUCUUUCUUAGCCAUAUGAAAAUUUUACUAAAGCAAAAGUGGAAUUACGACGGAUAAAAAGAAUGGAAAACUAGGUACCAAGCCUAGAAGACCAUCCUCAAACUCCACUAUACAAAUAAAAACUAACAGCAGACCAAACUUAAUUUACCUCUUUGAUGACCUGAUCCUUCAAAUUUGUUGAUUGAUAGAUCUAAAUACCGGAGAGAUGAAAGCUCACUCAAAGAUAACAAAAUGCUAUCAUUCAAGUAAUUGAAACUUAAGUCAAGGAUCUCCAAAUUACUCAAUGUGGAUGAUAGUUUUCCAAAGCCUAUAGAAAUAUUCUUUUAAAUAUAUACAAGUUAGUGACUUUUCUUCCAUAAAAUAAAAUAAAAUAUAAGUAAUUGCAAAUUAACGAUGGUAAGAGUAGUGGGAUAAUAAAAGAUGUAAUUAAGGAAAAACUAGAGGCACGACCUUCAUUUUCAAGGUUACCACUUAUGGCAUUCCCCCGCAAAUAAAGACUCUUCAAUUCCUCAAAGGGAAGAAACAUAGAGGUAUUGAGAUACCAGGCAUUGAGAUUCCUAUUAUCCGUUUUGUAUCCCAUACUGUCAAACCAUCUUGUAGAAUUAAGGGAGAGUUGUAUGAGUCUCCUAGUGGUGGUGUUACACUCAACUCUUUCCCAUUUACAACAAUCUGAACCCUUCACCUCAACCCAACUUUGCAAUUGAUUUUGAUAAUUGAAGAAAGGCUUGAGAUGCAAGAGAGCGAUUCUCUCAUGCUCCAAACAAGCAUCAGUAGUACACCAUCUGCAUCCUUCUAACACCAACAACAUUACUGCCAUCCUAAUAAGCCUUAACCAUUUCCACUCCAUCAUCAUCAUCUCUCUGUUUUCACUUCUCUCUCAGUUAUAUGUUACUUUUUGUUAACUUCUAUAUGUAAAUAAUCUAAAGCAGCCUAACCUUCUUAUUUAUAUACAAGCAGAACAUACUGGAUCCCACUAAUUCACUAUAAUGUAAAAAUAAUAUAUAAUUAAUUAAUUCCUCAAAAAUUGGAUCAAAAUCUAGGCUUUUUAUUUACGUAAAUUCCUUAUUGCAAAAACUCCUGGUGGAAAUUCGUUAGGAAAGGAUGAAUGGACCACAAGAAUGUUGAUGUUAAUCUUGAAAAACGAAUGGCCAAAAAAAUAUGAAAAGUGAGAGGUGGACAUAAAAUCUUGUGGUUGGGGUUGCAAAAGUCUUCAUGUGGCUUUCUUGUGAGCUUCAUUUAUACCCUUCUUACACAUAUACAAACUUAGUCUUGACUUGGCUUUAUUAAUGGAAAAUUUAGGUCUUCAUUUUUGGUUUCAUUCAUGGAAAUUUUACUUCUUUGAUUUUGAUUUUGCUUUUAUUCUUGCACAUUUUAGGUUUUGAUUUUGAAAAUUUAGUUUUUUUCAUCUCUAUUAUUAUAAAAUUUCUUGAUUUAAUUAAUAUCAUGAGUUAAUUUAAUAUUUUAAAAAAUAAAAUAUUACAUUCACUAUUUUUAAAAAAAUAGGAGUAACUAUAAAAUUUAAUUAUUUAUAUAAUAUUUUUAUAAAAAAACUAUUUAUUUCUACUAGACCACUACUUUAAAACUAUCAAUUAUCAUAUAACUUCUCUUUAAUAAUUCACUAUUCUUUGAACAUUCAUUAGUUUUUGAAACAUAAAAUUUAUAAAUAAUUAUUUUUAAAAUGACUUGAGUUUUACUUGAAUCAUUUUUGUAAUUAGUUAAUUAAAUUGGGUUAUUUUUAAAAAAAAUCCUCUUAACUAAUAGCAAAAAAAAAAAAAGAAAAAAAAAAGCCAUCAUGUAGAAAAUUCUGGUUUGUUGGAAAGAUAAAGACUUGCACCAUUACUUUAAAUUUUGAAAUGUUCAACUUGAUAUUGACAUCUGAUAAUAUGUACAAAUUUCUCAUUGUUUUGAAUUUUAGUGAUAUUACACAUAUGAUAAUAUGUUUGUCACACCAAAUUUUGAAAUAGUAGAACUUAAUGAAUUUAACAAAUACUUAAUGAAUUUAAGAAAUAUCUAAAAUAUCAAAUUAAAGUCUAGGAAUUAAAUCUACAACUUCAGUAAAGUACAAGAACUAUUGUAGAAUUAAACCUUUAUAUAAUAAUUUCCUUCUAUGAACCACAAUUCAAGUGCACCCCACAAGCAACAUUAAAAAAUUGGCAUGUGUCUAUUUUUUUAAAAAUAUUUAUUUUUUUAAUAUUAUAUACUACACCUCUAUAGGAUACGUGUCAAUCCUUUAACUCUCCUUAUGGAAUUUAAAAACUCCACUAACAAUGUACCAAAUAUUAAUCCUAAUUAUUAUACUAUUCAUGGAUAAAGAUAAAAUAUAAUAUUUGCUUAAAAAUCUCAAUUAUAUAUAUUUGGUCACCCAUUGUGAUGUAAUAUAGCACCGUCUACAAAAUAGUUGGAGGAAAGUGUUAAGAAAAUAUCAUUACAUAUAUCAACAUUCGCAUAAUUCAUUGCAUUAACUUUCAAAUGUUAACUAUUGACUUCUGCGUCAACUUUGAGCUUAUAUAGGUCCCCCUCAUGGAAAUUGAGAAAAACAAAUUAAUAUGUAUAUUCUUGUGGGUGGAAAUUUAGUGGAGAUGCCCAUCAUCUUUCCUAAUUAAUAAAAAUGAAGACUUAGAAAAUGUGCAAUCAUAAUCCUAGUCGUCGUUAUGGCCCCAAGAAUAGUUAUCUUAAUUUGUCUCUCUUCAGGAUUAAAGAUAAAAAAUAAAUUUUAUAAAGUUAGAACUAUAAUUUUAUAAUUAUAUUAACAUAUAAUUUCAUAAAAUUUUAAAAAUGUAUCUUUUAAUUUUUUAAUUAAAUUGAUAAUUCGUUAACUCAUAAUAUUAUUUUAUUUUUCAAAAUAUUUACGAGAACGAGUUCGUAUUCUAUUGUGUGGAAAAUUUUAGUACAGAUUAUUAAGUUAUUGGAGAAGCCAAAUCCAACUUGUUUGACCAAGAAAGUUUUUGUCGCGUGGAAAAUGGACAUUACCAUUUCCUUGAAUGACCUUCAAUUUAAUGUAUUCACACCAAAUUUCAUUAAUGAGUAAAACAAAUAAUGAAUAAUAAUGAAAAUUGGAGGAAAUUGUUAAGAAAUUAUUAUUACAUAUAUCAACAGUCACAUAAUUCAUUGUAUUAACUUUCAAAUGUUGACUAUUGACUUUUACAUCAACCUUGAGCUUAUAUAGGCCCCCCUCACGGAAAUAAUCUCAUAAUUAAUGCCUGAAAAAUUAUUAUACAUCAAUUUACAGUUUUAAUCCCUAGACUUACUCAAUUGAAUUAAAAUUUUAGUUUUUAUUAUUUAAUUUGAACUAUUACUUUAGAUUUUGAAAUGUUCAACUUGAUAUUACAAAUUUCUCAUUCUUUUGAAUUUUAGUGAUAUUACACCUAUGAUAAUAUGUUUGCCACACCAAAUUUAGAAAUAGUAGGACUUAAUGAAUUUAAUAAAUAUCUAAAAUAUCAAAUUAAAGUCUAGAAAUUAAAUCUACAACUUCAGUAAAGUACAAGAACUAUGGUAGAAUUAAACCUUUAUAUAAUAAUUUUCUUCUAUGAACCACAAUUCAAGUGCAUCCCACAAGCAACAUUAAAAAAUUAAAAUGUGUCUAUUUUUUUAAAAUAUAUUUUUUUUAAUAUUAUAUACUACACAUAUAUAGUAUACGUGUCAAUCCUCUAACUCUACUUAUGGGAUUUAAAAAAUCCAGCAACAAUGUACGAAAUAUUAAUCCUAAUUAUUAUACUGUUCAUGGAUAAAGAUAAACUAUAAUAUUUGCUUAAAAACCUCAAUUAUAUACAUUUGGUGACCCAUUGUGACGUAAUAUAGCACCAUCUACAAAGUAGUUGGAGGAAAUUGUUAAGAAAAUAUCAUUACAUAUAUCCAACAGUCACAUAAUUCAUUGCAUUAACUUUCAAAUGUUGACUAUUGACUUCACGUCAACUUUGAGCUUAUAUAGGCCCCCUCCUCAUGGAAAUAAUGUCACAAUUAAUGCUUGAGAAAUUAUUAUACAUCAAUUUAUAGUUUUAAACCCUAUACUUACUCAUUUGAAUUAAAAUUUUAGUUUCAAUUUGAUAUAUUUUGUUCCUCUUAUUAAUAUUAAUGUUAUAGAUUUAUUAAAAUAACUAACAUUAUUAAUUCUCUAACAUUUAAAAAUUAAAAUUAUGUGGUUAUUAAAAUUAUGAUGCUAAAUUGAGAAUUAAAAAUUAUCAAGUUUUAAAUGAUCUCGGGAAUUAAGAAGAGAUCGUGUCCUAACUUAUUGGGCAUGAUCCUUUUUUUUCUCAAGUUUUAAAUGAUCUCAGGAAUUAAGAAAAGAUCGUGUCCUAACUUACUGGGCAUGAUCCUUUUUUUUUUAAAAUCUAAGAUAGCUAAAUAUUUUUUAAAUAAGUAAAUUUUUGGCAUUCAUUCGCGCAUCGGGAAUUCAAGACAUUGUGUCCUAACUUACUGGAUAUAAUUCUCUUUCUCGAUUAAUGUGAAUUAUGGCUUUUUCCCGAAAAUUUUCAACAUUUCAAUAAAGGAUCGUAUUUUAAAUCUCUUUAAAGUUUUCAAUCUUCGAUACUAAGACAUUAAUUAAUCAACUAGGUACCAAUUUUGGGCGUAACGAGGGUGCUAAUCUUUCCUCGUACGUAACCGACUCCCAAACCUGUUUUUCUGAAUUUCGUGGACCAAAAUUAUUAUUUUAUUAAAAUUAAAUUGUUUAUUAAAAAUAACCACUUUUCAAGGUGGCCCGAUCACACCUUAUCAAAAAGGAUUGGUGGCGACUUCCAUAUUCGUUUUCAUUUUUUAAAAUCCAAGUCGACCCCGUUUUCACAAAAAAAAAAAGUGUCAACAAUUAUAUUAAUAUAUAAUUUCAUAAAUUCUUUAAAAAAAAUUGUAUCUUUUAAUUUUUUAAAUUAAUUUAGUAAUUCAUUAACUCAUAAUAUUAAAUUUUUUAUUUUUCAAAAUAUUUACGAGAACGAGUUCGUAUUCUAUUGUGUCGAAACUUUUAGUACAGAUUAUUAAGUUAUUGGUGAAGCCAAAUCCAACUUGUUUGACCAAGAAAGUUUCAGUCGUGUGGAAAAUUUUAGUUUUGUGGAAAAUAUAGAUUAACUUCUAUAUAUGUAUGUAAUCUAAAGAAGCCUAAGCUUCUUAUUUAAUUAUAUACAAGCAGAAGAUAUUGCAUCCCACUAAUUCACUAUAAUAUAAAAAUAAUAUAUGAUUAAUUAAUUCCUCAAAAAUUGGAUCAAUCUAGGCUUCUUAUUUACGUAAAUUCCUUAUUGCAAAAACUCUCGAUGGAAAUUCGUUAAGAAAGGAUGAAUGGACCACAAAAAUGCUUAUCAACUCUUGACUUUGGCGUUCAAUGCUAAGUUCAUUUUAAAAUUCUUUCAUGGAGAGAAGAUGGGAUGACAAGAAUGAUAAGUUUUAAGUCAUUUAAGUUUACACAAAAUUUUAAUCACUCACAAAAAAUCAGUCUUGAUAUUCUAUUAAAAAAUUUAAACAUGGCUUAACGUUGAUUUUAAAUCUAAUGUCGAUGUCAAUCUUGAAAAACGAAUGGCCAAAAAAAUAUGAAAAGUGAGAGGUGGACAUAAAAUCGUGUAGUUGGGGUUAUAAAAUUCUUCAUGUGGACAUAAUAUAUUUUUUAUGCCCUUCUUACACUUAUAUAAAGUUAGUCUUGAUUUCGCUUUAUUAAUGGAAAUUUUAGUUCUUCAUUUUUUGUUUUAUUCAUGGACAUAAUAUUUAUUUUUAUUUUUUAUUUUUGUGUUAUGGUCUAUGUUCGAGGUUUAUGGCUAUCCCCUUUCAACAACGUCGUCUCAACGGUUCAAACAUACACUUGCAGGUAAAAUAAUACUUUUUAAAAUCACAAAUAUUUGAAAUAAUAUAUUGCAGCUAUAUAAAUGCUUUCUUGUUUAAGAUACUAAUAAAGUAAUUAACAAAGUAAUUAUUAUACCUAUAAUAAUUCAAAAUGCCACUUGUUAUCUAAUGAAGUAUAGGGGUGCAAAUGAGACAUCCGUACCCGCAAGCUAUUCGAAUUCGGCUCAAAAAAUUUUGAAUUUGAUUCGGUAAUUAUUGCGCCGAGCUAUAGGUCGAUCCGGAUUCAAGCUUAGUAAUACUUGACUCGAGUAGUUUGGGAGCCUUAUUGAACUUUUCAUAUUUUUAUAUUAUUAGAUUACAUUAUUGCCUUUAAUAUAUAUUGUUAACCCUAAGUUUAAUUAUUGAGGCGAGCUCGAACUCGAGUACAAAAAUUGAUAAACAGAUUUAAUUUCGAGCUUAAAAAUAUAUGUUCAAUCGAGUAUCAAGCUUUGAAUUUCAAAUUAAACUUGAGUUUAACCGUAUUGAGUUCGAAUAGAUUCAAUUACACCCUACAAUAAAAUAUACCAACAAAACCUACAUUCCAUAUUUGCUUAAAAACUUUGCUGUAAAUUUUAUAUAUGUGUGUGUUUAACGUGAGUUCCAUCUAUGUCCAACUUGAUGACGAUGAAAGUUCCUAUGGUGUAAAAAGUUUUAGUUAUGUGGAAAAAUAAGGUCUUCUCUUCACACGUUUAAUAUGCUUACUUGUGACGGUCAUUUCGGGCUUGACAUCAAUUUUCAAAAUGUUCUAAUUGGUGGAAAACUUACGUCUGCUUUUAUGAUUCUUUCAAGUCAAUUGGAGAAUGCCUCUGUUACACUUCAAAAGAAGUAGAUUUUGAACUCAACAUGAACCUGUGAGAUUUGAUGCCUAAAAUAUAGGUAUAAGGUUUCAAUUCAAGGAAAUGUUGGAAGUCCAGGAAAUUUCUUAGUCUCCUCUCUUUGGAUGUUUUUGAACAAAAAUGUUUUAAGUCUCUUCCGAUGCUAAACUUCUGAUUGGUCGUCGGUUCACUGACCCUUUGGUACACAGCAAUAUGAAGCAUUGGCCAUUCAAGGCCAUUGCUGGUCCUGGUGAUAAGCCAAUGAUUGUACUACUAUAGAUUUGAAAUGAUUGUACACAUCUGAUCGGCUCUUUGUAAAUUUAAAUCUUACAAAUUCGGAUAAUAUUCGAAUUUAAAUAUUUCAAUUACUAUCUGCAAUAGAUUAAAAACAAACGUGAUUAUCAAUCCUUGGAUAUCCACAUACAGAUUAUGCAAUACAAUCUCUUAAGGCAUAUAGAAUUUGGGUCUUAACCAAGCUAUGUUGCUUAAAAGCUUGCUAAAAGCACCCCUAACAAAGGGGUAAAUAAAUAAAAUAUCAAGCACCAGUUAUCAAAGCAGAUUGACCACCUUAUAUCUAUGUAUGCUACUACAAAACUUGCACCAUUAAAAUCUCAAGCUGGUAAUUGGAGCUUCAUGUUAUUCUUGCAGCUGCAGGCAUAAUAAUCAAAUAAGUUGCAAUCAUUCACAUAGGUACUAUGAAGUGCUUUCCAGAGCGUGAGAAACCUCUGGAAGUAAUAGUAGAAGAAAUCAGCAUAAAGCAAUGUCUGGACAAGACCGCAAAUCCAAGCUGAUCAAAGGCAUCAAUCAUGUAAACUAGGUGUUAGAAAUAACAAAUAUAGCAUAGAAUAUAACAAAUAAUGAAUAACAAUGAAUAGUACACGUUACCAUUUCCUUGAAUGACCUUCAAUUUCUCCAUUGAGAUAUAGUAAGAGGGAGUGGAAUAGAUGUAAGGUAAUAUUUGAUGUAUUCGGUAAAUGAAUAAUAACACCACAUUCCAUUAAUGAGUAAAACAGAUAAUGAAUAAUAAUGGAAGUUUUAUAAAAUAAAAAUAAAUUAAAUCAUAUACAUAUAAUGUAUUAAAUCUUAUUCGUGAAGUUCACAAUGAACAAAAUACUAAUCCAUAAUGGAGAAAAAUAACCUAAACUUUAAACAUUUGUUCAUUACUAUAAACAUAUGUACAACUUUUUAAAGGUUUUAUAUAAACUAUUAAAAGGUAUAAACACUCUCAUAAAAAUAUAUUAUUAAGUACGUCUUCUUUUACUAGGAAAGUUCCUAUCCUGUAGAAAAAUGUAGUUUUGUGAAAAAAGGUCUUCUAUGCACUAAUUUGUGGCAAUCACAUGGGGUUUGGGAAUUUCAAUUUUGAUAGCCAACCGAGAUUCACUAAAUUUAAAUUUUAUUAUGAUUAAUUACGCUCUUCGUUUUGGAGAAAUAGGUAAUCACAACAACUAAUUUAAUUAAAUGUAAUUUAAUAAUUAAUUUUUUUAUAAUUUAAUUACAUUAACUAUAUUUAAAUUUAAUAUUUAGUAUUUAUAUUUUAAUUUAACAUAAUUUAAUUCACUUACUUUUAUAAUAUUAUUAGUUCGUCUAAAUAGUUGACACCUUUAAUUAAUUCUUAUUAAAAUGUUAAAAAUGUUUAUACUUAUUUUCCAUGUUAAAAUAUAUAUUUUUUUGUGCUUUUAAAAACAAAAUUUCACAAUAUCAUUUCCCGAUAUAAAAAUUAAAUCUCAAAUUAAUUUAUAUUUUUGUAUUUUUUUAUAACUAAUGUUAUCAAGAACUCUUAAUAGUGCAACUGAUUCCACCAUAAUAUUUAUAUUCUUUAAAUAUGAUUUACAAUUUAUGUUUGGAGUUCGUGACUGUCAUUCUUAAUAAUGUCAUUUCUAAUGUUCGAACAUGCAUCUCCCCUUGAGAAUGCAAUAUUCAUUACUAUUGCACCUAAUUAUUUUGAUAAUUUAAUUUUAAAUAUUGACAUAAAAAUAUUUUUAAAUAUAUUAUUAAUAAAUUUAAUUAAGAUUAUAAAACUUGAGGUUUUUUUUAAUUCUUCAAAAAUGUCAUUUAUUUAUUUUUGGCCAAAAAAUGCCAUUUAUUUAACUCUAAUAUGUGCUUUUAUGUUUUAUUUUAAAAAUAUAUGAAAUUCUAAUGAUAGUUAUAUUACAUAUUUUUUAAUUUUAAAUAUCAUUGUUCUUUUAUAAUUUGUUUCAAGUAUGAAAUGAUAUAAUUUUUUUUAGUAUCUAUCACAAUAACCUUUACUAAGAAUUGAAACUAAAUUUCUAAAUUUUGAACAAAAAUGAAAGUUUAAUUAAAUGAUACAUUGGUGGAUUCAUUACCCCUCAUAUCUAGUUCCCUUAAGUUGAUAAAUGUUUCCAAAUCUAGGAAAACAAAAAACAACAAAAUCAACUUCAUUAUAUUCUCUUCCAACAUUAUUAUAUUCUUGUUAAAAAUCUAAUAUUUUUACCUUUCAAUCCAUUGCCCCAUAUGCUCAAAGAUUUCAAAUUUGAAAGCUUCUUAAGGGAUGCAAAUACACUAGUAUUGAACUGAUUUCCAUCUAAAUAAAGCUCUUCCAAGUGGGUCAACUCUAAUUUUCGACCACCAUCAAUAAAAGAUUUAUAUAAUUUCAUCACUAAAAUGAAUUGGCAUAAACUUUUAUUAUAUAUAAGAAUUUAGGUAAUUGGUUAAAUAUAAAUGCAUACCAUUUAAGGAUUGAAAGCUUUCAAUUUCAUUCCAACUUAAAUCGAGUUUCUUCAAAUUUGUUAAAUUGCUCAAUCCUAUACAUAUCCUCAUCCAAUUCAAAAUCUGAAAUUAGUAAAGAUAAAAUUGCACAUUGACCCCCUAAAAUUGAUAAAAAUUUAAUUUAAUUCUUUAAAAAUUAUAAACAUAUGUAGCGACCUAAAAAUUUCGGCACGGGCGCUAGUCGAAGUAAUUAUUGUAAAUUUGAAAACUGAAUCUCGAUUUUAUUUGAAAAAGGAGUCGCCACCGAUAUUUUUUCUAGGUGUGAUCGGACACCUACAAAAUUCUCUUUUUAGAAGAAAAAAUUAUUUUUAAACUUUUCUAAAAAAGAGGUAAUUUUAGGUCCACGUAAAAAUCCAGAGAAAAUUAGGGUCCGGGAGUCGGUUACGCGCGAGGAAGGUAUUAGCACCCUCGCAACGCCCAAAAUUGGUAUCUCGUUAAACGCGUGUUGUCUUCAUUUUCAAAAAUACGAGUUCAAUUUAAUAUUAGUCGUGAUCCGAUUGAACACGAGAAUUUUAAAGCGCAACAACUUUUUCUUUUUUGAAAACACGAAAAUUUUAAAAUACAAGAAUUUUAGAAACACAAAACUUUUUUUUUAAAAAAAACACGAAGAAUUUAAAACACGAGAUUUUUUAUUUUUAUUUUUGAAAACACGAUUCUUCUUUUUGAAACACGAAAAUUUUUAAAACAGAAAAUUUGUUUUUGAAAACAUAAAUUUUUUGAUAAAAUACGAAACACGAGAAAUUUUGAAGACAUGAAAAUUUUUGAAACACAAUUUUUCUUUAAAAAAUACCGUAUUUAACACGAAUCGAUGAUAUUCAUCCCGAUAUGGCGAUGAAACCAUCGAAUUAGUGUUAACUCAAUUCAAUUUAAUAUUUAAUCGGGAUUCUAAUAAAACACGAGAAUUUUUAUUAAAAUACGAGGAUUUUUGAAUAUUUUUAUUUUUAAAAGGGUGUCCCGAAUUUAACACGAGCUAUCGAUAUCCACCCAACAUAGCGAUGAAUUCGAUGACUUGAUGCUAAAUCGGUUCGUUGCCUUAUGCAUUAAAAUAUUAUUAUUUUUAAAAAAAAUAUGCAAUUAAAAUGACAUAAUAAUAUUUAUGAAAACUGUUUUAAAGCAUACUAAUUUAAAUUAAAUAAAACACCAUUUAAAUAAAUAAAAUAAAAUAAAAUAGAUUAAAAAGAAAAAAAGAAAAAAAUUACCCAAAAGCCCAAAGUUAUGGGCUUAAAUUUUGGGCCUCCCCUUUUAUUAUUUUUUUUGCUGUUGGGCUNNNNNNNNNNNNNNNNNNNNNNNNNNNNNNNNNNNNNNNNNNNNNNNNNNNNNNNNNNNNNNNNNNNNNNNNNNNNNNNNNNNNNNNNNNNNNNNNNNNNNNNNNNNNNNNNNNNNNNNNNNNNNNNNNNNNNNNNNNNNNNNNNNNNNNNNNNNNNNNNNNNNNNNNNNNNNNNNNNNNNNNNNNNNNNNNNNNNNNNNNNNNNNNNNNNNNNNNNNNNNNNNNNNNNNNNNNNNNNNNNNNNNNNNNNNNNNNNNNNNNNNNNNNNNNNNNNNNNNNNNNNNNNNNNNNNNNNNNNNNNNNNNNNNNNNNNNNNNNNNNNNNNNNNNNNNNNNNNNNNNNNNNNNNNNNNNNNNNNNNNNNNNNNNNNNNNNNNNNNNNNNNNNNNNNNNNNNNNNNNNNNNNNNNNNNNNNNNNNNNNNNNNNNNNNNNNNNNNNNNNNNNNNNNNNNNNNNNNNNNNNNNNNNNNNNNNNNNNNNNNNNNNNNNNNNNNNNNNNNNCUCUUUUUACUUAAUUAUUUAUCAAUUUACACUAGUUCGAGUUUUUGUAACAGUAUCAUGGAGACUUAUGUACUAGGAGUUAGAUUGUAUUUUGCCUCUUUUACUCAAAAAAUGAGUAAAUUAAUCCUUGUACGUUAAAUCAAUGAGCAAACUAGUCCUUUUAGUUAACAUUUUCAUUCAUUUUUACUAUUAAAAAUUGGAGUGACUAACGAAAUAACCAGAUAGUUACACAUUACAUGCCAAGGGUGAAGCCAGAAAAUUCUUUUAGGGGGCCGAAAUUAAAUUUUAAUUUUUAAUAGCUUAUAUCUUUAUAAUUUUUAAAUGAUUAAAUCAAAUUUUUAUCAUUUUUAGGAGGGGACUAAAGUGUAAUUUUAUCUUUACUAGUUUAAAUUUCUAAAAUUUCUAAAAAGCCUAAAUGGAUAAUUUUCAAUUUUAGAGGGGUCAGGGCCCUUGCCAGCCUCCCUAGAUACGCCACUGUGGCAUGCCACAUGUACCUCAUGUCAGCAUACAUGAACCCGUUUUUAACAGUUAAAAUGGAUGAAUUUUUUAGUAGAAGGAUUAAUUUUCUCAUUUUUUGAGUAGAGGAAAGAAAAUGCAAUCCAAUGCCUAAUACAAGGGCCUCUAUGUCUUUCAUUAUUACUCAAUUAUUUGUCAUCAAAAGUUGUAUAUGUUCAAAUAUAAAUACAAUAAAACACAUAUGUAGUUAUUAAACAUAUCAUGCUAAUGUCAUUGUUUCUUCUUUAUCCAAAAUUAUUGGACUUAUAAAAUUCUUGAGAAUAAGAAAACCCCAUUAAACUUCCUUUUAAGUAAAACGUGUGUUCAAAAUCUUGAACUAGGUUUAUGCAGCAAUAGAAAUUCACAAGCUGUUUUUUUUAUACAUGAGAUGUGAAUCUCAAAAUUUUAGGGUUUCUGAUCUCAUAUAUUUUGGGUCCAGAUUUAAUGCUAAGGAUUUGUUGAGAAAGUUGAAAGGGAAGAAAAUGAUGUUCAUUGGGGAUUCACUAAGCUUGAAUCAAUGGCAGUCUCUAACAUGCAUGUUGCAUGCAUUUUUGCCACAAUCAAACUACACUGUUCACAGAGAAGGGAACCUUUCGACCUUUUAUUUGCCUGUGAGUUGCCAAAUCUAGUAGCUAUUUUAUUUCCUUCUUAUAAUUAAAACUUUUCAAUGUCACCUUUAGAAGGUAGCUGCAUGAAUCAAAUGAGUUAAAUCAAAUAGACUAAUUACUAUUGUUUGGCAAAAAUACCGAGUAGACCUUUUUAAAAAUAGUUAUUAUACUUUUAUUACAACAAAAUAAGCAGGGGUGAACCUAAAAUUUUUUUUAGCAGGAUAGAAAUUUAAUUAUAAUUUUUUCAUAGAUCAAAAUAUAAAUUUAUUAUGAAUUAAUUUAUAAUUUUAUCAUUUUUAAAGGGAUUAAACAGAAAUCAUUUCAUUUUUAUGGGGGUUAAAGUGUAAUUUUACUAUAUAUUAAUUUAUAAUUUCUUUAUUUAUAAGACUAGAAAAAAUUUUCAUGGGGGCCAAAGUACAAUUUUACUAUAUAUUAAUUUAUAAUUUCUCUAGUUAUAAAAGAACUAAAUUAAAAACUUUUCAUUUUUUAGGGGGGCCAAGGCCCUGCCUACCCCUUUCAGAUUAUUCGCCUCUGAUAAUAAGCCAUUAAACUUUAAUUUAUAACCGUUACCAUUAAUUUUUAACUUAUAUCCAAAUAACCCCUUACCAUUUUAUUUAUACUCAAAAUAAAAUUUAACAUAAAUAAAGGUGAGAGAGGGGCCUUGGCCUAUUGGUUAAAAUAGAAAAUUUUCAUUUAGGUCCAAAGGUAAAGCCAAAAAAUCAUUUUAGGGGGUUGGAAAUGAAUAAUAAAUUUUUGGGGAGACUAAUAUUGCAAUUUUAUCAUUAUAUCAACUUAUAAUUUCAUAAAUUUUGAAAAGAUUAAAAGACAAAUUUAUCAAUUUUUGGGGUUGUCUACUCUCCUGAGUUGGUCUCUAUUGAAAAUUAAUAAUUCCAUAAAAUAUAGCUUUCCUAAAUUUAUAAUUUUAGCUCGACCCUAAAUAUAAAAUUCUUUGCUUUACCCCUGAUAUUAAAUCAAAAGAUAGAAACUUAUUAUGUUACUAUAAGAAUAUAGGGAUUUAUUUAGCAAAAGCAAACUAUUUCAAGGACUUUUUUGGUAGUUUGCACUUAUAGUUGGUAUUAGUUAGAAUUAAGUGCCAAGAUUAAGUUUCCUUUGAGAUAUAUAGUUGGUUAAGCAAUUUAAUAUAAGUGGAAAUUUAGACCCCUAAGUUAUACCCUUCAUGCAUUUGGACAACUGUGUUGAGCCAAAAAAAAAAUUGCAGGAGUAUGAAGUUUCGUUGAUGCUAUCACGCAAUGCAUUUCUUGUGGAUAUUGUCCAAGAAAAGAUUGGCACCGUUCUGAAGCUUGAUUACAUUAAAAACGGCGAAUCAUGGAAAGGAUAUGACUUUCUCAUCUUCAAUACCUGGCAUUGGUGGCUCCACACUGGAAGAAAACAACCGUAAGCAAAACAUAAUUUCAGCAAUUAAAACCCGAUUUUUUAAUUGCAUCCCGAGUAGAUUUGUAAACAAAUACAACACUCGAAUUGGGUUGGGUUUGAACCGGAAUAUCAUUCCUAUAGUUUUGAUUAGACCUGUAGUUUAAAAGUUAAUUAUUUAUUUAAGUUUGAAAAUUCGUUUGAAAUUUAGAAGAAUAUUUAGAUAAAAAUAUUAGACUUCAUAAAUGAGCUUGAGUAAAAAAAUUAAACCCGUUUUUAAUAUGGGUUAAGCUUAAGCUCAAAAAAGUUAAGGAUCCAGACAUGUUGAUGAACUUAAAAUGAAUUUGCGAUAACUAUUUACAAAUAUUAGUAUGUUGGAGCAAAAUUUUAAGCCAUUGUUUGGUCCAACUAAAUUUAGGCAAAUAUAAAGUGCGUUAAUAUCAUGCUUAAAAUUGAUUCAAACUGAUCCCAACCCAUAACCACUUCUAAUUCUGAUUAGUUUGACUCAACCUUUUUAUUCUUUUAAAUACUUAUAAAAUCUCUUAUCCAAUUAUAUUUAUAUUUGAGCAAAAAAUGAUGUAUGUAUGUAUGUAUGUAUGUAUGUAACUUGAAAAAUGAAUUGGAUAUUAGAUGGGAUUUCAUUGAAUCAAGAGGAAAGGUGAAGAAAGACAUGGAUCGUAUGGCUGCAUAUAGAGAGGCACUAAGAACAUGGUCAAAAUGGGUGGAUUCCAAUGUUAACACUACAACUACCCAAGUGUUUUUUCAAGGCAUUUCUCCGACUCAUUUCAAGUAAGCUUUAGCUCUUCUCUUCUCUUCUCUUACCAUUUGCAUUAACUUCCUUGUUCUUAUUUUACUUAAAAGAAAUGGAAUUAUGAAAAAAAUUGAAAGCCAUUUUUUUUCCAAUAGAACUUAAUUCAUUUUAAUCCCAUCAGAUUUGGUUCAAAUUAGAGGUGUUUAUAAGUUGGUGAGUCAAUCGGCUUAGUUCGCUUUAGACUGCACUUGAAGUUAAGUUUUCAAGUUUCGAGCCAGAUUAGCCUUACUUGUUUUAUUAGUCGAAGAAAACUAUUUUUAAUUGUUUUAUAAACAAUGAAAAUGGACCAUUUAGGUAAGCUUAAGUUUGGAAAAUUUUUGAAAUUGGGCUUAAACUUGACUUGGAAAAUGAACACUUAUAGUUGAAAGAAACUCAUUUGUCAUAAAGCACAAAUACUUUUAUGAUUAGAGACGUUAAUGGGCUUGAACUUAAAUUUUCUUUUUGGUUUAAGCUUGGUUCGAGUUGAAAACUCGUAUUGUUUAAAAUAUUUCUAAUAUAUUAUUGUUUAAAAUAUUUCAUAAAUAUUUUCAAAAUGAAAUAUGUGUAAGAAUCAUAAAUUCAAGCUGUAGUGUUUCCUCAUAUAAAUUAUGAAUCACUCUAAAUAUCUCAAAGAGAAAAUGACAGUUCAUUGACAUCUAUAUAAAGAUUUUUUUUUUUAAAAUAAAAAUCAACAAGUCUCUUACGUUAUCCAUAUAUAAUAUGUGGAUGUACAAUUAUAAACUUCACCUCAAACAAUUUGGUAUUUUGAUCCACAAUUUUGACAGUGGCAAAGAAUGGAAUGGUACCAAAUCAACAACUUGCACACAUCAAAUCAGACCGGCUACCGAUUUAACGUACGAAAGUGAUCCACCUCCGGAAGUGACGAUCGUAAAGGAAGUGCUAAAAAACAUGUCGACGCCGGUGGUUUUGCUCGACAUAACCAGAUUAUCACAGCUGAGGAAAGAUGGUCACCCAUCAAUUUAUACUGGUCUAAAAGGAAAUGAUUGUAGUCAUUGGUGCCUAGCUGGUGUUCCUGAUACAUGGAAUGAAAUCUUAUAUGCAAUUCUUACAAGUAGGAAAACUUAAUUCAAGAUUAUAAUUUUUUUUUCAAUUUAAUGUAUUUAGUUAAUAAAAAUUAAUUUCCCAUUAAUAGAUGAAGAAUUUUAAAUUUAAUAACAUAGGUGUAGCCAUCAAUUUAAUGUAUUUUUUACCCGAACCCAAAUUAAGUCAAGCUCAAACCAAUGGAAAACCUACAAUAUUAUUCAUAAUAAUAUUGAAACUUUAGAUUUUUUUAUUAGUAUUAUAUAUUUUAAUAAUUAAUUUUAAAUAUUUUUAUUAAUAAAUAGUAUUCAGGUCGCGCCAGCCCAAUUUAAAAGAUAUUUAACUCAAUAUAAAUUCAACAUAUUAAAUGAAUAAUUCAAAUGUCAAAAUGAGCAAAGGAAAAUCUAGAGUUGUAAGCUUUGCAACUUUAAAUUGGACAUGAGAGUUUCUUUUAUUGGAUACAUGCCACAUUAUUUUUUAACAAAAUUCCUUUAUUUUAUCAAUUGAAUUUAAAUUAUUAUAUUAAUAAAAUUAUUUAAUUAUUUAAUUGUGUUUCAACCUUUUACAUAAAAUAAAAUUUUCUCUUUUAACUUUUUCAUCAUUUAAUUUUUCACUUUUUAAAAUCACCCUCAAUUUCAAAUAUAAAUUUACUUGUGUAAAAAAAAAUCUAAAUCUGUUAAUUGCAUCUAGAACUUUUCAGAGUUGGUCUUGUCAAAAUUUUAAGUCUAUUUGCUAGGCCCAAGUUUGGCCUAAAAAAUAGACUUAAAAUUUUGUCUAAAUUUAACCCGGAUAAAAUAUUAAAAUCAGGCUCGACUCAACUCACCUGAAUUAAUUUUUCUAUAAAAAUAUUAAAAAUAAUAGGUCAAAAUACUAAAAAUAUUAAAAUAAAUAUUUUUUAAUAAUUUAAAAAUAAAUUUAAAAAUAUUUAUACUUAGAUAAAAUUAACAAUAAAAUAAUUUUUUAAUGUUUAUUAAAAAAUGGGCCGGACCGGGCUCGGGCUUAUGAUAUUUUUCCCGGGCCGGGCCUGGAAAAAUAUCAGGCCCAUAUUUCGAGCCGGGCCAAAAAAAAUUUCUGGGCCCGACCCGGCCCAUGGACAGGUCUAAUCUUAGACCUUUUCAGUGUUGGUCUUGUCAAAAUUUUAAGUCUGUUUGCUAGGCCCAGGUUUGGCCUAAAAAAUAGACUUAAAAUUUUGUCUAAUUUUGACCCGAAUAAAAUGUUAAAACCAGACUUAGACUCAACCCACUUGAAUUAAUUUUUUAUAUAAAAAUAUUAAAAAUAAUACGUCAAAAUAUUAAAAAUAUUAAAAUAAAUGUUUCCUAAUAAUUUAAAAAUAAAUUUAAAAAUAUUUAUACUUAGAUAAAAUUAACAAUAAAAUAAGAGUUAUAUAAUAUAUAAAUAAUAAUAAAAUAAUAGUAACAACAAGAAAAUAGUAAUUUUUUGUCUUUUUGUUAAUUCAUAUCGGACCGGGCUUAACCCGGUUGAGAACGGUACUUAUAUUUGUACAAAAAAAAAAUCAAAAAAAAAUGUGAACGGUACUUAACCCGGUUGAGUCGGAGCUCCAUGACCCGAACAGCAAUUUAUUUUUCAAUUCUUCUUCGUUACGCAAAAAGGAAAAAAAAAAAAACAGCUCAUGAAAAUGGCAUGGUCAAAUACUCUGCUUCAGAUUCACAUCAAAUCCCCUUCGAUCCCUUCUCUCCAUUUCCCACAUUCCCUCCCAAAAAGCUCCCCAUUCCUUCUUAAUCCUAACCCUAUAAAUCCCAUUCCCAGAUCCCUCAGAAUGCAAUUCCUUCACAGACCCAACGCUGUCCCACUCGUAUCAAGAGCCAUGGACAUCAUCCAAUCGUCUCCUCCCACGUGGCAAUCCGCAGUCCUCAGUAACCUCUUGAUCUUCGUCGUCGGCACCCCACUUUUAGUGGCGGGGCUUUCUCUCUCCGGAAUUUGUGCUGCGUUCUUGCUUGGCACUCUCACUUGGCGCGCUUUUGGCUCCCCUGGGUUUCUCCUCGUUGCUUCGUACUUCGUUAUUGUGAGUUGCUAAUAAUAUAUUAUGAAUUGUAGCUGAAUUAUGGGAAUUAAGUUAAAUUUUGGAAAUUGGGUUUUGAUUUUGUAUCCAUCUGGUAUUAAAAGUUGCUUGCUUUGGAGAAUUAGCUGUCAUUGUUUGGUAGUAUGGCAAGGAAAAUAAACUUAAUUUAUGUCGAAAGGUUACUUUUUAAUUAGUUAGCUAUUCAAGUUUGAUUAGUUGUAUUUAGAGAAAUUGAUUGUACUAGGUGAAAUGAGAUCAAAAGAUUAACAAAAGUUACUUGAUGGUUUCUAGCUUUUUAGCUGAAAUAAAGUCCUGUAUGAAAUGAUAUAAUAUUUUAGUUUUCUAUUAUGGCUUGUUUUCCUUGCAAAGUAUGAAUCUUGAAUUAGUUCCUGCCUCCCUCUUCUAAUUCUCCUUACCCAUUUCUAGUUGAAAGUUAAUUGAAAUUCCAUGUGAUUUUGUGUUAUAAUUCCAGUUCAUAAUCUGAAUGGAGACAAUAAAUUUGGAUGAAGGAGCUUUAAGCAGUGGGAAAAAUCCAUAAUAAUUUGUAAUUCUCUAAAUCUCUAAACAAUCUUACAUCUCUUUGUCAUGCCUUUCAAACAUAGUUGGUAUAACUAUGUUCAAUUGUCUUAGCUAUUGUUUAAUCAUUUUUAAUUUUUCAUUCCCCCUGCUCCCCCAAAAAAAAAUGUUUGUCUGAGCAAUGAGUCUUUCUCAAAAUCAAUUUCCAAGGCCAUUUUAUUUGAUUAUGACUUUGUGAGUAAAACAUGUUUGUAUUUGUUAGGGAACCGCAGUAACAAAAGUGAAAAUGGCUCAAAAGGAGGCCCAAGGGAUUGCUGAGAAGAGGAAAGGAAGAAGAGGACCUGGGAGUGUAAUUGGGUCCAGUGCUGCUGGUUGUGUAUGUGCUGUUCUAACAAUAUAUGGAGUUGGAGGAGAGGCAUUUACACGUCUUUGGCAACUUGGUUUUAUUGCUAGUUUCUGUACUAAGUUGAGUGAUACAGUGUCCAGUGAGAUUGGGAAAGCAUAUGGCAAAACAACGUAAGUAGUGCAUCUCUGUUUGUUAAUGUAUAGGCGCUUUAGAUUAACUGUAUUAAUAAUUCUCCUUAGUUCAUUCUAAAGAAAGGAUAUUUCAAAUCAAGUGGAAUUUAGAUCCCUUAUGGUUCUUGCUAUAUUCGAGCUCUAUUAUUGUCAUAUAUGCUGGUGAUAAAGGUCGCUUUGACAUCCUAUAUAGAAACAAAAUUUGUGAGUGUUAAUAUUGCCUCAAAUCUUUUUUUUUUUCUUCAAAGGUUUAUGUCAAUUGCUACUCUCUUUUUUUUUUACUGUUAAACUACACUUUAGAAUUGCAAAUAUAAAGUGUGUGAUGUGCCAAAAUGAACAGGUACCUGGUGACAAACUUUCAGAUUGUUCCUAGGGGAACAGAAGGAGCUGUCAGUGUUGAAGGAACUGUUGCUGGACUUCUAGCAUCUAUACUGCUUGCCACUAUUGGUUGUCUAUUGGGUGAGGUAGUACUUGCUAUGUACUCAUACUAUGUGAAUAAUUUGUUCUGCCAUUCAUGAUACCAUUUUUUUUUAAUAACAAGCAUUAUUGUGAUCAUUACAAAAUGUUUACACCUUGUAAGAACCUGGAAUUUUUUCUAGUCUCUGCAACAAUAGACUAAUUGGUGGGGUGGUGCCUAGAUGGAAUGAUUUUGCAGAUAUAAUUUGUUGAAGGUGUUUUUCAAAGGGAACUCUUAGCAAAAUAGCAGAUCAUGAUAUAUUUAUAAAUUGAUUUUGACAUCUCAGUUUAGGCGUGUACGACCUUUGUGAGCAUUAUUUUGCUGGGAACUUAAAUUUCAAUUUAAUAUAGUUCAGGUAUUACAAUUUGGUAAAUUGGAUAAUAUUUUCAAGGGGAAGGAGAAUUAAAUUAGUUGAAACCGAUUUUUAUUGUUAGUGGUUUUUUGUAUGUGAGUGGAUGAGGUUGUCUCUCUAGCCUUGCUGCAUCUUUAGCUAGGAUUUUCUCAAAAAUCUUGUAUAUAUCCCUAAGGUUAUGGUGUUGUUCAUAGUAUUGACGCCAUAACCUCUAUACACUUUCAAACUGAAUAUGAUCAACAGCUUCUAGAGAAUGCAUAAAUGAAAUAUGGGUAUUUGAAUUUAUAGAGAUGUUCUAAGCUUCUGUUUUUUGCUUUUUCAUUUAUCUUUGCAAGCAGAUAAAUGUACCUGAGGUAUUGAUAUGUGUAAUAGCAUCCCAGAUUGCUAAUCUUGGUGAGAGCAUAAUUGGUGCUGCAUUCCAAGGGAAAGAAGGAUUUCGUUGGGUAAGGAAUCAUUUGAAUAAUAGGAUGGUUUCUGUCAUCCUGUUUUCUUAACCAUUUUUUCUUAAAUUUAGUGCCUAUGUAUCUUCUAGAUUUUAGUGUUACCGAUGAAUCAGGCUUGAUUCUAUAUGAAUGUAUGGUUUGAUGUGGUAUAUCGAUGAGAUGAUUACAUGUAUAUCAUUUUGUGGACUCUCAUCAUGUUUGGAUCUGGCUGCACUCCUAAAGCUGUAGUGAGGAAGAAUUAUAUACCCACUGUUUUGGGGUAAAGAAGAUCGAAGAGUAAAUUUAGAGAGAUCAGCCUGUUAUAAAACUGCCUGCUAAGGAUUAAUUCUAGUCUUAAUUUUCAUUCGAUGAAAUCACGGUAUUGUGCAUGUAAAAGGCUGUUAUGUUGGUCUGAUUCUUCUUUUUGCUUUGAAGUAUCCAUGUUCAACAUAUAGUCACACAAGAAAUAUGGAGAUAUGACCUUCAAGAUACAUGAUAAACUUUAGCACAAAUCUCUAUCAGACACUUACCUGAAUUUGAGCGAAAUAUCUGGGUUGGCCAUAUAUAAAUCUGCCUAGGAUCUAUCAUCUUAGCAUGUUUAUAUGCUUUUCAUUAUAAGGCUGAAACUUGGAUUCUUUUACCAUAUUGAUUUUGGUUUUCAUCUUGCAGCUGAACAAUGAUGCUGUUAAUGUCAUCAACAUAUCCAUAGGCUGCAUUUUGGCAGUCUUAAUGCAACAACUACUCCAAAACUGGCAAAUGUAAGUUCACCCCAUCAUCUCUUUUGCGAUGUCAGGUAAUUAUUGCAGAGUUCAUCGACACUGCAAUCGACAUAUUGCAAUGUGGGGAAAGAAAAGAAGAAGAAGAAAGAGAAAGUCUUCAAUGUAAUGCAAGAGAUGAGCACAAAGGUGCAACAAUUAUAGCAAUGAUUUUGCUAACCUUGAAAGAUACUCAAAUGAUAUGGAAAAUCAUUAGCAUAACCAUUUGUUCCAUGAGUAUAUUUUAAAAAGGCUUCUCUCUUUUAUAGUCUUGGUAUUCAAAGAUGUAUUCCUUUUAUCAAUCUCCAGUUAGAAAUGAAUUAGAUGCUUUUUAAAUUGCAUUUCUUAACCAAAAUUAUUGGCUUUUUUUUUAUUGUUGUUGAGCCGCACUGGAUUUAUGGGUGUAAUUGAAGCACAAGCUUGACUUGGAACUUUUAUGUUCAAAGUUCGGCCCGGGCCCAAGCUUGAGUUCAAUUAAGCCAUUUGUGAAUAUAUCAACCAAUUGUUCCUUUGUAAAGACAUGUCUAGUUUGGACUAAACCAUCUUGGAUUUUUUUUACAAGGUGAGAGUCAAUCUCUAUAUGUUUCGUUCUCUCGUAGUAUUCAGGGUUGGUUGCAAUCUGAAUUGCUGCUUGACUAUCAUAGAAUAAUAUGAUUGGUUCUACUCGUUUAAAUCCAAGUUCCUUCAGUAGUCCAGUCAACCAAACUAACUCAGCCAUAGUUCUAUACUUUGCCUUUGCUGAAGAUCGUGAUACUGCAUUUUGUUUUGUUUUGUUUUUUCCAAGAGAUGAGACUUAAAACUUCUGGAGGAUGGUCAGGAUGGGUGUUUGGUUUACAAGGUAAAGAAAACGGUGAAGGUGGAGUUUGUGAGGUUUUCUUUUUACCUUUCCCUUUGGAGGAGGAUGAAGGUUGGAUCAUGAAAUUUUCUGGAAGUUUUUCUGGUGGUCUAGAAAGAAUGUCUGCAAGAACAUUGGUUUUCCCUUUUAUGUGGAGGACAUUCUGUCACUAAUCGCUUUGACAUUGGACUUGAAGCCCAAUUCGAAUCACAAUAUGCUACAAGUUAUGGAGAACCAACUACAGCACAGAAUAAACCUUGUCCUGGAUCCUUUUUAAUGUAUCUGACUAUUCUAAGAGCAGCUUUAUAAUGCGACUUCUUGGGUCGUUGCAUAAACUGACUGGAUGUUGUACCACAAACGUCAUAUCUAGCCUUGUAUGAGUCAAGUACAAAAGCCUUCUAAUAAGCCUUUGAUAUAAUGAAACAUCUGUCAAUACCUCAUCAUCAUGAUUCAUUUGCACCAUCUCAUCUUACUGGAGAUGUCAAGUUUUGAUUUUGUUCUAAAGGAGUGACAACUAUCUUUCCUCCCCCUUACCUCGUGUCUGAAAUUAAUUCAAGAGCAUAUUUGCGUUGAUUCAGUACAAUUUCAAACUGUGAUCUUGUGAUUUCAAUGCCAAGAAAAUACUUUGAGAUCACCUAAAUCUUUCAUUUUGAAAUUUUGAUGCACAGUUCCUUUAAGCUCAUUUAUAAGCUUGGUAUCAUUUCCAGAAAUCAACAAAUCGUUAACAUAUAUCAACAUGACAACCAGCUUAUAACCUUUCUUCUUGAUAAAACGAGAAUAAUCGUACUUACUUUGUGAAUAACCAUUUAGAAGAAUAGCUUUAGUAAGCUUUAGAUUCCACUGUCAGACUUAGCAAUUGACAUACUCUAGUCUCUCUUUGAUUGCGAAAAUCGUCUGGAAGAGUCAUAUAAACCUUCUCAUGUAAAUCUCCUUGCAUUAUAGGCAUCCAUUUGAAACAAGGGCCAACCAAACUAUACAGCAAGAGCAAUGACCGUGCAAAUUGUGACUUGCUUCGCAACAGGGGAAAGUGUCAUGAAAAUAAAAAACCUGCCUGCUGAGUAUAACCCUUCCUAACAAGUCUGGCUUUAAAUCUUUCAACCGAGCCAUCAGAGCUGUACUUGACCUUGUAGACCCAUAUGCAACCAAUGGGCGUUUUACUAGGAGGUAAAGGAACUACCUCCCACGUGACAUUUGAUUCCAAUGCUUGAAUUUCUUGAUCCAUGGCCUUUAUCCAAUGUUUAUCCUUAAUUGCUUCACUUUAGGUUUAAGGUUCAAUAAUAUGGGAAAUGGAGGCAGCAAAAAAUUGUGUAUGCAAAGGUAAAUGAGCAUCAGCUAUACAAUUAGAUAUAGGGUACUAACCUUUAUGGAGUGAAGAAGAUAAAGAAGAGCAAUUUAAAUCUUUCAUCCAUGUAGGAUCCUUAAAAGAACGAGUAGUGCGAUGUAAAGACAGCUGGUAAGGUAGUAGACUACGAAGGUAAUAAGGACUGGUUGGGAAAUGGAGCUGAAGAACGACAAGGAGCUAAGGAUGAACAUUUCAAAUGGGAUUUUUCCAAUUCAAAGCUGAAGUAGGUAAUCUGUUAACAAUAUAACAAGCAGCAAGGAUACACUCGCCCCAAAAUUUGGUAGGUACAUUAGACUGAACUUUGAAAGCACAUGCUAUUUCUAACAAAUGUCGAUGCACACAAGAACUUUGAUGUAUUAUGCCUAAGAAGAAAAAAAAGGAGUAUAUUCAGAGUUAAAGAACUCAGUACUUAUGACUUCCAAAAGUUUUAACAACAGUUGAAAAUUGCGUGUGAACCAAGGCUAUAAACUGUUUCAAAAUGACAAUAGUGUCGGUUUUAAGCUUAAACAGAUGAACCAAAGAAAAAGGAGAAUCCGCUCGAGAAUAACUAAUAGGAAAUGGCAAUCGUGUUUGUUUAGUAAGAGGACGAACAUGGCAUGGACUAAUAUAGUCACUGUUCCAAAAUGAAAGAAACAUGGCCAAGUCCGGCAUGCCAAAGGAAAGACUGAUCAUGAGAUGUCAAAAAGGAAGAAAUGGGAGAAGAUACAAAAGAUGGCAAUUGAGGCUGUUGAUGCACCAGAAUGUAAAGAUCAUUCUGUUCUUUACCAAUCCCCUUCACUUGUCCACUGCAAAGUUGCCGUAAAAGGCAAAAAUCGGGAUAAAAGGAUACAAAACAAUGUAAGUCUCGAGUUAACUUGAAAACGAAAAUUAAAUUGAAAUGAAAGUCUGGGACAUGAAGGGCAUUGGUUAACUUGAUAGAGGAGGACAAGACAUAGGAACCCAUGUGAGUAAUAGGGACGGAUUUACCAGUGGGAAAUUGGACAAAUGAAGAAUGAAAAGUAAAAGGAACAAGAGAAUCCAAAUAUUGGCAAUCAGAUAUCAUGUGGUUGGUGGCCCUCGUCUCCAAAAUCCAUUGGAAAGAUGCAGGCCAAGAAACCAUACCUGCCAUGUGAGCAGCUACUCCAACAGUUGAAGUGAACUCAAGACUGAGUAAAUUCAAGAUCAGUAGAUACUGUGCCUGAAUAAACACAGGUGCAAAUACUAUGGUAGCAUUGUUAGUCAUAGUUGACCUUUGUUUUGUAAAUUUAAAAUCAACAGGAUACCCAAUAAGCUUCUAACAAGUUUCCCGUUUGUGACCUUUAAUCUUUCAAUGGUCACACACAUCUUUCAAUGGUCACAGAAUACAAUGUUGUAGGUUCAGAAGGAAAAGAUAUGCCAGAAGAAUGUUGUCUUUGAGCUUCCUCUUGAACAAGCACGGAAUUAGCUUAAUUAACAGAAGGUAAGGGUUCCAUUAACAAAACCUGACUUCCAACAACAGCAUAAGAAUCAUUCAGGCCCAUCAGAAACUGAAAUAACCACUGUUGUUGAAUAAGUUGUUGAUUCAUGCGGGAAUUUUCACAAGAAAAAGAACCAAAGCAUCGUAAUCCCACAAAAGCUUCAAUCGUGUAAACAAAACUGAAACAGAGUAAGUACCUUGAGCAUGGGAAGCAAUCUCACCAUGAAGAACCAUCGACUUUCUCAUAUCGUUCUUGAAGUUCUUUCCAUGUUGACAAAAAUAAACUGUGCGGUAUAAUUAUAUAAUUAACGUCGCUCAAAAUUAACAUAAAAUUUCAAUAUUUGUAAAUUCGAAUAAAGAAGGUGAAAUUCAAUUAUAUUACUUUAUAUACUCAGUGCUUUCUAUGUAAAUUAUUUUCAUUAUUUUAAAUAUAAAAUGUUUAUAUUAACAUGAUAAAAAAUAAAUUAAAUUAUAAAUUAAAUAAAAAAUAAAAUUCAGUUUUAGUUACAUUCAAAUACUCGAUUUUUGGGGUUUUCUGCGCCCUAAUAGUAGGAAAAGAAAAUUCUCAUCAAACCCUAAAGCCCAUAAAAGAAAAAGUGAGAAGUUUAGUUGAUCUAUCAGAAUCUCAAGCACUCACCCUUAAUUUGCAGUAAGUUGCGAGUCUGCAAUUCUUUAGACCCCUUUUCUCAAUUGAUUUUCUUCUUUAACCAAUCGUUUCUCUCGCGCUCUGUUUCUUUUAGGAUGGCCGAUGAACAUAUUUCCACAGUCCUGGAGCAGCUACGACGAAUCAUGGCCGACGAAAGAUUUCGGAACUCGGAGUUUCAGAUAAACUUGCUUGUAUGGAGACUCGAAGCUUUUCAAUCUAUGAUUCUUUAACAUGGGGACGGGCUAUUUUCGGUUCGGCUAUUGGAGCGUGGGAUUACUGUUCAUGCACUCGAUCAAGUGCUAUAUAACAUAGAAGAUGUAAUUAACGACGUCUUACAUUUAGGAGUAUCUACUGAAUUAGCAGCAGCAGGCCUUGAGAAGUUUGCUUCUACUCAAUCAAAAGCAGCAUCAGCAGAAACAGCCACUCUUUACAUCUUGCGCAAGAGGUUGGAAGAAUUGGAGGAGGUAUUGAUUGGUAAUCCGCAUGAAUCGCAUCCCUUGCACUCUAAACGAUCUUUUUUUGUAAAAUUGUCAAAGUUAUAUGGUCUAGAUGUGGUUAAGAAAGAUAUAAUAAAUGUAAUUUUGGGUGAAAGUUUCAGGGAUAGUAGCGACAGCAUUAAAACCAUCAUUAUUGUUGGCAUGGAAGGAACGGGGAAAACAUAUCUUGCGCGGUGCAUUUGUACUGAUUGUCAAGUUCUGGAAAUUUUUGACAACAUAAUUUGGGUGAAUGUUUCGGAUGAUUUUGAUUUAGGUAAAAUUGCAAGAAAAAUUAUUCUGUCUCUUGAAGGUUUGGAGCAUGACUCUUUGCGUCUCCUAACAUUAGUUCCAUUGCAAAGUCUGUUAGAUAGAAUUCAGCGAAAGAUUGUUAACAAGAAAUCACUUCUUGUUUUAGAUGGUGUGGGGAGAUAUGAUUGUGAUGAUUGGGAAGCACUUAGAGCUGUUUUUCAACAUGGCAUGUCGGGGAGUGGGAUUCUAGUGACUACUCAUGAGCACUCGGUUGCAGGAGCAAUGGAAUCAUCUUAUAAAUUUUGUUUGGGAAAGCUGUCUGAUGAGUUGUGUUGGAUGAUACUUCGUGAAGUUGGAUUGAAUGAUGAUACUCUUGAAUAUGCGGUAGAGGAUAUAGGAAGGGAACUUGCAAGGAGGUGUGAAGGACUACCCUUUGCUGCAAAGGUUUUGGGAGAUGCUAUACGACAUUAUGACUUUGGAAUAAGAGGAUGGGAUGUUUUUCUGAGAAAUUGUAUCUGGAAAUCUCCUAGAAUACCCAAAUAUAUGUCUAAAAUUCUAUCACUAUCUUAUUGCAAUCUACCUUUGUCUGUAAGACGGUGCUUAUCGUAUUGGGCUAUCUUCCCCAAAAGCUUUGAGAUUUCAAAAACUCUUUUGGUGCAACACUGGAUGGCACAAGGUUGUCUGUACUCAUCUGAUAAUUUAGAAAUGGAACUAAAAGGUGAAGAGUACUUUAAAUGCUUAGAAGCUCAUUCAUGUUUCCAAUAUUGUACCAGAGAUGGUGGUAUGCUUACUUGUAAGAUGCAUAGCUUAGUACAUGAUUGUGUCCAAUCUUUGUCCCCAUAUGAUUUAAUGAUGAGGUUCGAGUCUGUUAAACAGCUGACCUUGAAUUUAUCUUCUUGGACGGAGGAGGUCAAAGUUGUUGGCACUCAUCAUUUGGUAAUGAUGAUUGCUCAAGGAGCUGGUUUUCCCAUGGACAUUAGUGGUGCAGAGAAAUUGAGGACCCUUGUUGCUGUUACUCAAGGGUGUUUGAUAACUAGUCAAGCAUUAUCUAACUUAUUUAAACAAUCCAAACAUCUGAGGUUAUUGGAUUUGAGCUUGACUAGUGGGUGGCAUAAUUGUUUUGGGCCAUCCGGACAAGGUAAUAUACUAGAUGAAAUUCCGGUGGAAAUCUGCAGAUUGAUUAAUUUGAGGUACCUUAGCUUGGCUGGCAGCAAAGUAUUGAAGAUAUUACCAGAAACAUUGUGUGACUUGCAUAAUUUGCAAUCCUUGGAUCUUACUGGUUGUAGUAGUCUUAGAAAAUUGCCAGAUGGAAUGGGGAAAUUAAUGAACUUGAGGUAUUUUUAUACCUGGUGUUGCUCUAGUAUAACUUCCUAUCCAAAAGGGAUUAGCUGCUUAACUUCUCUUUGAGAAUUAACCAAUGUCAUUGCUAGAGCUGAUCACAAUGAUGCAAAGGAAUUCACUCUUGGAGAUUUUGAAAAGUUGAACAACCUUUGUGGACAUGUUCGUGUGAAACUGGUAGGGAAUGCGAUGGAUGCAGAUGAGGCUAUUAGAGCUAACCUUUGGAACAAGAAGGAUCUUGACCGUAUCAGAAUAAAUCUGGAUGGGGAUAUAGGGAAAGAAAGCCAAGACGUUAUAAAGAAAGCAUUAAACCCGCCUUCCGACUUGAAUAUAGAGUUCGUAGGUUGGUGGUUCUAGUCCAGAAAUGUAAGGAUGCUGCAAAGCAACAGGUAGUCUCUCUGUCUCAUUUUCUCUUUUGUUGUAGCUUUGAUGGUUCAAAUUCAGUAUUUACUCCUAUGAUUCAUUCAAACCCAAAUUUCAGUUGUGUUAUAGUAGUUCUAGUUUCUGUUGUUAUCAUCUGAUUAGAUGGAAUAUUAUGAAAUCUCUUAUAACAUUACAAUGACAAAGAUAUCGGCUUGUCUAUCACAUGAAAUUUCUCUCUUGCUAAAGCAUGCUCUGAAUGAAUCACUUUAAAACGGCAAGAUAACUUAGAUUAUCCUUAUUUUCUUUUGCUGGACAUACAUAUCCCGUGAGAGACAUUGUCGUUAUCGGUGGUACUGUAGUUAAAGUUGGAGUAUAUUUUUAGUAUUUUAGUUUUUAUAUUAGGAUUUAAUCAGUUAUUAAGAUGGAUUUUUUCUGGAAAAAACAUGGAUACUUUUUUCUAAAAUUUUUUAUUAACUCUUUUGAAAUUUGUUAAAUUUUUAAUUAUUUUUAUUAGUUUUUGAAUUUUUAUGAAUUAUAGGUAGGCUACCACACGAAUUGAUCACGUCAAUAUUGUUAAAAUUUUAAUAAUCUUUUUAAUUCAAAAGAAAGUAAUAUAACUAAAUUGUAAAGGUUAAGUGUAAAAGUCAAAAUGACAAAAUAAGUCAACAUUAAAAGAUUAAAUUUAUCACGAUGCCUUUUUUAUAUACUCAUAAUUAAUUAUAAUAAAAAGUUAACUUUAUUCAGAUAUAUUUGUUAUUUUAAAUAAAUAUUCAGAAUACAACUUGAAAAUAAUCUCAUGUUUAUAAUUAUAACACGAAAACUUUACUUACUAUAUAAUGGAAGAGUAUUUGGUAUAUUAACAGUGUGCCUUUUUUUAUUGCACAAGUAUGUGUAAAAGAUUGAUAUAUGUCUUUAUUUUUUAAUAUUUUAUUAUACUUUCUAAGACACUUGUCAAUCUUUUAACUUUGCUUAUAAAAUUUAAAAAUUCCACUAAUAAUCUCACCUAGCAAAAUGGAUUAAAAACAUUUAAAGUAAUUUAGUUGAAUUAUGAUAAAAGGUCAAUGUAUUCUAAAAUGCUAAAUGGCAUAAAUUUGAGUUUGUCAAAUUCUCUAGCAUUGGGAGGUAAGUCAAAUUGCAAACUAAGUUGAAUAUUUUUUGGCUUUUCAGUAAUCAUAUUCAUGCUAAUAUUUUUAGAUUUAAUUCUCACUUUCAAUAUUAAAAGAGGGUUCAAAUGCAACUUGGAGUCAACAUGAACAUGAUACUUUGAAAACCCUAAAGGGCACUUGCACUCUUGUUUUGGAGGUGAGGUUAAGAAGACCUACAACAAGUUUUAAUAGAAUUUGAUAUAGUUGAAAAAGAUUCAGAGGAAAAUGGUACCAAAAUCUACAGUCGUGGAAUACGAUGACUGUAUUAAAAUAUAUGAAAUUGGUUGAUGGUUUUAUUUAUUGUCUCUUAAUAUUUUAACUAAUCAAUUAAGUAGUAAUGAGAAGGACAUGACACUUAAUCAUUAUAGUUUCUAGUUAAAGUUUAGGAAGAUGCAUUGACAUCAAUUCACUAAUUUUUUAUGAAAAAUGUUUUUAACCGGUUCAUAUCCCCAAUACCAUUGAACGUUGAAUCAAAUGGUUUUGUUGAUUAGAGAAAGACACUAAGAAAUGUAGAGGAACAUGUAUGCGUAAGAGAGAAUUUGAGGCACAUUUAAUAAGUUAACUUUGGAAAUUUUAUAUGUGGAUAAUAGCAACGAAGAAAGAGACUGUUGAGAAUGAUCAAACUUGGAGCAUAUGUUUAGAUCCAUGUGGAGGUACCUAUUAGGUAAGUGAAACAAGCAAUUGAAAUGAUGGAGAGUUUAGUACACCGGUAUCGUACUAUGAUAAUUUAUGGUCAUUUUUAAUUAAUACAAGUCAAAAAUAAUAAUAUUUAAUAAACCUAAAAUUAAUGGGCAAAUAGUGAUGAGUUAUCCUAAAAUAGAAUUGAAGAGGAUAAGGUCCUACAAUUAAUAAUAAGAAAAGUGAAGACUCUUUGAAAAGAUUAAGGAUGUACUUUGAUUAAGAGUGGUUAUAAAAAAAAAAAUUGGGGGGAAGGGAUAGAGUGGAGUAAGGAAAGUGGUGUGAUUGCCCAUUAACAUAAGUAAGAAAUAUGCGAAUGAUUGCCCAUUAACAUAUAGAGUAGGUAAAAUUGACUUGUUUUUCUAGAAAGACAAUAGAUAAGCCUAAAAAGUUAUAAAAAGUAAUUGUUAAAAUAGUUAAAAUGAGAGGAAAAAAUAAGAUAUUUUUGUUUAUGAGAAUUAAGUGUCGUGAGUCGGGACGAAAAGAUUAAUCAUUGUUACGACAGUAAAUACCUUGAUUACAACGAAAAAGAUAAAAUACCAUUUUACUUUAUAGAAAAUUCUCAUGAUUUUAUAAAAUAUACCAUGAAUAUAUUAAAUCAUAUAAAAAGCGUAAUUCUAUAACUCAUACCUAAUUUAAAUACAGGAUGGUAUUUAGAAUGAUUAUAAGAAAAUGCUUGUUCAUGAAUGUUGUGAGUUUUCCGAAUCUUGGGGACAAUGUACCCUCUGGCUCCCGUCAGGAUUCACCUGGUAAUUUAUAAAAAGGAAUAAACAAUCACUUGGUAACUCACAACUCACAAGGCAUAAAAUAUAAUCACGUCAAGCAGCAAAACACAAACCUUUUUUAAUAUUCCAAUCUAAUACAAGUGAUAAUAUCAACUCUUAGAGCCCUAACUCUUAAAGUAUCAGCACAUAAUUUUAACCACUUACUUUUAAUAAAUACCACCAUCACUACCAUUAUCACCAUCGACAGAGCCUCUCAAUUCAUAUGUCCUGCAAAAAAUGGUGUCAACACUAACAAAAAAACCAAAAUUAUAUCAUUAAAAUAUAUUUGUAUUUCUUAAAAGGCAGAUCAUUCAGUUUUUCUGGACAAGUUUCCCUAUGCAAUCUAAUACAAGUGAUAAUAUCAACUCUUAGGGUCUGUUUGAUUGACGGAAUUGAUUUUCCGGAAAAUCAUUUCCAACUUUUCCAGCGUUUGAUUGGCGGAAAACAUUUUCCAUUUGGAAAAUGAACUCCAAAACAAGGGAAAAUGAGUUACAUUUUAGGGAAAAUGUCUUACUCUUUCAAUUUCUAUAAUUUUAGGCUUUUCCCACCUACCUCUAAUUACACAAAAUAUUUUCAGAUUUAAUUUACUAAUUUUGGCUUUUACAAGGUCAAGAUUUGACUAUCCCAUCAAAUGUCCCAAAUUUAUAAUUUGGUCCCUCUUCUCUUUUCCAUGCUUCAAUCUAACCCCUUCUUUGCUUGUUUUUGAUUUAAAGUGCCCGAAUUUUGUUCCUGUCAAUAUUUAAACACAAAACGCACCAAUUACCAGGGAUUAAUUUGAGAAUAAGUCGAGUUGAACACGUAAAUUAUGCAAAAUGAACAAGUUAUCAUUGACCAUUAGUGCUACGUCAGCACAAACAAACGGUGUUAGUGCAGAGAUACCAACCUAGGUGACAGAAUAUAAAUUCAGGUACCAAUUAGAUAAAAAAAAAUCAUACACCAAAUAAAUACUUUUGAAUAAGUUCGAAAAUAGACGACAAAUUAUCCUUUCUUUUCUCUUUUUAUCUACCUGUAAUAUUUGAAUAUGAAAAGAAGUUACACAACUUUUCAAUUUCAAUAGUAGUUAUUUAACUUUGCCUAGUUGAGUUUUACAUAAAAUUUCUUUCUUUCGUUGAACAUGCUCUCAAUGAAUCACUUCAAACCCCCAAGAUCCUAAUAUUUUGCAGAACAUAUCAAUUGAGAGGCUCUAUCGAUGGUGGUGGUGGUGUUAGAAUCCGUUUAUGCUGGUGGUAGCAUUUUGUAUUUUUUUUUAUCGUAUUUAUUAAAAAUAAGUGGUUAAAAUUACGUGUUGAAAAUUUAAGAUUUAGAGCAUAUCGCCACUCGUAUUAAAUUGUAAUAUAAGCAUCGAUUGUAAAAAGAAAAGUUUGUGUUUUGCUUGUACUGUCUCAUAAAAGACAUUAAGUAAUUUCGUUGUCGUGUUUAUAUUUUAUGCCUUAUGAGUUACCAAAUGGUUGUUCAUUCCUUUUUAUAAAUUACUAGCCGAAUCCUCUUCAGUGAAGGAGCUUGAAAAUUUUUUGGGAGGGUCGGAAUUAAAUUGUAUAUUUGUAUGAUGGUAAAAAUAGAAUUUUAUAAUUUUAAUAGCUUAUAUCUUUAUAAUUUUUAAAAGGUUAAAUCAAAAUUGUAUCAUUUUAAGAGGUCAAAGUAUAGUUUUACUAUUACUAAUUUAAAAUUUUAUAAAUUAUAAAGGGCCUAAAUUAAAAUUUACUAUUUUAAGGGGGCUAUGGCGCCUUGGGUCUCCACUACAUUAUGCCACUGAUCCUCAUGGAAGACAGAGGCUACCUUGACCCCCAAGAUUUAGAAAAUUGCCAUUUGACCUUUUUAAUUUUAUAAAAUUUUUAAUUUAGUUUAUUAAAAUUCUGUAAAUUUUCAUUAAACAAUUUUUAAAACUUUUAAUUAGAUCUCUCAAAUUCUUUUUGGAAAUUCUUAUUUUCUCAAUUAAUUUUUUAAUUAAACUAUUCAGAAUUUUUGAUAAUUCUCAUUAAACCUUUUUAAAAUUCUCGAAAUUUUAAUUAAAUUGGUAAAAUUUGAAAAAUUUUAGUGAAGGGAAUCCCUCCCACAUAUUGAUCAAGAAAGCUUUGAAAAAAUAUUAAUUAAUUAUAUGUUUGAGAGAUUAAUAAUGUACUAUUUGGCUCCCAACAAUAAUAAUUCACUCUUAAUUUUGCUUCUUUUCCCUUUUUCUUUUACUUGUUUUUGUGAAAGAUAUCAUAAUAUAUGUUUUAAAUAAUUAAUGUAAUAAUAGAAAUAUUAAAAAAUAUAGUUAAUAGUAACAAUAUUUUAUACAAGCACAAUGACUUAUUCAAUUCUCCAAUUUUACAAAAAGAGACCAAUAAGUGAUUAGAUGUAAUGACAGGUCACAUUGCAUUCCCAAAAGAACUGCCUAAGUUCGAACAUCAUAAGUAAUAUAAAAACUUAAACAAAGUCAUGUAACAACCCAUAUAUCAAGUAUCACCAAAUACCAUUUCAUUCUUAUUCCAUUGUUUAGUUUCUAUUUUCAAUCAACUGAAUAUCGUCCGAUGGAACUAUAGCAAAACGGGCUCAAAUACACGGGAAUAAGUUGGUCACACAAGUUGACAGUAUAUUAGGGCUGCUCAGACAAGUUGACAUUACAACAGAAUUGCUCACAUAAACUGAUAUUAUAUCAAGGUUAUUCAUCUGGGCUAAACCUUCAAUAUGUAUAACCCGAGAAUUUGAGACAAGCCCAAGAACUCAUCCUAUGUAAAAGGGGUGCCAAACCCUAGUGCAUAGUAGGGUAUGUUGCCGCCCCUUAGUGUUUUGAAUAAAGGGGAACUGUAGUAUCAUAUUAAAACAAUACUAUUUAAUUACUCAUUAUUCAAGUAAAACUUUUGUACUAUUUUCCUAAAAUAGGAUCUAUGAAAUGAUUUAAUUACACCUAUCGCUGUUAUUUUAUCAUAAAAUAGUGGUAAUUUGUUUAUAAGAAUAAAUUCUAUAUUCUGAAAAGCUCAAAGUUUUCGAUUUCUAUAUAGAGAAUUAACUUUCUCACUAAAAGUUCAUGAAAGAUUGGUUGAACUGGGCAAAAAAAUUGGUCGAAUUAGAUGCGAUUGAACUGGUUGAACUAAAAUAUUUUAAUAUAUUUUUAUUUUUUAUGAAUUUUUUAUGAUUUAUUUAAUUGAAUUAGACUAAUCAAUCAAACCAAUUGAAUCAAUUGGAUCAACAAACUAGUAACCUUAUUGGUUUGAUCAUCGAUUUAGUUUUUAAAACCUUAGAUUUCGUCAUACCGUUUCAAUUAUUAUACCUUAUAAAUAAAAUAUAAAGUAAACCAGUGGUGAAAUUAGGGGGAUUGGCAAGGGCCCUGGCCCUCCCUAAAAUGAUUUUUUUUUUCAUAUGGACCCUCUAAAAAAAUUAAAAUUUUAAAUUAAUAAAAAUAAAAUUAUACUUUGGCUCCCCUAAAAUAUAAAAAUUUGAUUUAAUCUAUUAAAAAUUAUAAAGAUGUAGUCUAUUAAAAUGGUGAAAUUGUAUUUUUCUAUCGUAAAAAUUACAAUUUAAUUUUAGCCCAUAAUUUUUUUUUUCUAAUUUCGCACCUGAAAUAAGCUAUAUUUGAUUAAAUUUAUUAUUUUACCUUACAUACAAAACACAAAAUAAACAUUUAACUAUACAAAAUUAAUUGAUGAAUUGUUUUACUCAGUUGAAAGUAGAACAAAUAAUUGAUCCAAGAGGAAAGUGAAAUUUAUCCUUUUAUACGUCGAACAUUAGCGAAAAGGACAAAAAAGAAAUUUUGGGUUAUUUGGCUUUUGUUUCCUGCUGCUCUCCUCAAUCCAUUGACGCUGUUUCACCCCCUUUCUCUCGAUUUCUCAAUGUUUCUUUUCCUGUAAUUUGUUGUGAUUUGAAGUAUAAAUCAGGGAGAAGUAAAAGCUAUCAUAAAAAUGGCGGAGGCAAUUCUUACGGUAGUCUUGCGACAGAUAACAACAAUCUUGAGUGACCAAGCGGUAAAAGAGAUGACGAUGUGGGGAGACCGCGAGGCUGCUCUCAAAAAUCUUGAAACAUAUCUGAAAUCCAUCCGAUCCGUUCUCAAAGAUGCAGAGGACCUUCAAAUUACAGACGAUGCAAUCAAACUGUUGCUAGAAGAUCUGAAAAUUGUAAUUUAUGAAAUCGAGGAUGUGUUGAAUUUAUGGAGCUGUAAAGUACGGAAGGCAGAAUCUGUUCGUGCCAAGGUAAAUUGUCUACUUGAAUUCAUUGCAUAUCGUCGUAGUUCUGAUAGAAUAAAGAAGAUUUGUGAAAAACUGAGUCCAUUUGAGCUGAAAAACAAGCUGGAUCUGGGCAAGAGUAAAAUUAUAUCUCCUCUGCGGAACAAAGAAAGUACUAGCUAUUGUGAUCUAUCAAAAAUUAUUGGUCGAAGCGGAAUAAAAACUGAGUUAGUGUUCCGUUUAGUUUNNNNNNNNNNNNNNNNNNNNNNNNNNNNNNNNNNNNNNNNNNNNNNNNNNNNNNNNNNNNNNNNNNNNNNNNNNNNNNNNNNNNNNNNNNNNNNNNNNNNNNNNNNNNNNNNNNNNNNNNNNNNNNNNNNNNNNNNNNNNNNNNNNNNNNNNNNNNNNNNNNNNNNNNNNNNNNNNNNNNNNNNNNNNNNNNNNNNNNNNNNNNNNNNNNNNNNNNNNNNNNNNNNNNNNNNNNNNNNNNNNNNNNNNNNNNNNNNNNNNNNNNNNNNNNNNNNNNNNNNNNNNNNNNNNNNNNNNNNNNNNNNNNNNNNNNNNNNNNNNNNNNNNNNNNNNNNNNNNNNNNNNNNNNNNNNNNNNNNNNNNNNNNNNNNNNNNNNNNNNNNNNNNNNNNNNNNNNNNNNNNNNNNNNNNNNNNNNNNNNNNNNNNNNNNNNNNNNNNNNNNNNNNNNNNNNNNNNNNNNNNNNNNNNNNNNNNNNNNNNNNNNNNNNNNNNNNNNNNNNGCAUCUUUCUAACACCAACAACAUUACUGCCAUCCUAAUAAACCAUAAGUACCAUUUCCACUCCAUCAUCAUCAUCAUCUUUCUGUUUUCACUUCUCUCUCAGCUAUAUGUUACUUUUUGUUAACUUCUAUAUGUAUAUAAUCUAAAGAAGCCUAAGCUUCUUAUUUAUAUACAAGCAGAACAUUUUGCAUCCCACUUAUUCAAUAUAAUAUAAAAAUAAUAUAUAAUUAAUUAAUUCCUCAAAAAUUGGAUCAAUCUAGGCUUCUUAUUUACGUAAAUUCCUUAUUGCAAAAACUCUUGGUAGAAAUUCGUUAGGAAAGGAUGAAUGGACCACAAGAAUGCUUAUCAACUCUUGACUUUGGCGUCCAAUGCUAAAUUUAUUUUAAAAUUUCUUCAUGGAGACAAGAUGGGAUGACAAGAAUGAUAAGUUUUAAGUCAUUUAAGUUUACACAAUUUUAAUCACUCAUAAAAACAAGUAUUGACAUUCUAUUAAAGAAUUUAAACAUGGCUUAACGUUGAUUUUAAAUCUAAUGUUGAUGUUAAUCUUGAAAAAAGAAUGGCCAAAAAAAAUAUGAAAAGUGAGAGGUGGACAUAAAAUAGUGUAGUUGGGGUUAUAAAAUUCUUCAUGUAGACAUAAUAUUUUUUUUAUGCCUUUUUUACACUUAUAUAGAGUUAGUCUUGACUUUGCUUUAUUAAUAGAAAUUUUAGGUCUUCAUUUUUUGUUUUAUUCAUGGACAUAAUAUUUUCUUAUUUUUAUUUUAUGGUCUAUGAUCGAGGUUUAUGACUAUCCCCUUUCAACAACGUCGUCUCAACUGUUCAAACAUACACUUGCAGGUAAAAUAAUACUUUUUAAAAUCACAAAUAUUUAAAAUAAUACAUUGCAGCUAUAUAAAUGCUUUCUUGUUUAAGAUACUAAUAAAGUAAUUAACAAAGUAAUUAUUAUACCUAUAAUAAUUCAAAAUGCCACUUGUUAUCUAAUGAAGUAUAGGGGUGUAAAUGAGACAUCCGUACCCGCAAGCUAUUCGAAUUUGGCUCAAAAAAUUUUGAAAUUGAUUCGGUAAUUAUUGAGCCGAGCUAUAGGUCGAUCCGGAUUCGAGCUUAGUAAUACUUGACUCGAGUAGUUUGAGAGCCUUAUUGAACUUUUUAUAUUUUUAUAUUAUUAGAUUACAUUAUUGCUAUUAAUAUAUAUUAUUAACCCUAAGUUUAAUUAUUGAGGCGAGCUCAAACUCGAGUACAAAAAUUGAUAAACAUAUUUAAUUUCGAGCUUAAAAAUAUAUGUUCGAUCGAGCAUCAAGCUUUGAAUUUCAAAUUAAACUUGAGUUUAACAGUAUUGAGUUCAAAUAGAUUCAAUUACACCCUACAAUAAAAUAUACCAACAAAACCUACAUUCCAUCUUUGCUAUAAAUUUUAUGUAUGUGUGUGUUUAACGUGAGUUCCAUCUAUGUCCAACUUGAUGACGAUGAAAGUUCCUAUGGUGUAAAAAGUUUUAGUUAUGUGGAAAAAUAAGGCCUUCUCUUCACACGUUUAAUAUGCUUACUUGUGUCGGUCAUUUCGAUCUUCACAUCAAUUUUCAAAAAGUUGGAAAACUUAUGUCUGCUUUUAUGAUUCUUUUAUGUGUGUGUUUAACGUGACUUCCUUGUGAGUUCCAUCUAUGUCCAACUUGAUGACAAUGAAAGUUCCUAUGGUGUAAAAAGUUUUAGUUAUGUGGAAAAUUGGUGGAAAACUUACGUCUUUUUCACUUGCUUUUAUGAUUCUUUUUACAUGAUAUUACUAUAUAAUUAAAUUGAAAUACUGAUAAAUUUGAACCCAUAUGAUGUAAGUCUAGGCAUCAUCUAAUUUAUUGAUAUUUAAUUAAUUAAUAUAUAUACUUUCAAUUAUAAGAAUUGAAACAUAACUUUCAAGUCAAUUGGAGUAUGCCCCUGUUACACGUCAAAAGAAGUAGAUUUUGAACUCAACAUGAACCUGUGAGAUUUGAUGCCUAAAAUAUAGGUAUAAGGUUUCAAUUCAUGGAAAUGUUGGAAAUCUUGGAAAUUUCUUAGUCUCCUCUCUUUGGAUGUUUUUGAACAAAAAUGUUUUAAGUCUCUUCCGAUGCUAAACUUCUGAUUGGUCGUCGGUUCACUGACCCUUUGGUACACAGCAAUAUGAAGCAUUGGCCAUUCAAGGCCAUUGCUGGUCCUGGUGAUAAGCCAAUGAUUGUACUACUAUAGAUUUGAAUAUUUGUACACAUUUGAUCGGCUCUUCGUAAAUUUAAAUCUUACAAAUUCGGAUAAUAUUUGAACUUUGAAUGUAUGUUUUGUUGGUGAGAAUAUAAAGUUGAUAAAGAUUUGGUAAAUAGAGUAAAAUAUUAUUUUUAUUAGAAAAAUUAUUUGGUACACUGCCAAUCGAGGUAAUUAAAACAUGUCAUUAUAAAUAAUAAAAUUAUGAUGACUCAAAUAUACGAACACGUCAAAAUUUAUGUACAACGAAUUAUUAACAUGUAAAUGUAUAAUACGGUACGCAAAAAUAAGAUAAUUGCUUGUUUUUUUAAUUGAAUUGUUAUAACAUAUUAUACAAAAUACAUUGUGACUUAAAGCAUAAAAUGAACUUGAUAUCAAAAUAUUAAAUUUUUUUUAAAAUUCAAUGAUACGAAUAAUUAUGUAAAAUAUAACAUGAUGCAAAAUAUCUUGAGAGGAAAAGAGGAAUAAAGAAUUGCAUUAUUUGUGAGGUUUUAAAAUAUUCCAGUUUUAGAUUCAAUUUUCUAGUAUGUUUGGUUUAAUUUUACAUUAGAUUUCCUUUUCAGUAUGCACUAGUGAACGCUUAGCAGUCAGUUUAAUUUAAUUCAAAGAGAUAUUGCAUAUACAUAAUAAUGGAUUAUGAUUUUACAUUAAAUUUCAUAGAAGAAAAAGAAAUAGAUGGUUGAAAAUGAUAAAACCAUAAGAUAAAAGAGCUUUUAUUCAAAAUGCAAAAAUCAACAAAAUAUUCAUUAUCGCUCAACUUAGCAUAAUUAAACAUUUAGGUGUGGAAACAAGUCACAAUUUGAGUAGCUAAACACAUUGCUUGAAAAUGUGAUAAGUAAGAAAAUUGCCCACAUUUGAGUAGCGACAUGUGGUGAAGCAUUUCCCAACGAGAGAAAACUAAGCUCUUCACCAGUAUGGAUUUAUGUAGAGGACAACAAAAAUUGUCAACAACACAACUACAUAAGAAACCAAAAAGCUCACAAAAAAAUCAUAAGUAUCUAUCAAACCAUCUUCUCCUUUAUCUUCUGAUACAAUUGAUAUCGCUGAUGGUGAAUCGGUUUUGGAACAACUUUUAUGCAAUAUAUCUCCACAACGAAAAGGAUUUCCCUCAUAACUGUUUUCAAUAAAGGUCCCAAAUUGAGCUUUUGGUUCGGGAAUACUACCUGACAAAUUGUUAUAUGCCACGCUGAAAACCUCCAAAGAGUUCAACUCUACCAAUUGAUUGGGGAUUUCACCACACUCAAGUUGUUGUAAGAAAGGUCCAAACUCUCAAUGUGCUGAAGUUUUGAGAAUGAUGAGGGUAUAACUCUGGUCAACUUAUUGUGUGACAAGUUUAAAGAAUGGAUUUCACUCAAGUUCCCUAAUUUUGGUGGGAUAUGACCAGUUAAGUUUUUGCAAGAUAAAUCAAUCCCAAUAAUAUAUGAAAGGAUGUUGCCCUUGUACGAAUAGAACCCACUCUUUGUUGUGAACUCUAUUACUUCUUCUAAGUAGCUGUCAGGGUUGUAAGGAUUUAUACCCCUUUCCCAUUUUCUCAUCACAAUGGAUGUUGAUUCAUCCUUUUCUAUAAAUGGAAGAUAGAACCCAGUUGCUAGACUCUCUUUCUCUUUCAGUGGAAGAGAUAAAUUUCCCAAACAAGAAGGUAUAGGACUAGAAAACAUAUUUUGAGAAAGAUCUAUGAUGCUUAAAGAAUGCAACUUGCAUAACUCAAUAGGAACUUUAUCAUGAAAAUGAUUAUCUUUCAGGAGAAGAACACUCAAAGAAGAAAGCGUGUAAAUCCAUUUUGGAAUACUACCUGUCAAAUUGUUUCCUCUAAGAUCUAAAGUCACUAUUGAAGAGUUAUUAUAAAAAAGCAAGUGAUAGUGUGCCUCUCAGUCUAUUCCCGUGGAGGUGGACAUGCUCUAUGUAUGGUGGAUUAAAACAUGACGGUAUAGAGCCAGAUAAAUUAUUUUGAGAAAGAUCCAAAAAUUCCAACCUAUUCAACUUUCAAAAUUCCAUUGGAAUAGAACCUUCAAAACCAUUGUUGGACAAAUUUAAUCUCCACAAAAAUGAUGCAUUCCCUAUCCAUCUUGGGAGCUUUCCAUGCAACUUGUUACUGAGAUCAAUUUCGCUUAGUGAAUUUGGAAACUCAAAAAGAAAUGUUCACACAAAGUUUUUUCCAACAUAUGUCUGUCAUUUGUGGGGUCUUGAAUUUAAUAUCAAUGGUUGAAUUUUCAUAGCUAAUAUGUGCGCAAAAGGCCUAGUGGGUGGAAUUUUAUGUCAGGAAAGCGUUUCUACAAUGACAUAAUUAAUUGCAUUACUUUUCAAAGAUUGACUAUUGACUUUGGUGAGCUUAUUAGGUUAAAUUCUGCUGCUGGUCACUGUUCUUUGUGAAAGUUGUAAAUUUAGUCUAUUUACUUCAAUUUGAUCAAUUUUAAUCCCUAUACAUUUUGAUUUUUAAAAUUUUAGUUGUGACCCAAACAAUAGAGUUAAAUCAAUUUAAUUAAAACCAAUUACUAGUCCUAUAUUAUGUGUACAAUUGUUGAUUUAGUCCAUACUCUCCAAUUGGAUCAUUCUAAGUACCUAUAUUUUUCAAAUUUUAAAAUUUCAGUCUUGAUGCAAAUGACAAUCCUUAGUCCGUUAACUAGAUUUUUAGUAACAUAUGAAAAUAAUAAGAUGAUAUGACAUUACAAAUAUGAUAAUAUUUUUGCGUUAAAUAUGUCAACAAUGACAUAAUUAAUUGCAUUAACUUUCAGACGUUGACCAUUGACUUUUGCUUCAACCUUGAGCUUAUAUAGCCCCUACAAUAAUUUAGGUUAUGGAAAUAAUCUUACAAUUAAUGCCUGAGAAAUUAUUAUAGAUCAAUUUAUAGUUUUAAUCCCUAUAAUUACUCAAUUGAAUUGAAGAUUCAGAUUUUCUUAUUUAAUUUGAUAUAUUUUCUUCUCUUAUUAAUGUUAAUGUUAUGGAUUAGUUUUUUUAAGACAACAUUAUUUUAUUCAAUGAAUAAUAUCAUACAAUUCGAGGAGAAAAUAACAAACACUCGUUGUACUCGUUAAAGGACAAGUUCCAUCAACACAACAAAACCUUUAACUUCAACAUUAAUAGAACAUUAUGGCAUGUUGAAAUCGGCUCUGUCACAACUCAAGCACAACAUAUCAGGAGUGAUUACAAGCACUUAAUAUGGUAAGAAAAUUAACCCCGGAUGGUCCAAAGCGGUGGGCAUAAAUCAGCAAAAGAACUGAGCAUCCACCAAACUAGAGGGGAUGCGGCGACAAAACUAACCCUAAAAUUACUCUCAAAAGCAAGACUAAAAAGCGUACUACAAGAGUAGACAAAAACUUCGAAAAGUAAAGACUUAUUAAACAAUGGAAAAAUAAACAAAAAAAACAUAUAAAACUUAAGAUAACAUGAGUCUAAACCGAGUCAUGAAAUUAUUUAUUAUUUUGAAACUCUCAAAACAUAAACAAAUUAAGAAGUCAACGAAGAGGUACCCACUUUCUAAAAGAAAGUGUUGGUGGUCGGUGGUGUUUCAAUGAUGAUAGGCAUUGUCACCUGUUCAUCACAACUUGUAAAGAUAACAAAAAUACCCACAAAAUAAAUCUGUAAAUUGAAAAGAACGAAGACUCAUGGAGUGAAUGAGAAGAAGAAAAAUAAAAAGGGUUAAUAGAGACAAAGCAGGGCGGUAACUAGUUCAGAGGCUAACACCGCUGCUAGGCUAAAAAAAGAAGAAGAAGCAAACAUGUUAUGGAUUAGUUAAAAUAACUAACAUCAUUGAAAAUUUCAUUACUUGGCUGAUUUGGAUUUUUUUUUUUAAAAAAUUGAAACUAGAAACCAUAAAUGAUCUAACAUUUAGAAACCAUAAAUUGGGUUCAAUUGCUUUGCUGUCCAACUCCAUCCAUCUAAAAUCGCAAGGAUGUACCCAUGUUCAAUAUGCAGUACAGACCCAAAAAUUGACCAUAUAAUGUGGCUCAAGAGAAUUUUCGAAUGGUUUUAAAGAAUUAUGAGAACACAAUGAAUAAAGUUAAGGCAUCAUUUAUUCAGCUUGCUAUAAUGCAGGUCAUUCCAAUAAAGAAGCAUUUUUUAACUAUAUUUUCCGUUACCCCAAUAACAAUGGCACAGAAUGUUCUCCGAUGAACAUAGAACUCACCAUUUUUAGGAACACGUGUAGUUGAGGAUGAGAAUUCGGAUCAACUGUAACUUCAAAUGGUGGAAUGAAAACAUUGUCCAGAAUAUUCUGAAAAGAUUUUUCAAUUCCCAUUUGCUUGUACACAUUAUACAAUCGUGGUGACUGCAGAAUUAAGUCAAAAUCAAGUGAAGAAGGUUACCUUUGACUUGAGAAAUAUAUCACAGAGAGAGAGAAAGAGAAAACAGUAAUCUGGAAAGAUGAUGCUUAAUAUGGACAUGAUACCCUAGAAACCGAUCGAUCUUAAAUUUUAAUUUCUAAAAUAUUAUUAGCUUGUGCAUACUUUCAAAUACUUUUCAUUAGAGUUACCAUAAGACUAAUUUUUCCAAUUUUAGAUGAUUCAAGAAACUAUUUGGGGGCAAUUCUUAAAUAAACAUGUCCAAACAGUAGUCAUUAACAAGAAAGCAUCCAAGAAAACCAGCAGUUAAUACUUAAAUUAACAUUAUCAAAUGGAGAUGUAAAGAAGAAAGAAUCCUACUGCAAAGCUAGAUAGCAGGAGAAUCACUAGAAUGAAGAGAAAUACUAUUGGCACUAUACCUGGAUUAACCAAACAGUAGUCUCACUAUAAAUUUCAUUGUUAAUAAACCAACUUGCCAAACUGGUCCCAUUCACUUUGUUUCCUUCCAUAUAUGGACACCCUGUACUCUGCCAUCUAGAAAAUAUAUAUAUUAUUCAGUGUAGUCAGAGGCGCAAGGAGCACUCUAGGUGCUAGAAUCCUUUUAUUGUACAAGGCACAUGGCGCACAAAAAAAAAAAAAAACUUGCUUAUGUUAAGGCACAUGUAUGCGUGUUUUGGUAUGUCCAUGUCUGUAUAUAUAUAAGCCGAAGAUAUAUAAUUAUAAUAAUAAACUAUAAAAGUGCUCCAGUCUGAAGUACAGAACAUGCCAAAUUUUCUUUCUUUUGUCAACCAUAUGCAUAUUUCCAUAUGAUGCCAUGCCUGGUGUUGAAUACUCAAAUAUUGAGAAGUUGAGAGUUCGAUAUUAUCCCUUUGUUACAAUUAAGAAACAAUUAAAGAGAUAGUAAAGAGAACUUCAAUUAGAAGGCCUUUUCCCCCUACAUGCACCAGGCAGGCGCUUAGCCUGAAAAGGUCAAAGGCCCUUUUACUGUCUGGUGAUAAGGCAAAAAACAUUGGACAAAGUUGGUGGGAGGAUAGAAUACUAAAAGAGCCCAAUGUUGUCACUUUUCUAAAGUAAGCUCAUAUGCCUUUUUUGUACCCAAACAAUAUCUUACCCUUUAAUUUGUACCUAAAGAAAUUAUUUCUAAUAGAAAGUUUACUUUUGUUAUGAUCAAUGCUGGAGGCCAAAACUGAUUUGGGCUAAGGAAUUGGUGGUGAGAGUUGGAAGGCAAGAAGAAAGAAAGUUCUUUUGAGUGUUAUAUUUUUCAAAAAAUACAAAUUGUUCAUUUUUUUUACCACAUCAUCAUGCCAGGUCAGCUUCCAUGUGGAUAAAGAAAAUUUUGGCGGCAUUGAAACAGAGGCUUCAUGGGCUUUUAGUAAUUUAGCCCUUGGAAGGAAUAUGACCAUCCAAAAAAAGGCAGUUGAUGCUUUAAGGUCAAUUAGCCGAAACAAUAACAACAAUUCCUAGGCUUCAAUAAAAUAAUUUAGACAACAAAUAAAGCUUGAAGGUUGAGUUUUGCACUGCAGCAGCAUUGGGCUUUACAAGGUGAAAACCCACAUUGCACAAAAAUAUCAAAGUUUCAGAUCUAUCAUAAUUUAAAAUUCUAACUAAACUAAACGCCAAGAAUGCUGAAUGCCUAAUCAAAAAACAUAAGAUUAACCCAAGGACCUAAUUGGGUAUGCUAAAAUUUGUCUUGGAAUGAAAUUAAUAAUAUCCUUACUAUUUCACUUUUUUUUUCUUCAUAUGUUUGGUGUGAGCAUGAUACAGAUUAGACUGAUUUUAAAGUAAAAGUAAAACGAUACCAAACCUAAACAUUUUGGUUUUUUUUUAAUUUUUUAUCAGAGCCCUGUUUGAUGCAUUUUUAGUUUUGUUUUCUAAUAACAAAUGGAAAGUUAAUUAAAAAAAAACCCUAAUCCAAUGAGUUCUUUUAUAGAUAUAAGAUAAGUCCUGCAAAGUUUUUGUUUUUUAGAAAUAAAAUUUUAUUUUUGUUUUUUAAUUCUUCAUACCUAUUUUAAUAUCUAAGUUCCGGAUUCCUAACUGCCCUUUCAAUUAUAUAGUAUUCAAGAUUUGAACUUAUAUUUUUCUAUAAAAAUAUAAUGUAUUUUAUUAUUGUAUCCUACAUUCAUUAAUACUUAGUAGAAAUAACCUAAUAAAAUGAUUUUUUUCAUAUAUUAAUAGAGAUAAGAUUCGUGCAAAAUUGUUGGUUGAAAAUUCAUUAGGAAAGGAUGAUUGUACGAAUGUACCAUCAUUAUAAGUGAGCUCAACGAUAAGCCUCCUAUCAAUCACCAGUGUGCAGAAAACAUUUGAAAUCGAAACACCCGUUCAUACAUCAUACAUCAUCAUAAGUGAGCUCAACGAUAAGCCUCCAAUCAAUCACCAGUCUACAGAAAACAUUUGAAAUCGAAACACCCCGGACAUCUCCAACAAAUCUGCCAUAACGUUAGCAUCUCUUCCAUUUUUUCUAAACAAAACCUCACUAAGCUCAUCAAAUGUGCCAAUAUUUCCAAGGCCUAGAUUUCUCAUUGAUACACCAAGAAAGCUCGACUAUGGAGUCGGAUUCAACCAUAAGCUUUCAGUCUAUAAUCCACUAGGAAUCCAAAAAGAAACACUCUCGAACACCUAAAGAACCUGAAACAUAGCAAUGACAUGACCCUUUGAAUUUCUAAGAACCUCACCUCACCACGUCGAGCUAAGAUUACCUAAUGUCGAACCUUCACGGUUAAACUUUUACCAGCCUUCACCUUACUCUUGAUAUGAUGAUUAUGGAUACUCCCUUCACAAUCCCACAAACACUCCCACCAAAUUGACUCAACAAAAUUUGCACCUAUAGGUUUUCUGUUUAUAUUUGAUUUUGUUCACACAUUGCCUAAAACUACUCAUGAUCCCUCUCCAACCUAUAAAUACGAGGAUAAUGCGCUUCAACGCGCUCAAACCCACGUCCUCCUACAUUAGCAACAAUACUCAUGUCAAUCGAGUUAAAACACAAUCAAUAGAUUUUUUUUAAAAAAAAUCUUUAAAUGUUAUAUUAUUAUAUAAGAAUUUGAAACAUGACUUCCGUAGGUUUUAAAUCUAAUGUUGACACUAAUCUUGAAUAAGUCAUUCCACUCCCAUCUUAACUAAUGGCCAAAGAGAUAUCAAAAGUGGGAGAUGGCCAUAAAAUUGUGUAGUUUGGGUUAUAAAAUUUUUGGGCAAACUACAUAUAUUAUCAUUUAAUUAUAUAUUUUUUUCAAUUUAAACACUUAAAGUAAAAAAUUUAUAAUUUAAGCACCCACAUUAUAUAGUUUAGUUAUUUUGAUCACUCCAGUUAAAAUAAAAAAUGGCAAACUGAAGCGACAAUUAAAAAAAUGUAUAAUAACAAAUUUAACCCUCAAAUUUUAUAUAUUAUAUCAAUUACAUAUUACAACUAAUUUUAUAAUUAUUGAUAUUGAAUAUGUCCCUCACUACGUUAGGGAUUUUUUUUAUAAUUUGUAUUUAAUUAAUAUUUAAAAUUAAUUUCAAAAUAUGUGAAAAUUUUAUAAUUAUUUGGUGUUAGUCCCUUUAUUAUACCCAAAUUUAGGAUUAAGCCCCUAUAUUUUAAUUUUGACAUAAUUUGUUUCUUUCACUUUUAUAAUCUCAUUAAUUAUUUCAAGUAACUAACACUUUUAACAAUAUUGCCAAAUAAAAUAAUGUCAUAUUUUUUUUUCUUAAAGCCAUCACUUCUAACUAAAUCAUGACUUAAUCACUUUCUAAUUAAUCAUACUAACUUAGAUUUUUCUUUUGUUGGAAUCAGUACGUUUAAGGAAAACCCACCUUAACAUUUGUAGAUGUCUUCAACAAUUUCCUAAGCACGAUACAAUAAAGCUUGGUGUGUAUAAUUUUGUUUUAUGGAAGCUCCAAAUUAUGUUGAUUCUUGAAUGAUACGGUCUGCAUGGGUUUGUUUUGGGUGCUAUUAGUGUACUAGCACAGUUUGUAGAGGAUAAAUAUGGGAGAUUAGUAGAAAAUUCUGAUUAUGUUUUACAUGUGCAACAAGAUAAGCUAUUGGCUUCUUGGUUACUUUCAACUGUUAGUGAUGAAAUCCUAGCCUAUCUUACUAGUGCUCGUACUAGUUAUUAUAUGUGGGAAACUAUUGAAAAGAAGGGUUGCGACUAAGUCCACGGUAAAAUUGUCCAGUCAUGUGUUGUAUUCACAGAAAAAGGGUCAUUUGUUUGUUAAAGAAUAUUUGUCUAAGAUCAAGUCCAUGUGUGAUAUGUUGGUUGCAACGGGUUGUUUGAUUUCAAAUCAAGAAAUGGUUAGCAUCAUUCUUGCAAGGUUGCCAGUUGAGUGUGAAUCAGUACGGGUAGUAGCUUCAGCUACUGGUGUGUCACUUGAUCUGUUGAUUGAGAUGCUGCUUGAUUGUGAAGCUCGAAAAUUGAGUUCUUGAAUAGUGUUCUCGUACAACCUAACAUAGCUAGUAAACAAGAUUGUGAUGAGGGUGAUCGGACCAAGGGUUCUGAUUAUAACAGUGGCUAUCAAGGGAACAAACAGACAUAUAUAGGUGGUUUUCAAUGCAAUAGAGGUUCCAUCGAGGUUGAGGCCGUGAGGGUUGUUUUUCUAACAAUCGGCCCCAAUGCCAGUUGUGUGGUAAAAUUGGACACAUUGUCCAAAAGUGUUAUUACCGUUUUGAUGAAAAGUUUUGCAGGUAUUGCUAGGAUGGUAAUAUGGUAUAGUGGGCUGCAUCUUGAUUGUUUGUUUCUCAUGCUGAGGCUAUAAUUUUAAUCAUACCUAUUAUUGUUUCUUGUGUCCUGCAAUUUCAUCAUUUGCAGGCUGUUUCACUAAUUGCAUCCUAUUUACAAGUUCCCUUGUGUUAUCCUCUGCGCUUGGGUGGUUCUCGCUCAUAUAUUAAUGACCAUGCGUCUUCAAUAGACCAUGCAUCUUCUGAUUUGUCAUUGGAUACAACACUUUCAGCAAAUGUAAAGCCGGUAGAAUUUCCGCUGUUUUUAGAAGGUCAAGACACGACAAGAGCAGCAUAUGCUGUGUUCUUGUUAAACAAGGUAAGCUUUUGCAUAUUAGUAAUUUUUUUUUCCAAGAUGAAUUAUUCUCCUUUGGCAUUUUAUAUUAUAUAAUUAGUCACUACAAAACAUAAAUAAAUAAUAAUACUCCAUUUUUACAAUAAAAAUUCACUAAAGAAAAUACAUUUGAAGUCUAUCAUUGCUUUUUCGAAUAAGAGUCGGUCAAGAAAGUUAUGCGCAAAUACUUAUAUCUUUAUUUCAGAUGCUUUCAAUUCUAUUGUCACUUAAAUCCAAGUACUUUAAAUUUGUCAAAUUAUUCAAUUUUGAAAUUCAAUCCCAAAUAUUGAUCAAUUAUAUAUAUUCAUGAUAUGAUAAAAGCAAAGACAUCUUUCAACAUUAACUUUCCCUUAAACAAAAAUUGGUUUUAAAGUAAAAAAGAAACAUAUAAAACCAGUCUAGCUUGAAUAUGAAUCAAUAUAUAAACACUAUACUUAUACCUUGGUUUGAGAUGCUUUCAAUAUUGUUGUCGCUUAAAUACAAGUAUUUCAAGUUUGUCAAAUUAUUCAAUCCCAAAUAUUGGUUAGUUAUAUAUGAUAUGAUAAAAUCAAACUUGAACAUACAUUGAUUUUUAAAGUUGAAAAUUACUUGUUAAUUUUUUUUCUUUCUUACCUAUAUGAAAAUUUUACUAAAGUAAAAGUUGAAUUACAACGGAUAAAAAGAAUGGAAAACUAGGUACCAAGCCUAGAAGACCAUCCUCAAACUCCACUAUACAAAUAAAAACUACUCAAACUCCACUAUACAAAUAAAAACUAACACCGGACCAAACUUAAUUUACCUCUUAGAUGACUUGAUCCUUCAAACUGGUUGUAUGAUAGAUCUAAAUACCGGAGAGAUGAAAGCUCACUCAAAGAUAACAAAAUGCUAUCAUUCAAGUAAUUGUAACUUAAGUCAAGGAUCUCCAAAUUACUCAAUGUGAAUGAUAGCUUUCCAAAGCCUGUAGAAGUGUUCUUUUAAACAUAUACAAGCAGUUAGUGACUUUUCUUCCAUAAAAUAAAAUAUAAGUAAUUGUAAAUUAACAAUGGUGAGAAUAGUGGAAUAGUAAAAGAUAUAAUUAAGGAAAAAAAAUAAAGGCACGACCUUCAUUUUCAAGGUUACCACCUAUGGCAUUUCCCGACAAAUAAAGUCUCUUCAAUUCCUCAAAAGGAAGAAACAUAGAGGCAUUGAGAUACCAGACAAUGAGAUUCCUAUUAUCCAUGCCGUAUUCCCAAUUGUCUUCCCAUUUUGUAGAAAUAAGGGAGAGUUGUAUGAGUCUCCUAGUGGUGGUGUUACACUCAAAUCCUUCCCAUUUACAACAAUCUGAACCCUUCACCUCAACCCAACUUUGCAAUGGAUUACGAUAAACGAAGAAAGGCUUGAGAUGCAAGAGAGCGAUUCUCUCAUGCUCCAAACAAGCAUCAGUAGUACACCAUCUGCAUCCUUCUAACACCAACAACAUUAUUGCCAUCCUAAUAAACUAUAACCAUUUCCACUCCAUCAUCAUCAUCUCUCUGUUUUGUAUACAUAUGGACUACAAUUCAAGUUUCAUGCUUAUAAUUAUACCAAAUCAAAGUUCAUGUAUCAAAUUGCACAUUAAAUCAAAAUUUAUGUAUACAUUUGAUAUUUAUCUCAUUUAUGGGAGAUUAACUUUCUAAUGGUAUUGUUUUGUUUACAUUAAUCCAAAUAAUAGGAAAUGAUGAAUUAGUUUAACGCAAAUUGUAAUUCUAUUAAUGUUUCUUCUCAAACUUUUGGUUGCUCUUAUUUACAUGUUUUAUUAAUUGAUAGAUUUAAAUUCUUGGAAUAUAUUCGGUUAGAAUGAAGUGCCCCGAAUCCUUAUUUAAAUAAAAUACAGUGUUAAAAUAAAAGAAAAGUAAAAUCCCUACAGAAUUAUACUUCUUUUAUUUUAUUUUAGAAUAAGGCUUUUUAAAUCUUAUUAAACUCCAUCUAUUUGAUAUUGAUUAGAAUAAAGAGUUUCACUCCUAUUAGAAUAAAGUUUUACAAGCCUAUAAAUAGACAUAGUCUACUCCUCUUGUAAUUAAUUCAAAUUCGACAUAGUGAAUUUUCUUCUCCUCUGCCCGUGGUUUUUUCCCGAAAGGGUUUCCACGUAAAAUUUGUGUGUUCUUUAUUUUUCUAUUUCUAUUUUCUUUGUGAUAUAUUAUCAUUACCGACAUUUAUUUUCACAAAUUGGUAUCCGAGCUUCUGGGUUGUUCAUCGCAAUCACUGUAAUGACGUCUUUGAAGUAUGAAAUUCUACUGUUGGAUCGCAACACCAGAUUCGCAUUUUGGCAGAUAAAGAUGCAGGCAGUUCUUGCACAGAUGGACUUAGAGAAAGCCCUGCUAAGGUUAGAUAAGAUGCCUUCAACAUUGAUGGAGGAAGAGAAGAAGCACAAGGAUUGAAAGGCGUUAACACAAUUACAUCUGCAUUUGUCUAACGAAAUUUUGCAGGAUGUGAUAAAGGAGAAUACCGCCGCUAGAUUAUGGAAGACGUUGGAACAACUAUGUAUGUCGAAAACUCUAACUAGUAAGCUGCAUAUGAAGCAGCGUCUUUAUGCUCAUUGUUUGGAGGAAGGUGCGUCUAUGCAUGAACACUUGACAGUGUUUAAAGAAAUUCUCUCAAAUUUGGAGGCCAUGGAGGUUCAGUAUGAUAAGGAAGAUUUAGGGUUGAUUCUACUUUGUUCGUUGCCCCCGUCUUAUUUAACCUUUAGAGAUACAAUUUUAUAUAAUCGCGAGUCUUUCACAGUUGAUGAGAUUUAUAAUUCUUUAACCUCGUAUGAUAAGAUGAUGCAUCUUAUGGUUAAAACUGACUCUCAAUGAGAGGGUCUCAUUAUUCGUGAGAGAUAAGAUCAGAAUAUUGAUGAUGAUCAUGGAAGGACACAAGAACGGAAUCCUCGUGGUAAAUCUAAAGGUAGAUCGAAGUUUUCAAACAGAGGUAAAACUUGUAACUUCUGCAAGAAGAAAGGGCACAUUAAAUCUAAGUGCUAUAAGCUACAGAAUAAGAUCAAAAGGGAGACUGUGAAUCAAAAUGGAAAACAACCAGAAAAUUUUGGUAAGGCUAAUGUUGUAGAAUACUACAGUGAUUGUGAACUUCUAGUCGCUUCUGUCAAUAAUUUUAAAGUGAGCGAGGAGUGGAUCCUUGAUUCGGGUUGCACCUUCCACAUGAGUCCCAAUAGUUAUUGGUUUACAACUUACGAAAUAGUGUCUGAAGGUGUUGUUUUAAUGGGAAAUAAUACUUCAUGUAGAAUUGCAGGUGUUGGAACAAUUAAAGUUAAGAUGCUUGAUGGAGUUGUCAGAACACUUAGUGACAUAUGACAUGUUCCAAAAUUGAAGAGAAAUUUAAUUUCAUUGAGUACUCUUGAUUCAAAAGGGUACAAAUACACAGCUAAAAGUGGUGUUUUGAAUAUUUCUAAAGGUUCCCUCAUUGUGAUGAAAGGAUAGAGAAAGACUACCAAGUUUUAUGUUUUGCAAGGUUCUAUUGUUACUGGUGAUGCAGCUGUCGUAUCCUCUUCCUUGUCAGAUGAUGAUAUUACUAAACUUUGGCAUAUGCGCCUAGGGCAUAUGAGUGAGAAUGGCAUGGCAGAAUUGAGCAAAAGUGGACUUCUUGAUAGGCAAUGAAUUUGCAAACUGAAGUUCUGUGAGCACUACAUUUUUGGGAAGCAAAAGAGAGUUUGAUUCACCAGAGGAAUCCAUAACACAAAGGGAACGUUUGAGUAUAUUCAUUCUGAUCUGUGGGGGCCAUCCAGAGUACUUUCGAGAGGUGGAGCUAAUUAUAUGCUAACUUUUAUUUAUGAUUUUUCCAAAAAAGUGUGGGCGUUCUUCCUGAAGCAGAAAAACGAUGUGUUUUUUGUAUUUAAGUCUUGAAAAACCAUGAUUGAAAAACAAACGGGAAAGUAAAUAAAACACCUCCGCACAGACAAUGGCUCAGAGUUCUGUUUUGAUAAGUUUAAUAAAUUGUGCAAGUCAGAAGGGUUCAUGAAACACUUGAUAGUUCAUCAUACUCCACAGGAAAACGGCGUUACAGAAUAAAUGAACAGAACGAUCAUGGAGAAGGUUCGAUGUAUGUUGUCAAAUACCAACUUACCAAAGUCAUUUUGGGCUGAAGCAGCCUCUACUGCAUGAUUUUUAAUCAACCGAUCUCUAUCCAUUGCCAUUGAGAAAAAGACUCCACAAGAGGUAUGGUCUUGUAAUCCUGCUGACUAUUCUGAUUUAAAGAUUUUUGGUUGUCAUGUGUGUGUGCAUGUUGAUAAUGGAAAAUUGGAAUUGAGAUCCAUUAAAUGUGUUUUUCUUGGUUAUAAAGCUGAUGUAAAAGGGUAUAAGUUAUGAUAUCCUAAAAAUAGAAAAGUUGUGAUUAGCAGAUAUGUUAUUUUUUAUGAAACUGCUAUGCUACCUAACUUAUCUCUUAAAGAAUCUCUCAAUAAAGAAAAUCAAAAGUAGGUGGAGCAUCAGAUUAAUACAGAAUCUACAACAGAGUCGACUACUGAAGCCAGUACAAAAAUUCAAAAUAGAGUUGCUCCUUCACCAUAAUACUCUAUCGCCAAAAAUAGAACUAGAAGAGAAAUUAGACCUCCAAAGAAGUAUGUCAAGUCUGAUCUAGUUGCUUAUGCUUUAAAUGUGGCUAAAGAUAUAGAUGUAAAAUAAGAGCCAUCUAAUUAUUCUGAGGCGAUUAGUUGUGAAGACUCAGAAAAGUGGAUGUUUGCUAUGCAAAAGGAGAUGGAAUCACUCCACAAAAAUAAAAUAUGGGAUCUUGUGAAACUUCCUAAAUGUAAAAAGAUUAUUCGUUGUAAAUGGGUGUUUAAAAAGAAAGAAUGGACUCCAAGAGUUGAAGAACCCAGAUAUAAAGCAAAGUUUGUUGCAAAUGGUUACAGUCAAAUUCCAGGAGUGGACUUCACAGAUGUGUUCUCUCCAGUUGUGAAGCAUAGUUUGAUUCAAGCUUUACUUGGUAUUGUGGCCAUACAUGAUUUGGAGCUUGAACAGUUAGAUGUAAAAAAUGCUUUUUUGCAUAGAGAAGUUAAGGAGGAUAUUUACAUGCAACAACCAGAGGGUUUUACAGUCUCAGAAAAAAGGACUAUGUUUGCUUGCUGAAAAAGUCUCUUUACAGUUUGAAACAGUCACCAAGACAGUGGUACAAGAGGUUUGAUUCAUUUAUGACUUCUCAUGAUUUUAAAAGAAGUAGCUUUGACAGUUGUGCUUACUUUAAGAAAAACAAUGAUGGUUCUUUUGUGUAUCCACUCUUUUAUGGUGAUGAAAUGUUGAUAGCAGUGAAAGAUAAAUGAGGGAUAAGAAAGGUCAAAGCCCAACUAAGUGAAGAAUUUGAGAUGAAAGAUUUGGGACCAGCAAAGAAGAUACUUGGUAUGGAGAUUCUCAAAGAUAGAAAAGUAAGUAAAUUGUACCUAAGUCAAAAGGGGUACAUUGAGAAAGUUCUUUGCAGAUUCAAUAUGCAGAAUGCUAAGCCUGUUAGUACUCCUUUAGCAGCCCAUUUUAGACUUUUAUCGGCUUUGUCUCCACAAUCAGAUGAUGAGAUUAAGUACAUGUCACAUGUUCCAUACUCUAGUACAGUGGGAUCUCUCAUGUAUACUAUGGUUUGUUCACGUCCAGAUUUAUCAUAUGUAGUUAGUGAAGUUAGCAGAUACUUGGUGAAUCCCGAUAAAGAACAUUGGAAAGUAGUUCAGUGGAUUUUAAGAUACUUACGAGGUACUACUGAUGUUUCCUUACAGUUUGGAAGAACUAGAGAUGAAGUCAUUGGGUAUGUUGAUGCUAAUUUUGCUGGAGACUUUGAUAGAAGAAGAUCUCUCACAGGUUAUGUCUUUAUAAUCGGAGGUUGUGCAAUCAGUUGGAAAGCCACUUUGCAAACUACAGUUGCUUUGUCCACCACUGAAGAUGAGUACAUGGCGAUUACUGAGGCUUGUAAAGAAGCUAUUUGGUUGAAGGGACUCUUUAGUGAACUCAAUAAAGGCUUUCAAAUCAAUACAGUAUUUUGCGACAGUCAGAGUGCUAUCUUCUUUACAAAAGAUCAAAUGUUUCAUGAGAGAACAAAACACAUUGAUAUUCGGUAUCAUUUUGUUCGUGAUAUUAUUGCUUGUGGUGAUAUUGUUAUGAGCAAAAUUAGUACUCAUGAAAAUCCUGCAGAUAUGAUGACUAAGUCACUUCCUAUAACCAAGUUUGAGCAUUGCUUAGACUUGGUUAGUGUUCAUUGUUGAAGUUAAACCCUUAAGGGGUUUUAUGGAAUAGGUGGAAAACUUGAUCGUUGAGAGUUCGCGAUGAAGAACUUGUUCAUUAAGAAUUCGUGUCAAUGUGGAGAUUGUUAGAAUUAAGUGACCCGAAUCCUUAUUUAAAUAAAAUACAGUGGUAAAAUAAAAUAAAAGUAAAAUCCCUAUAGAAUUAUACUUCUUUUAUUUUAUUUUAGAAUAAUAUUUUUUAAAUCUUAUUAAACUCCAUCUAUUUGAUAUUGAUUAGAAUAAAGAGUUUCACUCCUAUUAGAAUAAGGUUUUACAAGCCUAUAAAUAGACAUAGUCUACUCCUCUUGUAAUUAAUUCGAAUUCGACAUGGUGAAUUAUCUUCUUCUCUGCCCGUGGUUUUUUCCCGAAAGGGUUUCCACGUAAAAUCUGUGUGUUCUUUAUUUUUUCUAUUUUUAUUUUCUUUACGAUAUAUUGCUAUUAUCGACAUUUAUUUUCACAUAUUCUAAUUAAUUAGAUAUUUCCUUCCUUCCAAAAGCCUUUCAAAAUAGGUUUAGUUUGACCAAGAUACUCUUGUAGAAAAUUUUAGUUUUGUGGGAAAACGAAAAACUAGAUUUAUUUUUUAUUCUAAUUGGUUUCAUAUGCAAGGUAUAUAAACUUUUGUGUCGCUGCAAUUUUUUUCCAACAUAUGUAUGUGAUUUGUGGGGUUUCAAUUUUGAAUUUUUUUUAUAAUUUAAUUAAAUUGUGAAAGUAUUUGAAAGUUUUUAAGUUGAUACAAUGUUUAGAACUACCCCAACACCCACCCAACCCUUAAAUAGGAGGAUAAACAUGCUUCAGCACGCUCAAACUCACAUUCUCCUACAUCUAUGAUAAUACUAAUGCCAACCGAGUUAAGACUCAACUAGCCUUGAAUUUUGAAUUUUACUUCUGAUAUAUUUUGAAUUUUGAAAUUUUAAUUUUGACCCAAACAGUAGCAGUUAAUUUAAUUUGAUUAAAUUUAAUUACUAGACCUAUAUUAUGCGUACGAUUAUUGAUUAGUCUAUACUCUCAAAUUGGGCAAUUCUAAGUACCUAUACUUUCUGAAUUUUGAAAUUUCAGUCUUGAUGCAAAUGACAAUUGUUAAUCUAUUAAUUAGAUUUUUAGCGAGUAAUAUGUAAAAAUAACAAACUGGCAUAACAUUACACAUAUGAUAAUAUGUUUAUUGCACCGCAUUUGAAAAUAGCCGAAUUUAACAAAUAUCGUUAGUGAGGAUUGGAAAUUAGAGUCUAGGGAUUAAAUCCACAAGUUCAGUAAAUUACAAGAACUAAUGGUAGAAUUUAACCUUUAUAUAACCUUUAAAUUCUAACCGUGGUUUGCACACUACUCAGCCGACCAUUGGCUGUGGUGGGAACACAAACUGUUUGAAUUUGACAUCAGUGAUUGAAUUUUCAUAGCUAAUAUGUACGUUCCUUCAAUUUCUCCAUAGGAGGGAGUGGAAUACAUUAUAUAAGGUAAUAUUUGAUAUAUUCGGUAAAUGAAUAAUUGCAAGAUAUCUCAUUAUCUAGUAAAAUAAAUAAUGAAAAUUUUAUAAAUAAAUAUUAAUAAAAUAUUAUUACAUAUAUCAACAAUGACAUAGUAAGUUGCAUUAACUUUUAGAUGUUGACUAUUGACUUUUGCAUCAACCUUGAACUUACAUAGGCCCCUACAAUAAUUUAGGUUAUGGAAAUAAUCUUGCAAAUAAUGCUUGAGACAUCAUUAUACAUCAAUUUAUAGUUUUAAUUCUUGUACUUACUCAAUUGGAAUAAAGAUUUAGUUUUUUAUUUUCUUUUGAUACAAUGUCUAGAAUUAUCCAUAGCCCUUUUCCAACCCUUAAAUAAAUGAAUAAUGUGCUUCAGCGUACUCGAACUCACAUCUUCUUACAUUGACAAAUUGCUGAUGCCAAUUAGUUAAUGUUAAUGCUAUACUUUAGUUAAAAAUAACUAACAUUAUUAAAAAAUUCAUUAGUUGGCUCAUGUGGAUUUUUUUUCAAAAAAAUUGAAAUUAAGAACCAUAAAUUCUUUAAGACUUAAAAAUUAAAAUUAUGUGGUUAUUAAAAAAGAUUUAUUUUUUAUUAAAUUAUUAUUUAAAAUAAAUUUAUCUCAUCAUAAUGAUAUGAUUUUUUUCUUUAAAAAAUCCACAUUAACCAACUAAUAGAAUUGUAUAAAGCUGCCACCAAUCUCUUAGCAUGAUGGCAAAAGAUUCAGAGGCAGCCAGAAAAUCUUUUGAGGGGCGUGAAUAAAGUUAUAUAUUUUUAUAAUAGCAAAAGUGAAAUUUUAUUAUUAUAAUAGUUUAUAUCUUUAAUUUUUAAAAUAUUAAAUAAUUUUUUUCUUAUUUUUGAGGGGAUAAAGUAUAAGUUUAUCAUAUACUAAUUUUAAAAUUAUAAAAAGACUAAAUGUGAAAUUUUUCAUUUUAAGGGGUGGGGCCCUGUCAGGUCUCCUUGGCUUCACCUUGAUAAAAGUAUUAUGUAAUACGUAUAAAGUUUGAGUUUAAUCCCAAACAAUCUCAUUUCUUAUCCCUCAUUAUAAAAUAAUAAAAUAAAUAGAGCAAUUGAUAUGAGGAGACAAGUAUAAUAGGGCAAUUUUAACCUGGGCCAGAUUUCAAAACAAAACCCAAACCAAAUAAUAAAAGAGUCCAAAAUAAUUAAAACAAUCCAUCCAUUUUACAAACAAACCCAAAUUAGCAGCCCAAAUACAAAUUAAAACUCAAUAACCCAAAACUAACUAUAGCCCAAUUAGCUAAACACUUAAACGCAACAAAAAAAACCCUAUCCCCCUAAGCCUCCAACGCUGCAUGACCACCUACGCCGCACGUCGUCGCUGCCGCUCGAGGCUCGCCUAUCUUCGACCAUCCACGCAUCUGACACUUGCAAAACCAAGGCAACACGCAACAACAAAGGCCAAAUAGAGGAAACAACAAGGAAACAGACAAAAAAGGAAGAAACAAACAGUUUUGAUUCGGCUAUAAAAGCCCGAAUCUCACCCUUGUAAUUUUUUUGCGAACAUUAGAAAAUAAAAAAACAAAAACAACACUUUCAAGGUGAAUUUCUACUUUUAUUUCUGUUUUAAAUACUUAUUUGAUUCUAUAUUCAUAUUUUUAUUUUAUUUUUUAUAUAUAUACGAAAAUAAUAAAAUAAAAAAAGGAAGAAAGGGCUCACCGGAGACGCCCCGUGAUCGUGCCGUCAGAAGGCUCUUCUCCGUUGUUGCCAUCGGAUCCGAGAGGGGGUCGAGAGUCUUCCUCUUUCGCUUUUUUGGGUCGAGAGGGCUGGGCUUCCAAGGGAGCUGCGAAACGGGGGCUAAAAAUGCCCUUUUGCGCAACACCGACCACCGGCCACGACAGCACUACGACGGCGACCAUGGCCGGCCAAGGGGUGGGCUGAGAGAGAGACCAAGAGAUACUGAGAGAGUUCUCUGUUUUUUUAGAAAAAUGAAAGUUGAACCGUUUUUUUCUUCUUUUUUUUUGCUAUUUAUAUAGGGUAUAAUACGACGCCGUUUUGGACUUAAGCAUCAGUGGCCAAAACAAUGCCGUUUUGCAUCAGACCUGAAAAUCGACUCGAAUGCGGCCAGGAUCUGCGCGUUUUAGCUUUGAGGAGCUAUUUGCAUAUUCAGCCCUUCCGCUUUUGUAGUAUAGUGCAAUCUGGUCCUCGUUGUUUUUAUAUUUUGGCCGCAUAAUUUUUUGAUUGUUUUACUUUGGUCCGAGCUGAAACGCUGCGCAUAGGGGCUAGGAAUAUUGCCCAGUCGGUCCCUCAUUCCUUAAGCGCGCUCUAUUUCAGUCCCUAGCAACCCUUUUUUUUAUUUGUAAUUUAAACCCCAAAUUCUGGGUCGAUUUUAGUAUCAUCCUUAGUCCAUUUAAUUUAUUUGUUCACUAUUUUUUAUUUAAAAAACUCUUUUAUUAUUAUUUGUUUUAAGUUUUUUUAUUUAUCAUUUAUUUUAAAUUGUUUUACAUACUAUUUAUUUAAAUUUUUUAUAUAUUAGUCAUUUUAAACCAUUAUAUGUACAUUAUCUUUUAAAUUUUUAUAUACAUAUAUUUUUUUUAAAAAAAACUGUUGUAUGUUUCUUAUUUAUUUAUUUUAAACUGUUAUUAUUAUUCAUUUUAAGUUUUUAUAUACUGUUUAUUUGAAGCCGGUUAUUAUUUAUUUUUGAAUUGUUCUUAUAAAUUAUUUACUUUAAAUUAUUAUUUACUUUGAAAUUUUUUUGCAUAUUAUUUUGUUUUGUUUUUUUUAUUGUUAAUAUUAGUAUAAAAAUUAUAUACAUUGUGUGAUUAUUACCGCCAUGUGUACUAUAAUUAGUUUCUUCGUGUUUUCAUAUUAUUAUCACUCAUUAACAUAACAUUUUUUUCAUAAAUUGUUAUUUUAUGUUCUAUGUUAUCAUUCCAUUUCACUUCAUCACUUCGAAAGUUGCAUUCAAUUUGUAUUUACCCAUAAUAAACCGUUCUAUUUUGUCACAAAUAAAACAAAUGCACCUCGUUCAAGCAUUGUACUCACAAUUAUUCAAAACGGGGAAAAGUUUUAAAAUAAGACAAUAUUUCGCAUUUUGGAGAUUUGAGAAAUUGUACCCUAACUUACGGGGUUUCAAUUUUCUCGUUGAACCUAAAUAGCAAAAUAUCCUUCUAAUUUUCAAAAUUUACGAAAUUCCAAUAAAGUUAAAGGCUAGCUUAUUCUCAAGGGUUCUAAGUGUCGUGUCCUAACUUACGGGAUGUGACAUUUAUUAUCUCGAGACGAGAGGAUCUUUGACAUUCGUUUCAAUUUAUUCAAGCAAAUUCUUUUAAAUUAAAAUAGCGUUAACAAAAGGGGGAUCGUGUUUUAAAUUCUUUCGAAGUUUUUCAAUUUUUAACAUUUAGACAUUAAUUAAUCAAUUGAAUACCAAUUUUGGGCGUGACGAGGGUGCUAAUCCUUCCUCGCAUGUAACUGACUCCCGAAUCCGUUUUCUCAAAUUUCAUAGACCAAAAUCACUGUUUUGAUAAAUUAAAAUAUUUUAUUAAAACAACUAAAUUAUGAGGUGACCUAAUCACACCUCAUAAAAAAAAGAUUGGUGGCAACUCUCGUUUUAAUUUCCAUUUUCAAACCAACGUCGACCCUUUUAAAAAAAUGGUUUCAAUAUUAAGUUAUAAGUUGAAUGAAUUAAAAAUAUGUGAAAAGUGUAAAUAGAGACUCUUCAAUCUCAUUUCCUCUAAUGCUCUUUUUUUAAAUUUUUUUUUAAAUUUUUUAUGUACCUUUUAAAUAGUUAAUGAAAAUAAAAAUAUUUUGAUAAUUUUCACUUCGAAAUGCAAAAGCCAACAACAGUUUUUGACUACAAAAGCGGUGUGUUCUUCAUCACUUCUCAGUGGAAAAACACUUCUGCAAUGUAACAACACUUUUAACCCAAAACGGCUUUUUCACCACAAUAGAGAAUGCACCCUAAAAUUGUAAAUAGAAAAAAGAAGGAUCAAACAUUGUUUCUACCCUGUUUUUGUCUCCUCUUUGAAAAUACUUUCCAAAAAGUUUUAUCAUUUUUUUUUCUGUUUACAAAUUCCUUAUAGAAGUGCUUUCUUUUGAUCCACUUGCAUCAUUGUAAUAAGUUUGCAUUGCCUUCUAACUUUCUAUGUUGAUUACAGUUUAUUAAGUUUUCUGUUGGAUCUUAUAGUCAAAUUCCUUUACAUCAUGUAUGUUAAUUUGCUUAGCCCUGAUAAAUGUUAGAUAUAGGGUUAUCAGUGUCGAAACCACUUUUUUGGCGAACAAAAAUUAGUUGUUGACUUUAAAAACGAAAGUUGGAGUCGCCAUCGAUCCUUUAUUGGGGUGUGAUCGGCUCACCUUAAAAACGAUUUUGGUCUGCAAAAUUUGAGAAAACAGGUUCGGGAGUCGGUUACGCAUGAGAAAGAGUUAGCACCCUCUUAACGCCCAAAAUUGGUACCGAAUUAAUUAAUUAAGGUCUUAAUGCCGAAUAUCGAAAAUCUGUGAAGAAUUUAAAAAUACGAUCCUCCCUUUUUGUUAAUGUUAAUUUUAUAAAAGAUGCUUGGAUAAAUCGAAGCGAAUGCUAAAGACCUUUUUGUCUUGGAAUAAUAAAAUGUCACACCCAAUACGUUAGGACAUGACAUUUUAGUCCUCGAGAAUAAGCUUGUCUUUUGAUUUUCAAAGCUCGUGCGGUGAAGUUUAAAAAGGAUAUUCAAUUGCUUUAACUCAGAUGAAAAAUCGGAGCCCAAUACGUUAGGGCACAAUUUCUCAAAAUUCCGAGCAUUGAAUAUUGCCCUUAUUAUUAUUAUUUUUAAAAUCUUCAUCUCGAGAAAAUGACAUGUCAUAUCCAAUAUGUUAGGACACGACGUAUCGAAUUUUCGAGAAUGAGCUUUUUAUUUAUGCUUUAAUUAAAAAAGGAUACCCGGUUUCUUAGAUUCAACGAGGAAGAUUGGAAUCCAAUAAGUUAGGACACAAUCUUUUCGAGGAUCCUAAAUUCCGAGUGUCGCGUUAUUUUUGAAAAAAAACUUUUUGAAUAAAAAUGCUCUCGAUACUUGAAUGAUAUUAAACGUAACCUUUUAACAACGAAUAAAAUGCGACGGGACGAUAAUGUAUAACGCGGAAUGACGAUUUGUAAACAAAAUAUACUCUAACGAAUGACAAAUAAUCAAUAAAAACAAAUAAACAUUAUCAUACAUAUAAGAGCAAUAAUCACAUGUAAAUAUUAACAUCAACAUUUGAAAGCUAAUGACCUAAAAGCCUAUCGCAAAUACAACAAAUUUAAAAUAACUAAAAAAAAAGCAUGAGAGAAAAGAAAUUUGAAAUUAUCAACAUAUAUACACAAAAUACACGUAUAUAAAAAUUUAAAAGAAAUAAUUAAUAGGAAGACUUGAAAUAAUUUAAAAAUAGAAUUAAAAAUGAAUAAUAAUAUCUAAAUGAAUUUUAAAAUAAAUAUUAUAAGAAGAAAGUCAAAAUAAAUAAAACCCAAAAUAAUACACAUAUAUUAAUCUAAAUAGGUAAUAGAUAUAAAUUACGUAUUAUAAAAGAAAACUAUUUAAAAAGGGUAAAUUCUAUUGGAUUAACAUAAAAAUAUAAAAUAAUUUAUUAUGAAAUUAAAUAAUAAUAUAUGAUAAUAAUAUAAAAAAACUUAAAAUAAUAGUGCAUAAUAGAAUAAAAUAAUGAAUAUAAAAAGGUUAGAUAAAUUGAUAAAAAAUAAUACUAAUAAUAAUAAUAGUAGCAGUAAUAAUAAUAAUAAUAAUAAUAAUAAUAAUAAUAGUAAUAAUAGUAAUAAUGAUAAAUUAAUAUUAAAGUAAUUAAUUUGAUAGCAAAAAUAACAAAACAGAUUACUAAUUUGGAAUUAAAACAGAAAUUUAGGGGUAAGACGUGCAAUAAAAUGAAAUGAAAAGGACCUAAUUGAAAUUAAUUUAAAAUCAGACUGACUAGCAAAGAAAUUAAACGCACAAGUCUCACCUGGCAAUCAAGUCAGAUCAUCAGAAACGGCGUCGUUUCGAACGUUUGUCUCCUCAACUGACAGAAGGACGAAAUUGAAAGAAAUAUCGAAUUAUGUGGCAAAAUUAAAAAAGACAAAGAAGGAUUAAAAUGAAGUAAAUAAAAAACAGAAGGACCAAACAGGAGAAUAAGCCAUUGAAACAAAACACGCGGAUCCUCCCCGGGUCAAAUCGGAUCAUCGGGUCAACCAACACGGAGACGUUUUGAAGCCAUUAAAUCGGGCUUAAACGGCACCGUUUUAUUAUCGUUAAAAACCUAAAAAAAUAAAACCCUAAUAAUUUGUUUUGCCAUCCUAAAACAGAUCAAGAGCCUAGCCUUCUCCCCACCGGUCUCCACUCACGAACCCAAUCUGACUCCGAUUCAGACGGAGCAAACCAGAUUCCAAUGGCGUCUGCUCUGGUAAGACGCUUCUUCUCUCCCUCUUUUUUUUUCGUUUGGUGCCAAAGAAGAAAACAAAGAAUCAAAGAAAUAAAAGAGAAAAAAAAACGAAGAAAAUCACCUUUCGAAAAAACUUUCUGUUUUGAUUUUUUGUUUGUAUUCAAUAUGCGUAAAAAAGGAUUACAAUGGCCUUCUCCCUCUUUAUAGCCGAAUAUUCGAAAUAAAAUGAAAGAAAAUACAAAAAAUUCUCUCUGCUGCGUUGUUUUCGUCUUCUUUGCAGGUAAGGAGGCUAGCUGGCGUAAGGAGGUGGUGGACGUGGCACAGCACACUCGGGGAAGGCCCUGGUGGCUGCGGCGCUGGAAGGAGGGCUGUUGCAGCUAGGGUUUUCUGAUUUUUUUUUGGGCUAGGGUUGGGUUGAUAGUUGUAUUGGGCUAGGUAUUUGGGCUGGGUGUAGUUGGACUAGAUGUAUCUGACUUUGGGUUUGUACCGGGUCACUGUAAAUGGGUUUGGUUUUUGUUGUUAUUGGGCUGUGAACUAUUUGAGUUUUAAUUAAUUUUUAUUUAUUUGGUUUUUUAUUGUGGGCUGGGCAAAUUGGGUAUUACAAUCAGCUAAUUAGGAAAGACUGUGAUGAUAGUCACACCUUACAUCCAAAAGCAAAGCUUUUUUUACAUGUGUAUGUAAGGUUGCUAAGCAAAUCUGGUGAGCCUUCACUGCUGUUUUAAGGUUAAGUUAAUGUUCCUUUUCGGCAAAGAACAUUAUCGAGAUCACGGUAUUUUGAUCGCCUUUUGCUUCUUGUUAUUCGUUCUGAAACGAUUGCAUAAUCUUUACUGUGAUUGCAGGAUAUAGAGCAACUUUUGAAUUUCAUCGCUGUAAAGUGUUUAGGACCACGACAUGUUCUUGCAAAUUUGAAGAAGCUUCUAAGGUCUGUCCAGUCUUCAGAAUAUAUAGAUACCUGAAUUAAUUUUGAUUUUGUAGGAUCAACUAUAAUUAGCUACUUAUUAGAGUAUGAAUAGACAACCUCACCUUCUUCACACACUGACACGUGCGGAUUUUUUGCCAAUCCCAUUUCAAAGGAUCACACUUUUUUGUUGUUUACAGAAUCAUAAUUAAUGUUAAUUAAAGUGGAAUAUUUCAGAUUUCUGAUGAUGAGCAUAUUCUUGAGUAUUGCAGUAAAAAAAUGGGUGCGGAACUUAUUUGAACUUUGAAUGUAUGUUUUGUUGGUGAGAAUAUAAAGUUGAUAAAGAUUUGGUAAAUAGAAUAAAAUACUAUUUUUUAUUAGAAAAAUUAUUUGGUAGACUGCCAAUCGAUUUAUAAUUAUCAUGACGCAAUAUUAAGGGUAAUUAAAACAUGUCAUAUUACAAAUAAUAAAAUUAUAAUGACUCAAAUAUACGAACAUGUCAAAAUUUAUGUACAACGAAUUAUUAACAUGUCAAUGUAUAGUAUAAUAUGGUACGCAAAAAUAAGAUAAUUGCUUGUCUUUAAUUGAAUUGUUAUAACACAUUAUACAAAAUACAUUGUGAAUUAAAGCAUAAUAUAAUCAUGAUAUCAAUAUAUUAAAUUUUUUAAAAAUUCGAUGAUACGAAUAAUUAUGUAAAAUAUCACAUGAUACAAAAUGACUUGAGAGGAAAAGAGGAACAAAGACUUGCNNNNNNNNNNNNNNNNNNNNNNNNNNNNNNNNNNNNNNNNNNNNNNNNNNNNNNNNNNNNNNNNNNNNNNNNNNNNNNNNNNNNNNNNNNNNNNNNNNNNNNNNNNNNNNNNNNNNNNNNNNNNNNNNNNNNNNNNNNNNNNNNNNNNNNNNNNNNNNNNNNNNNNNNNNNNNNNNNNNNNNNNNNNNNNNNNNNNNNNNNNNNNNNNNNNNNNNNNNNNNNNNNNNNNNNNNNNNNNNNNNNNNNNNNNNNNNNNNNNNNNNNNNNNNNNNNNNNNNNNNNNNNNNNNNNNNNNNNNNNNNNNNNNNNNNNNNNNNNNNNNNNNNNNNNNNNNNNNNNNNNNNNNNNNNNNNNNNNNNNNNNNNNNNNNNNNNNNNNNNNNNNNNNNNNNNNNNNNNNNNNNNNNNNNNNNNNNNNNNNNNNNNNNNNNNNNNNNNNNNNNNNNNNNNNNNNNNNNNNNNNNNNNNNNNNNNNNNNNNNNNNNNNNNNNNNNNNNNNNNAUGGUCUUCUAGGCUUGGUACCUAGUUUUCCAUUCUUUUUAUCCGUUCUAAUUCCACUUUUGCUUUAGUAAAAUUUUCUUAUAGCUAAGAAAGAAAAAAAAAACUAUUAACAAGUAAUUAUAUAUAUAUAUCAGGUUUUCAAUUGCUUUCAAGACUCAAUAACUUGGAAACUCUCGAUUUAAGUCGGAAUUCUUUUAAGAAUAGCAUUUUGUUCCAUAUGAGAAAUCUUUCAUCCUUGAAGACUUUAAGAUUGAGCGGUAAUCAGUUGAAAGGAAGGCUGGAUCAUAUUCAAGGUAGACUAAUUUUACCUGUUUCUUUUUAACUUUAAAAAUCAAUGUAUGCUCAAGUUUGAUUUUAUCAUACGAUGAAUGUAUAUAACUAAUCAAUAUUUGGGAUUGAAUUUCAGGAUUGAAUAAUUUGACAAAUUUGAAGUACUUGGAUUUAAGUUGGAACGACAUUGAAAGCAUCUCAAACAAAGGUAUAAGUAUUUGUGCAAAACUUUCUUGACCGACUCUUAUUCCAAAAGGCAAUGACAGACUUCAAAUGUAUUUUCUUUAGUGAAUUUUUAUUGCAAAAAUGGAGUAUUAUUAUUUAUUUAUGUUUUGUAGUAACUAAUUAUAUAAUAUAUAAAUCAGGUUUUCAACGGCUCAUUAAAUUGGAAAUUAUUGAUAUAAGUUGGAAUUAUUUGAAGAAUAGCAUUCUUUAAAAUAAAUUCAUGUUGAAGGAAAAGUUGUUGCAAUAAGUCAUUUGAUUUUAUCAUAUCAUGAAUAUAUAUAAGUAAUCAAUAUUUGGGAUUGAAUUUCAAAAUUGAGUAAUUUAAGUAGGAAGGUAUCUCAAACAAAGUAUUUAUAUAUUGAAUCAAUUCAUGGGAAAGCUUGUAAAUUGGCUCUUCCUUCUCAAACAAUCAUUUUUCCUAACUUUUUAUAUCUUGAAUGAUAUUAACUAUACUCAUUAUUUUCUUCCAAUGAUAGAUGGAACACAAUGGAGGCUAACAAACUUAGAGGAACUUGAUUUGAGUGGUAAUCUCUUUCGGAACAACACAAUUUCCUUUCCUCAAGGGCUUUCAAGCCUAAAGUCUUUGACUUUGUACAACAACCAUUUGCAAGGCUCAUUAGAUACUAUAGGUACCAAAGCUAUAACUUUGUUUUUCUUGAUAAUUCUUUCUAGAACCUUUUAAAAUUAAUUGUUUCAAAUUUGAACAUUCACAUUUCACUUUUGAGGAUUUUCAUCUUCACUUCCAGUUUUAGAUUUACUUUUUUUUUCAUUUUUAUUUCAUUAAAAUAUUAAGUAGAAAUUAAAAUUAUUAACAUAAUGAUUUUUUAAAUUGUACGUGGAUAUGUAUAGGAUUGAGCAAUUUAACAAAUUUGAAGAAACUCGAUUUAAGUGGGAAUCAAAUUGAAAGCUUUCAAACCUUUAAAGGUAUGCAUUUAUAUUUAACUAAUUACCUAAAUUCUUACAUAUAAUUAAAUUUUAUGCCAAUUCAUUUCAGUGAUGAAAUUAUAUAAAUCUUUUGUAGAUGGUGGUAGAAAAUUGGAGUUGACCCACUUGGAAGAGCUUUAUUUAGAUGGAAAUCACUUCAAUACUAGUGUAUUUGCAUCCCUUAACAAGCUUUCAAAUUUGAAAUCUUUGAGCAUAAGUGAGAAUCAAUUGAAAGGAUCAAUAGAUAUGAAAGGUAAAAAUAUUAGUUUUUUAACAAGAAUAUAAUAAUGUUUGAAGAGAAUAUAAUGAAGUUGAUUUGUUGUUUUUGUUUUCCUAGAUUUGGAAGCAUUUAUCAAAUUAAGGGAACUAGAUAUGAGCUAUAAUGAAUUGAGAGAUUUUGUGAUCCACCAAGGUAUCAUUUAAUUAAUUUUCCUUUUUUUUUAAUUUAGAAAUUUAGUUUUGAUCUAUGAUAUUAUAAUAACAGUUAUUGUCAUAAAUAUUAAUAAAGUUAUAUCAUAUCAUACUUGAAAGUAAAAUAUGGGUUUGGUGAAACAUUUUCUAAACCCUCCAUUAUAAUGUGUUUCGACUUUGGUUUGAAACUAAAAUUCUUUAAAUUUUUCAUAAUUUUUAAAUAUUAAUGUUUAUAAUUAUUUUGUUUGUAUAACUAUGUUUUUAAAAUAAUUUAUUGAAUUUUUAUGAGAUAAAAAAUAAUUAUAACGAUAAAAAAUGAUAUUAUAAGUAAAAAUACAUAUAUUUAUGGGAAAAUAUGUAAUAUAACUAUAUUUUAAUUUCAUAUAUUUUUAAUAGUAUAAAACAUAAAAAUACAUAUUAGAGUUAAAUAAAUGGCAUUUUUUGGCCAAAAAUAAAUAAAUGUCAAUUUUGAAUAAUAUAAAAAAAAACUUCAAUUUUAUGAAAUUUAAACAUACAUUUUGAGGUGUUUAAACUUUUUUUUUUAACUUUUUAUAAAUUUCAAAAUGCACAUGUUGUUAAUUUUUUGGUUUUAAAAAAUGUGAUAGGUCUAUGUACUCUUUACAAAUUUGUAAUUUAAUUCUUGUAUUUUUAUUUUCGGGAAUUUGAUCCCUCUAUUUUUUAAAUUUUAAAAUCCAAGUUCAAUUGUUAACAUUGUUAUUUUUUUAAAAAAUAAUUUAUUGGUGUUGACAUUUUAAAAUAAAAGAACUUGGUAGCGAUGUAACUAAAAGAUGAUGUAAUGAACAUGGAUUUAAUAAAAUAAUUUCAACCGUAUAAAUAGUUAGACUUGAAUUUUGAAAAAAAAAAUUUGUAAAGAGAAAAAUAUGCACAUUAGAUUUAAAUAAAAAUAAUAUUUUUUUUAGUUUAAAAUUUUCUAUUUUAUAAUAGAACCAUUGAUUUAAAUAAAUGAGAUUUUGAAGAAUUUCCAAAAAAAAAAAACUAUGUAGGUGAAAUUUAAAUAGAGAAUUUGAUAAGCUGAAAUUCUCUUUUGGAAUUCAUAAAUUUUAAAAUUCAGAAGCAUGUAUUUUGACAAUUUUGAUUUAAUAUGGUGAAUUUAAUCAAAAAAUUAUUUAUUAGAUUGUAAAAUAUUUCUUAACAUUUAUAAUUGAGUACAAAGUAAAUUAAGUUUAAGGGAAAAUAUUGGGUACUAUUAAUGAAAUUCUUUUCUUUUAUCAAUUUUUUUUUAAAAAAAUCGGGGUGGUACUAUUAAUGAAAUUCUAAACUUCAUAAGUAGGAUUGAGAUAAUAACAAAUUUCUUAUAUGGUAUAGUAAAAUAUUAAAAAAUAAAUAUUUAAAAGAAAUAGGUUAGUGGCCAUUUUUUAACUUCACUUGUAGAGUUAAAAAACUCCAUUACCAGUACCAAAUACUAACAUUAAGGUUAAAUGCUAAUUGAUUUCAAACAUAUUUGAGUUUUUUAAAAGAAUAUUCUCAUAUAUUUAAAAGAAAACAACACAAAGUUAGAAGAUCUCAUCUUGAAGGGUAAUUCAUUUACCGGUCCUCUCACAUUACCGUCAGCUCCUAACUCUAAAGUGUCUUUAAUUGACAUAUCCCAAAACAAAUUGCAAGGUCAGAUUCCAACCAACGUGUGUUCACAUUUUCCACAUUUGAGCCACUUAUUCUUAUCCAAGAAUGCCUUCGAAGGUGAUAUCCCUCCUUGUUUGAGUGGCAUGAAGGAUUUAUCGAUUUUAGAUUUAUCAGACAAUCAAUUGUCUGGAAGAGUACCUGAAGAGUUAAUCACAAAAAACUCGUUGACCAUUUUGAGACUAUCAAACAACAACCUCAGUGGACAUGUGCUUCCUGUGAUUCUCAAUGCAAAUGGGCUGUCAAAAUUAUAUUUGGAUGGAAAUAAUUUUUCUGGGGAGAUGGCAAAUGUUGAUGUCUCUAUUUCUGAGUUUCCAACUUCACUAAGGGAAAUUAAUCUCGGAAAUAACAAGUUUUAUGGAAACCUCCCAAGAUGGAUGGGGAAUGUGUCAUUUUUGGAGAGAUUAGCUUUGUCCCAAAAUGGUUUCGAGGGUUCUAUUCCAAUGGAAUUUUGCAACUUGAAUCGCUUGGAAUUUUUGGAUCUCUCUGAAAACAAUUUAUUUGGCUCUAUACCGUCCUGCUUUAAUACCCUAAACAUAAAGCAUGUCCACCUGCACGGGAGUAGACUAAGUGGCCCACUACCAAUCGCUUUUUAUAAUAUCUCUUCACUGGUUACGUUAGAUCUUAGAGGAAACAAUUUGACUGGUAGUAUUCCAAAAUGGAUUGGCACACUUUCUUCAUUGAGUGUUCUUCUCUUGAAAGAUAAUCAUUUUCAUGGUGAAGUUCCAGUUCAGUUAUGCAAGUUGGAUUCUUUAAACAUCAUAGAUCUUUCUCAAAAUAUGUUUUCUGGUAUUAUACCUUCUUGUUUGGGAAAUUUAACCCUUUCAACGGAAACAAAUAAGAUUCUAACUGAUUCGAAAAUUAGUCCAAGGUUAACAGGGGACGGAUUAGUGAAAACAUUGGGAGCUCUCGGAAAUUAUUACUAUCCUGAAGGCUACUUAGAAGAAGUAAUAGAGUUCACAACAAAGAGUGGGUUCUUAUCGUAUGAGGGAAACAUCCUUACAUAUAUGACCGGGAUUGAUUUAUCUUGCAACAACUUAACUGGUCAUAUCCCACCAGAAUUAGGGAACUUAAGUGAAAUCUAUUCUUUAAACUUGUCGCAUAAUAAGUUGACAGGAGUUAUACCCUCAUCAUUCGCAAAACUUCAUCAAAUUGAGAGUUUGGACCUUUCUUACAACAAUUUGAGUGGUGAAAUCCCCAAUCAGUUGGUAGAGUUGAACUCUUUGGAGGUUUUCAACGUGGCAUACAACAACUUGUCAGGUAGUAUUCCCGAACCAAAAGCUCAAUUUGGGACCUUUAUUGAAAACAGUUAUGAGGGAAAUCUUUUUCUUUGUGGAGCUAUAUUGCAUAAAAGUUGUUCCAAAACCGAUUCACCAUCAACGAUAUCAACUCUAUCAGAAUAUAAAGGAGAAGAUGGUUUGAUAGGUACUUAUGAUUUUUGUGUGAGCUUUUUGGUUUCUUAUGUAGUUGUGUUGUUGACCAUUUUUGUUGUCCUCUACAUAAAUCAAUACUGGCGAAGAGUUUGGUUUUCUCUCAUUGGGAAAUGCAUCACCACCUGUCGCUACUCAAAUGUGGGCAAUUUUCUUACUUAUCACAUUUUCAAGCAAUGAGUUUAGCUACUCAAAUUGUAAUUUGAUUUUCACACCUAAAUGUUUAAUUAUGCUAAGUUGAGCGAUAAUGAAUAUUUUGUUGAUUUUUGCAUUUUAAAUAAAAGCUCUUUGAUCUUAUGAUUUUAUCAUUUUCAACCAUCUAUUUCUUUUUUCUUCUAUGAAAUUUAAUGUAAAAUCAUAAUCCAUUAUUAUGUAUAUGCAAUAUCUCUUUGAAUUAAAUUAAAUUGAAUACCAAGCGUUCACUAGUGCAUACUGAAAAGGAAAUCUAAUGUAAAAUUAAACCAAACAUACUAGAAAAAUGAAUCUGAAACUGAAAUAUUUUAAAACCUCAAAAACAAUGCAAUUCUUUAUUCCUCUUUUCCUUUCAAGUUAUUUUGUAUCAUGUUAUAUUUUACAUAAUCAUUCAUAUCAUCAAAUUUUAAAAAAUAUUUAAUAUUUUGAUAUCAUGUUCAUAUUAUGCUUUAAUUCACAAUGUAUUUUAUACAAUAUGUUAUAACAAUUCAAUUUAAAAAACAAGCAAUGAUCUUAUUUUUGCAUACCGUAUUAUACAUUUACAUGUUAAUAAUUCAUUGUACGUAAAUUUUGACAUGUUUGCAUAUUUGAGUCAUUAUAAUUUUAUUAUUUGUAAUAUGACAUGUUUUAAUUACCCUUAAUAUUGUGUCAUGAUAAUUAUAACUCGAUUGGCACCAAAUAAUUUUUCUAAUAAAAAAUAGUAUUUUAUUCUAUUUACCAAAUCUUUAUCAACUUUAUAUUCUCACCAACAAAACAUACAUUCAAAGUUCAAAUAAGUUCCACACCCAUUUCUUUACUGCAAUACUCAAGAAUAUGCUCAUCAUCAGAAAUCUGAAAUAUUCCACUCUAAUUAACAUUACGAUUCUGUAAAAACCAAAAAUGUGUGAUCCUUUUUUAAAGCUCUUUUUUUUUUCCUUUAAUGAAAUGGGAUUGGUAAAAAAUCCGCACAUGUGUCGUGUGUGAAGAAGGUGAGGUUGUCUAUUCAUUCUCUAAUAAGUAGCUAAUUAUAGUUGAUCCUACAAAAUCAAAAUUAAUUCAGGUAUCUUUAUAUUCUGAAGACUGGACAGACCUUAGAAGCUUCUUCAAAUUUGCAAGAACAUGUCGUGGUCCUAAACUCUUUACACCGAUGAAAUUCAAAAGUUGCUCUAUAUUCUGCAAUCACAGUAAAGAUUAUGCAGUCAUUUCAGAACGAAUAACAUAACAAGCAAAAGGCGAUCAAAAUACCGUGAUCUCGAUAAUGUUCUUUGCCGAAAAGGAACAUUAACUUAACCUUAAAACAUCAGUGAAGGCUCAUCAGAUUUGCUUAGCAACCUCACAUACACAUGUAAAAAGCUUUGCUUUUGGAUGUAAGGUGUGACUAUCAUUACAGUCUUUUCUAAUUAGCUGAUAACCCUGUAUCUAACAUUUAUCAGGGCUAAGCAAAUUAACAUACAUGAUGUAAAGGAAUUUGACUAUAAGAUCCAACAGAAAACUUAAUAAACGAUAAUCAACAUAGAAAGAAGGCAAUGCAAACUUAUUACAAUGAUGCAAGCGGAUCAAAAGAAAGCACUUCUAUAGGGAAUUUGCAUUUAAGGCAUCGUAAACAGAAAAAAAAAUGAUAAAACUUUUUGGAAAGUAUUUUCAAAGAGGAGACAAAAACAGGGUAGAAACAAUGUUUGGUUCUUCCUUUUUCUAUUUACAAUUUUAGGGUGCAUUCUCUACUGUUGUGAAAAAGCCUUUUUGGGUUAAAAGUGUUUUUACACUGCAGAAGUGUUUUUCCACUGCAGAAGUGAUGAACAACACAUAGCUGUUGUAGUCAAAAACUGUUUUUGGCUUUUGCAUUCAAAAGAGAAAAUUAUCAAAAUACUAUUAUUUUCAUUAACUAUUUAAAAGGUAUAUAAAAAUUAGAUUAAUUUAUAUUUUAUAUAUUAUUAUAUUAAAUUGUUUAAAUCUUAUUUAUUAUUAUAUUUAAUUUUUUCAAAAUAUUUUAUAUAUUAUCAAUUUUACAACUAAUUAACAAAAUAUUUUACUAGGGAAUACGUAUAUGUGAAUAUCUAUAAAUGGCAUGCCUGGAUAUGCAUAUCCUUUGAUAUCAAAUAUUUUGAAAAAAAUAUUAUCAAUUCCACUGAUAUAUUAUCAAUUCCACUGAUAUAAAGCUCUUUAUAUUACCAAUAUAAAUAUAAAUAUUUUGAAUAUAAAUAUCCAUUGAUAUAUUAUCAAUUCCACUGAUAUAAAGCUCUUUAUAUUAUAAAUAUUUUAUAUUUUUUUUCAAAAAUAUGGAUAUGCAUAUCCUUUGAUAUCAAAUAUAAAGGUAAUAUUUAUAGGAAUUGUUUUUUAAUUAGAUAUUUUUAUAUAUCAGUGGAAUUGUCAAAAUAUUUUCAUUAACUAUUUAAAAGGUAUAUAAAAAGAGCUUUAUAUUGCCUCAAGCGCAAGGCACAAAAUGAAGCGCUAGCCUGUGUGCAGUAAAGCGCAAUACGUAUAUGUGAGAGUUUUUGCAAGUCUGUGUGUCUAUAACAUAAAAGUUUAAGAUAUAUAGUAAACUCUAAAGUGUGGUCUGGUUUAUCCACAAAACUUGAAAUUUUUUUAUAGGUGAAUGCUCAAAUAUUGAGAAUUAUAGAGUUUGAUAUUAUCCCUUCCUUAUUAGUAAAGGUAUAUCAAAUGAAAACAGUGAAAAAUAAAAUAAAUUAUUGAGAAAUUCAACAAGGCAGGUUUUUCUAAUGCCCAUUGCCUUACAAAAAAAGUGUGCCUAGGUGCACCAGGCAUGCGCUUGAUCAAAUGGACCUCACCUGGAAGGGUCCAAGGCGUUUUGUUGUAUAAAACUAAGGCGUAGGCAUGCCUAGGCGCAUGCCUUGACGACACUGACCAUAUGUUGGCUUUAUUGCAAAGCAUUAGCAAUUCAAAACUACUAGCACAUUACCUAAUCUACUACUGCUAGAAUAGGACUCAAGUUCUUGCUCCUGUGCAGGUCCAACCAAGAUCUUUACAGGAUACAGUAAUGAAACUUGUGAUAUCAUAUAUUGUUGCCUUGCUCGAAGCUUCCUUUGCACAUUUUUAAGUUUAACACAACCCCUUUCUUCAGUGAGUAAUCUAUUUGCUUCCUGUGAUAAAAACAACAUAUAAUCAAUCAUGCCAUGCAUGCAAGACUACCAACCAUCUUAAAAAAGAGACAAAGAAGUAGGACAGCAAGAAGGGGAUAACCCUUGACUAUGCAAAGGAAUUCAUAGAAUGAGAAUCAUCUCAUCUAAGCCCCUCAACCACCUUCACAGGGGGUGGAGCUGCAAAAAGAGAUGUCUUAUUGAUCCAAGAGGAGAAUAAAUAACAUCUAAAGCUGAAUAAGAAGAAACCUUCAAAUGUAUCAUAAAUUCAGCAUUCAUGAUAAUAUCAAAAUGAAAUUCCAAAGCUAAUUUAAGCUAGAAUAAAAAUGCUUCACCUGUAAUCGCUUCCUUGCUACAGAAAGAGAGGUACCAGCAACCAACAAUGAUCUUACUUCAGUACUAAGCAUUUCCUCCUGUUUUUUAGCAUCCUCUGUUGCAACUUUGCAACGAGUUGACAUUUUGCCAUAACUACUUUCCUUGCCUCUAGUCUCUCACGCAUUUCCUCAAGCUCGUUCAGUUUAUUCAAAGACUCAUUUUUUACCUGCACAGCAUGUUCCCGCCCAUUAAUCAGUGGGCCAAUUGAUUAGGUCACAGAAGACAAAACUAAAUUACCACUCACCAGGUCCCCUUGAAGUGUCAUAUGGCUUUAACAAUUCAACGUGCAAUAUCUAGUAAAAGUAAAAUAAACAUAGAAGAAAGCAAAUGCAAUUCUUAAACGCCUUUAAAUGGACAACAUGAAACAGUUUAAGAGCCCUAUAAAACAGUAAAGUGGAAAAAAAAUCUGAAAAGGAAAAAGAAAUGAAUUGAAACAAUAAAUCCAUCAGGUACAAACAGCAACAAAACUUGAAAUAAGCUUUGGCUUUAGCCCAUUAAAGCCCGGGCAUCCAGCCAAAUAAACAGUGACUGCCAUGUCAACUUUUUGAGACGGUAGAAAAGAGAUCGAAAAUCUCAAUUUCCAAAAAUAAGGACAUAAGAAGUAAAAAAAUGCACUUAUUCUUACAGUAGAAGAGCAAAAUGAAACUAAAUGAAGCAUAAGGGAACUGAUGCGAAUUGACAUUGUCAUUUUUGGGACUAAAAAGAAUACGCAGAUUGAAUAUUUAAGAUUUGGAAGGGAAAAGUUCCAUUCACCAACACAAUUAUCGUCGCCCUUCAUCCUAGUAAAGCUUAAUUGACAAUUUUUCUGUCUCGUGUUCUUGCUAAAGCAUUUGAGCAACCCAACAGAAAUCAUUAUAUUUCAAACUGAAAUGAUUGGCUUUAUCAAUUUCACAACCUAUACCGCCCA
rnacentral:lncRNA from 1 species